CUCCCGACACUCCUGAUACACUACCGAUGAGCCCGAAACCUUUCUGGUGGCCAAAAGAGGACUUCCUAUAUAUCAAUUUUUACCCCCGGACCAUUCCGGAGCUCCUCGUGAUGUCCAAGAUCUCAUCUGAGACUCCGAUCAACCUUUGGUCACCAACACCUAUAACUCAACUAUAUCGAAACGUCACUGAACUUUAAGUGUGCAGACCCUACGGGUUCGAGAACUAUGCAGACAUGACCUGAGACACUCUCCGGUCAAUAACCAAUAGCGAGACCUGGAUGUCCUUAUUGGCUCCUACAUAUUCUACGAAAAUCUCUACCAGUUGAACCUCUAUGUCAAGGAUUGAGUUAAUCCUGUAUGUUGUUCCCUUUGUCCUUAGGUAUGUUACUUGCCCGAGAUUCGAUCGUUGUUAUCUCUAUACCUAGUUCAAUCCCGUUAUCGGCAAGUCUCUUUACUCGUUCCGUAAUACAAGAUCCCGCGACCAACUCCUUAGUCACAUUGCUUGCAAGGCUUGUCGUGAUGUUGUAUUACCGAGUGGGCCUCGAGAUACCUCUAUGUCAUACGGAGUGACAAAUCCCAGUCUUGAUCCAUGCCAACCCAACAGACACCUUCGGAGAUACAUGUAGAGCACCUUUAUAGUCACCCAGUUAUGUUGCGACGUUUUAUACACACAAGGUAUUCCUUCGGUGUCCGGGAUUUGCAUGAUCUCAUGGUCAUAGGAAGAGAUACAUUGACAUGCAGAAAACAGUAGCAAUAAAUUGACACGAUCAUAUGCUACGUUCAUAAUUUGGGUCUUGUUCAUCACAUCAUUCUUCUAAUGAUGUGAUUGCAUUAUCAAGUGACAACGCUUGUCUAUGGCCAGGAAACCUUGAGCAUCUUUGAUCAACGAGAUAGUCAACUAGAGGCUCACUAGGGACAGUGUGUUGUCUAUGUAUCCACACAUGUAUUUGAGUUUCCAAUCAAUACAAUUCCAGCAUGGAUAAUAAACGAUUAUCAUGAAUAGUGAAAUAUAAUAAUAACCAAUUUAUCAUUGCCUCUAGGGAAUAUUUCCAACAUCUUUCGCACAAAGAACGCGGAAGAAAUAGCUCAGCUCUGCGAGUACUAGCCAUCUAUCCUCAAGAAUAAAGCCACGCAACAUCGCCGACAUUACCUGCUCAAGCCAUAUGUGGCAAUCAUGACUCUUGAGACCAAAUAUUUUCAAUUUUUGAAGACUCGCUCCCCUCUUUAGAUUCGCUGCAUACCCAUCGGGGAACAUCAACUGCAUUUUGACCCACAAGAUAAUUUCCCUCAUAGAUCCCCUUUUUAGAUUGAACUAGGCCUUUGGCUUCAACUAGUUCUACUUUCCUUUUGAUUUUCACAUGUUUUGUAAUGUUCCAUCGCAUACAGUCUGCUGAUCGACUCUAGCCUUAGGAUUAUCCUUUGACUUUCCCUCUAUGAAGAACAAUGUACCAAAAAUAGCCUCUCCGAUAUUAUUUUCAGUGUGCAUCAUGUCGAUGUUGUGUGGAAGAAGGGGGUCUUUGAAGUAAGGCUCAUCCCACAAGCAUGUCUUGUGAGUCCACGCGUGUUCUGAAUUAUACCCCUUGAAAUACCCUGGAUGCUCUGGAUCAGUCUCGAGAGUGUUUAACUGAUCCAGGAUGUGUUGGUCUGUCAACGCAAGUGGUGCCCUCCUCCUCCUCCUCCUCCUCCUUCUUCUUCUCCUUCUCCUUCUCCUUCUUCUUCUCCUUCUUCUUCUUCUUCUUCUUCUUCUUCUUCUUCUUCUUCUUCUUCUUCUUCUUAUUCUUCUUCUUCUUCUUCUUCUUCUUCUUCUUGUUUGGGAUACCCCCAUGCACCCCCAAGAAAUAUCCAAGGAGACUCAAGUGUCUAAGCUUGGAGAUGCCCCGUGCAUCCCCUUCUCCAUCAACAAUCAUCAGUUCGUCCUUCUCCAUGCUAUAUUUUUAUCACUUCAUAUGUUAUGUGCUAUGCUUGGAGCGUCUUCUUGUUUUCCUUUUUGUUUUUUUUUUCUUUUCUGGUCAUAAAUAAGUUGCAUCCUAUCAUUCUUGUUUGGGAGAGAGACAUGCUCCGCUUUUUCAUAAAACACUUCUGUUCUUCACUUAUAUCUUUUUGCAUGUUAUAAUUUGCUCUUAGCUCUUGUUUAUCUUCUAUAUCAUGUUCAGAGCUAUUAGUUCUUUUGUAGAAAGUACUCUCUUGCUUCACUUAUAUCUUUUUGGAGAGCUGAUUGGUUUAAAUUGCUAGAUAAUAUGUUGGUAAGGAAAAAUGCCAAGUGUGUUCGUGGUGCAAAGAAUAAAAAGCUUGCAUAGUCUUGAAGAUCAUGGAGUAACUUGAUCCUUAUCAAUUGUUUUGAGAAAUUAAGUGAAUUGAUGUAUAAAAAUGUAGAUCGUUUAAUAAAGUCUUAAUAGUGAAGAAAUACCUUUGAAGUUUGUAAUUGUUUAGUUUUUCAUAAUUGGUAGUUUCAAAGUCCGGUUUUAUCAUUAGAAAUAAGUUUGAUUGACAAGGAAGACAUUUUAGAAGUCUUAUAAUUAUGUUGAAAGUUUGUUAUAGUUUUCUUGUACCAGUUAACACGUGCUUGCUAAACCUAAACUCUGUACUGAGCUGGAAUGCUGCUCAUGCAUACAAACUCUUGAGCCAAAAUUCAUGCCAUAUGUGUUCAGCAUACUUACCUAUGCAUGGUAUUUAAUAGCCAUUCCAAGUAAUUUUUUCACGUGCUACCUUUGAAACCUUCAAAAUUAAUUCCUUAUUUGUGUCUCUGUUUUAGCUCAUGAGGAAGUGGUAGAUAGUUCAUUAUUUUCCUGUGUUGAACAGAACUAGACCCCUGACUUGCAUGCAUAAGGUGUUUUUCCUUAAUUUUGCAAAAAAGAGCUGGCAAACGGGUGCCCAACUCACUUUAAAUGUCAUCAAAAAAAUAAAAUAAACUCUCCUUCACACAUGGUUCCUGAGAAAUCAGACAAACUUUGGCUAGUGAUAAACAAAGGAGAAGAGGAAUGUUCUCAUUCCUCUCUGGGAACCGCNNNNNNNNNNNNNNNNNNNNNNNNNNNNNNNNNNUCUUAAGAGUUCUGUUUGGCAUGGGAGGUAGUGAAUUGUCUAUUACCAUUCGUUGACAUGAAUAUGCACCUCUCAAAGUUGCUUUUACUUCUGUUUUAUAAAAUAAAAAUCUCUAGCACAUGAUCAACCCCUCCCUCUUUGAAGGGCCUAUCUUUUACUUUUUAAUGUUGAGUCAUUUUUCCUAUGUUCUAAUCUUCUUCCUCCACCAAAAGCAAGCAUGUAGUGUUAACCCUCGGUUCAAGUUGAUUAUGUUCAAAUUUUUUGACUAUUUAUAAUCCUUGUGCAUUGAACUUAUCCAUGAGAUACAUAUGUUGAAAGUGAAAAGCAUUGUUGAAACUUUAUCUUCCUUUGUGUUGACUAGAAUACUUUUGAUGAGAGAACUACUUUGGGCGAACAGUUGUCUUAAAUUUAUAGUUUCAUCUCUUCAAAGUACUAUUCAUGAAAGGAAUUUACUUAGAUGAUUUAACUUGGUUAUUCAUUGUUUACUUACUUUCUACUAUAGACAAUUGGUUCGAUUCAGUUUAUUUCAGUUCAUGUGCUUUACUUUAUUACUUGAUCAAGAUUGUGUUGGUAGCAUGUCACCUCAAAAAUUAUCUAUGUUAUCAUUAUCCUACUCGAGGACGAGCAGAAAUUAAGCUUGGGGAUGUUGAUACGUCCCAAACGUAUCCAUAAUUUUUGCUUGUGUCAUGCUUGUUUUGCAUCAUUCUCUCAUGUUUCUAUUAGUUUUAUAUAUUUUUAAGCAUUUAUUUGGACUAACCUAUUAAUGGUUGAAAAAGUGCACAAUGUUCUUGGUUUACACUUUGGUGUGUAGGAAUUACUUGGAAAUUGAGAAAAAUGCAAAAGGAGUCGUACUGGAGUAGGACUCUGACUUUUCUAAAAUCUGCCCCCCUACAGAUUUUAGAGAUCGUCUAUUUCCGCACCAAAUAUGACGUCAAAUAGAAAAAUAAUAGAUGGCAAGUUGUGGGAAAUUUCGAGAGAAACGUUCUGGACUAAAAUUUCGUCCAAAACGGAGUCCGGACGUGUCCUGCAGACCCGUUUUACUGAAGGACAAAAAUCUAAUUAUGGGAAUCCAAAAUAUUGUGACGUGAUUGACUCCUACUCUUUCCAAACUUGGAGGAUUCGGCCAAGCCACGAUUUUGGGGCCUCGUUAGGGCUUAGAGGACUCCCAAAAAAGGUUUUAGAGGUGCCAAAGAGCCAUUGGAUCAAAGGAGCAUUCAUCGGAGGGCCAAAGAUGACCGUCACACCUCAUAUAAGGAGAGGAAAACCCUGAUUUCUGAAGAGCCACCAAGAGCCACGAAAUUUCCUCCUCCCAGGCAGCCGCCUUGGGGUGGAGAACCACCUCCAUACCAGCACCAUCUCCAAGGAAGAAGGGGGGGGGGCAAAGGCCGCCGCCCCCAAGGGUCGUGGCCGCCAUCGGCCGCCGUCUCCUCUCCGGGCUGCACCUCUCCACCAAUCUCUUGCUCACGAUGGCCAUGUGUGAGUAGUCUCCCUCGGGGCUGAGGGCUCUACGUGUAGCUAUGUGGUUAUCUCUCUCUUCCAUGAUGUGAUCUUGAUUGUGAUCAUAUGCUAUGUUAAUCCUAGGGUGAUACCAUGAUGUUUCCCCUUCUUCUAUGUAUUGGAUUGAUGUACUCACUUGAUCUUAUCUAGUAUAAUCUUCGAGACCAUGGUGACAGCGGUCUAUUGGACAUGGAUUAGAAGAAUAUUUUCAUGAGUGAUUUCCUCUUUUGUGAAUUGAUUGAAGAUUGAGAGUCUCUUGGUGCUUGUCUUUGACUAUCUUUGAGAUAUGUUGUGGUGAUUGUGGUACUCUCUUUGGAUGGUCGCGGUGACAUUGGAAAAUCCAUAGAUGAGAACUACGAACUCUGAGGUGUGCUUUUGUAGCCCUACAUAAUUCUCGUUCUCUCCUGAUCACAAAGGAACGACCUCCGAGUAUUGAUACGCCUCCAUCGUAUCUACUUUUUCGAACUCUUUUGCCCUCGUUUUGGACUCUAAUUUGCAUGAUUUGAAUGGAACUAACCCGGACUAACGUUGUUUUCAGCAGAAUUGCCAUGGUGUUGUUUUUGUGCAGAAAUAAAAGUUCUCGGAAUGACCUAAAAAUUUAUGGAGAUUUUUUCUUGAAUUAAUGAAAAAUACAUGCGCAAAGAUUCAUUUAUUCCGUUUCGCCCGGAAAAAAAUCAGAGAGAAGGAUUCAUCACGUUUUAUGAUACGGAGGCGCCGCCACCUCCCGUUCUUCAUCUGGAGGGCAGAUCUGGAGUCCGUUCUGGGCUCCGAAGAGGGGAAAUCAUCGCCAUCGUCAUCAUCAACCUUCCUCCAUCGCCAAUUCCAUGAUGGUCUUCACCGUUCGUGAGUAAUCUCGUCGUAGGCUUGUUGGACGGUGAUGAGUUGGAUGAGAUCUAUCAAGUAAUCGUCGAGUUAGUUUUGACAGGGAUUGAUCCCUAGUAUCCACUAUGUUCUGAGAUUGAUGUUGCUACUACUUUGCCAUGCUUAAUGCUUGUCACUAGGGCCCGAGUGCCAUGAUUUCAGAUCUGAACCUAUUAUGUUGUCGCCAAUAUAUGUGUGUUUUAGAUCUUAUCAUGCAAGUUGUAGUCACCUACUAUGUGUUAUGACCCGGCAACCCCGGAGUGACAAUAGCCGGAACCACUCUCGGGGAUGACCAUAGUAUGAGGAGUUCAUGUAUUCACCAAGUGUUAAUGCGUUGGUCUGGUUCUUUAUUAAAAGGAGAACCUUAAUAUCCCAUAGUUUCCAUUAGGACCCCGCUGCCACGGCAGGGAUGGACAAUAGAUGUCAUGCAAGUUCUUUUCCCUAAGCACGUAUGACUACAUACGGACUACAUGCCUACAUUAGAUUGACGAACGGGAGCUAGUUACAUAUCUCUCCGUGUUAUAGCUGUUACAUGAUGAAUCACAUCCGGCAUAAUCAUCCAUCACCGAUCCAAUGCCUACGAGUCUUUUACUGCUGUCACUGCUGCUACUGUUACUCUGUUGCUACUGCUGUUCCUUGCUGCUGCUGUCACUACUGCUGUUACUUGUUACUUUGCUGUUACCUCCCGCAAGACUUUUCUAGCGCCAUUGAUACAACAAGUUAGGAAUAGUCUGCCGUCAAUAGACCUUUUUCUGGCACCAUUGCUAUCAUACCACUUUGCUACUGAUACUUUGCUUGCAGAUACUAAUCUUUCAGGUGCGGUUGAAUUGACAACUCAGCUGCUAAUACUUUAGAAUAUUCUUUCGCUUCCCCUUGAGUCGAAUCAAUAAAUUUGGGUUGAAUACUCUACCCUUGAAAACUGUUGCGAUCCCCUAUACUUGUGGGUUAUCAAGACAUUUUUCUGGCGCCGUUGCCGAGGAGGCACAACUAUAUUAUUUGAGUCACUUGGAAUUUACGUCUGCUAGUCACUAUGAGGAAUCCGAUAGACCCAAGAACUAAAGUCUUGCCUUCCACUACGAGGACAGGUAAGGAACUGCCAUCUAGCUCUGCACUUGAUUCACCUUCAGUUAUGAGUAAGAUUGCGACACCACCUCCUGCUAGAAAUCUUGAUAUGUCGCCUGUACUUGGUGAUGCUACUUCUGCUGCCCAUGAUGCUUAUGAUGAUGCUAUGCUUGAUACUAUGCAUGAUGAUGCUAUGCCUGAUGAUGCUAUGCUUGAUGCUAUGCCUGAUGAAGCUAUGCUUGAUACUAUGCCUGAUGAUGCUAUGCUUGAUACUGCUUUGCCACUAGGUGCAUUCCUUGAUGCACAAAUUGCUAGAAUUGCUGCUAGAUGUGAUGAUACUUCUGAAACUGCUGAUACUAUUGAAGUAGAACCUGCUAUUUUGCCUGCUAGAACUAGCUCUCCUAUGCCUGAAUUGCCUGAUAUGCCUGAUACGCGUUAUGUUAUGGAGGGAGAGAUAGCUGAGGACUUUCUUGCGUGUAAGGAUAGCUAUGAUGUUGAGAAAUUACUGCGCAAGUGGAAAGAAAAACCUCUGAACGCUAGGAUGAAAUACGACCCGAAGUUUGCUACUUCGCCUAUCUUUGUGACCGAUAAGGAUUAUGAAUUCUCUGUCGACCCUGAGUUAAUCACUCUGGUCGAAUCUGAUCCUUUUCACGAUUAUGAGUCUGAAAUGGUUGUAGCCCAUCUUACCAAACUGCACGAUAUAGCCACCCUAUUCACUAGUGAGGAAAAGAUCCGCCACUACUAUAUCCUCAAGCUGUUUCCUUUCUCGCUAAAGGAUGAUGCUAAGACCUGGUUCACUUCUCUUGCUCCUGGUUGUGUGCGUAGCCCCCAUGAUAUGGUCUACUACUUCUCUGAAAAAUAUUUGCCUGCCCAUAAGAAGCAAGCUGCCUUGCAGGAAAUAUACAACUUUGCUCAAGCUGAAGAAGAGAGUCUCCCACAAGCUUGGGGGAGGCUCGUCCAGCUACUGAAUGCUUUUCCUGAUCACCCUCUUGGGAAGAAUGAAAUACUUGAUAUAUUCUAUAAUGGACUUACCGACGCUUCUAAAGACCACCUAGAUAGUUGUGUUGGUUGUGUUUUUAGGGAACGAACUGUAGAACAAGCCGAGAUUCUAUUGAAUAACAUCUUGUGCAAUGAGAAUGCUUGGACUAUUCCCGAACCACCUCCUAAGACAACUCCGAAGAAAAGAGGUAUUCUAUUCCUCAGUCCCGAAGAUAUGCAAGAAGCUAAGAAAUCUAUGCGAGAGAAAUGCAUUAAAUCUGAAGAUGUCAAAAAUCUACCACCUAUCCAAAAGAUCCAUGGUCUUGAUAACCCGAUACAAGGUAGUAGAAGUAAAUUCUCUGUGUAGGUUUGAUGAGAGUGAUAUUCCUCUUGAUAAACCUGCUAGCCUAUGCCUGGAUGAAUUUGAUAACUUCGUUGCCAAACAACAAAGUUUCAAUGAUUAUGUUAGCAGACAAUUGGAACAUAAUGCUCGUAUGCUUAGUCAUUUAAGUGCUUGUGUAGCCAGAAACGUCAAUGAUCUUAAAAUUCUGAGUAAACAUGCCUCUAUGGUUACUACUCAGGUAGAACAAGUACUUAAAGCUCAAAAUGACUUGCUCAAUGAGUUGAAUGACAAUUCCGUCAGAGUCGUCACUAGAGGCGGUAGAAUGACCCAGGAAUCUUUGUAUCUUGAGGGUCGUCCAAAGAGAGUUGAACAAGAUUCUCAAGGAGUUAGCACUGAUGCACCUAGUCAUCCUAGAGAGAAGAAGAAAGAUGAUAAGAACUUGCACGCUAGCAACCCUGUUGCUGCUACACCUGAGAGUCCAAAUGAUGUCUCUGUCUCUGAUGCCGAAACACAAUCUGGUGAUGAACAUGAGCCUAAUGAUAAUAUCAAUAGUGAUGUUCAUGAUGAUGCUCAACCUAGCAAUGAAAAGGAUGUGGAGAUUGAACCUGUUGAUCUUGAUAACCCACAUCCUAAGAAUAGAAGAUACGAUAAGAAUGACUUCGCUGCUAGGAAGCAUGGUAAAGAAAGGGAACCAUGGGUUCAUAAACUCAAGCCCUUUCCUCCCAAAUCAUCCAAGAAAAAGGAUGAUGAGGAUUUUGAGCACUUCGUUGAAAUGAUUAGACCCGUCUUUCUGCAAAUGCGUUUGACAGAUAUGCUCAAAAUGUCUUUGUAUGUUAAGUACAUGAAAGAUAUUGUGACUAAUAGGAGGAGGAUACCUGAGGUUGAGAUUUCCACCAUUCUUGCUAAUUAUACCUUCAAGGGUGGAACUCCUAAGAGACUAGGUGAUCCCGGUGUGCCCACUAUACCUUGCUCCAUUAAAGGCAACUACGUUAGAACUGCUUUAUGCGACCUUAGAGCCGGUGUUAAUGUUAUGCCUCUGUCUCUUUAUCGUAGACUUGAACUGGAUAAGUUGACACCCACUGAAAUCUCUCUGCAAAUGGACGACAAAUCAACUGCUUUCCCUAUUGGCAUUUGCGAGGAUGUGCCUGUUGUGGUUGCUAACGUCACUAUCUUAACAAACUUUGUUAUCUUGGAUAUUCCUGAGGACGAUGCCAUGGUGGUCAUCCUCGGAAGACCCUUUUUAAACACCACAGGGGCUGUUAUAGAUUGCAACAAAGGCAAUGCCACUUUCCAUGUCAACGGUAAUGAGCAUACGGUGCACUUUCCGAAGAAACAAUAUCAAGUACAUUGCAUCAAUGCUAUCGAAAAAACUUCAUCGAUUCUUAUUGGGAGCUUUGAAUGCCCUAUUCCUCCUAUUAAGAUGAAGUAUGAUUUGCUUGUUGGGGAGAUUUACAUCCCCAUUGAGGUAACCAAGUGACUAUUCGAAAAUUCUCCGUUCUCUUUUGCGAUUCGAAAAGGUUUGUCGAGGAGACUUGAUCAACCCCAUUGACGGAUUUCUUUCGAUGACCAUGAGAUGGAUGAAUCGAGGAGUCACAAAUCUUUGUUCCAAGCUUUCACCUUCGGUUGCUUAGAAGAAAAAUGAUAGAUUUAGUUUAGUUUUCCCUGUUUGCUGUUUUAGCGUCCCGUGGAAAAGUACCCCAAAAAUAAAAGUUCUCCAAAUGCCGUGAAAAUCAAGUAUGAUUUUUUCUGGAAUUUUUGAAAAAUACUGGGACAAAGAGUCUGCCUGGGGGCUGCACCAGUGGACCACAAGCCCUGGAGGCGCGGGCACCCCCUGUCCGCGCCACCCAGGCUUGUGGGGCCCACAGGCACCCCCUCCACUCAUUCUUGCUCUCAUAUGGUUCUCCUACGUCCAGAAAAUAUCGUUUCGCAGCUCAAACCCGUGUUCUUGCUCCUCUUGCUGGGAUUUUUGAUCUCCUUGCUCAAAGCACCAUUCUCCGAACUAUUUUGGGGAAAUUACUCCUUGAGAUAGAAAAGGGAAAAGAUGAGGAGGUUCUUAAGAGGCUCGUCAAGCCGUGACCCCAAGGAUGAUGGGAGUGAGAAGAAGCCCAAGUAUCUGGUCCCUCGAGUCGCAGAAAUUCGAGCGUGCGAGUGGCCAAGCGACGUGUUCUUACACGCCACCGGACUUUAAGAGGACUUUUAUCACUUGGUGGAGAACGCAGGCCUUACCGCCUUCGUUGAAAAUAAGUGUCCGCAAUACCUCCUCCUCACUAAUAUCUUCGUACAAAGCUUUAACUUCUAUCCGAGGAAGAAUCCUCCUAUGGUUGAGUUUAAACGUUAUGAUAUCCCCCAACGCAUGUCACUCCAGGAUUUUUGCAAUGUUUGGAAAUUACCUUACGUUGGGGAUAUUCAUGAACCUCGUCCACGGGACUUGGAAGCUUUCAUCGACACAAUUGCUAUAGGAGACGAGAGAGGAGUGUCUUGCGCUAGAGCUGCUAGCAUACAUUUUCCCGUGCUUCGGUACUUCUCACUAUUUGUGGGAAAAUGUUUGAUUGGCUGUGGGAAAGUUGGGUCACUUAGUUCCCCAGAUCUUGCGGUCUUGCGCGAAGCCCUUUAUAACGAUAAAACUUAUAGCUUGGGCGCUAUAGUAGCUCAACGGUUGAACAUGAACCGUUAUAAAGGUGUUGUCUAUGGAGGUAUCUAUGCUACCCAUCUUGCUAGACACUUUGAGAUACCUAUUAGAGUGGAUGAGGAAGAAGAGAUUCUUCUUCCUGAGAGAUAUCUAGAUUACGACAGCAUGGUUCGCCAUGACUUUCUUGAUAGAUAUAAAUAGAAGGAUGAUUUAUAACCUGGUAUUUAGUCAGGGUACUCGUGAGACUAUGACUUUGCCUGCUCCUUCUUUGUUCAAUCUUCAUGCAGGCAGGUACAUUAUUAUGCCUUCGGACAUCUACACAUAUUGGGGCUUGGCCCAACCACAGGUGCCCAUGCCCGAGCCACCAGUCGAGUACUAGACGCCAUUUUAUCAGUGGGAGCCAGAGGAGCUCACACAGCAGUGGCAUCCUCAGUCCACUCCGUAUUACCCCAGAGCUGGUUAUUUCGCUGCUUGGGAGUAGACCAACUUAGGCCAAAAGCCUAGGGUUGGGUGAGUACGUGUUCUCACCGACUUUACAUUCCAUCUUAUGCUUUCACUUUGUUCGUCGGUGUUCACACUUUGCCACUGUAUCAUCCAUGCUAGUUUAUUUUCUUUUUCUCGUUUUUUUGUAUGUCUGUCUAGUUUGAGAAAACCCAAAAAUAUUUUCUUUUUCUUCUUUUGCUUGUUGGGAGCUUUCCCCUAUAGAUAGUUUUCUUUUUUCUUUGGGUCAAGGUAGAAGACAAUGGUUACAAUGUUUAGUGGCUCUCGCAUGCAUGCCUAUUUAGCUAUCAAGAGCCAUAUUACCUUGUCUUCUCCUUUGUGUUUGCCUGCAGAUUCCAGCUUUAAUCCAAUGCACGGGCACUCUUAUUAUUGUUCACAUCGUUCGGUCGUGCAAGUGAAAGGCAAUAAUGACGAUAUAUGAUGAAGUGACUGAGCCUGGAAAAGCUGGUAUGAACUCAAUCUAUUUUGUUUUUGUAAAUAUGACUAGCUCAUCAUGCCUGAUUCAGCUUUGUUGUGAAAGAAACAUGUUUGCAAUGGCAACUUAGAGAUCAUAGUUGCUUAUGCCAUGCUUACUUAGCUAGGAGCUUACAAUGGUUUGCCUUGGUUGCCAACAUGAAUUUUGAGAUGACUAUGAUGUAGUAUGAUAGGAUGGUAUCCUACUUUGAAUGAUUCAAGUGGCUUGACUUGGCGCAUGUUCACGCAAGUAGUUGAAACAAAAUCAACAUAGCCUCUAUGAUAUUCAUGUUCAUGGUGAUUUGUGUCCUACUCAUGCUUGCACUCAAUGUUAGUUAAUCUCAAUGAAUUUUGAUGACUGUUGUCGCUCUCUAGUUGGUCGCUUCCCAGUCUUUUGCUAGCCUUCACUUGUACUAAGCGGGAAUACUGCUUGUGCAUCCACUUCCAUAAACCCAAAGCUUUUCCAUAUGAGUCCACCAUACCUACCUAUGUGCAAUAUCUACCUGCCGUUCCAAGUAAAUUUGCAUGUGCCACUCUCUAAACCUUCAAGAAAUAAUCUGUUUUGCAUGGCCGAACCGCUCAUGUGGUGACAGGGGGCUACCAGUAUCUUCCAUGCUAGGCGUGUUAUCCUCGAUAUGUGUUUAUUCACUAUCAUUCACGAGAAAGGUGCCGGUAAUUGGAAUUGUCAGUUCCAUGCUCAAAUCGAAAAGAUAAUUGCAAACAAAACUCCCCCAGGAUUGAUGUUGGUAUGGACGGUACCCGAGGAUUCGGCUAGCCGUGGAGUGUGAUUUAUUUGUGGUUGAUGUCUACUACGCAACCUUCUUCUUGUAGACGUUCUUGGGCCUCCAAGUGCAGAGGUUUGUAGGACAGUAGCAAUUUUCCCUCAAGUGGGUGACCUAAGGUUUAUCAAUCCGCGGGAGGCAUAGGAUGAAGAUGGUCUCUCUCAAGCAACCCUGCAACCAAAUAACAAAGAGUCUCUUGUGUCCCCAACACACCCAAUACAAUGGUAAGUUGUAUAGGUGCACUAGUUCGGCGAAGAGAUGGUGAUACAAGUGCAAUAUGGAUGGUAGAUAUGUUUUAGUAAUCUGAAAUUACAAAAACAGCAAGGUAACAAAUGGUAAAAGUGAGCACGAACAGUAUUGCAAUGCGUGGAAACAAGGCCUAGGGUUCAAACUUUCACUAGUGAAGUUCUCUCAACAAUGAUAACAUAAUUGGAUCAUAUAACUAGCCCUCAACAUGCAACAAAGAGUCACUCCAAAGUCACUAAUAGCGGAGAACAAAUGAAGAGAUUAUUGUCGGGUACGAAACCACCACAAAGUUAUUCUUUCUGAUCAAUCUAUUCAAGAGUUCGUACUAGAAUAACACCUUAAGAUACAUAUCAACCAAGACCCUAAUGCCACCUAGAUACUCCAUUGUCACCUCAAGUAUCCGCGGGCAUGAUUAUAAGAUAUGCAUCACACAAUCUCAGAAUCAUCUAUUCAACCAACACAUAGAACUUCAAAGAGUGCCCCAAAGUUUCUACCGGAGAGUCAAAACAUGUGCCAACCCCUAUGCAUAGGUUCCCAAUGUCACGAACCCGCAAGUUGAUCACCAAAACAUACAUCGAGUACUCACAUGAAACCACGUGUGCCAACCCAUAUGCAUAGGUUCCCAAUGUCACAAACCCGCAAGUUGAUCACAGCAGAUAGACACGUGCAAGACAUACAUCAAGUGUUCUCAAAGACUCAAUCCGAUAACAUAACUUCAAAGGGGAAACUCAAUUCACUACAAGAAGGGAGAGGGGGAAGAACAUCAUAAGAUCCAACUAUAGUAGCAAAGCCCACGGUACAUCGAGAUCAAGACUUCUCAAGAACACGAGAGAGAGAGAUCAAACACAUAGCUACUGGUACAUACCCUCAGCCCCGAGGGAGAACUACUCCCUCCUCGUCAUGGAGAUCGCCAGGAUGAUGAAGAUGGCCACCGGAGAUGGAUUCCCCCUCCGACAGGGUGCCGGAACGGGCUCCAGAUUGGUUUUUGGUGGCUACAGAGGCUUGCGGCGGCGGAACUCUCGAUCUAGGUUUCUUUCUGGAGGUUUCCGUAUUUAUAAGACCAGAUGGCAUCGAGAACAAGUCAGGGGGACCCGCGAGGAGGUCACAAGCCCUUGGGGCGCGACCAGGGGGUGGGGGCGCCCCCGGGCUUGUCGCUUCCUCGGGACUCUUCUCCGGUAUAUUUUUCUCCGAUAUUUUUGAUAUUUUCCAGAAAAAAAUCUUUUCGGGGAUUUUCUUCCGUUUGGAUUCCGUUUCAAAAUCUCCUCUCAAAGGGGUCAAAAACAUGGAAAAAACACGAAUUGGCACUUGGCACUGAGUUAAUAAGUUAGUCUCGAAAUAUAUAUAAAAGGUAUGCAUAACAUCCAAAGUUUGACAAGAUAAUAGCAUGAAACCAUCAAAAAUUAUAGAUAUGUCGGAGACGUAUCAAGCAUCCCCAAGCUUAACUCCUGCUCGUCCUCGAGUAGGGAAGUGAUAAAGAAUGGAUUUUUGAUGUGGAAUGCUACCUAGCAUAGUUGUCCUUUGUAACUUCUCUUAUGUGACAUGAAUGUUCAGAUCCGUAAGAUUCAAAGCAAUAGUUUUCUAUUGACAUGAAAAGAAUAAUACUUCAAGCAAACUAGCAAGGUAAUCAUAAACUUUUGAAAUAACAAGGCCAAAGAAAGUUAUCCCUACAAAAUCAUAUAGUCUGGCUAUGCUCCAUCAUCCUCACACAACUAAUGUAAAUCAUGCACAACCCCGGUAUUGGCCAAGUAAUUUUUUUCGCACCCUUACUUUCUCAAACUUUUUAUAACUAUCACGCAAUACAUGAGCGUGAGCCAUGGAUAUAGCACUAUAGGUGGACUAGAGUUUGGUGGUGGUUGUGAGACAAAAAGGAGGAGAUGGUCACAUUGACUCGGUGUAUUAAAAAGGCUAUGGAGAUGCCCAUUAAUAGAUAUCAAUGUGAAUGAGUAGGGAUUGCCAUACAAGAGAUGCACUAGAGCUAUAAGUAUAUGAAAGCUCAAAAGUAGAACUAGUGGGUGUGCAUGCAACUUGCUUGCUCAGGAAGACCUAGGGCAAUUUUGAGGAAACCCAUCAUUGGAAUAUACAAGCCAAGUUAUAUAAUAAAGAUUCCCACUAGCAUAUGGUAGUGACAAAGCAAGAAGCUCUCAAUCAUGAAAAACAUGGUGCUAUUAUGAAGCACAAGUGUGGAAAAAGAUAGUAGCAUUGUCCCUUCUCUUUUUUUUUCUCUCUCUCUUUUUAUUUGGGCUCUUAGGCCGCUUUUUUUUAUUUUAUUUUCUUUUCUCCUUUUUUUGUUUUUGGGCUCUUUGGCCUUUUUUUAUUUCCUCACAUGGGACAAUGCUCUAAUAAUGAUGAUUAUCACACUUUUAUUUACUCACAGCUCAAAAUGAUGAUGACUCUAUAGGAAAUGCCUCUGGCAGUGUACCGGGAUGUGCAACGAUCUAGCAUGGCGUAUGACGUUGAAACAUCUCGCUAGCUAUCUUACGAUCAUGCAAUGGCAAUAUGAGAGUGAUGGCACAAGUCAUGGGACGGAACAGUGGGAGUUGCAUGACAAUAUAUCUCGGAAUGGCUAUGAAAAUGCCAUAGAAGGUAGGUAUGGUGGAUGUUUCAAGGAAAGGCAUAUGGUGGGUUUGUGCACCGGCGAGAAUUGCGUGGCACUAGAGAGGCUAGCAAUUGUGGAAGCUGAAAGUGCAUCUAUACCAUGGACUCACAUUAGUCAUGAAGAACUCACAUACUUGUUGAGAAAGUUCUUAUUAGUAAUCGAAACAAAGUGCUAAACGCAUACUCCGAGGGGAAGGGUUGGUAGGUGUUAACCAUCGCGCGAUCCCGACCUCAACACAAAGGAUGACAAUCAAUAGAUCAAUUAUGCUCCGACUUCCUAACAUAGCGGUUCACCAUACGUGCAUGCUACGGGAAUCACCAACUUCAACACAAGUAUUUCUAGAUUCACAACACCCUACUAACAUAAAUUUUAAUAUUACCGAAUCCACGUCUCAAAACUAAUUGAGAGGAAUCAAGACUUCUCUUUCUACUCAAUGCACAUGAAGAUGGAGUUUUUUGUAUCCUCUUUGGGUACCUAUCACAUUUGGGACUACUUUCAUAGCAUAAGCUAACUACCAAAUCACGCACCGCCGUGCUCUAAAGAUAUAAGUGAAGCACAAGAGCAAAAGUGUCUAGCUCAAAAUAUAUAAGUGAAGCACAAGAGCAAAAGUAUCUAGCUCAAAAGAUAUAAGUGAAGCACAAGAGCAAACGUAUCUAGCUCAAAAGAUAUAAGUGAAGCACUAUGAGCAUUCUAGCAUAAUCACGAUGAGUGCAUGUCUCUCUCUCUCUCUCUCUCUCAAAAAGGGUGUGCAGCAAGGAUGAUUGUGACACAACAAAAAGAAAAGACUCCUAAGAUACAAGACGCUCCAAGCAAAACACAUAUCAUGUGGUGAAUAAAAAUAUAGCUCCAAGUAAUGUUACCGAUGGAUUGAAGAUGAAACAGGGGAUGCCUUCCUGGGGCAUCCCCAAGCUUAGGCUUUUUGGUGUCCUUGAAUUUGGCUUGGGAUGCCUUGGGCAUCCCCAAGCUUGAGAUCUUUCCACUCCUUAUCUCAUCGUCCAUGAGAACAUCACCCAAAACUUGAAAACUUCACAACAUAAAACUUAAACAGAAACUCGUGAUAACAUUAGCACAAGAAAACAAACUACCACUUCUUUUGGUACAGUAGCAAACUUGAAUUCUACCUUUAUUGAUGUUGGGCUACUGUAUUCUCAGUUUUCCAUGGCUAGUACCCCUCGAUACUAACCAUAGUUUCAUCAAAGCAAGCAACCAACUGAACAAAAAGAGAAUCUGUCAAAAACAGACCAGUCUGUAGCAAUCUGUAUACUUCGUAUACUUCUGGUACCUCAAAAAAUCUGAAAUAUUAUGAUGGCUUGGGAAAAAAAAUCAUAUCUACCAGCAGCUAGAAGAAUUAACUCAAAAACUCUUUCUGAAUAAAAAUGAAAAAUCAUCUCGUGAGCGAAAAGUUUCUGCCUUUUUCCAGCAGGAUCAAACAACCAUUACCGAGACUAGUCAUAAAGGUUUUGCUUGGCUCAAACACAAAAAGAAACAAAAAAACAAAAUCAUAACAGAAUUAUUAUGGUGUGGACAAAGCAAAACAGAAAGAGAAAAGCAAAAAUAAAUUCAUUGGGUUGCCUCCCAACAAGCGCUAUUGUUUAACGCCCUUAGCUAGGCGUCAUUUCAAUGAUGCUCACAUAGAAGGUAAGGAUUGAAACACAACGAGAGCAUCAUGGAGCAUAUGGCUAGCAUAUUUAAGUAUAAACCACUUCCUAUGCAUAGGGAUUUUGUGAUCAAACAAUUUAUUGGAGCAAGAAUCAACUAGCAUAGAAAGGCAAAACAAGCAUAGCUUCAAAAAUUUCAACACAUGGAGAGGAAGCUUAAUACUAUUGCAAUAAGUAGAAGCAUAUGAUCCUCUCUCAUAGUAAUUUUCAGUAGCAUCAUCAAUGAAUUCAACAAUAUAACCAGCACCUAAGGCUUUCUUUUCAUGAUCUACAAGCAUAGGAAUUUUACUACUCUCUAUAUAAGGAAAUCUAUUCUCAAGAAUAGUAGUGGGAGUAUCGUAAAAGACUUGAGCACUACAAAUUGUGUCCACAAUGAAAAAGCAAGGUUUAGCAAAGGGGUUCCCGAAAGUAUGACAAGUUUUAUCAUCCCUCUUCUUUAUAGCAUAAGUAUCCUCACAAUAAUCAUCACAGAUAGGGGGCAUGCUUUCAUCAAAAUUAUUUUGAUCAUUCAAAGUGGAAGAACUAAAAAGAUCAUCUUCAUCAAAUAUAGCAUCCCCACACUUGUGGCUUUGCAUAUCAUUAGCAUCAUGGGUAUUCAAAGAAUUCAUGCUAACAACAUUGCAAUCAUGCUCAUCAUUCACAUGUUCUAUGCCAAGCAUUCUAUGUAAUUCUUCUUUCAGCACUUGCGCACAAUUUUCCUUCCCAUCAUGCUCACGAUUUUUUUUGAUAAGAUGGAGCAUAUGAGGCAUCCUCAAUUCCAUCUUUUUGUAGUUUUCUAGCGAAUGAACAAGAAACAAAAAUAUUCGAUUGCAAGAUCUAAAGAUAUACCUUCAAGCGCUAACCUCCCCGGCAACGGCGCCAGAAAAAUGCUUCGUUGACGGGAUGUUAGUGCCGCUUACCUAGCCUCCACGGCAACGGCGCCAGAAAAAUGCUUGAUGUCUACUACGCAACCUUCUUCUUGUAGACAUUGUUGGGCCUCCAAGUGCAGAGGUUUGUAGGACAGUAGCAAUUUUCCCUCAAGUGGGUGACCUAAGGUUUAUCAAUCCGCGGGAGGCGUAGGAUGAAGAUGGUCUCUCUCAAGCAACCCUGCAACCAAAUAACAAAGAGUCUCUUGUGUCCCCAACACACCCAAUACAAUGGUAAGUUGUAUAGGUGCACUAGUUCGGCGAAGAGAUGGUGAUACAAGUGCAAUAUGGAUGGUAGAUAUAGGUUUUUGUAAUGUGAAUUUACAAAAAUGGCAAGGUAACAAAUGGUAAAAGUGAGCACGAACGAUAUUGCAAUGCGUGGAAACAAGGCCUAGGGUUCAUACUUUCACUAGUGAAGUUUUCUCAACAAUGAUAACAUAAUUGGAUCAUAUAACUAGCCCUCAACACGCAACAAAGAGUCACUCUAAACUCACAAAUAGCAGAGAACAAACGAAGAGAUUAUUGUCGGCUACGAAACUGUUGGGGAACGUCGCAUGGGAAACAAAAUUUUUCCUACGCGCACGAAAACCUAUCAUGGUGAUGUUCAUCUACGAGAGGGGAUUUCCGAGCUACGUACCCUUGUAGAUCGCACAACAGAAGCAUUAGUGAACGCGGUUGAUGUAGUGGACCGUCCUCACGUCCCUCGAUCCGCCCCGCGAACCGUCCCACGAACCGUCCCGCGAUCCGUCCCACGAUCUAGUGCCGAACAGACGGCACCUCCGCGUUCAGCACACGUACAGCUCGACGAUGAUCUCGGCCUUCUUGAUCCAGCAAGAGAGACGGAGAGGUAGAUGAGUUCUCCGGCAGCGUGACGGCGAUUCGGAGGUUGGUGGUGAUCUGAUCUCGGCAGGGCUCCGCCCGAGCUCCGCAGAAACGCGAUCUAGAGGUAAAACCGUGGAGGUAUGUGGUCGGGCUGCCUUUGAAAAGUUGUCUCAAAUCAGCCCUAAUUGCUCCAUAUAUAUAGGAGGAGGGAGGGGAGGCUUGCCUUGAGGCUCAAGGAGCCCCAAGGGCUGCGCACCAAGUGGAGCAGGAGUCCUCCUCCAAUCCUAGUCCAACUAGGAUUGGAAAGUGGAGUCCUUCUCUCCUUUCCCACCUCCUUUUUUUCUUUCUCUUUGAUUUUCUAUCCUUGGCGCAUAGGGUGCUCUUGGGCUGUCCCACCAGCCCACCAAGGGCUGGUGCACCACCCCCAAGGCCUAUGGGCUUCCCCGGGGUGGGUUGCCCCCCCGGUGAACACCCGGAACCCAUUCGUCAUUCCUGGUACAUUCCCGGUAACUCCGAAAACCUUCCGGUAAUCAAAUGAGGUCAUCCUAUAUAUCAAUCUUUGUUUCCGGACCAUUCCGGAAACCCUCGUGACGUCCGUGAUCUCAUCCGGGACUCUGAACAACAUUCGGUAACCAACCAUAUAACUCAAAUACGCAUAAAACAACGUCGAACCUUAAGUGUGCAGACCCUGCGGGUUUGAGAACUAUGUAGACAUGACGUUCGGAGAUACCUGUAGAGCAUCUUUAUAGUCACCCAGUUACGUUGCGACGUUUGAUACACACAAAGCAUUCCUCCGGUGUCAGUGAGUUAUAUGAUCUCAUGGUCAUAGGAACAAAUACUUGACACGCAGAAAACAGUAGCAACUAAAUGACACGAUCAACAUGCUACGUCUAUCAGUUUGGGUCUAGUCCAUCACGUGAUUCUUCUAAUGACGUGAUCCAGUUAUCAAGCAACAACACCUUGUAUAUAAUCAGAAGACCCUGAAUAUCUUUGAUCAACUGGCUAGCCAACUAGAGGCUUGCUGGGGAUAGUGUUUUGUCUAUGUAUCCACACAUGUAUAUAAGUCUUCAUUCAAUACAAUUAUAGCAUGGAUAAUAAACGAUUAUCUUGAUACAGGAAUUAUAAUAAUAACUAUAUUUAUUAUUGCCUCUAGGGCAUAAUUCCAACAGUCUCCCACUUGCACUAGAGUCAAUAAUCCAGCCCUCACAUCAUCAUGUGAAUUACAUUGUAAUAAAUCUAACACCCAUACAGUUCUGGUGUUGAUCAUGCUUUGCCCGUGGAAGAGGUUUAGUCAGCGGGUCUGCUACAUUCAGAUCUGUGUGCACUUUGCAUAUAUUUACGUCCUCCCCUUCGACGUAGUCGCAGAUGAGGUUGAAGCGUCAUUUGAUGUGUCUGGUCUUCUUGUGAAACCGUGGUUCCUUUGCUAAGGCAAUGGCACCCGUGUUGUCACAGAACAAGGUUAUUGGAUUCAGUGCGCUUGGCACCACAUCCAGACACCCUCCUUAGCCGCCUCCGCGGCAGCCAUGUAUUCCACUUCACAUGUAGAAUCAGCUACGACGCUUUGCUUGGAACUGCACCAACUUACUGCACCCCCAUUAAGAAUAAAUACGUAUCCGGUCUGCGACUUAGAGUCGUCCGGAUCUGUGUUAAAGCUUGCAUCGACGUAACCCUUUACGGCGAGCUCUUCGUCACCUCCAUACACGAGAAACAUCUCCUUAGUCCUUUUCAGGUACUUCAGGAUAUUCUUGACCGCCAUCCAGUGAUCCACUCCUGGAUUACUCUGGAACCUGCCUGCCAUACUUAUGGCCAGGCUAACGUCCGGUCUAGUGCACAACAUUGCAUACAUGAUAGAUCCUAUGGAUGAAGCAUAGGGGACGGUGCUCAUAUGCUCUCUAUCUUUAUCAGUUGCUGGGCACUGAGUCUUACUCAAUCUCGUACCUUGUAAAACUGGCAAGAACCCGUUCUUGGACUGUUCCAUUUUGAACCUUUUCAAAACUUUAUCAAGGUAUGUGCUUUGUGAAAGUCCUAUCAGGCGNNNNNNNNNNNNNNNNNNNNNNNNNNNNNNNNNNNNNNNNNNNNNNNNNNNNNNNNNNNNNNNNNNNNNNNNNNNNNNNNNNNNNNNNNNNNNNNNNNNNGCAUCAAGUGUUGAUGGUGAAUAAGACCACUAGUUUCAAGAGAAACGACAAAGGCAAGAAGGGCAAUUCAAAGAAGAGCGGCAAGCCUGUUGCCAAUCCGAUGAAGAAACCAAAAGCUGGACCUAAGCCUGAAACAGAGUGCUACUAUUGCAAGGGUAUGGGUCACUGGAAGCGCAACUGCCCCAAGUAUCUGGCUGAUAAGAAGGCGGCCAAAGAAAAAUCAGGUAUAUUUGAUAUACAUGUUAUUGAUGUGUACUUAACCAGCUCUCGUAGUAGUGCCUGGGUAUUCGAUACCGGUUCUGUUGCUCAUAUUUGCAACUCGAAACAAGAACUGCGGAAUAGGAGAAGGUUGGCGAAAGAUGAAGUGACAAUGCGCGUCGCGGAAUAGGCGAAGGCUGGCGAAAGAUGAAGUGACGAUGCGCAUAGGAAAUGGUUCCAAGGUUGAUGCAAUCACCGUCGGCACAGUUUCACUUCAGUUACCAUCGAGAUUAGUUAUGAACUUGAAUAAUUGUUAUUUAGUGCCUGCAUUGAGCAUGACCAUUAUAUCUGGAUCUUGUUUAUUGCGAGACGGUUACUCUUUUAAGUCAGAGAAUAAUGGUUGUUCUAUUUCUAUGAGUAACAUCUUUUAUGGUCAUGCACCCAAUGUGAGAGGAUUGUUCAUAUUGAAUCUUGAUAGCGAUACGCAUAUACAUAACAUUGAGACCAAAAGAGUUAGAGUUAACAAUGAUAGCGCCAUGUUUUUGUGGCACUGCCGCUUAGGUCAUAUUGGUGUAAAGCGCAUGAAGAAACUCCAUACCGAUGGACUUUUGGAGUCACUUGACUUUGAUUCACUUGACACGUGCGAACCAUGCCUCAUGGGAAAGAUGACUAAAACUCCGUUCUCCGGAACAAUGGAGCGUGCCAGUGACUUAUUGGAAAUCAUACAUACCGAUGUGUGCGGUCCGAUGAGCGUGGAGGCACGCGGCGGAUAUCGUUAUUUUCUCACCUUCACUGACGAUUUAAGUCGAUAUGGUUAUGUCUACUUGAUGAAGCACAAGUCUGAAACAUUUGAAAGUUCAAGCAAUUUCAGAGUGAAGUGGAAAAUCAUCAUAACAAGAAGAUCAAGUUCCUGCGGUCUGAUCAUGGGGGUGAAUAUCUGUCGUAACAAGAAGAUCAAGUUCCUACGGUCUGAUCGUGGAGGUGAAUAUCUGAGUUUCGAGUUUGGUGCUCACUUAAGACAAUGUGGAAUUGUUUCACAGUUGACACCGCCUGGAACACCACAGCGGAAUGGUGUAUCCGAACGUCGUAAUCGUACAUUAUUAGAGAUGGUGCGAUCUAUGAUGUCUCUUACCGAUUUGCCGUUAUCAUUUUGCGGUUAUGCAUUAGACACAACUACAUUCACUUUAAAUAGGGCACCAUCAAAAUCCGUUGAAACGACACCAUACGAACUGUGGUAUGGCAAAAGGCCAAAGUUGUCGUUUCUUAAAGUUUGGGGAUGUGAUGCUUAUGUCAAAAAGCUUCAGCCUAAAAAGCUGGAACCCAAAGCGGAAAAGUGCAUCUUCAUAGGUUACCCAAAAGAGACAGUUGGGUACACCUUCUAUCUCAAAUCCGAGGGCAAAGUGUUUGUUGCUAAAAACGGAGCUUUUCUCGAGAAGGAGUUUCUCUCGAGAGAAUUGAGUGGGAGGAAGAUAGAACUUGACGAGGUUGUCGAACCUCUCAUCCCUCUGGAUGGUGGCGCAGGGCAAGGGGAAACCUCUGUCAUUGCGACGCCGGUUGAGGAGGAAGUUAAUGAUGAUGAUCAUGAAACUCUGGUUCAAGUUCCUAUCGAACCACGCAGGUCGACGAGACCACGUGCUGCUCGAGAGUGGUACGGUAAUCCCGUUUUGUCAAUCAUGUUGUUAGACAACAAUGAACCUGCAAACUAUGAAGAAGCAAUGGUGGGCCCAGAUUCCAACAAAUGGCUGGAGGCCAUGAAGUCCGAGAUAGGAUCCAUGUAUGAAAACAAAGUGUGGACUUUGGAAGUACUACCUGAGUGCCGCAAGGCUAUUCAGAACAAAUGGAUCUUUAAGAAGAAGACGGAUGAUGACGGCAAUGUGACCGUUUAUAAAGCUCGACUUGUGGCAAAAGGUUUUUUACAAGUUCAAGGAGUUGACUACGAUGCGACAUUCUCACCCGUAGCGAUGCUUAAGUUCGUCAGAAUCAUGUUAGCAAUAGCUGCAUUUUUCAAUUAUGAAAUCUGACAGAUGGAUGUCAAAACGGUGUUCCUUAACGGUUUCCUUAAGGAAGAGUUGUAUAUGAUGCAACCCGAAGGUUUUGUCGAUCCUAAGAAUGCUAACAAGGUGUGCAAGCUCCAGCGAUCCAUUUAUGGACGGGUGCAAGCAUCUCGGAGUUGGAACAAACGCUUUGAUGAGGUGAUCAAAGCAUUUGGGUUUAUACAAGUGGUUGGAGAAUCUUGUAUUUACAAGAAAGUGAGUGGGAGCUCUGCGGCGUUUCUAAUAUUAUAUGUAGAUGACAUAUUGCUGAUUGGAAACAAUGUAGAGUUUUUGGAGAGCAUAAAGGAUUACUUGAAUAAAAGUUUCUCUAUGAAGGACCUAGGAGAAGCUGCUUACAUUCUAGGCAUUAAGAUCUACAGGGAUAGAUCGAAACGCCUGAUAGGACUUUCACAAAGCACAUACCUUGAUAAAGUUUUGAAAAGGUUCAAAAUGGAACAGUCCAAGAACGGGUUCUUGCCAGUUUUACAAGGUACGAGAUUGAGUAAGACUCAGUGCCCAGCAACUGAUAAAGAUAGAGAGCAUAUGAGCACCGUCCCCUAUGCUUCAUCCAUAGGAUCUAUCAUGUAUGCAAUGUUGUGCACUAGACCGGACGUUAGCCUGGCCAUAAGUAUGGCAGGCAGGUUCCAGAGUAAUCCAGGAGUGGAUCACUGGAUGGCGGUCAAGAAUAUCCUGAAGUACCUGAAAAGGACUAAGGAGAUGUUUCUCGUGUAUGGAGGUGACGAAGAGCUCGCCGUAAAGGGUUACGUCGAUGCAAGCUUUAACACAGAUCCGGACGACUCUAAGUCGCAGACCGGAUACGUAUUUAUUCUUAAUGGGGGUGCAGUAAGUUGGUGCAGUUCCAAGCAAAGCGUCGUAGCUGAUUCUACAUGUGAAGUGGAAUACAUGGCUGCCGCGGAGGCGGCUAAGGAGGGUGUCUGGAUGUGGUGCCAAGCGCACUGAAUCCAAUAACCUUGUUCUGUGACAACACGGGUGCCAUUGCCUUAGCAAAGGAACCACGGUUUCACAAGAAGACCAGACACAUCAAAUGACGCUUCAACCUCAUCUGCGACUACGUCGAAGGGGAGGACGUAAAUAUAUGCAAAGUGCACACAGAUCUGAAUGUAGCAGACCCGCUGACUAAACCUCUUCCACGGGCAAAGCAUGAUCAACACCAGAACUGUAUGGGUGUUAGAUUUAUUACAAUGUAAUUCGCAUGAUGAUGUGAGGGCUAGAUUAUUGACUCUAGUGCAAGUGGGAGACUGUUGGAAUUAUGCCCUAGAGGAAAUAAUAAAUAUAGUUAUUAUUAUAAUUCCUGUAUCAAGAUAAUCGUUUAUUAUCCAUGCUAUAAUUGUAUUGAAUGAAGACUUAGAUACAUGUGUGGAUACAUAGACAAAACACUGUCCCUAGCAAGCCUCUAGUUGGCUAGCCAUUUGAUCAAGGAUGGUCAGGGUCUUCUGACUAUGUACAAGGUGUUGUUGCUUGAUAACUGGAUCACGUCAUUAGAAGAAUCACGUGAUGGACUAGACCCAAACUGAUAGACGUAGCAUGUUGAUCGUGUCAUUUAGUUGCUACUGUUUUCUGCGUGUCAAGUAUUUGUUCCUAUGACCAUGAGAUCAUAUAACUCACUGACACCGGAGGAAUGCUUUGUGUGUAUCAAACGUCGCAACGUAACUGGGUGACUAUAAAGAUGCUCUACAGGUAUCUCCGAACGUCAUGUCUACAUAGUUCUCAAACCCGCAGGGUCUGCACACUUAAGGUUCGACGUUGUUUUAUGCGUAUUUGAGUUAUAUGGUUGGUUACCGAAUGUUGUUCGGAGUCCCGGAUGAGAUCAUGGACGUCACGAGGGUUUUCGUAAUGGUCCGGAAACGAAGAUUGAUAUAUAGGAUGACCUCAUUUGAUUACCGGAAGGUUUUCAGAGUUACCGGGAAUAGGAUAACCUCAUUUGAUUACCGGAAGGUUUUCGGAGUUACCGGGAAUGUACCAGGAAUGACGAAUGGGUUCCGGGUGUUCACCGGGGGGGCAACCCACCCCGGGGAAGCCCAUAGGCCUUGGGGGUGGUGCACCAGCCCUUGGUGGGCUGGUGGGACAGCCCAAGAGCACCCUAUGCGCCAAGGAUAGAAAAUCAAAGAGAAAGAAAAAAAGGAGGUGGGAAAGGAGAGAAGGACUCCACUUUCCAAUCCUNNNNNNNNNNNNNNNNNNNNNNNNNNNNNNNNNNNNNNNNNNNNNNNNNNNNNNNNNNNNNNNNNNNNNNNNNNNNNNNNNNNNNNNNNNNNNNNNNNNNGUCGCCAUCGUCAUCAUCAACCUUCCUUCAUCGCCAAUUCCAUGAUGCGCUUCACCGUUCGUGAGUAAUCUCAUCGUAGGCUUGCUGGACGGUGAUGAGUUGGAUGAGAUUGCUACUGCAACAAAAGACCUUCCAACAGCGCCAGUAAUACGUGCUGACGGGAGACGUCUUGAUUCUCCUCAACAACGGCACCCGGAAUCCUUCUGCUACGGCUACGCCUUAAGGGACUUCCUAGGCAAAUAUGCAAAGGAUUUCCCCCGUGUCCUUGGAGCCUUGCGUUGGUGUUCCCUCGAAGCGGAAAAGGUGAUGUAGCGCAGCGGUGGUAAGUAUUUCCCUCAUUUUGAGAACCAAGGUAUCGAUCCAGUGAAGGAGUAUCACAAGAGCCUGCACAAACACAAAAAGCUUGCUCCCAACGCUAUGAAGGGGUUGUCAAUCCCUUAUAGAUUGUCCGCCAAGUGAGAACUGAAAGCAACAAAGUAACAAAGCGAAGUAAAAGCAAAAGUGGAAACAAUAGGUGUGAAUAGACCCGGGGGCCGUUGUGUUUACUAGUGGCUUCUCUCAUGAAAGCAAGUAGACGGUGGGUGAACAAAUUACUGUCGAGCAAUUGAUAGAACCGCGCAAAGUCGUGACGUCAUCUAUGGGAAUGAUUAUAUCUACAGGCAUCACAUCCAGAACAAGUGGACCGAUACUUUCUGCAUCUACUAUUAUUACUCCACACGUCGACCGCUAUCCAGCAUGCAUCUAGUGUAUUAAGUCCAAAAGAACAGAGUAACGCCUUAAGCAAGAUGACAUGAUGUAGAUGGACAAUCUCAUAUCUACAACAAAUCCCACCUUGUUACCCUGGAUGGUAACUAGACGAUGUGUGCCUUGCUGCCCCUACUGUCACUGGAAAAUUCACCACCCGGUAAGAACCCAAAACCAAGCACUUCUCCCAUUGCAAGAAUCAUAGAUCUAGUUGGCCAAACAAAACCCAAGACUCGGAGAGACUUAUAAGGAUAUCAAAUGAUGCAUAAAAGAAAUCAACAAAGACUCAAAUAUAUAUCAUAGAUAAUCUGAUCACAAAUCCACAAUUCAUCGGAUCUCGACAAACACGUCGCCAAAGAGGAUUACAUCGGAUAGAUCUCCAUGAAGAUCAUGGAGAACUUUGUAUUGAAGAUCCAAGAGAGAGAAGAAGCCAUCUAGCUACUAACUACGGACCCAUAGGUCUGAAGUGAACUACUCACGAGUCAUUGGAGAGGCGAUGAUGUUGAUGUAGAAGCCCUCCAACUCCAAAGUCCACUCCGACAGGGCACCGGGAAGGGUCUCCAGAUGAGAUCUCGCGGAAAGGGAAGCUUGCGGCGGCGGAAAAGUAUUUUUGUGGAUCCCUUAAUUUUUUAUGUAUUUUAGGGAAUAUAUAGGCGAAGGAGUUGGGUCAGGGGGCGCUAGGGAGGCCACAAGCCUGCCAUCCGCCGCCCCUGGUGGCGGAUAGGGGGAUUGUGGGCUCCGUGUAGCCCUCCUGUCUUGGCCCACAAGCCCCCUGAUCUUCUUCCGUUCGGGAAAAUUUAAUUCGGGGAUUUUAUUCCGUUUGGACUCCAUUCCAAAAUCAGAUCUGAAAAGAGCCAAAAACACAGAAAAAACAGGAACUGGCACUUGGCACUGAAUUAAUAAGUUAGUCCCAAAAAAGAUAUAAAAGGUACAUAAAACAUCCAAAGAUGACAAGAUAACAGCAUGAAACCAUCAAAAAUUAUAGAUACGUUUGAGACGUAUCAGUCCUCGGUAGCGCUUUUCCUCCUAUAAGACUUUGUUCAGGCUUGUCCCUUGCCACAAAAGGGAUUGGGCCACUUGCUGCACCAUUGCUACUACUUGUUACUUGUUACUUUUUGCUUGAUACGUUUCACCUCACUACACCAUCACUUGUUGCCGCUACUUUCAGUGCUUGCAGUUAUUACCUUGCUGAAAACUAUUUAUCACAACCUUCUGCUCCUCGUUGGGUUCAACACUCUUACUUAUCGAAAGGACUAUGAUUGAUCCCCUAUACUUGUGGCUCAUCAAGACUCUUUUCUGGCGCCAUUGCCGGGGAGUGAAGUGCCUUUGGUAAGUGGAAAUUGGUAAGGAAACAUUUAUAUAGUGUGCUGAUUUUUUUGUCUCUUGUCACUAUGGAAACCUUUUCUUUGAGGAGUUUGUUCGGGGUAUAUUCACCACGAACGGAAGCACGAGGAGUUGUUCCUCAACCUGAGGUACCUAGUGAAAAUAUCUUUUAUGAAAUUCCUUCGGGUAUGCUUGAGAAAUUGCUGGCUAAUCCUUUCACAGGAGAUGGAUCUUCAUAUCCAGACUUGCAUCUGAUCUAUGUAGAUGAAGUUUGUGGUUUAUUUAAGCUUGCAGGUUUGCCCGAGGGUGAGGUAAAGAAGAAAGUCUUUCCUUUAUCUUUGAAGGAUAAGGCGUUGACAUGGUAUAGGCUAUGUGAUGAUACUGGAUCAUGGGACUACAAUCGGUUGAAAUUGGAAUUUCAUCAAAAGUUCUAUCCUAUGCAUUUAGUACAUCUUGAUUGGAACUUUAUUUAUAACUUUUGUCCUCAUGACAGGGAAAGCAUAGCUCAAGCUUGGGGGAGGCUUAAAUGAAUGCUAUAUUCAUGCCCCAAUCAUGAGCUCUCGAGAGAUAUUAUCACUCAAAACUUUUAUGCUCGGCUUUCUCAUGAAGAUCGUACCAUGCUUGACACUUCUUGUACCGGUUCUUUUAUGAAGAAGUAUAUUGACCACAAGUGGAAUUUAUUGGAAAGAAUCAAACGUAACUCUAAAGAUUGGGAGCUGGAGGACGGUAAGGAGUCAGGUAUGAAUUUCCAGUUUGAUUGCGUUAAAUCUUUUGUUGAGACAAACACUUCUAGAGAUUUUAGCGCUAAGUAUGGACUUGACUCUGAGAUAGUAGCUUCUCUACGUGAAUCUUUUGCUGCUCAUGUUGAUCUUCCCAAAGAGAAGUGUUUUAAGUAUCAUCCUCCUGUAGAAAGCAACAUAGUCAAAACCAAUCUAGUUGAGGAGAAAGUCAUUGCUUUUAGUGAUCCUGUUGUUCCUUGUGCCUACACUGAGAAACCACCAUACCCUGCUAGGAUAAAGGAUUAUUCUAAAGCUCCAACUAUGAUACGUAGGGGUCACAUUAGACCACUUGCACCCCCUGAGGAGAUUAGAGUUGAACCUAGUGUUGCUAUUAUCGAAGAUCUCUUAGCCGAAGACGUGGACGGGCAUGUUAUCAAGUUCUGUGAGGACUCUGCUAGAAUUGCUAAACCUCACGCGAAAGACAAAUACGGACCUGUAGUUGGCCUGCCCAUUGUUUCUGUCAAGAUAGGAGAUCACUGUUACCAUGGUUUAUGUGAUAUGGGAGCUAGUGUUAGUACAAUACCCCGUUCCUUAUAUGAUGAAAUCAAAGAUGAGAUUGCACCCGCUGAGCUAGAACCCAUUGAUGUCACUAUUACACUAGCUAAUAGAGACACUAUCUGCCCUUUGGGAAUUGUGAGAGACGUAGAAGUCCUGUGUGGUAAGACAAAGUAUCCUACUGAUUUCCUAGUCCUUGGUACUGCACAAGAUAGCUUUUGUCCCAUCAUAUUUGGUAGACCCUUUCUUAACACUGUCAAUGCUCACAUUGUUUGCAUUAAGCAGACUGUCACAUUUACUUUCGAGGGUGAGACUCAUGAAUUUAACUUCUCCAAGUUUGGAAGACAACCCCAUGAAAAAGAGUCGUCUGGUAGGGAUGAAAUCAUUGCUCUUGCCUCUAUUGCCGUACCUCCUACGGAUCCUUUAGAGCAAUAUCUUCUUGAGCAUGAAAAUGAUAUGCAUAUGGAGGAGAGAGAUGAGAUAGAUAAAAUUGUCUCAGAACAAUAUCCUAUUCUCAAGAAUAAUCUGCGUGUUGAACUGCUUGGGAAUCCUCCCCCACCAAAGGGUGAUCCUGUGUUCGAGCUUAAAUAGUUGCCUGAUACUCUUAAGUAUGCCUAUCUUGAUGAGAAGGAGAUAUAUCCUGUUAUUAUUAGUGCUCUCCUCUCAGAGCACGAAGAGAAGAAGUUACUAAAAACUCCGAGGAAGCACCGUGCUGCUAUUGGAUAUACUCUUGAUGAUCUUAAGGGUAUUAGUCCCACUCUAUGUCAGCACAAGAUUAAAACCGACCCCGAUUCUAAACCAGUUGCUGAUCAUCAAAGGAGAUUGAAUCCUAAGAUGAAAGAGGUCGUUAGAAAAGAAAUAUUAAAGCUUCUGGAAGCAGGAAUCAUUUAUCCUGUUGCUCAUAGUGAUUGGGUAAGUCCAGUACAUUGCGUACCCAAGAAGGGAGGUAUCACCGUCGUUCCUAAUGAUAAGGAUGAACUAAUCCCACAAAGGAUUAUUACUGGCUAUAGGAUGGUGAUAGACUUCCGGAAACUAAACAAGGAAACCAGGAAAGAUCAUUAUCCUUUGCCGUUUAUCGACCAAAUGCUAGAAAGGCUAUCCAAGCACACACACUUCUGCUUUCUAGACGGUUAUUCAGGUUUCUCGCAAAUACCCGUUGCACAAUCCGAUUAGGAGAAAACCACUUUCACCUGCCCUUCGGUACCUUUGCUUAUAGACAUAUGCCUUUUGGCUUAUGCAAUGCACCUGCCACCUUUCAAAGAUGUAUGAUGGCUAUAUUCUCUGACUUUUGUGAAAAGAUUGUCGAGGUUUUCAUGGAUGACUUCUUUGUUUACGGGUCUUCCUUUGAUGAUUGCCUCAACAACCUUGAUCGAGUCUUACAGAGAUGCAAAGAUACCAACCUCGUCUUGAAUUGGGAGAAGUGCCACUUUAUGGUUAAUGAAGGUAUCGUCUUAGGACACAAAAUUUCUGAAAGUGGCAUUGAAGUUGGUAAGGCUAAGGUUGAUGCAAUUGAUAAAAUGCCUUGCCCCACAGCUAUCAGAGGUAUACGAAGUUUCCUAGGUCAUGCUGGUUUCUAUAGAAGGUUCAUUAAAGACUUCUCUAAGAUUUCUAGGCCUCUUACCAACCUCUUGCAGAAGGAUGUUCCUUUUGUUUUUGAUGAGGAUUGUGAGGAAGCUUUCGAAAUACUUAAGAAGGCUUUGAUAACCGCACCUAUUGUUCAACCACCUGACUGGAACUUGCCCUUUGAAAUCAUGUGUGACGCUAGUGAUUAUGCUGUUGGUGUUGUUCUAGGACAAAGAGUUGACAAGAAGUUGAAUGUUAUUCACUACGCUAGUAAAACUCUAGACAGUGCCCAAAGAAACUAUGCCACUACAGAAAAGGAGUUUUUAGCAUUUGUGUUUGCAUGCGAAAAGUUCAGAUCUUAUAUAGUUCAUUCCAAAGUCACUAUUCACUAUGAUCAUGCUGCUAUUAAGUACCUUAUGGAGAAGAAGGACUCUAAGCCUAGGCUGAUCAGAUGGGUUCUCUUGGUACAGGAAUUUGAUUUGCACGUCGUUGAUCAAAAGGGUGCUGAUAACCCUGUAGCAGAUAACUUGUCUAGGCUAGAGAAUGUCCUUGAUGACCCACGACCUAUUGAUGACAGCUUUCCUGAUGAGCAACUAAGUGUCAUCCGCACUUCACAUAGUGCACCGUGGUAUGCCGAUUACGCAAACUAUAUCGUAGCCAAAUACAUACCACACAGUUUCACCUAUCAGCAAAAUAAGAAAUUCUUCUUUGAUUUGAGACACUACUUUUGGGAUGAUCCUCACCUUUAUAAGGAAGGAGUAGAUGGUGUUAUUAGACGUUGUGUGCCUGAAAAUGAACAGGGAUAGAUCUUGCAGAAGUGUCAUUCCGAAGCCUACGGAGGACACCACACUAGAGAUAGAACUGCCCAUAAGGUAUUGCAAUCAUCUUUCUAUUGGCCCACUCUCUUCAAGGAUGCCCGUAAGUUUGUCUUGUCUUGUGACGAAUGCCAAAGAAUAGGGAACAUCAGUAAGCGUCAGGAAAUGCCUAUGAACUGUUCACUUGUCAUUGAACCAUUUGAUGUCUGGGGCUUUGAUUAUAUGGGACCCUUCCCGAGUUCCAAUGGGUACACUCACAUCUUAGUUGCUGUGGAUUAUGUCACCAAGUGGGUAGAGGCUAUCCCCACUAAAAAUGUUGAUCACCACACCUCUAUUAAGAUGCUUAAAGAAGUCAUUUUCCCAAGAUUUGGAGUCCCUAGAUAUUUGAUGACUGAUGGCGGUCCACACUUCAUUCAUGGUGUUUUCCGCAAGAUGCUCGCUAAGUAUGAUGUCAACCAUAGAGUUGCAUCUCCUUAUCAUCCUCAGUCUAGUGGUCAAGUGGAGUUGAGUAAUAGGGAGAUCAAAUUGAUCCUACAAAAGACUGUCAAUAGAUCUCGAAAGAAUUGGUCUAGCAAACUUGACGAUGCACUAUGGGCUUAUAGGACUGCCUAUAAGAAUCCCAUGGGCAUGUCGCCAUAUAAAAUGGUUUACGGUAAGGCCUGUCAUUUACCUCUUGAGCUGGAACACAAAGCUUAUUGGGCAAUCAAAGAGCUCAACUUCGAUUUCAAACUUGCCGGUGAGAAGCGGUUGUUUGAUAUCAGCUCAUUAGAUGAAUGGAGGGCCCAGGCAUAUGCGAAUGCCAAGUUGUUCAAGGAAAAGGUUAAGAGAUGGCACGACAAACGAAUACAGAAACGAGAGUUCAAUGUAGGUGAUUAUGUCCUGCUAUACAAUUCUCGUUUGAGAUUCUUCGCACGCAAGGUUCUCUUUAAAUGGGAAGGUCCUUACGUUAUUGAGGAAGUAUAUCGUUCCGGUGCCAUCAAAAUCAAUAACACGGAAGGAAAUUUUCCUAGAGUGGUAAAUGGGCAAAGAAUCAAGCAUUACGUCUCUGGUACUCCCAUAAAUGUUGAGACCAAUAUCAUCAAUGUCAUAACUCCUGAGGAGUACAUAAGGGAUGUUUAUCAGCCUGUUUCAGACCCUGAAAACGAAGAGGUAUCUGUUUCGGUAAGAAAUUGGACUCCGAUGCUUUUCCAAUAGGAAAUUUCCUCCGAUUUGGAAUUUUUGGAAAAUUAGAAAAAUAAAAAGCAGUCCGGAGAGCACACGAGGCGGCCACAAGCUUGGAAGCCGCCACCUACCCCCCUGGUGGCGGAUGGAGGGCUUGUGGGCAGCUCGUGUGCCUCCCGGACUCCGUUUUCUUGCGGAGCACUCCUUCUGGUCCAGAAAAAAUCAAUAUAUAUUCGCUUGAAAGUUUUGAUCUCCGUAUCGCGCAGUUUUCCUCUGUUUUCGUUUCGAGCUUGUUGUCUGUCGCAGAUUUAGGUCAAGAUGUCUUCUCAAGAUUCAUAAGAAGAGAUCUGUGUGGCCGAUGAUCGUGCUAACUCUAGGAUUAAUGGGGACCUGGAACCAUAUGGUUGGACCACUGACGAGGAAGAGAACUAUGAGCCCAAGGGGAAGGAACAAAUGAGUUUCGAUGAAGAGGAGGCUCCUCUACCUCAACCUGGACACACUCAUGUGGAGUUCAAGAAGUCAAGCCUCCCUGACCAAAGGAAGAAGCCUAAGACCUUGUUUAUCCCUUCUUGUUUCUUGCAGGAGAGUAAGCAGGAAUUUUGCCAUAGAGUGUUGAAACUUGAGGAGGAAAAUGACGACCUGAGGGAGCAGAACUUUUUGCUCAAGUGGAAAUUAGACAAGCUCAAGACUGCUUCAACAACUCCACCACCGUCACCACCAAAGGAAGACAACUUAGCAUUGGUAUGGGCAAUCCCCUUGGCUUCUGCCAAGCUUGGGGGAGUUUCCCUGGUAUCGUAUCACCUUUAUAUCUUUUGCUUUUACCUUUGUUUUAGUUCUUUCCUUUUCAGUUUUUUUUAUUUCUUCUUUUAGUGGAAUAAGUCUUUAGUGUUUAGUUUGAGUCUUUUGCUUUUUUCUCUCCCCCGAUGUAUUCGAGCUUGCGAGCUAUAUAAUAAAGAGUAUCUUAGUCAAGGGCUUUGCUUUGUGCCAUGAUCAAAAGUAUGAAAAGAACGAUAGCAUGAAAGAUCAUGAGAUGAUCUUAUGGGAAGUGAUAACUUCACAUAUGACACGUAUGAUGAUUGAAACUUUUUGAGAAUAAAUCAACAUAGACCUGAGUCAUUGUUGCAGUUAAUAAGAAGUAAUAAGGAAAGAGAGGUUCACAUAUAAAUAUAUCAUCUUAGACACUUUUUACAAUUGUGAGCACUCACCAAACUAUUACAUGCUUAGGAGUAGAUGUUGGACAAGGAAGACAACAUAAUGAAUUGUGUUUGCUUGAUUCCAAACAAUGUUAUAUGAUUAGAGAUCCCUUAGCAUGUGACGAUUGCUUCGACCUCAUAUUAGCCAAAACUCCCGCACCAAGUAGAGAUACUACUUGUGCAUCCAUAAACCUUCAACCCAGUUUUGCCAUGAGAGUCCACCAUACCUACCUAUGGAUUGAAUAAUAUCCUUCAAGUAAGUUGUCAUCGCUGCUAGCAAUAAAAAUUGCUCUCUAAUAUGUAUGAUCUAUUAGUGUGUGGAAAAUAAGAUUUGUACGAACCUGUGAUGAGGAAGACAUAAAAGCGACAGACUGCAUAAUAAAGUUCUUUAUCACAGGAGGCAAUAUAAAGUGACGUUCCUCCGCACUAAGAGGACACGCAUUCAAACCUCAAAAGCGCAUGACAACCUCUGCUUCCCUCUGCGAAGGGCCUAUCUUGUACCUUUACUUUUUGCCCUUGUAAGAGUCAUGGUGAUCUUCACCAAUUCCCUAUUUUUCCUUUGUCUUGGCUACCGUCACAUGCUUGGGAAAGAUCUAUAUUCAUAUAUCAACUUGGAGUUGAGUACUUAUGCUUUAUUAUUGUUGACUUUACAAUUGAGGUAAACAGUUGGGAGGCAAAACUAUAAGCCCCUAUCUUCCUUUGUGUCCAGCUGAAACUUUGACACCAUUAGUGCCACGUGAGUUGUAAUAAUUGUGGAAAACAAAAGAGAUGAUUGAGUAUGUGGGUUUGCCUUACAAGCUCUUAUUUGACUCUUUCUGAUGUUGUGAUAAAUUGCAAUUGCUUCAAUGACUUUGGACUGUUAUUGGUUACUUCUCGGUAAGGUUUUUGCUUCAUGCUUUGCUUUGUGAAGGAAUUGUUACUUUCCCAAAAGAAUCUUUAUGAUGUAUUGCUGUUCUAUGUGUGAUCAUUAUGCCCUCUUGUCCGUAUUAUGUUUUAUCGACACCUUCGUCCCUCAACAUGUGGACAUGUUUAUGGAACUUGGUUUUCGCUUGAGGACAAGCGAGGUCUAAGCUUGGGGGAGUUGAUACGUCCAUUUUGCAUCAUGCUUUCAUGUUGAUAUUUAUUGCUUUAUCGGCUGUUAUAUUACUUUGUGGUACCAUAUUUAUGCCUUUUCUCUCUUAUUUUGCAAGGUUUAUUUGAAGAGGGAGAAUUCAGGCAGCUGGAAUUCUGGACUAGAAAAGGAGCAAAUCUUAGUCCACUAUUCUGCACAUCUCCAAAUGCCCUAAAAAUUUACGUGGAUUUUUUUGGGAUUAUAUAAAAAAUACUGGGCUAAAGAAGUACCAGAGGGGACCUACCAGCACUACUGGAAUCAGAGAAUUUUCCAUCUGCUACUUCUUUGCCGUCUGGUGGCUGAUGGCAAAGACACUCUUUGCCGUCAGCUAUGCAAAACCUGACGACAAAGAGCAGGCUGAUUGCAAACAUCAUAUUUGCCAUCAGCUGUUUCUUUGCCGUCUGCCAGCUGACGGCAAAGCACAUGCAGGCACACGGCAAAGAACCCACCCCACACCACCCUCUAACCCAUAACGGUCCACCUCUUUGCCGUCAGCCUGUUACCACUUUGCCAUCGGGGGCAGACGACAAAGAGGAAACUAGACCUAAUGUCGUCAACCCCCACCCCACCCCCCUNNNNNNNNNNNNNNNNNNNNNNNNNNNNNNNNNNNNNNNNNNNNNNNNNNNNNNNNNNNNNNNNNNNNNNNNNNNNNUCACCGCCCCCUCCUCUCCGUUCCCCUGCUCCACCACCGCCCCCUCUUCCCUGCGACCCCCUGCUCCACCACCGCACCCUCCUCUCCGUGCCCCUGGUCCACCUUGCCGCCGACAUUUCCCCCGAGCUCCACCUCGUCGCUGACGUCUCCCCUAGCCCCUUGUAAGUCCUCCGGCCCUCCUUUCCUCUCUUUGCCUCUUUGCUAAGGGUAAUUUAGUUAAGUUAAGUUACUUAGGUUAAUUUAGUUAGGUUAUUGUUAUUAGGUGCUUGUUGCUCUUAGGUUCGUACUUUAAGUUGUUUAGGUUAAUUUAGUUAAGUUACUUAGGUUAAUUUACUUAAGUUAAUUUUUAUUAGGUUUUUAGGUUAAGUUACUUAGGUUAAUUUUAUUAGGUUGCAAAUUUUUCUUCAAGUUUCAUAUAGGCUAUUUAAAGAAAAAAACAGAAUUGAUUAACACUAGUUCCAAAUAUUGCGAAGAAAAAAGACUCUUGCAUUUUGCUUCAAGUUCUAUAUUGUUCUUCCUAUUAUAUGAAAAUUUGAAGUGGACAUGUCAUAUGUGGACAUGUGAUUUGGACACGUGAUAUUUGGAAUUGGGACAUGUCAUGCCGAAAUUUCCCGUGAAAGGAGAAGAAGAGGAGAGGAGGAGGAGAAAAGGAGAGGAGGAGGAGGAGGAGAAGAGGAGAGGAGGAGGAGGAGGAGGAGGAGAAGAAGAAGAAGAAGAAAAAUACCUUCUCCUUCUUCUCCUCCUUCUUCUCCUCCUCCUCCUCCUCCUUCUUCUUGAUUUCUUCUUCUUCUUCUCCUGCUCCUCUUUCUUCUCCUCUUUCUUCUCUUCUUUAUUAUUCUCCUUACCUUAUUUUCCCCAAAAAUGAGAUAAUUAUCCCAUUUAGCUAUAAAAUGACAUAAUUAGAAUAUUUGUGUUGAUCGGGUGGAUUUACAUGCGAUAGUUGUCUCGUCGGUGUGAGGUCUGCUGUGCGAAGACCUGCCCGUGCGUUGUACGAGCUCCGCCCCUGCAUUCGUGGGUCAGUACAAAUUUCAUCUCCUCCCCACCCCUUUAUUUACCGUGGCUCGGUUUCUAGAUGAAACUUUCUAGAUUUAGGUAAUUAAAUUAAUUUAUCAGUAUGCGUGACCAGUAUGCGUCUCCCGUUCGAAAGGGCGACAUCUAUAAAUAUGCAUGUCUUUGCAUAUUUAUAACCACCAUCCUUUCGAAUUGUCCAACAUUAUCCAUGGACAGCCUGAGUAUGUGUAGAUUGGGUUCGUUUUCCCGUAUGGUGUGCUCUGGAUCCGAUGCGGAAUUUUGUCAGUGCCUCCCUGUUGUUCUCCGGAUGCACAUUCUCUCUGUUUAUUGCGGAGACGUGUAUCAGGAGAACAGCGGGGAGGUGCUGCCAAAAUUUUGCGUUGGAUCCGGAGCAGAAGAUGGGUUGAUGAGUGGUGCACAAGUAGCUGGCGAGCUGUCCACGAGAAUGUGAAGGAUCGACGUAGCCAAAUGGUUGGUGUGCCACACCAUGAAGGCAGCGCCAACUUACUUAAGUUCGGACGAAACUGGGUAUGUGAUUUGCUUCAUGAUUCAUGCAAUUCAUUCUUGAUGCUAAUAUUUUGUUCCUCUCUUUUAGGAGCAUCACAAUAAGACGGAGAUGCCACACUUGUACGACCUUUAUGGCAUGGCCCAUACUUCCUCGUACAAGAAGGCGAAGGCAUUCUCUGAGUCUGACAUGGAUGAUCCCAAUAACUUCACCAACAUAUCAUCCCACCAGAAGCUCGUGGCAUACAGGGACGCGGGGAAGGCUAUGAAAGGGGAUGACUUUAACCCUAGCGAGGAACCUUUGGAUCCAGAGCUGGUGAUGAUAUCUGGUGGCGGGAGGCCCCAUGGCUCGAUAGACAUUGGAGAUGGGAUAAUACGUUGUCCACUCACUCUCCCGGAGAUCAAGGCGCGACAGUCGAGUAGCUGUCCUGAGAUAAUGCGUCGUCCACGGCGAGUCGAUCUUGCCAUCGAGGUUAGUUGUACGGACUAAGAACACUUUCAUCCAUUUCAUUAUGUGUGUCACCAUAGAUGAUUACUGUGGUAACAAGGAAUGGUGUUUCAGGCUGCUCUUCAGAAAGAGAUAUUAGCAAACCAGGCUGUUCUUGAGAAAAGAGAUUGGCAAGCCAGGCUGCUCUGGAGGCUUCUCUUGAGAAAGAGAGAUUGGCAAGUCAGGAUGCUCUUUGUUGAGAGGGACCAGACCACGACACGAUUGAUUGAGGAGGAGAGGUCCCGGAAUGAGGUGGGUCAACGAGCCAUGUACGAGAUUUUUUUGGUAUGUUUUUUUUUCACAUUAGCAAAAUCAUGUGCGUAAUGUCCGUUUCAUUACUAACUAAUACGACCCACUCUUCAUGGUCUGUGCGAGAAGAGCGGNNNNNNNNNNNNNNNNNNNNNNNNNNNNNNNNNNGAGAAGGGCGGUCAAGUCCCUCCGCCGAUGCCCGUCUUCUCUUCGAUUGGCACGGUGAGUUUCAUUAUAAACUAGUAUUAAUAAUUGAGUGUCAUCAUGCUAACUGAGACACUGCAAAAUAUCUAUUCUGCAGAAUAACUCCCGAGCGGCAUCGCACGACCCUUCUCUAGGUGUUUCUCCUCCUUGAUGACCACUACAGUAAGUUUCUCUUCUCCUCUUUCAUAUUCUCCUUGCCUUAAUUUCCCCAACAAUGACAUAGUUAGCCCAUUUAGCUCCAAAAAGACAUAAUUAGCCCAUUUAGCUCCAAAAUGCCAUAAUAAGCUCAAAAUGGCAUAAGAACCUUGGUUAGCUCAUUAAUAUUAUAUACUUAGCUUGUUUUCCUCUAAAAUGAGAUAAUUAGCCCAUUUAGCUCCAAAAUGCCAUAAUAAGCUCAAAAUGGCAUAAGAACCUUGGUUAGCUCAUUAAUAUUAUAUACUUAGCUUGUUUUCCUCUAAAAUGAGAUAAUUAGCCCAUUUAGCUCCAAAAAGACAUAGUUAGCUAAUUUAGCUCCAAGAAGAGGAGAAGCGGAGAAGAAAUAGGAAAAAUGAAAAUAAAGAAGAAGAAGAAGAAGAGAAGAAGGAGAAGGAGGAGGAGGAGCAAGAGAAGGAGGAGAAGGCCAAGGACCUUCUAGUCCUUCUCCUCCUCCUCCUCCUUCUCCUCCUUCUUCUUUAUUUCUUCUUCUUCUCCUCCUCGUCCUCUUUCUUCUCCUAUUUCAUAUUCUCCUUGCCUUAAUUUCCCCAACAAGGACAUAAUUAGCCCAUUUAGAUCCAAAAUGCCAUAAUAACCUCAAAAUGGCAUAAGAACCUUGGUUAGCUCAUUAAUAUUAUAUACUUAGCUUGUUUUCCUCUAAAAUUGGAUAAUUAGCCCAUUUAGCUCCGAAAAGACAUAAUUAGGUAAUUUAGAUCCAACAAGAGGAGAAGAUGAGAAGAAAUAGGAAAAAUGAAAAGAAAGAAGAAGAAGAAGAAGAAGAGAAGAAGGAGAAGGAGGAGGAGGAGGAGAAGGAGGAGAAGGCCAAGGACCUUCUAGUCCUUCUCCUCCUCCUCCUUUUCCUCCUUCUCCUCCUUCUUCUUGAUUUCUUCUUCUUCUCCUCCUACUACUCUUUCUUAUCCUCUUUCAUAUUAUCCUUGCUUUAAUUUCCCCAACAAUGACAUAAUUAGCCCAUUUAGCUCCAAAAUGCCAUAAUAAGCUCAAAAUGGCAUAAGAACCUUGGUUAGCUCAUGAAUAUUAUAUUCUUAGCUUGUUUUCCUCUAAAAUGGUAUAAUUAGCCCAUAUAGCUCCAAAAAGACAUAAUUAGGUAAUUUAGCUCCAACAAGAGGAGAAGAGGAGAAGAAAUAGGAAAAAUGAAAAGAAAGAAGAAGAAGAAGAAGAAGAGAAGAAGGAGAAGGAGGAGGAGGAGGAGGAGAAGGCCAAGAACCUUCUAGUCCUUUUCCUCCUCCUCCUCCUUCUCCUCCUUCUCCUCCUUCUUCUUGAUUUCUUCUUCUUCUCCUGCUCCUCUUUCUUCUCCUCUUUCAUAUUAUCCUUGCUUUAAUUUCCCCAAGAAUGACAUGAUUAUCCCAUUUAGCUCCAAAAUGCCAUGAUAACCUCAAAAUGGCAUAAGAACCUUGGUUAGCUCAUUAAUAUUAUAUACUUAGCUUGUUUUCCUCUAAAAUGGGGUAAUUAGCCCAUUUAGCUCCAAAAAGACAUAAUUAGGUAAUUUAGCUCCAACAAGAGGAGAAGAUGAGAAGAAAUAGGAAAAAUGAAAAGAAAGAAGAAGAAGAAGAGAAUAAGGAGAAGGAGGAGGAGGAGGUGGAGAAGGAGGAGAAGGCCAAGGACCUUCUAGUCCUUCUCCUCCUCCUCCUGCUCCUCCUUCUCGUCCUUCUUCUUGAUUUCUUCUUCUUCUCCUACUCCUCCUAUUUCUUCUCCUCUUUCAUAUUAUCCUUGCUUUAAUUUCCCCAACAAUGACAUAAUUAGCCCAUUUAGCUCCAAAAUGCCAUAAUAAGCUCAAAAUGGCAUAAGAACCUUGGUUAGCUCAUGAAUAUUAUAUUCUUAGCUUGUUUUCAUCUAAAAUGGUAUAAUUAGCCCAUAUAGCUCCAAAAGACAUAAUUAGGUAAUUUAGCUCAAACAAGAGGAGAAGAGGAGAAGAAAUAGGAAAAAUGAAAAGAAAGAAAGAAGAAGAAGAAGAGAAGAAGGAGAAGGAGGAGGAGGAGGAGGAGAAGGCCAAGGACCUUCUAGUCCUUCUCCUCCUCCUCCUCCUCCUCCUUCUCCUAAUUCUUCUUGAUUUCUUCUUCUUCUCCUACUCCUCCUCUUUCUUCUCCUCUUUCAUAUUAUGCUUGCUUUAAUUUCCCCAACAAUGACAUAAUUACCCAUUUAGCUCCAAAAUGACAUAAUAAGCUCAAAAUGGAAUAAGAACCUGGUUAGCUGAUGAAUAUUAUAUUCUUAGCUUGUUUUCCUCUAAAAUGGCAUAAUUAGCCCAUAUCGCUCCAAAAAGACAUAAUUAGGUAAUUUAGCUCCAACAAGAGGAGAAGAGGAGAAGAAAUAGGAAAAAUGAAAAGAAAGAAGAAGAAGAAGAAGAGAAGAAGAAGGAAGAGGAGGAAGAGGAGAAGGAAGCUCAAAAACAUCAUAUUUUGUUCUUAUUCUGACUUUCUUAUUCACAUUUUUGCAGAUUGUAUAUACUACAUGCAUGGAAGCUGGAAUUCAUGGAGUUGAACAAUGUCGAUGGAUGAACUUUAUAUGUAUAUCAUCUAGUUUUCAUUUGAGUUGAUGAACAAUGUCGAACUAUAUGUAUAUGUAUAUAUGGAUAAACAGUGCAAUACUUUGUAUGUUGGUUCUUUCGAUAUAUGGGGAUGUACAUUGAUUUAUAUGUAUAUCAUAUAUGUGUGGUGAAUUAUAUAUAUGUGUUGGCAAGUAUAUGUGUGGUGAACUAUAUAUCAUAUAUGUGUGGUGAAUUAUAUAAAUGUGCUGUCAAAUAUAUAUAUAUAUAUAAACGCCUGUCGGCUGCCGUCUCGAGCACUUUGCCGACUGCUCCUACGAAAAGCUGACGGCAAAGCUCUUUGUCGUCCGCUUUGGGGAGACAGACGGCAAAGAAGGUACGAUGCCAUCGUAGGCUGACACAGAAAUUUUGCCGGUCGUGAGAUUCUUUGCCGUCUGUGGUAUUCUCUUUGUCGUCCGGGAUUUACUCUUUGCCGUCUGUGAUGGCAGACGGCAAAGAAGCUGAUUCCUGAAGUGUAGGGCGCCACAAGCCCAGCCACCGCCACCCCCUGGUGGAGGCUGGCAAGCUUGUGGGCUCCCUGACGGCCCAUUGCCCCCCUGUUCUGCUAUAUGAAGGGUUUCGUUCCAGAAAAAAAAUCAAUUGGGAGCUUUUUCGUGGUUUCUCCGCGGCCACGAGGCGGAACUUGAGCAGAUCCAAUCUAGAGCUCCGGCAGGACGAUCCUGCCGGGGAAACUUCCCUCCCGGAGGGGGAAAUCGUCGCCAUUGCCAUCACCAACACUCCUUUCGUCGGAGGGGAGGCAGCUUCAUCAACAUCUUCAUCAGCACCAUCUCCUCUCCAAUCCCUAGUUCAUCUCCUGUAACCAAUCUCCGUCUCACGACUCCGAUUGGUACUUGUAAGGUUACUAGUAGUGUUGAUUACUCUUUGUAGUUGAUGCUAGUUGGAUUACUUGGUGGAAGAGUUUAUGUUGAGAUCCUUGAUGCUAUUCAUUACACCUCUGAGCAUGAUUAUGAUUAUGCUUUGUGAGUAGUUACUUUUGUUCCUGAGGACAUGGGAUAAGUCAUGCUGAUAAUAGUCAUGUGAAUUUGAUAUUCGUUCGGUAUUUUGAUAUGUUGUAUGUUGUUUUCCUCUAGUGGUGUUAUGUGAACGUCGACUACAUAACACUUCACCAUAUUUGGGCCUAUAGGAAGGCAUUGGGGAGUAGUAAGUAGAUGAUGGCUUGCUGGAGUGACAGAAGCUUAAACCCCAGUCUAUGCGUUGCUUCGUAAGGGGCUGAUUUGGAUCCACUAGUUUAAUGCUAUGGUUAGAUGUUGUCUUAAUUCUUCUUUCGUAGUUGCGGAUGCUUGCGAGAGGGGUUAAUCAUAAGUGGGAUGCUUGUCCAAGUAAGGGCAGUACCCAAGCGCCGGUCCACCCACAUAUCAAACUAUCAAUGUAACGAACGCGGAUCAUAUGAACAUGAUGAAACUAGCAUGACAGAAAUUCCCGUGUGUCCUCGGGAGCCCUUUUCCUCCUAUAAGACUUUGUUCAGGCUUGUCCCUUGCUACAAAAGGGAUUGGUCCACUUGCUGCACCAUUGCUACUACUUGUUACUUGUUACUUUUCGCUUGAUACGUUUCACCUCACUACACCAUCACUUGUUACCGCUACUUUCAGUGCUUGCAGUUAUUACCUUGCUGAAAACCGUUUAUCAGAGCCUUCUGCUCCUUGUUGGGUUCAACACUCUUACUUAUCGAAAGGACUACGAUUGAUCCCCUAUACUUGUGGGUCAUCAGUGCCCUUUUAUAGCCUCGUUGCAGCCGUAGUCAAUGUACACGAUUGAUCAUUUUCUCUCCUCCGCGUGGUGGCAUAAUUAAUGGGCGUGCGAAAAACAGCAGAGCAUCCAAAGAGGCACGGGCGGCACAGGCGAGAUGCUUUGUUUUUCAUCGGCGUGAGAAACUGUGUCACCGACACGUCCGUCCCGUGUUCUGAAGUUCGUGCAUGCAAUUGUUAAAAAUAGCUUAGAUGCAACGUACCGAUGUGCCCUGCCUCCCGUUCUCAUACGUCGCUGCAUGGCGGCUAAUACAUCUCAAACGUAUCUAUAAUUUUUGAUGGUUUCAUGUUGUUAUCUUGUCAACUUUGGAUGUUUUAUAUACCUUUUAUAUGUUUUUUGGGACUAACUUAUUAAUUCAGUGCCAAGUGCGAGUUCCUGUUUUGUCUGUUUUUGACUCUUUUCAGAUCUGAUUUUGGAACGGAGUCCAAACGGAAUAAAUUCCCCGAAAUAAAUUUUUCCAGAACACAAGAAGAUCGGUGGACUUGGGGGCCAAGGCAGGAGGCCCACAGGGGGCCCACAAGCCCUGUAGCCGCGGCCAGGGGGGCCGCGGCUACCUAGCUUGUGGCCCCCUGGAGCUCCCGUGCCCUAGCUCUUUGGCCUAUUUAUUCCCUAAAAUCCCAGAAAAAAUCACGGCGUCCACGAAACCACUUGUCCGCCGCCGCAAGCUUCCGUUUCCAUGAGAUCUCAUCUGGAGACCCUUCCCGGUGCCCUGCCGGAGGGGACUUUGGAGCUGGAGGGAUUCUACAUCAACAUCAUUGCCUCUCCAAUGACUCGUGAGUAGUCUACUUUAGACGAUUCUACAUCAACAUCAUUGCCUCUCCAAUGACUCGUGAGUAGUCUACUUCAGACCUACGGUUCCGUAGUUAGUAGCUAGAUGGCUUCUUCUCUCUCUUGGAUCUUCAAUACAAAGUUCUCCAUGAUCUUCAUGGAGAUCUAUCCGAUGUAAUCCUCUUUGGCGGUGUGUUUGUCGAGAUCCUAUGAAUUGUGGAUUUGUGAUCAGAUUAUCUAUGAAUUAUAUUUGAAUCUUUGCUGAUUUCUUAUAUGCAUGAUUUGAUAUCCUUGUAUUUAUCUCCGAGUCUUGGGUUUUGUUUGGCCAACUUGUUCUAUGAUUCUUGCAAUGGGAGAAGUGCUUGGUUUUGGGUUCAUACCGUGUGGUGACCUUUCCCAGUGACAGAAGGGGCAGCAAGGCACGCAUCGUGUUGUUGCCAUCAAGGGUAACAAGAUGGGCUUUUAUCAUAGAUAUUAGAUUGUCCAUCUACAUCAUGUCAUCUUGCUUGAGGCAUUACCCUGUUCUUAUGAACUUAAGACACUAGAUGCAUGCUGGAUAGCGGUCGACGUGUGGAGUAAUAGUAGUAGAUGCAGAAAGUAUCGGUCUACUAGUUUUGGACGUAAUGCCUAUAGAUAUAAUCAUUGCCUUAGAUAACGUCACGACUUUGUGCGGUUCUAUCAAUUGCUCGACAGUAAUUCGUUCACCCACCGUCUACUUGCUUUCGUGAGAGAAGCCACUAGUGAACACUACGACCCCCGGGUUUAUUCACAACUAUCGUUUCCACUUUCACUUUUAGCUUGCUCUGUUUACUCUUUGCUUUCAGUUCUCACUUUGUAAAAAAUCUAUAAGGGAUUGACAACCCCUUCAUAGCGUUGGGUGCAAGCUCUUUGUGUUUGUGCACGUACUUGUGACUUGACGCGAUCCUCCUACUGGAUUGAUACCUUGGUUCUCAAACUAAAGGAAAUACUUACCGCCGCUGUGCUACAUCACCCUUUCCUCUUCAAGGGAACACCAACACAAGGCUCCAAGCCCGCGGGGGAAUCCUUUGCAUAUUUGCCAAGGAAAUCCCUAUAGGCGUAGCCAGUAGCAGAAGGAUUUCUGGCGCCGUUGCCGGGGAGAUCAAGUCAAGAUCUAUCCAAGUAAGUGUCACAAACUCAUCUCUUGCAUUUACCUUUUUUGCCAGUUGCCUCUCGUUUUCCUCUCCCCUACUUCACAUUUGCCGUUUUCAUUUGCCUUUCUCCUUUGCCGUUUUCAUUUGCCUUUUGCCGUUUUCCUUUGCCAGUUUUCUUGCUUGCUUGUGUUCUUGUUUGUUUGUUGAAGUCAUCACGGCUGAAAACACCAAACUUUGCGUCUUCUCGAAUACUAAUAAUAAUGAUUUUAUUAGUACUCCGAUUGCUCCCGCCACUAGUGCGGAAUCAUAUGAAAUCAACGCUGCCUUGCUGAAUCUUGUUAUGAAAGAGCAAUUUUCUGGCCUUCCUAGUGAAGAUGCCGCAUCCCAUCUCAAUACUUUCAUUAAACUUUGCGAUAUGCAAAAGAAGAAAGAUGUGGAUAAUGAUGUUGUUAAAUUGAAGCUUUUUUCGUUCUCUUUGCGAGAUCGUGCAAAAACUUGGUUUUCUUCUUUGCCUAAAAAUAGUAUCGAUUCUUGGAAUAAGUGCAAAGAUGCUUACAUAUCCAAGUAUUUUCCGCCGGCUAAGAUUAUCUCUCUCCGUAACGAUAUCAUGAAUUUCAAGCAACUUGAUCAUGAACACGUUGCACAAUCUUGGGAGAGGAUGAAGUUAAUGAUUAAAAAUUGUCCCGCUCAUGGCUUGAUUUUGUGGAUGAUUAUACAAAUCUUUUACACUGGUUUGAAUUUUGCCUCUCGAAAUAUCUUGGACUCCGCCUCAGGUGGAACGUUCAUGGAAAUCACGUUAGGAGAAGCUACAAAACUCCUAGACAAUAUCUUGACCAACUACUCUCAGUGGCACACUGAAAGGUCGUCUGCUAGCAAAAAGGUACAUGCUAUAGAAGAAAUUAACUCGCUUAGUGCUAAGAUGGACGAGUUGAUGAAUUUGGUUGCUAGUAGAAAUGCUCCUUUAGAUCCUAAUGACAUGCCACUAUCUUCCUUGAUUGAGAGUAGAAACGCUAGUUUGGACGUUAAUUUUGUUGGUAGGAACAAUUUUGGCAACAACAAUGCUUUUAGAGGAAACUAUGUUCCUAGGCCUUUUCCUAGUAACUCCUCUAACAAUUAUGGCAAUUCGUACAACAACACUUAUGGAAAUCAUAACAAAUUACCCUGUGAUUUAGAGAGUAAUAUCAAAGAGUUCAUCAACUCUGAAAAGAUUUUCAAUGCGUCCAUAGAGGAAAAACUACUAAAAAUAGACGAUUUCUCUAAGAGCGUUAAUAGGAUGGCUUGUGAUAUUGAUGCUUUGAAAGUUAGAUAUGCUCGUCCCAAGGUUAACUUGGAUGAAACUUUAAAAGCUAUGCGUGUCUCCAUGAAUGAGAGCAAAGAAAGAACCGCCCAAAUUCGCGCUAGGCAUGCAUGGUUUAAAAGGGUGCGUUCUAGUGAUGCAAAUCAAGAAGAUCUUAAAGUGCUUGGUGUGACUCCUCUUGAAUCUUUAUUUUCGCGUGUCAAACCUAUUGAUGAAGGUGCUGGAUAUGAAUCCACUUUGGUUGAAAAAUGCCCCAAUGAUUCGAGUCCACCUAUCUUGAUGAUAAAGGUGUGGAGAGUGGAGUAGAAGAAAUCAAAAUAUUGGGUAGUAAUGAAACUCCCACUUUGGAUUUCAAGGGAUUCAAUUGUGAUAGUUGCUCCUUGUUUGAAUGCAUUUCCUUGAUGCAAUCCAUUGCAAACUCUCCACAUGCUUAUAGCCAAAGCAAAGCAUUUACCGCACAUAUCGUAGAUUCUAUGAUGAAAUCUCUUGAAGAGAAACUCGAAUUAGAAGUCUCUAUACCUAAAAAACUUCAUGAUGAGUGGGAACCUACUAUCAAAAUCAAGAUCAAAAACUAUGAGUGCAAUGCUUUGUGUGAUUUGGGUGCUAGUGUUUCCGCGAUUCCAAAGUCUUUAUGUGAUAUUCUUGGUUUUCAUGAGAUUGAAGAGUGUUCUCUUAAUUUGCAUCUUGCGGAUUCUACUGUCAACACACCCAUGGGAAGGAUCAAUGAUGUUCUUAUUGUUGCAAAUAAGAACUAUGUACCCAUGGAUUUCAUUGUACUUGACAUAGAUUGCAAUCCUUCAUGUCCCAUUAUUCUUGGUAGACCUUUCCUAAGGACUAUUGGUGCUAUCAUUGAUAUGAAGGAAGGGAAUAUUAGAUUUCAAUUUCCUCUAAAGAAGGGCAUGGAGCAUUUUCCUAGAAAGAAAAUAAGAUUGCCUUAUGAAUCUAUGAUGAGGGCUACUUAUGGUUUGAGCAUCAAAGAUGACUAUACGUGAUUCCAUCACCUUAUGCCUAGCUAAGGGCGUUAAACAAUAGCGCUUGUUGGGAGGCAUUCCAACGAAUCUAUCCUUUUUCUUUCUGUUUUGUGUUUUCCACACUUUCAUAAUUCUGUUAUGAUUGUGUAUUUUGUGUUUCUUUUGUGUUUGUGCCAAGUGAAACCGUUAUGAUUAGUCUUGGGGAUGAUCGUUUGAUCAUGCUAGAAAAGACAGAAAUUUUCUUCUCACGAAAAGAAUUUUCAUUUUUUUCUGUAAGAGCUUUUGAGUUGAUUCUUUUUGCGGAUGAUUGCUACGCAAAUUCUUCAGACUUUCAAAAGUUUUCAGAAUUUUUGAAGCAACGGAAGUAUACGAAGUAUACAGAUUGCUACAUACUGGUCUGCUGUUAAAAGAUUCUGUUUUUGUUGAGUUGGUUGCUUAUUUUGAUGAAACUAUGGAUAGUAUCGGGGGGUAUUAGCCAUGGAAGAUUGAAAAUACAGUAACCCAACAUCAACAUAAGUAUAAUUUAAGUUUGCUACAGUACCUAAGGAAGUGGUGAUUUGCUUUCUUAUACUAAUGAUAUCACGAGUUUCUGUUUAAGUUUCGUGUUGCGAAGUUUUCAAGUUUUGGGUGAAGUUCUUAUGGACAAAGAGAUAAAGAGUUGCAACAGCUCAAUCUUGGGGAUGCCCAAGGCACCCCAAGUUGAUUCGAGGAUGCCGAAAAAGCCUAAGCUUGGGGAUGCCCUCGGAAGACAUCCCCUCUUUCGUCUUCAAUCCAUCGGUAACGUUAAUUGGGGCUAUAUUUUUAUUCACCACAUGUUAUGUGUUUUGCUUGGAGCGUCUUGUAUCGUAGGAGUCUUUUAUUUUUGUUGUGUCACAAUCUUCCUUGCUGCACACCUAUAGAGAGAGACAUGCACUCACCGUGAUUUUGUCGAGCUUCACUUAUAUCCUUUGGUUAGGCAAUUCAGCUCACAUGUGUUUCACUUAUAUCUUUUGAGCUAGUUGAUUUUGCUCUAUGUGCUUCACUUCUAUCUUUUGGAGCACGGCAGUGCGUGGCGUGGUAGUUGAUCUAUGCUAUGAAAGUAGUCUCAAAAGGGUUAGUUAUCCAAAGGGAUAUGAAAACUUCCACCUUCAUGUGCAUUGAGUAGUUAGAGAAGUUUGAUUCAUCUCAAUUAGUUUUGAGUUGUGGUUGUGGUAAUAUUGAAGUUAUACUAGUAAGGGGUUGUGGAUCUAGAAAUACUUGUGUUGAACUUAGUGAUUCCCGUAGCAUGCACGUAUGGUGAACCGCUAUGUGAUGAAGUCUGAGCAUGAUUAGUUUAUUGAUUGUCAUCCUUUGUGUUGCGGUCGGGAUCGCGCGAUGGUUUAUACCUACCAACCCUUCCCCUAGGAGUAUGCGUUGAAUGCUUUGUUUCGAUUACUACUAAAACUUGUGCAACAAGUAUAUGAGUUCUUGAUGACUAAUGUUGAGUCCAUGGUUUAGAUGCACUUUCACCUUCCACCAUCACUAUCUUGUUUAGUGUCGUGCAAUUUUCACCGGUGCAUAAAACCACCAUUAGCCUCCCUCAAAACAGCCACCAUACCUACCUACUAUGGCUUUUUCAAAGCUAUUCAGAGAUAUAUUUCCAUGCAACUACCACCAAGACAUGUGCCACCACUUCUACAUUGCCAUUGCCUGAUCAUAAGAUAGCUAGCAUGAUGUUUCCAUUGAUGUCUAUGCCAUGCUAGAUCAUUGUCACGGUACACUACCGAAGGCAUUCCAUAUAGAGUCAUCAUUGCUCUAAGUUUUGAGUUGUAAGUGUGAUGAUCAUCAUUGAUGGAGCAUUGUCCAUUGUGAUUAAAUAAAAUAGGCCAGUGAAGCCCAUUUACAAAAAGAGGACAAAGAUGCCCACAAAAAAUAAAAAUAAAAAAAGAGGCCAAAGAGCCCACCAAAAAAUGAGAGAAAAAGAGAGAAGGGACAAUGCUACUAUCUUUCCACACUUGUUCUUAUUAAGCACCAUGAUCUUCAUGACUGAGAAUCUCUCGUUUUGUCACCACCAUAUAGCUAGUGGGAAAUUUUCAUUAUAUAACUUGGCUUGUGUAUUCCAAUGAUGGGCUUCCUCAAAAUUGCCUUAGGUCUUCGUGAACAAGCAAGUUGGAUGCACACCCACUAGUUUUCUUUAAGAUAUUUCACAUACUCUUAGCUCUAGUGCAUCAUUUGUAUGGCAAUCCCUACUCAUUCACAUUGAUAUCUACUGAUGAGCAUCUCCAUAGCUCAUUGAUAUGCCUAGUCAAUGUGACCAUCUUCUCCUUGUUUACCUUGCAACCUCCACCACACUCCAUUCCACCUAUAGUGCUAAAACCAUGGCUCACGCUCAUGUAUUGCGUGAGAGUUGAAAAAGUUUGAGAAAGUAAAGGUGUGAAAACAAUUACUUGGCCAAUACCAAGGUUGUGCAUGAUUUAAAUUCGUUGUGCAAGGAUGAUAGAGCAUAGCCAGACUAUAUGAUUUUGUAGGGAUAACUUUCUUUUGGCCUUGUUAUUUUGAAAGUUCAUGAUUACCUUGCUCGUUUGCUUGAAGUAUUAUUGUCUCCAUGUCAAUAGCAAACUAUUGUUUUGAAUCUAACGGAUCUGAACAUUCAUGUCACAUAAGAGGAGUUACAAAGGACAUCUAUGCUAGGUAGCAUGAAAGCAUCAAAAAUUCAUUCUUUAUCAUUUCCCUACUCGAGGACGAGCAGGAGUUAAGCUUGGGGAUGCUUGAUAUGUCUCAAACGUAUCUAUAAUUUUUGAUGGUUUCGUGAUGUUAUCUUGUCAACUUUGGAUGUUUUAUAUACCUUUUAUAUCUUUUUGGGGACUAACUUAUUAAUUCAGUGCCAAGUGCCAGUUCCUGUUUUUCUGUGUUUUUGACUCUUUUCAGACCUGAUUUUGGAACGGAGUCCAAACGGAAUAAAAUUCACAAAAUAAUUUUUUCCAGAACAGAAGAAGAUCGGGGGACUUGAGGGCCAAGGUAGGAGGCCCACAGGGGGCCCACAAGCCCUGUAGCCGCGGCCAGGGGGGCCUGCGGCUACCAAGCUUGUGGCCCCCUGGAUCUCCCCUGCCCUAGCUCUUUGGCCUAUUUAUUCCCUAAAAUCCCAGAAAAAAUCAGGGCGUCCACGAAACCACUUUUUCGCCGCCGCAAGCUUCCGUUUCCGCGACAUCUCAUCUGGAGACCCUUCCCAGUGCCCUGCCGGAGGGGACUUUGGAGGUGGAGGGCUUCUACAUCAACAUCAUUGCCUCUCCAAUGACUCGUGAGUAGUCUACUUCAGACCUACGGGUCCUUAGUUAGUAGCUAGAUGGCUUCUUCUCUCUCUUGGAUCUUGAAUACCAAGUUCUCCAUGAUCUUCAUGGAGAUCUAUCUGAUGUAAUCCUCGUUGGCGGUGUGUUUGUCGAGAUCCUAUGAAUUGUGGAUUUGUGAUUAGAUUAUCUAUGAAUUAUAUUUGAGUCUUUGCUGAUUUCUUAUAUGCAUGAUUUGAUAUCCUUGUAUGUAUCUCCGAGUCUUGGGUUUUGUUUGGCCAACUUGAUCUAUGAUUCUUGCAAUGGGAGAAGUGCUUGGUUUUGGGUUCAUACCGUGCGGUGACCUUUCCCAGUGACAGAAGGGGUAGCAAGGCACGCAUCAUGUUGUUGCCAUCAAGGGUAACAAGAUGGGCUUUCAUCAUAGAUUUGAGAUUGUCCAUCUACAUCAUGUCAUCUUGCUUAAGGCGUUACUCUGUUCUUAUGAACUCAAUACACUAGGUGCAUGCUGGAUAGCGGUCGACGUGUGGAGUAAUAGUAGUAGAUGCAGAAAGUAUCGGUCUACUUGUUUUGGACGUGAUGCCUAUAGAUAUGAUCAUUGCCAUAGAUAACGUCAUGACUUUGCGCGGUUCUAUCAAUUGCUCCACAGUAAUUCGUCACCCACCAUCUACGUGCUUUCAUGAGAGAAGCCACUAGUGAACACUACGGCCCCCGGGUCUAUUCACAACUAUCAUCUCCGCUUUUACUUUUACUUUGCUUUGUUUACUUUUUGCUUUCAGUUCUCACUUUGCAAACAAUCUAUAAGGGAUUGACAACCCCUUCAUAGCGUUGGGUGCAAGCUCUUUGUGUUUGUGCAGGUAGUUGUGACUUGACGCGAUCCUCCUAUACUAGAUUGAUACCUUGGUUCCCAAACUGAGGGAAAUACUUACCGUCGCUGUGCUACAUCACCCUUUCCUCUUCAAGGGAACACCAACACAAGGCUCCAAGGCCGCGGGGGAAUCCUUUGCAUAUUUGCCAAGGAAAUCCCUAUAGGCGUAGCCAGCAGCAGUGGACCCCACCAGUCAAAGCACAUUCCUAACCAAAUCUCAGACUAACUAACAGCCAGCCAGCCCCGUAAACGGUUGUGUUGCUUGAGCUAUUUCUGUGUUGGGAGAUGUCGCAUGAGAGCCAUUACAACCAACGAUGUUGGAUGAGAGAUAAUUCAACUCAACGACGUCGCAUGGGAGCUAAUGGCCCGUCAUAUGCAUGAAUUCUGCUAUUUCCAACAAGAGCCAAGGGAGGAGGGACUCACCAGCGAGAACGGGCAUGGACACCUCCUCCCCCUCCGUGGGGUGGCCAGACGAGACGCCGGCGACGAGAUCCAUGGCGAGGACGUACGUUGCCGGAGAAUGGACAUGUCCGAGAAAGCCGCCAUGACCCACACUCAAGGAAUCCACCAUGAGCCCCAGGCUCGAGGACGCCGUUGUGUCCCCUCGCCCCAAGAUGCCGAAGGUCAUCACGCGGGCAUCCUCACUUGGUAGCACGAGGCGGCAAUGAUGAUGCUUCUGCCCGCACUCGAGGAUGAUGCCAUGGCCCUGCACUCGAGGAAGCCUCCAUGGCUCCGCGCUCAAGGCCGAUGUCGUGUCCCCGCGCUCGAGUAGGACGGAGGUCGACGGGCGGGCGUCCCCACUUGGUGUUGCGAGCCGGCAUCGAGCCUCCGAGGAUGAUAAGCUGUCUUUCUUCCAGGCGUCCCCGCGAUUGAUGGCGUCUAUUUGGAGAUCAUCGCGUCUCCGGCCUCCGUGCCCGAGCUCCUGCGAGAGAGGUGACCCCCCUGCGUGGAGCUGCCUCGGCUGCCGUCGGCGAGCUGAUACGUCUCAAACGUAUCUAUAAUUUUUGAUGGUUUCAUGUUGUUUUCUUGUCAUAUUUGGAAGUUUUAUGUACCUUUUAUAUCUUUUUUGGGACUAACUUAUUAAUUCAGUGCCAAGUGCCAGUUCCUGUUUUUUCUGUGUUUUUGGCACUUUUCAUAUCUGAUUUUGGAAAGGAGUCCAAACGGAAUAAAAUCCCCGAAAUGAUUUUUUACCGCACGGAAGAAGAUAAGGGGGCCUGUGGGCCAAGCCAGGAGGGCUCCAGGGAGCCCACAAGCCCCCACUCCGCCACCAGGGGAGGCGGCGGUGGCAGGGCUUGUGGCCUCCCUGAGUGCCCCCUGACCUAGAUCUUUGGCCUAUAUAUUCCUUAAAAUACGGCAAAAAAUCUGAGGAUGCAAGAAAAUACUUUCCGCGGCCGCAAGCUUCCGUUUCCGUGAGAUCUCAUCUGGAGACCCUUCCCGGUGCCCUGUCGGAGGGGACUUUGGAGUUGGAGGGCUUCUUCAUCAUCAUCAUCGCCCCUCCAAUUACUCGUGAGUAGUUCGCUUCAGACCUACGGGUUCCUAGUUAGUAACUAGAUGGCUUAUUCUCUCUUUUGGAUCUUCAAUAAAAAGUUCGCCAUGAUAUUCAUGGAGAUCUAUCCGAUGUAAUCUUCUUUGGCGGUGUGUUUAUCGAGAUCCGAUGAAUUGUGGAUUUGUGAUCAGAUUAUCUAUGAUAUAUAUUUGAGUCUUUGCUGAUUUCUUAUAUGCAUGAUUUGAUAUCCUUGUAAGUCUCUCCAUGUCUUGGGUUUUGUUUGGCCAACUAGAUCUAUGAUUCUUGCAAUGGGAGAAGUGCUUGGUUUUGGGUUCUUACCAUGUGGUGACCUUUCCCAGUGACAGUAGGGGUAGCAAGGCACACAUUAAGUAGUUGCCAUCAAGGGUAACAAGAUGGGCUCUGUCGUUGAGAUGAGAUUGUCCAUCUACAUCAUGUCAUCUUGCUUAAGGCGUUACUCUGUUCUUUUGGACUUAAUACACUAGAUGCAUGCUGGAUAGCGGUCGACGUGUGGAGUAAUAGUAGUAGAUGCAGACAGUAUCCGUCUACUUGUUUUGGACGUGAUGCCUAUAGAUAUGAUCAUUGCCAUAGAUAACGUCAUGACUUUGCGCGGUUCUAUCAAUUGCUCGACAGUAAUUUGUUCACCCACCGUCUACUUGCUUUCAUGAGAGAAGCCACUAGUAAACACUACGGUCCCCGGGUCUAUUCACAUCUAUCGUUUCCACUUUCGCUUUUACUUUGCUUUGUUACUUUGUUGCUUUCAGUUCUCACUUGGCGAACAAUCUAUAAGGGAUUGACAACCUCUUCAUAGCGUUGGGAGCAAGAUUUUGUGUUUGUGCAGGAUCUUGUGAUACUCCUUGAUACGUCUCCAUCGUAUCUACUUUUCCAAACUCUUUUGCCCUUGUUUUGGACUCUAAUUUGCAAGAUUUGAAUGGAACUAACCCGGACUAACGUUGUUUUCAGCAGAAUUUCCUUGGUGUUAUUUUUGUGCAGAAAUCAAAGUUCUCCAAACAUCCUGAAAAUAUACAGGGGGCAGUUUUGGAAAAUAUAAAAAAUAUCUGUGCCAAGUUCCACCUGAGGGGGUGGGCCAGUGGGCCACAAGCCCUGGCUCCGCCACCACCCCCCUGGUGGCGGUGGGCAGGCUUGUGGGGCCCACACGGCUUUGCCGCCCCCAAUCUCAGGUCUAUAAGAUCCCUUUCGUCACAGAAAAAAUAAAAAGAGAAGUUUUUGCCUCGUUUAUGAUACGGAGGCGCCGCCACCACCUGUUCUUCAUCUGGAGGGCAGAUCUGGAGUCCGUCUUGGGCUCCGGAGAGGGGAAAUCGUCGCCAUCGUCAUCAUCAACCAUCUUCCUUCUCCAAUUCCAUGAAGCUCUUCGUCGUUCGUGAGUAAUCUAUUCGUAGGCUCGUUGGGCCGUGAUGAGUAGGAUGAGAUCUAUCAUUUAAUCGAGUUAGUUUUGAUGGGGAUUGAUCCCUAAUAUCCACUAUGUUCUGAGAUUGAUAUUGCUACUACUUUGCCAUGCUUAAUGCUUAUCACUAGGGCCCAGGUGCCAUGAUUUUAGAUCUGAAAUUAUUAUGCACCAAUAUAUGUGUGUUUUAGAUCCGAUUUUGUAAGUUGUAGUUACCUACUAUGUGUUAUGUUCCGGCAACCCCGGAGUGACAAUAACCGGAACCACUCCCGGUGAUGACCAUAGUUUGAGGAGUUCAUGUGUUCACCAAGUGCUAAUGCGUUGGUCCGGUUCUUUAUUGAUAGGAGAACCUUAAUAUCCCGUAGUUUCCUUUUGGACCCCGCGGCCACGGGAGGGAUGGACAAUAGAUUUCAUGCAAGUUCUUUUCCCUAAGCACGUAUGACGACACACGGAAUGCAUGCCUACAUCACAUUGACGAACGGGAGCUAGCCACAUAUCUCUCCGUGUUAUAGCUGUUGCAUGAUGAAUAUCAUCCAAACAAAUCACCGACCCAUUGCCUACGAGUUUGUCCUACUGCUGCUGCUACUACUGUAGCUACUGCUGUUACUUGUCUUGCUCUGCUGCUGCUACUACUGUUGCUACUGCUGUUACUUGUCUUGCUCUGCUGCUGCUACUACUGUUGCUACUGUUGUUACUUGUCUUGCUACGCUGCUACUGUUGCUACUACUGUCGCUUGCUACUGUUGCUACUUGCUACUGUUGUCACUACUGCUUUUCCUUGCCGCUGAUAUUGCUCGUUACACUGCCGUUACUCGCUACUUUGCUGUUACUACUUUGCUUGCAGAUACUAAUCUUUCAGGUGUGGUUGAAUCUGAAAAUUCAACUGCUAAUACUUGAGAGUAUUCUCUCACCUCCCGUCGUGCGAAUCAACAAAUUUGGGUCGAAUACUCUACCCUCGAAAACUGCUGCGAUCCCAUGCGCUUGUGGGCCAUCAACAACAUUCUUCUAGUUUCGAUUGCCCGAGAGUGCUAGCAGCAUUCUUCUGGUGCCGUUGCAAAGGGGAAGAACAGUUGGCAUCAAGCAUUUUUCUGGCGCUGUUGCCGGGGAGGUAUUGCUAUAUUCUCUGAGUCACUUGGGAUUUAUAUCUGUUGAUCACUAUGAAGAAUUUGAAGGAUCCGAAGACCAAAGUCUUGCCCUCAACUACGAGGGGAGGUAAGGAAUUGCCAUCUAGCUCUACACUUGAUUCACCUUCAGUUAUGAGUAAGUUUGCGACAUCACCUCCUUCUAGAAAUCUUGAUAUGUCUCCUGUGCUUGAUGAUGCUUAUGAUGCUACUGCUAGAGAUGCUAUGCUUGAUACUAUGCCUAAUGAUGCUAUGCUUGAUACUAUGCCUGAUACUGCUAGAGAUGCUAUGCUUGAUACUGCUUUGCCUGAUGAUGCUAGAGAUGCUAUUUUGCCUGAUGAUGCUAUGCUUGAUACUGCUAGAGAUACUACUUUGCCUGAUAUUCCACUAGGGGUGUUCCUUGAUGCUCAUAUUGCUAGAGUUACUCCCAAUGCUCGUGAUGCUUCUGAAACUGCCGAUACUAUUGAGAUGGAACCUGCUUUUGCUCCUGCUAGAUCUAGCUCUCCUAGAUAUGAAUUGCCGGAUAUACCUGAGGGUUACGUUAUGGAGGGAGAGAUAGCUGAGUAUUUUCUUGCAUGUAAGGAUGCCUAUGACGCUGAGAAAUUACUUCUCAAGUGGAAGGAAAAAUCUCGGGAAGCUAGGAUGAAAUAUGACCCGAAGUUUGGCACUUCGCCUAUCUUUAUCACCGAUAAGGAUUAUGAAUUCUCUGUCUAUCCUAAGAUAAUCUCUCUAGUUGAAUCAGAUCCUUUUCACGGUUAUGAGUCUGAGACGGUCAUAGCCCAUCUUGCCAAACUACACGAUAUAGCCAACCUUUUCACUAAUGAGGAUAAGAUCCGCCACUACUAUAUCCUUAAGUUGUUUCCUUUCUCUCUAAAGGAUGAUGCUAAAGUAUGGUUCACCUCUCUUUCUCCUGGAUGUGUGCGUAGUCCACAAGAGAUGGUCUAUUACUUCUGUGAGAAAAGAGGUAUUCUAUUCCUCAGUCCAGAAGAUAUGCAAGAAGCCAAGAAAUCUAUGCAAGAGAAAGGCAUUAGAUCCGAAGAUGUCAAAAAUCUACCACCUAUCGAAGAGAUUCAUGGUCUCGAUAACCCGAUACAAGUAGUAGAAGUGAAUUCUCUGCGUAGGUUUGAUGAGAGUGAUAUUCCUUUUGAUAAACUUGCUAGCCUAUGCUUUGAUAAAUUUGACAACUUUGUUGCCAAACAACAGAGUUUCAAUGAUUAUGUUAGCAGACAUUUGGAACAAAGCACUCGUAUGCUUAGCCAUUUAAGUGCUUGUGUAGACAGAAAUGUCAACGAUCUGAAGCUUCUGAGUAAACAUGCCUCUAUGAUUACUACUCAGGUAGAACAAGUACUUAAAGCUCAGAAUGACUUGCUCAAUGAAUUAAAUGACAACUCUGUCAGAGCCAUUUCUAGAGGAGGCAAAAUGACUCAGGAACCUUUGUAUCCUGAAGGUCAUCCUAAGAGAAUUGAUCAAGAUUCUCAAGGAAUCAAUGCUGAUACACCUAGUCAUCCUAAGGAGAAGAAGAAGGAUGAUAGAAGCCUACACGCCAGUUCACCAAAUACUUUCACACCUGAAGAACCUAAUGAUAUUUCUGCGUCUGAUGCAGAAACACAAUCUGGUGAUGAACAUGAACCUGGCGACAAUAUGGACAGUGAAGUUCAUAAUAAUGCUCAACCUAGCAAUGAUGAGGAUGUGGAGAUUGAACCUACGGUUAAUCCUGAUAAUCCACAACCUAAGAAAUAUGACAAGAAUGACUUCACUGCUAGGAAGCAUGGUAAAGAAAGGGAGCCAUGGGUUCAGAGACCUAUGCCCUUUCCUCCUAAGCCAUCCAAGAAAAAGGAUGAUGAGGAUUUUGAGCGCUUCGUUGAGGUGAUAUGACCCGUCUUUCUACAGAUGUGGUUAACUGAUAUGCUCAAGAUGUCUCCGUAUGCCAAGUACAUGAAAGAUAUCGUGACUAAUAAACGGAAGAUACCAGAUCUUGAGAUCUCCACCAUGCUUGCCAAUUACACUUUUAAAGGUGGAACUCCUAAGAAACUUGGUGAUCCCGGAGUGCCACUAUACCUUGCUCUAUUAAAGGAAACUAAGUAAGAACUGCCUUAUGUGACCUUGGAGUCGGUGUUAGUGUUAUGCCUCUCUCUCUUUAUCGUAGACUUGAAUUGGAUAAGUUGACACCCACUGAAAUUUCUCUGCAAAUGGCCGACAAAUCAACUGCUUUCCCUAUCGGCAUUUGCGAGGAUGUGCCUGUUGUGGUUGCUAACACCACUAUCUUAACAGACUUUGUUAUCUUGGAUAUUCCUGAGGACGAUGCCAUGGCUGUCAUCCUCGGAAGACCCUUUUUAAACAUUCCAGGGGCUGUUAUAGAUUGCAACAAAGGCAAUGUCACUUUCCAUGUCAACGGUAAUGAGCACACCGUGCACUUUCUGAAGAAACGAUAUCAAGUACAUUGCAUCAAUGCUAUCGAAAAGACUUCAUCGAUUCUUAUUGGGAGCUUUGAAUGCCCUAUUCCUCGUGUCAAGGUGAAGUAUGAUUUGCUUGUUGGGGAGAUACAUAUCCCCAUUGAGGUGACUUAGUGGCUAUUUGAAAAUUCUCCGUUCUCUCUUGCGAUUCAAGAAAGUUUUGUCAUAAGGAUUUGAUCAAUCCCAUUGACGGAUUUCUUUCGAUGACCAUGAAACGGAUGAAUCAAAGAGUUACAUACCUGUGUUUUGAGAUUUCAUUUUCUGUUGCUUAGAAUAAAAAUGAUAGAGUUAGUUUAGUUUUUCUUGUUUUCUGUUUUAGCGUCCUGGAGAAAAAUACCUCGAAAAUAAAAGUUCUACGAUGGUCCUGAAAAUUUAGUAUGAUUUUUUCUGGAAUUUUUGAAAAUUUCUGGGCCUGAGAACUGGCCUGGGGGCCAGACCAGUGGGCCACAAGCCGUGCCACCACCACCUACCCCCUAGUUGCGGAGUGCAACCUUGUGGGGCCCACAGGCACCCUCUCCACUCAUUCCAGCUCUCAGCCUCUUCUUCCACCUUCAGAAAAAAUUGUUUCGCAGCUCAAACCCGUGUUCUUGCUCAUUUGGUUGUGAUUCUCGAUCUCCUUGCUCAAAGCACCAUUCCCCGAACCGUUUUGGGGAAAUUACUCCUUGGUAAGUGACUCCUCCAUUGGUCCAAUUAGUUUUUGCUCUAGUGCUUUAUCCUUCGCGUAUUCUUGCUACCUUGGUGACCCUCUUCUUAAGCUAGAAAUGUUGAUUUUAACUGGUCCCAAGCAGUUUUAGCGCGUGAUAUGGUCUCUAGGCACUUGUAGGAGUAGUUGCUACAAGUUGGGUUAAUCUUUAUUCACUUUUCUUUCGAAGUCUCUAAGAAUUUCAGAAUUUCUCAGAGCUAGAAAAAGGAAAAGAUAAGGAGGUUCUUGAGAGGCUCUUCAAGCCGUAACCCCAAGGAGGAUGAGAAGAACCACCCCAAGUACGUAGUCCCUAGAGUCAUAGAAGUUCGAGCAUGCGAGUGGCCAAGUGAUAAAUUUUUGUGCGCCGCUAGGCUUUAUGAAGACUUUUAUUACUUGGUGGAGAACGAAGGUCUUACUGCGUUCGUUGCAGAUAAGUGUUCACAAUACCUCCUCCUCACCAAUAUUUUUGUUCAAAGCUUCAACUUUUAUCCGAGGAAGAAUCCUCCCAUGGUUGAGUUCAUGAUAUACGAUAUGCCCAAGUGCAUGACGCUGCAGGAUUUUUGCAAUGUAUGCAAAUUACCUUAUGUUGGGGAUAUCCGUGACCCUCGUCCAUGGGACUUGGAGGAUUUUAUUGGUUCUAUUGCUGUUGGAGAGGAGAGAGGAGUGUCUCGCGCUAGAAUUGCUAGCAUACAUUUUCCUGUGCUUCGGUAGUUCUCAUUAUUUGUGGGAAAAUGUUUAAUUGGCCGUGGGGAGGCUGGAUCACUUAGUUCUCCAGACCUUGCGGUUUUGCGCGAAGGCCUUUAUAACGAUAAGACUUAUAGCUUGGGUGCUAUAGUAGCUGAACGGUUGAACCUAAACCGUUCUAAAGGUGUCGUCUAUGGAGGUAUCUAUGCUUCCCGUCUUGCCAGACACUUUGAGAUACCCAUUAGACUGGGAGAGGAUGGAGAGAUGCUUCUCCCUGAGAAAUAUCUGGAUUAUGACAACAUGGUUCGCCAUGAUUUUCUGGAUAGAGAUGCUAGUAGACGGAUGAUUUAUAACCUGGUAUUUAGUUAGGGUACUCGAGAGACUAUUACUUUGCCUGCUCCUUCUUUGUUUGAUCUUCAUGUAGGUAGGUACACUAUUAUGCCCUCGGACAUCUACGCAUAUUGGGGCUUGGCCCAACCACAGGCGCCUGUGCCCGAGCCGCCAGUCGAGUACCAGACGCCAGUUUAUCAGUGGGAGCCAGAGGAGCUCACACAGCAGUGGCAUCCACAGUCUGCUCCGGAGUAUCCUAGAGCUGGUGAUUUCCCACCUUGGGAGUAGACCAAGCUAGGCCAAAAGCCUAAGCUUCGGGAGUACGUGUUCUCACCGACUUUACAUUCAUGCUUAUGCUUUCACUUUGUUAGCCGGUGUUUACACUUUGCCACUGUAUUAUCCAUGCUAGUUUAUUUUUGUUUUCUUGUUUUGUGUCCUUUUGAGAAAACCCAAAAAGAUUUUUCUUUCUUCUUUUGCUUGUUGGGAGCUUUCCCGUGUAAAUAGUUUUCUUUUUCUUUGGGUCAAGGUAGAAGAUAUUGGUUACAAUGUUUAUUGGUUCUUACAUGCUUACCUGUUUAGCUUUCAAAGAGCCAUAUUACUUUGUCUUCUCCUUUGUGUUUGCCUGCAGAUUUAGCUUAGUCCAAUGCGCUUAUUAUUGUUCACAUCGUCCGAUCGUGCAAAUGAAAGGCAACAAUGAUGAUAUAUGAUGAAGUGACUAAGACUGAAAAGCUGGUAUGAACUCUAUCUAUUUUGUUUUUGUAAAUAUGACUAGCUUGUCAACCCAGAUUUAGCUUUGUUGUGAGAGAACCAUGUUUGCAAUGACGACUUAGAGAUCAUAGUUUCUGAUGCCAUGCUUAUUUAGCUGAGAGCUUAUAAUGGUUUGUCUUGAAUGACAACAUAGAUUUUGAGAUGACUAUGAUGUAGUAUGAUAGGAUGGUAUUCUCCUUUGAAUGUUUCAAGUGGCUUGACUUGGCACAUGUUCAUGCAUGUAGUUGAAACAAAAUCAACAUAGCCUCUAUGAUGUUCAUGUUCAUGGUGAUUUAUAUCCUGUUCAUGCUUGCAUUCAAUGUUAGUCAAACUCAUUGCAUCUUGAUGACUAUUGUUGCUCUCUAGUUGGUCGCUUCCCAGUCUUUUGCUAGCCUUCACUUGUACUAAGCGGAAUACUGCUUGUGCAUCCACUUCCAUAAAUAGGGAUGGCAAUGGGUACCCAUUACGCACGUAUCCUGCGGGUAAAAACCCUAUUAGAGUAAGGCUACGGGACAAAAAUUUACCCAUGGGUAUAUAAAUAGGAAAAUAUGAAACCCAUCGGGUAGAGCAGGUACGGGUAUGGGAUCAUAUAACCCAUACCCGCAUGCCCAUGUACCCAUAUAAAAGCUAUGUAAACUGAAAAUUAUCUCUAGAAUCUACAUUAUGUCAAGAAUUUGUGAACUAAAAGUGUAUGCUUAUUUGUUGUUGUUUAUGACUAUAUGAUAUUGUUUAUAAGUAUAUGUUGGUGUUAUAAUCUAUUUUUGUAAACUCUAUUAUAUGACGUUGUUUAUUACUAUAUGUUUUUCAAAUUGAUACUUUGCAAACAUGGGUAAUUUUACCCACGGGUACCGUCUACCCUGUCGGGUCACGGGUAUGGGAAAAAAUUAUACCCGUUGACGGAUAUGGGUAAGGAUGAUGGGUAAGCUUAGGUGGGAUGGGUAAGGGUAUGGGGAGGCUUCACCCGUACCCAUACCCUGUGGGUGCCAUCCCUAUCCAUAAACCCAAAAGUUUUUCCAUGAGAGUACACCAUACCUACCUAUUUGCGGUAUCUACCUGCCGUUCCAAGUAAAUUUGCAUGUGCCACUCUCGAAACCUUCAAGAAAUAAUCUGUUUUGCAUGCCCGAACCGCUCAUGUGGUGACAGGGGGUUAUUGGUAUCUUCCAUGCUAGGAGUGUUAUCCUCGACAUGUGUUUAUUCACAGUCAUUCACGAGCAAGGGGCCGGUAAUUGGAAUGCCCAGUUCCACGCUUAAAUCGAAAACAUAACUAUAAAACAAGACUCCCCCCGGAGUGAUGUUAGUAUGGACGCUAGCCGUGUAGUGUGAUUGAUUGGUGGUGGGGGAGUUAAAACUUCACUUUUCUAUUUGGGAACUGCCUAUAGCAUGAGUAGCAUGGAAGAUAUUGAGAACUCUUGGUCAUUGCGUUGACAAUGAAAGCAUGCCACCCAAAAUUAUUAUCUCUGUUUUCAAAGCUUGAGCUCUGGCAUCUCUACAAAUCAAUGCUUCCCUCUGCGAAGGGCCUGUCUAUUUACUUUCAUGUUGAGUCAUCCUCCUCUUGUAUAAGCACCAAUUAGCGAGCACCUCUGUCAUUUUAUGCUUUCCUUUUGAUUGAUAUUGAGUAUGACUAUGACUGGAUCUUCGUUUCUAUGAAUUACAAUGUUUAGUCAGCCCUUGAUCUUUGAAAGUGCUCUGCAUUUAUGUUUUGCGGUCUCAAAAAGAGCUAGCGAGAUACCGCCGAUUCAUAUUGCUUCAUGCUUGUUUUGACUGAAGUGUUGGUAUGUGAAACUCAUUAUUAUUUGCUCGUUAGCUGAUUAUUCCAUUGAUAUUAGUUUACCGUCAGACCUUUGUGUCAUUUGCUUAUGUGGUUAACUUGUGAUCUUGCGGAAAUUCUUGUUAUGAGAUAGACAUAGUUGCAACACCAAGAUCAAACAGAGUUUGUCAAAGUUUUUCUUUCUCUCUCAGUUUGUCAACUGAGUUGCUUGAGGACAAGCAAGGUUUUAAGCUUGGGGGAGUUGAUACGUCUCCAUCGUAUCUACUUUUCCAAACUCUUUUGCCCUUGUUUUGGACUCUAAUUUGCAUGAUUUGAAUGGAACUAACAUGGAGUGACGUUGUUUUCAGCAGAAUUGCCUUGGUGUUAUUUUUGUGCAGAAAUCAAAGUUCUCCAAACGUCCUGAUAAUUUACGGGGAGUAGUUUUGGAAAAUAUAAAAAAUAUCUGCGCCAAGUUCCACCUAAGGGGGUGGGCUAGUGGGCCACAAGCCCUGGCUCCGCCACCACCCCCCUGGUGGCGGUGGGCAGGCUUGUGGGGCCCACACGGCUCUGCCGCCCCCAAUCUCAGUUCUAUUAGAUCCCUUUCGUCCCAGAAAAAAUAAAAAGAGAAGUUUUCGCCCUGUUUACGAUACGGAGGCGCCGCCACCACCUGUUCUUCAUCUGGAGGGCAGAUCUGGAGUCCGUCUUGGGCUCCGGAGAGGGGAAAUCGUCGCCAUCGUCAUCAUGAACCAUCUUCCUUCUCCAAUUCCAUGAAGCUAUUCGUCGUUCGUCACUAAUCUAUUCGUAGGCUCGCUGGGCGGUGAUGAGUAGGGUGAGAUCUAUCAUGUAAUGGAGUUAGUUUUGAUGGGGAUUGAUCCCUAGUAUCCACUAUUCUGAGAUUGAUGUUGCUACUACUUUGCCAUGCUUAAUGCUUGUCACUAGGGCCCGAGUGCCAUGAUUUCAGAUCUGAAAUUAUUAUGUUGUCACCAAUAUAUGUGUGUUUUAGAUCUGAUCUUGCAAGUUGUAGUUACCUACUAUGUGUUAUGAUCCAACAACCUCGGAGUGACAAUAACCGGAACCACUACCGGUGAUGACCAUAGUUUGAGGAGUUCAUGUGUUCACCAAGUGCUAAUGCGUUGGUCCGGUUCUUUAUUAAAAGGAGAACCUUAAUAUCCCGUAGUUUCCUUUUGGACCCCGCUGCCACGGGAGGGAUGGAUAAUAGAUGUCAUGCAAGUUCUUUUCCCUAAGCACGUAUGACGACACACGGAAUGCAUGCCUACAUCACAUUGACGAACGGGAGCUAGCCACAUAUCUCUCCGUGUUAUAGCUGUUGCAUGAUGAAUAUCAUCCAAACAAAUCACCAACCCAUUGCCUAUGAGUUUGUCCUACUGCUGCUGCUACUACUGUUGCUACUGUUGUUACUUAUCUUGCUCUGUUGCUGCAACUACUGUUGCUGGAACUACUGUUGCUACUGCUGUUACUUGUCUUGCUCUGCUGCUGCUACUACUGUUGCUACUGUUGUUACUUGUCUUGCUCCGCUGCUACUGUUGCUAGUACUGUUGCUUGCUACUGUUGCUACUUUCUACUACUGUCACUACUGCUUUCCUUGCCGCUGGUAUUGCUCGUUACACUGCCGUUACUUGCUACUUUGCUGUUACUACUUUGCUUGCAGAUAGAAAUCUUUCAGGUGUGGUUGAAUCUGACAAUUCAAUUGCUAAUACUUGAGAGUAUUCUCUCACCUCCCGUGGUGCGAAUCAACAAAUUUGGGUCGAAUACUCUACACUCGAAAACUGUUGCGAUCCCAUGCGCUUGUGGGCCGUCAACAACAUUCUUCUAGUUUCGAUUGCCGGAGAGUGCUAGCAGCAUUCUUCUAGUGCCAUUUCAAAGGGGAAGAACAGUUGGCAUCACUCCUCCACUGGAUUGAUACCUUGGUUCUCAAACUGAGGGAAAUACUUACCACCGCUGUGCUACAUCGCCCUUCCCGCUUCGAGGGAACACCAACGCAAGGCUCCAAGGCCACGAGGGAAAUCCUUUGCAUAUUUGCCUAGGAAGUCCCUUAAGGCAUAGCCGUAGCAGAAGGAUUCCUGGUGCCGUCGCCACGACUAUUCCUGGCGCCGUUACCAGGGAAGCACAGCGGACAUCAGAAGUAUUUCUGGCGCCGUUGUCGGGGAAGAGAGAUCAAGAUCUAUCCAAGUAGGUCUCACAAACUCAUCUCUUGCAUUUACUUUUGUUGCCAGUUGCCUCUCGUUUUCCACUCCCCCACUUCACAUUUGCCGUUUUCAUUUGCCUUUCUCCUUCCCCGUUUUCUUUUGCCUUUGCCAUUUCCCUUUGCCGGUUUUCUUGCUUGCUUGUGUGCUUGUUUGUAUGUUGAAGUCAUCAUGGCUGAAAACACCAAACUUUGCGACUUCUCGAGCAAUAAUAAUAAUGAUUUUAUUAGUACUCCGAUUGCUCCUGCCACUAGUGCGGAAUCGUAUGAAAUCAACGCAGCUUUGCUGAAUCUUAUUACGAAAGAGCAAUUCUCUGGCCUUCCUAGUGAGGAUGCCGCAUCCCAUCUCAAUACCUUCAUUGAGCUUUGUGAUAUGCACAAGAAAAGAGAUGUGGAUAAUGAUGUGAUUAAGUUGAAACUUUUUCCUUUCUCGUUGCGAGAUCACGCAAAAACUUGGUUUUCUUCUUUGCCUAAAAAUAGUAUCGAUUCUUGGGAUAAGUGCAAAGAUGCUUACAUAUCCAAGUAUUUUCCGCCGGCUAAGAUCAUCUCCUUACGUAACGAUAUCAUGAAUUUCAAGCAACUUGAUCAUGAACACAUUGCACAAUCUUGGGAGAGGAUGAAGCUUAUGAUUAGAAAUUGUCCCGCUCAUGGCUUGAGUUUGUGGAUGAUUAUACAAAUCUUUUACGCUGGCUUGAAUUUCGCUUCUAGCAAUAUUUUGGACUCCGCCUCAGGUGGAACGUUCAUGGAAAUCACAUUAGGAGACGCUACAAAACUCCUAGACAAUAUCAUGACCAACUACUCUCAGUGGCAUACUGAAAGGUCACCUGCUAGCAAAAAGGUGCACGCUAUAGAAGAAAUUAACUCCCUUAGUGCUAAGAUGGACGAGUUGAUGAAUUUGGUUGCUAGUAGAAACGCUACCGUAGAUCCUAAUGACAUGCCACUAUCUUCUUUUAUUGAGAGUAGCAACACUAGUUUGGACGUGAAUUUUGUUGGUAGGAACAAUUUUGGCAACAACAAUGCUUUUAGAGGAAACUAUGUUCCUAGGCCUUUUCCUAGUAACUCCUCUAACAAUUAUGGCAAUUCCUACAACAACACUUAUGGAAAUCACAACAAAUUACCCUCUCAUUUAGAGAGUAAUAUCAAAGAGUUCAUCAACUCUCAAAAUAUUUUCAAUGCGUCCAUAGAGGAAAAACUACUCAAAAUUGACGAUUUGGCUAAGAGCGUUGAUAGGAUGUCUUGUGAUAUUGAUGCUUUGAAAGUUAGAUGCGCUCCUCCCAAGGUCAACUUGGAUGAAACUUAGAAAGCUAUGCGUAUCUCCAUGAAUGAGAGCAAAGAAAGAACCGCCCAAAUUCGUGCUAGGCAUGAAUGGUUUAAAAGGGUGCGUUCUAGUGAUGCAAAUCACGAAGAUAUUAAAGUGCUUGGUGUGUCUCCUCUUGAAUCUUUGUUUUCGCGUGUCAAACCUAUUUAUGGAGGGGCUGGAUAUGAAUCCACUUUGGUUGAAAAACUCCCCAAUGAUUCGGAGUCCACCUAUCUUGAUGAUAAAGGUGUGGAGAGUGGAGUAGAAGAAAUCAAAAUUAUGGGUAGUAAUGAAACUCCCACUUUGGAUUUCAAGGAAUUCAAUUAUGAUAAUUUCUCCUUGUUUGAAUGCAUUUCUUUGAUGCAAUCCGUUGCAAACUCUCCACACGCUUAUAGCCAAAGCAAAACCUUUACCGCGCAUAUCAUAGAUGCUAUGAUGAAAUCUCUUGAAGAGAAGCUCGAACUAGAAGUCUCUAUAACUAGAAAACUUCAUGAUGAGUGGGAACCUACUAUCAAAAUCAAGAUCAAAAACUAUGAGUGCAAUGCUUUGUGUGAUUUGGGUGCUAGUGUUUCCGCGAUUCCAAAGUCUUUAUGUGAUAUUCUUGGUUUUCAUGAGAUUGAAGAGUGUUCUCUUAAUUUGCAUCUUGCGGAUUCUACUGUCAACACACCCAUGGGAAGGAUCAAUGAUGUUCUUAUUGUUGCAAAUAAGAACUAUGUACCCAUGGAUUUCAUUGUACUUGACAUAGAUUGCAAUCCUUCAUGUCCCAUUAUUCUUGGUAGACCUUUCCAAAGGACUAUUGGUGCUAUCAUCGAUAUGAAGGAAGGGAAUAUUAGAUUUCAAUUUCCUUUAAAGAAGGGCAUGGAGCACUUUCCUAGAAAUAAAAUAAGAUUGCCUUAUGAAUCUAUGAUGAGGGCUACUUAUGGUUUGAGAACCAAAGAUGACUAUACGUGAUUCCAUCACCUUUCACCUAGCUAAGGGCGUUAAACAAAAGCGCUUUUUGGGAGGCAACCCAACGAAUCUAUCCUUUUUCUUUAUGUUUUGUGUUUUCCACACUUUCAUAAUUCUGUUAUGAUUGUGUUUUUUGAGUUUCUUUUUGCGUUUGUGCCAAGCAAAACCAUUAUGAUUAUUCUCGGGGAUGAUCGUUUGGUCAUGCUGGAAAAGACAGAAACCGUUCCGCUCACGAAAAUCAUUUUCAUUUUUUUUCUGUAAGAGCUUUUUAGUUGAUUCAUUUCUCUUCUGAUUGCUACGCAAAUUCUUCGGACUGUCGUAAUGUUUCAGAAUUUUUGAAGUACCAGAGGUAUACAAAAUAUACAGAUUGCUACAGACUAGUCUGCUGUUAACAGACUCUGUUUUUGUUGUGUUGGUUGCUUAUUUUGAUGAAACUAUGGAUAGUAUAGGGGGGUAUUAGCCAUGGAAGAUUGAAAAUACAGUAACUCAACAUCAGCACAAGUAUAAUUUAAGUUUGCUACAGUACCUAAGGAAGUGGUGGUUUGCUUUCUCAUACUAAUGUUAUCACGAGUUUCUGUUUAAGUUUCGUGUUGUGAAGUUUUCAAGUUUUCGGUGAAGUUCUUAUGGACAAAGAGAUAAAGAGUGGCAAGAGCUCAAGCUUGGUAAUGCCCAAGGCACCCCAAGAUAUUCAAGGAUGUCGUAAAAGCCUAAGCUGGGGGAUGCCCCGGGAAGGCAUCCCCUCUCUCGUCUUCAAUCCAUCGGUAACGUUACUUGGGGCUAUAUUUUUAUUCACGACAUGUUAUGUGUUUUUGCUUGGAGCGUCUUGUAUCGUAGGAGUCUUUUAUUUUUGUUGUGUCACAAUCAUCCUUUCUACACACCUAGAGAGAGAGACAUGCAUGCACCGUGAUUUUGUCGAGCUUCACUUAUAUCUUUUGGUAGACAAUUCAGCUCACAUGUGCUUCACUUAUAUCUUUUGAGCUAGAUACUUUAGCUCUAUGUGCUUCACUUAUAUCUUUUAGAGCGCAGCGGUGCGUGGCUUGGUAGUUGAUCUAUGCUUUGAAAGUAGUCUCAAAAGGGGUAGUUAUCCAAAGGGAUACGAAAACUUCCACCUUCAUGUGCAUUGAAUAGUUAGAGAACUUUGAUUCAUCUCAAUUAGUUUUGAGUUGUGGUUAUGGAAAUAUUGAAGUCAUGCUAGUAAGGUGUUGUGGAUCUAGAAAUACUUGUCGUGAAGUUAGUGAUUCCCGUAGCAUGCACGUAUGGUGAACCGCUAUGUGAUGAAAUCUGAGCAUGAUUAGUCUAUUGAUUGUCAUCCAUUGCGUGGCGGUCGGGAUCGCGCGAUGAUUUAUACCUACCAACCCUUCCCCUAGGAGUAGGCGUUGAAUGCUUUGUUUCGAUUACUAAUAAAACUUUUGCAACAAGUAUAUGAGUUCUUCAUGACUAAUGUUGAGUCCAUGGUAUAGAUGCACUUUCACCUUCCACCAUCACUAUCUUCUUAGUGCCGUGCAACUUUCGCCGGUGCACAAAACCCACCAUCAGCCUCCCUCAAAACAGCCACCAUACCUACCUACUAUGGCUUUUUCAAAGACAUUCCGAGAUAUAUUGCCAUGCAACUACCACCAUCACAUGUGCCACCACGUCUACAUUGCCUUUGCAUGAUCGUAAGAUAGCUAGCAUGAUGUUUCCAUUGAUGUCUAUGCCAUGCUAGAUCAUUGCUACGGUACACUACCGAAGGCAUUCCAUAUAGAGUCAUUGUUGCUCUAAGUUUUGAGUUGAAAGUGUGAUGAUCAUAAUUAAUGGAUCAUUGUCCCAUGUGAGGAAAUAAAAGAGGCCAAAGAAGCCCACCAAAAUAAAUAAAAAAUAAAAAAAGAGGCCAAAGAGCCCACCAAAAAAAUGAGAGAAAAAGAGAGAGGGACAAUGCUACCACUUUUUCCACACUUGUGCAUAUUAAGCACCAAGAUCUUCAUGAUUGAGAGUCUCUCGUCUUGUCACCACCAUAUAGCUAGUGGGAAAUUUUCAUUAUAUAACUUGGCUUGUAUAUUCCAAUGAUAGGCUUCCUCAAAAUUGCCUUAGGUGUUCGUGAGCAAGCAAGUUGGAUGCACACCCACUAGUUUUCUUGAAGAGCUUUCACAUACUCGUAGCUCUAGUGCAUCAUUUGCAUGGCAAUCCCUACUCAUUCACAUUGAUAUCUAUUGAUGAGCAUAUCCACGGCUCAUUGAUAUGCCUAGUUAAUGUGACUAUCUUCUCCUUUUUUGUCUUGCAACCUCCACCACACUCCACACCAUCUAUAGUGCUAUAACCAUGGCUCACGCUCAUGUAUUGCGUGAGAGUUGAAAAGGUUUGAGAAAGUAAAGGUGUGAAACAAUUACUUGGCCAAUACCGGGGUUGUGCAUGAUUUAAAUUCGUUGUGAAAUGAUGAUAGAGCAUAGCCAGACUAUAUGCUUUUGUAGAGAUAACUUUCUUUUGGCCUUGUUAUUUUGAAAGUUCAUGAUUACCUUGCUAGUUUGCUUGAAUUAUUAUUGUUUCCAUGUCAAUAGAAAACUAUUGUUUUGAAUCUAAUGGAUCUGAACAUUCACGUCACAUAAGAGGAGUUACAAAGGACAUCUAUGCUAGGUAGCAUGAAAGCAUCAAAAAAUAAUUCUUUAUCACUUCCCUACUCGAGGACGAGGAGCAGUUAAGCUUGGGGAUGCUUGAUAUUGUUGGAAUUAUGCCCUAGAGGGAAUGAUAAAUAAGUUAUUAUUAUAAUUCCUGUGUCAAGAUAAUCGAUUAUUAUCCGUGCUAUAAUUGUAUUGAAUGAAGACUUAGAUACAUGUGUGGAUACAUAGACAAAACACUGUCCCUAACAAGCCUCUAGUUGGCUAGCCAGUUGAUCAAGGAUAGUCACGGUCUUCUGACUAUGUACAAGGUGUUGUUGCUUGAUAACCAAAUCACAUCAUUGGGAGAAUCAUGUGAUGGACUAGACCCGAACUAAUAGACGUAGCAUGUUGAUUGUGUCAUUUUGUUGCUACUGUUUUCUACGUGUCAAGUAUUUAUUCCUAUGACCAUGAGAUCAUAUAACUCACUGACACCGAAGGAAUACUUUGUGUGUAUCAAACGUCACAACGUAACUGGGUGGCUAUAAAGAUUCUCUACACGUAUCUCCAAAGGUGUCCGUUGAGUUAGUAUGGAUCAAGACUGGGAUUUGUCACUCGUGUGACGGAGAGGUAUCUCGCGGCCCACUCGGUAAUACAACAUCGCACACAAGCCUUGCAAGCAAUGUGACUUAGUGUAAGUUGCGGGAUCUNNNNNNNNNNNNNNNNNNNNNNNNNNNNNNNNNNNNNNNNNNNNNNNNNNNNNNNNNNNNNNNNNNNNNNNNNNNNNNNNNNNNNNNNNNNNNNNNNNNNGCAUCAUCAAGCACAUGCGACAUAUCAAGAUUUCUAGCAGGAGGUGAAGUCACAAACUUACUCAUAACUGAAGGUGAAUCAAGUGCAGAGCUAGAUGGCAAUUCCUUACCUCCCUCGUAGUUGAGGGCAAGACUUUGGACUUCGGAUCCUUCAGAUUAUUCAUAGUGAUCAGCAGAUAUAAAUCCCAAGUGACUCAGAGAAUAUAGCAAUACCUCCCGGGCAACGGCGCCAGAAAAAUGCUGACGUCAGCUGUGAUUCCCUCGCAAUGGCGCCAGAAAAGUGCUGAUCCUACAAUCUCUGGCGUUAGCUACACGAAUGCUUAUGACAACGAACCUUCUCCUGCAACGGCACCAGAAGAAUGCUGCUAGCACUCCCCGCAAUGAAACUGGAAGAAUGUUGUUGAUGGUCCACCAGCGCGUGGGUUCACAGCAGUUUUCAAGGGUAGAGUAUUCGACCCAGUUUGUUGAUCGCCUAAAGGAGGUGAGAGAAUACUCUCGAGUAUUAGCAGCUGAAUUUGUCAGAUUCCACCACACCUAAAAGAUUAGUAUCUGCAAGCACAGUAGUAACAGCGAAGUAAUAUGAUAACAACGGUGUCAGAAACGAUCUGUUGACGGCAGACUAUUCCUAACAAUUGUAUCAAUGGCGCCUUCAUUGCCGCGUUGACGGAAGUUGUCAAUUCCCUUCAACGGUAGGUGAACCAAUAGUGUAGCAAGUAGUAGCAGUGUAACAAGCAAUAGCAGUGGCAAGGAACAGCAGUAGUGACAACAGUAGCAAGUAGCAAUAGUAGCAAGCGAGAGUAGUAGCAACAGUAGCAGCAGAGCAAGACAACUAACAACAAUAGCAAUAGUAGUAGUAGCAGCAGAGCAAGACAAGUAACAUCAGUAGCGACAGUAGUAGCAGCAGCAGAGCAAGACAAGUAACAGCAGUAGCAACAGUAGGACAAACUCGUAGGCAAUGGGUCGGUGAUUUGUUUGGAUGAUAUUCAUCAUGCAAGAGUUAUAACACGGAGAGAUAUGUGGCUAGCUCCCGUUCGUCAAUGUGAUGUAGGCAUGCAUUCCGUGUGUCGUCAUACGUGCUUAGGGAAAAGAACUUGCAUGACAUCUAUUGUCCAUCCCUCCCGUGGCAGCGGGGUCCAAAAGGAAACUACGGGAUAUUAAGGUUCUCCUUUUAAUAAAGAACCGGACAAACGCAUUAGCACUUGGUGAACACAUGAACUCCUCAAACUAUGAUCAUCACCGGGAGUGGUUCCGGUUAUUGUCACUCCGGGGUUGUCGGAUCAUAACACAUAGUAGGUAACUACAACUUGCAAGAUCGGAUCUAAAACACACAUAUAUUGGUGACAACAUAAUAAUUUCAGAUCUGAAAUCAUGGCACUCGGGCCCUAGUGACAAGCAUUAAGCAUGGCAAAGUAGUAGCAACAUCAAUCUCAGAACAUAGUGGAUACUAGGGAUCAAUCCCCAUCAAAACUAACUCGAUUACAUGAUAGAUCUCAUCCUACUCAUCACCGCCCAACGAGCCUACGAAUAGAUUACUCACGAACGACGAAGAGCUUCAUGGAAUUGGAGAGGGAAGAAGGUUGAUGAUGACGAUGGCGACGAUUUCCCCUCUCCGGAGCCCAAGACGGACUCAAGAUCUGCCCUCCAGAUGAAGAACAGGUGGUGGCGGCGCCUCCGUAUCGUAAACAGGGCGAAAACUUCUCUUUUUAUUUUUUCUGGGACGAAAGGGAUCUAAUAGAACUGAGAUUGGGGGCGGCAGAGCCGUGUGGGCCCCACAAGCCUGCCCACCGCCACCAGGGGGGUGGUGGCGGAGCCAGGGCUUGUGGCCCACUAGCCCACCCCCUUAGGUGGAACUUGGCGCAGAUAUUUUUUAUAUUUUCCAAAACUACUCCCCGUAAAUUAUCAGGACGUUUGGAGAACUUUGAUUUCUGCACAAAAAUAACACCAAGGCAAAUCUGCUAAAAACAGCGUCAGUCCAGGUUAGUUCCAUUCAAAUCAUGCAAAUUAUAGUCCAAAACAAGGGCAAAAGAGUUUGGAAAAGUAGAUACGUUGGAGACGUAUCAAGCAGUAAUUUCUCAACAUCAUAGCUAUCCUUACAAGCAAGGAAGUCCUCAGCUAUCUCUCCCUCCAUAACAUAACACUCAGGCAUAUCAGGCAAUUCAUGUCUAGGAGAGCUAGUUCUAGCAGGCAAAAUAGCAGGUUCUACUUCAAUAGUAUCAGCAGUUUCAGAAGUAUCAUCACAUCUAGCAGCAACUCUAGCAAUUUGUGCAUCAAGGAAUGCACCUAGUGGCAAAGCAGUAUCAAGCAUAGCAUCAUCAGGCAAUGCAGUAUCAAGCAUAGCAUCAUCAUAAGUAUCAUGGGCAACAGAAUUAGCACCAUCAAGCACAAGCUACAUAUCAAGAUUUCUAGCAGGAGGUCGUGUCGCAAACUUACUCAUAACUGAAGGUGAAUCAAGUGCAGAGCUAGAUGGCAGUUCCUUACCUAUCCUCGUAGUUGAGGGCAAGACUUUGGUUUUUGGAUCCCUCAGAUUCUUCAUAGUGACCAGGACACGUAAUUCCCAAGUCACUUAGAGAAUAUAGUUGUGCUUCCCCAGCAACGGCGCCAGAAAAUGGUCUUGAUAACCCACAAGUAUAGGGGAUCGCAACAGUUUUCGAGGGUAGAGUAUUCAACCCAAAUUUAUUGAUUCGACUCAAGGGGAAGCGAAAUAAUAUUCUCAAGUAUUAGCAGUUGAGUUGUCAAUUCAACCACACCUGAAAGAUUUAGUAUCUGCAGCAAAGUAUCAGUAGCAAAGUAGGGUGAUAGCAGCAGUAGCAACAGUAACCAGUAGCAGCAAAGUGACAGCAGUAGCGGCAAAGUAACGUAGCAAGGACCAGNNNNNNNNNNNNNNNNNNNNNNNNNNNNNNNNNNNNNNNNNNNNNNNNNNNNNNNNNNNNNNNNNNNNNNNNNNNNNNNNNNNNNNNNNNNNNNNNNNNNUGCGCCUACUCUUUCGAGCUCCUCUCUAAAGCAGCCUUACGGGCCUAAAUGCACACUGUGUGCCUAAAUUUAAAAAUUGAAAAUAUAUGUGAAUUUAAAGACAAAAUUCAACCUAAAUUCAAAGUGAGCUCACUUUAAAUUUAGGUUGAAUUUUCUCUAUAAAUUCUCAUCUAUUUUCAAAUUUUUCAUUAUUUUUGUUUUGUUCUUUGCUUUAUUUAUUUUGUUUUUUCUACUUAUAGCUAAAUAUUUAGUUUUUAAAUUUGAAUUCGUUGAAAUUUGUGAAUAACUUUACUUUCAUUUUUUGCUAUUAAAGAUUUUUUCUCUUCUAUUUUAGUUUUCUAUUAAAGAUUUUAACCAAAAAACUUUAUGAAAAAUCUUUUGAGUUGAUCUUUGUUUUUGUUUCCUUUUAGUUAAUGUUUUACUUGAUUCUUUUUAACAAAUAAGCACUUUGAUAAUUUUAGUUGAUUAUUUUUAAUUCAUUCAUUUUGUUAAUGUUUUAGUUGAUUCUUGUUAGUUGGCUCUUUUUUUUCUGUUAAAUAUUUAAAAAAAAAUUCAACAGUUUCUGAUUUUAUUUGGUAUUUUCCGUGCAUUUACUUAUUUUUUUGAGGUAGUUGACCCUGAAAUUGAAAAGAACUUGAAAUGAACCCGGAAAAUGUUGAAAGUUAGCAUGAUAUCAUCAUUUCACCCACAUAGCAUGUACUAAAAAGUUGAGAGGGUUACGACAAAAACUGGAUGCACUUCGUGUACAAAACGGACAAUCUCUCUCGAAGUAUGAGGGUUUCGAACGAGAACUCAACUGUUACAAAAGGAUUUCAUUUUUUGAACUUAUUUUAACUUCAUACUUUUUGUGUGUUCAAAAUGCACCAUUCAAAGGCACAUCACAAAUUUUCAACAAUUUCUGACUUCAUUUGAUAUUUCCCGUGUAUUUACUUAUCUGAGGAAGGUUGUAGAUGCAUAGAGUCACGGGCCAGGUGCUGUGACUGCAGCUCUGCUCCCCAAAAGGAUUCAUGCCGUCUGUACUUAUACCAAGCCAUAAGUUCCUUGGGUCAUCUGCAAAGUCCGGCCACUCCCUCUCGAUUUUCCUCCAGUGCGACCCAUCUGCGAGGUGUCUCAACUUUUUCCCAUCUUUCUUGCGCUCGUCUUUGUGCAGUCGCAUCAACUUGGCAUGCUCAUUGUUUCUGAACAGACGUUUCAACCGUGGUAUUAUAGGAGCAUACCACAUAACCUUAGCAGGAACCUUCUUCCUGGGGGCUCGUCAUCGCCCUCAACAUCACCAGGGUCAUUCUGUCUGAUCUUGUACCGACAUGCAGUGCAUACCGGGCAUUUAUCCAUAUUCUCGUACUUCUCACCGCGGUAUAGGAUGCAGUCACUAAUGCAUGCAUGUAUCUUCUACACAUCUAAUCCAAGAGGGUAGAUAGCCUUCUUUUUUUCGUACAUAGUCUCGGGCAAUUUGUUAUCCUUUGGAAGCUUCGGCUUGAAUAUUUUCAGUAACUUUUCAAAUCCCUUGUCAGAUAAACCAGUUUCUGCCUUCCAUUUCAACAGUUCCAGUGUGGUACCGAGCUUUGUGAUGCCAUCUUUGCAAUUUGGGUACAACAACUUUUUAUGAUCCUUUAGCAUGGCCUCCAAUUUCAGCUUCUCCUUUUAUGUAUCGCAUUCUCUCUUUCCAUCAGAAAUGACCCGACCAAGACCAUCAGUGGGCUCAUAUGAUGCCGGUUGUUUUUCACCUCCUUCUUCUUCAUUGUCCUCCAUUGUAGUAUCACCGUAUUCUUCAGUGAACAUAGGAUAGUUGUCAUCAUCAUCUUCUUCUUGAUUGUCUUUCAUCCUAACCCCUCUUUCUCCGUGCAUGGUCCAACAAUAAUAUGUGAGCAUGAAACCUCCCCGAAGCAAGUGGAGAUGAAUGUUUUUCCAGCUAGAGUACUCCUUCACGUUUUGACAGACAACACAUGGACAAGGCAUAAAAUUAUCCACUUUGUUUGCCUCAGCCACAUCGAUAAAUUUAUGCAGGCCUUUUAUAAAUCUGGAACCGUGUCGUUCGCCGUACAUCCAUCGCUUCCGUGCAUCGAUCUAGCAUCAUACAUGAAUAGUGAAAUGACCACCGUACAUUGACACCUGCAAUAUUUUUGUAUCAAUGAACUCUGAAAAGGAUAAGGUUGCUAACCUCGGUCGAGGAUACCAUUUUGUGUGAACUUAAUUAGUCUCGGUUCGUAAUGUACUAUGAAGUGCGUCGGUCACCGUGCAUUCAUUGGCGGUUCAUCUCUAUUAUGAAAUUAAGUAUAUCAAAAAACCAUUGGAGAACAUAUAACCAAAUUAAUACAAGUUCAUCAUCACAUUAAAACCAAAGCACGGUAGUGAUCAAAUGUUAUUAUUGCAAAAAAUAAAUACAUAAAGUUCUCUCAUAAAACAACAUACAACUAUGUAAAACAUUUAAAUGCAACAACAAAUGCGAUCAAAAUCGCAACUAAGGUAACAAUUGACCCAACAGGAUAAUGAUACCAAGCUUCUUUAUCAGUGGCAUAUUUUCUAAUAUUCCUAAUCUUCAAGCGCAUUUCAUCUAUCUUCAAGCGCAUUGCAUCCAUCUUCAACUGCAUCGCAUCGAUCUUCAUCUUGCGAUCAUCAAUGAUAUCGGCGACAUGCAACUCCAGUUCCAUAUUCUUAUCCUCAAUUAUUUUCAAUUUUUUAUUCAAGUGUUUGUUUUCUUUUUCAACCAAAUUUAACUUCUCGACAAGAAUUUCUAUGUGGGUUGGAAUUUGCGGUUCACAUACCUCCUAGAUUAAAAAAUAUAUGUCACGUUGGUCGUCAUAAUUGUGAUAAAUACUAGAUAAAACAAAUUAUUAUAAAAGGUAAUAUAUACGACAUCCGAAUCAUAGACAGGACGAGGGCCGACGGAGGCGGAUACCAAAAUCAUCGCACUAUAUAAUAACAAAAAAUAAUGAAAGUAAGUGAUUUAUACAAGUAUGUAUCUAAAUCAUACAAGUAAGAUUUUUUUCUUUUAAAAAGAAGAUAAGAACAAGAGGAUCACCACGGUGGUGCUCGCGAAGAGAUCGGCGCGGGUCGAUUGACAACGGUGAGGACGGGCACGGGACGACACCCUACACAUGUGCAGACUCUAAGAAGUUAAUUUGAGCAUUUGAAAUGAGCUAAACUAUGAGUGACAGAUGAAAGGAUGAAGUAGCUAACCUUUUAAAACACUUGUGCAGUUGGUGCACGGCCAAACCUAGACAAAUAUUGAGGAAAAUGAAGCUUGGAGAUCGAGCUUGGAGAGGAGAAAGGUUAAGCAGUGUGGCUCGGGCAUUUCAUCGAACACGGCAUGUGCAUGAACUAGAGUGGCAAGAGCAUGGCAUGGUCACACUUCAACAGCCAAAAAAACAGAGGAGAGGGUGGGCAGGGGCGAGGGUUUAUAUAGGCAACACUUUAGUCUCGGUUUUUGUCUAAACCGGGACUAAUAGCCUAUCCUUUAGUCCCCGUUCUUGUCACAAACCGGGACUAAUGCUCGGCGGCACGCCACGUAGCAGUCGCUUGAUCUUUAGUCCCGAUUUUUGCCCCGAACCGAGACUAAUGAGAUGAACCAAACCGGGACCAAUGCCCCGGCAAAACGAACAGGGACCAAUGCCUGGCAUUGGUCCCGAUUUUCGUUUGAACCGGGACUAAUGGUCUUUCGGCCGAGGUCGAAAGACCCUUUUUCUACUAGUGAUGAUUAUGUACUACUAGCAUAACUGUCCAUGCGUUGCAACAGAUGAGAUAAUGAUUGUGCGAAUCAAAAUAAUCAUGAUGAAGCAAUAUUCAAACGUGUCAUCCUACAAUUACAGGGCGGUGUCCAUUAAAACGGCAGUCAACAUGACACAACAACAUCCGAUGCCAACCGAUGGCAGCCAGAAGUCACACACAAAGGUCUAGGUAAAAUGUAUAUCAACCGCGCAUUAAGAACCAUUAUGCACAUACAAUACAUCGUGUACGAUUUUUGUAUGAUAAUUGUAAUCACAUCAUUUAUGAAUAAAUCAAAGUGCAAGAAAAUUAUUAGAACAUUCCAACACUCGGUACCCCUUCUGUCUAUUUUCUACGAGGCUCAGUUUUAAAUCUCACAUUCCAACACUGACAUAAUAAAGUUCAGUGUCCACGUAUAUAUAGAACACUCAGGCCUUUUGACGUGAAUCCGUUCAGAUUUUUUUAUGAAAACCCAUGAAGCUAGCUUUUUUACGUGAACAUAAGCUCAGUGUUCAUGUACUUUGAUUUUUUAUUUUCUAACGUGAACCCGUGAAGCUAGCUUGAUCGACUCUUGCUUUUUUAAUGAAAAAAAUAACGCCCACACGUGUGGGCGCUUGCGAAUCGUCCACACGCCUUAAUCUUCGUCAAUUCUGGAUUACACGAAUCUUGAUGAUUUCGGAGGAAAUUGGAGUGCCCAUAGGCGUAAUGUGGCGGGGGGGGGGGGGGGGGAUGUUAGAGGGCUCGCCCAUACAUGUGGUGUGUAGCGUCCCACCAUCGAACGCCUCCCCAGUUUUUCUUCCCACUCUCCUUCCACCAGCCCCGAAUGAGGUUCACUUUAUCCAUUGACCAACUCACAUCACACACUCGCACAUGAUGGAGAGAGGAAAGAGGGUAGGUGCGGCGGCCCGUGAUGUCAGUUGUGCUUCCCUGGUAACGGCGCGAGGAAUAGUCGUGUCGGCGGCACCAGGAAUCCUUCUGCUACGGCUACACCUUAAGGGACUUCCUAGGCAAAUAUGCAAAGGAUUUCCCCCGUGGCCUUGGAGCCUUGCGUUGGUGUUCCCUCGAAGCGGAAAGGGUGAUGUAGCACAGCGGUGGUAAGUAUUUCCCUCAGUUUGAGAACCAAGGUAUCAAUCCAGUGGAGGAGUAUCACAAGAUCCUGCACAAACACAAAAGCUUGCUCCCAACGCUAUGAAGGGGUUAUCAAUCCCUUAUAGAUUGUUCGCCAAGUGAGAACUGAAAGCAACAAAGUAACAAAGAAAAGUAAAAGAGAAAGUGGAAACGAUAGAUGUGAAUAGACCCGGGGGCCGUAGUGUUUACUAGUGGCUUCUCUCAUGAAAGCAAGUAGACGGUGGGUGAACAAAUUACUGUCGAGCAAUUGAUAGAACCGCGCAAAGUUGUGACGUCAUCUAUGGCAAUGAUUAUAUCUAUAGGAAUCACGUCCAAAACAAGUAGACGGAUACUGUCUGCAUCUACUACUAUUACUCCACACGUCGACCGCUAUCCAGCAUGCAUCUAGUGUAUUAAGUCCAAAAGAACAGAGUAACGCCUUAAGCAAGAUGACAUGAUGUAGAUGGACAAUCUCAUAUCAACGACAGAGCCCAUCUUGUUACCCUUGAUGGCAACUACAUAAUGUGUGCCUUGCUGCCCCUACUGUCACUGGGAAAGGUCACCACAUGGUAAGAACCCAAACCCAAGCACUUUUCCCAUUGCAAGAAUCAUAGAUAUAGUUGGCCAAACAAAGCCCAAGACUCGGAGAGACUUACAAGGAUAUCAAAUCAAGCAUAUAAGAAAUCAGCAAAGACUCAAAUAUGUAUCAUAGAUAAUCUGAUCACAAAUCCACAAUUCAUCGGAUCUCGACAAACACACCGCCAAAGAAGAUUACAUCGGAUAGAUCUCCAUGAAGAUCAUGGAGAACUUUGUAUUGAAGAUUCAAUAGAGACAACAAGCCAUCUAGCUACUAACUACGGACCCGUAGGUCUGAAGUGAACUACUCACGAGUCAUUGGAGGGGCGAUGAUGAUGAUGUAGAAGCCCUCCAACUCCAAAGUCCCCUCCGGCAGGGCGCCGGGAAGGGUCUCCAGAUGAGAUCUCGCGGAAACGGAAGCUUGCGGCGGUGGAAAAUUAUUUUCGUGGAUCCCCUGAUAUUUUGCUGUAUUUUAGGGAAUAUAUAGGCCAAAGAUCUAGGUCAGGGGGCGCUCAGCGAGGCCACAAGCCCUGCCACCGCCGCCUCCCCUGGUGGCGGAGUGGGGGCUUGUGGGCUCCCUGGAGCCCUCCUGGCUUGGCCCACAGGCCCCCUGAUCUUCUUCCGUUUGGGAAAAAAUCAUUUCAGUGAUUUUAUUCCGUUUGGACUCUGUUCCAAAAUCAGAUCUGAAAAGAGCCAAAAACACAGAAAAAACAGGAACUGGCACUUGGCACUAAAUUCAUAAGUUAGUCCCAAAAAAGAUAUAAAAGAUACAUAAAACAUCCAAAGAUGAAAAGAUAACAGCAUGAAACCAUAAAAAAAUAUAGAUACGUUUCAGACGUAUCUGUUGGGGAACGUCGCAUGGGAAACAAAAAUUUUCCUAUGCGCAUGAAAACCUAUCAUGGUGAUGUUCAUCUACGAGGGGGACUUCAUAUCUACGUACCCUUGUAGAUCGCACAGCAGAAGCGUUAAUAAAUGCGGUUAAUGUAGUGGAACGUCCUCACGUCCCUCGAUCUGCCCCGCGAACCAUCCCACGAACCGUCCCGCGAUCCGUCCCACGAUCCGCUCCGAUCGAGUGCCGAACGGACGGCACCUCCGCGUUCAACACACGUACAGCUCGACGAUGAUCUCGGCCUUUUUGAUCCAGCAAGAGAGACGGAGAGGUAGAUGAGUUCUCCGGCAGCGUGAUGGUGCUCCGGAGGUUGGUGGUGAUCUAAUCUCAGCAGGGCUCCGCCCGAGCUCCGCAGAAACGCGAUCUAGAGGAAAAACCGUGGAGGUAUCUGGUCGGGCUGCCAUGGAAAAGUUGUCUCAAAUCAGCCCUAAGACCUCCGUAUAUAUAAGGGGGAGGGGAGGGGACUUGCCUUGGGGCUCAAGGAGCCCCAAGGGGUUUGGCCGAUGGGGGGGAGGAGGAGUCCUCCUCCAAUCCUAGUCCUUCCCUUCCUUCCCACUUCCCCUUUUUUUCUCCUUUGAUUUUCUAUCUCCCUGCGUAGGGGCCUCUAUGGGCUUGCCCACCAGCCCACUAAGGGCUGGUGCGGCACCCCUAAGGCCUAUGGGCUUCCCCAGGGUGGGCUGCCCCCCGCCCCCCCGGUGAACAUCCGGAACCCAUUCGUCAUUCCCGGUAAUUCCGAAAACCUUCCGAUACUCAAAUGAGGUCAUCCUAUAUAUAUCAAUCUUCGUAUCCGAACCAUUUCGGAAACCCUCGUGACGUCUGUGAUCUCAUCCGGGACUCCGAACAACAUUCAGUAACCCACCAUAUAAUUCAAAUACGCAUAAAACAACGUCGAACCUUAAGUGUGCAGACCCUGCGGGUUCGAGAACUAUGUAGACAUGACCCGAGGGACUCCUCGGUCAAUAUCCAAUAGCGGGACCUGGAUGCCCAUAUUGGAUCCUACAUAUUCUACGAAGAUCUUAUCGUUUGAACCUCAGUGCCAAGGAUUCAUAUAAUCCCGUAUGUCAUUCCCUUUGUCCUUCGGUAUGUUACUUGCCCGAGAUUCGAUCGUCGGUAUCCGCAUACCUAUUUCAAUCUCGUUUACCGGCAAGUCUCUUUACUUGUUCCGUAAUACAAGAUCCCGCAACUUACACUAAGUCACAUUGCUUGCAAAGCUUGUGUGUGAUGUUGUAUUACCGAGUGGGCCCCGAGAUACCUCUCCGUCACACGGAGUGACAAAUCCCAGUCUUGAUCCAUACUAACUCAACGGACACCUUCGGAGAUACCUGUAGAGCAUCUUUAUAGCCACCCAGUUACGUUGUGACGUUUGAUACACACAAAGUAUUCCUCCGGUGUUAGCGAGUUAUAUGAUCUCAUGGUCAUAGGAAUAAAUACUUGACACGCAGAAAACGGUAGCAACAAAAUGACACGAUCAACAUGCUACGUCUAUUAGUUUGGGUCUAGUCCAUCACAUGAUUCUCCCAAUGAUGUGAUCCAGUUAUCAAGCAACAACACCUUGUACAUAGUCAGAAGACCCUGACCAUCCUUGAUCAAAUGGCUAGCCAACUAGAGGCUUGCUAGGGACAGUGUUUUGUCUAUGUAUCCACACAUGUAUCUAAGUCUUCAUUCAAUACAAUUAUAGCAUGGAUAAUAAACGAUUAUCUUGACACAGGAAUUAUAAUAACAACUUAUUUAUCAUUGCCUCUAGGGCAUAAUACCAAUAGUCUCCCACUUGCACUAGAGUCAAUAAUCUAGCCCUCACAUCACCAUGCGAAUUACAUUGUAAUAAAUCUAACACCCAUACAGUUCGGGUGUUGAUCAUGCUUUGCCUGUGGAAGAGGUUUAGUCAGCGGGUCUGCUACAUUCAGAUCCGUGUGCACUUUGCGUAUAUUUACGUCCUCCCCUUCGACGUAGUCGCAGAUGAGGUUGAAGCGUCGUUUAAUGUGUCUGGUCUUCUUGUGAAACCGUGGUUCCUUUGCUAAGGCAAUGGCACCCGUGUUGUCACAGAACAAGGUUAUUGGAUUCAGUGCACUCAGCACCACUCCAAGAUCCGUCAUGAACUGCUUCAUCCAGACACCCUCCUUAGCCGCCUCCGAGGCAGCCAUGUACUCCGCUUCACAUGUAGAAUCAGCUACGACGCUUUGCUUGGAACUGCACCAGCUUACCGCACCCCCAUUAAGAAUAAAUACGUAUCCGGUCUGCAACUUAGAGUCGUCCAGAUCUGUGUCAAAGCUUGCAUCGACGUAACCUUUUACGGCGAGCUCUUCGUCACCUCCAUACACGAGAAACAUCUCCUUAGUCCUUUUCAAGUACUUUAGGAUAUUCUUGACCGCCGUCCAGUGAUCGACUCCUGGAUUACUCUGGAACUUGCCUGCCAUACUUAUGGCCAGGCUAGCGUCCGGUCUAGUGCGCAUCAUUGCAUACAUGAUAGAACCUAUGGCUGAAGCAUAGGCGACGGUGCUCAUAUGCUCUCUAUCUUUAUCAGUUGCUGGGCACUGAGUGUUACUCAAUCUCGUACCUUGUAAAACUGGCAAGAACCCCUUCUUGGACUGUUCCAUUUUGAACCUCUUCAAAACUUUAUCAAGGUAUGUACUUUGUGAAAGUCCUAUCAGGCGUUUCGAUCUAUCCCUAUAGAUCUUAAUUCCUAGAAUGUAAGCAGCUUCUCCUAGGUCCUUCAUAGAGAAACUUUUAUUCAAGUAAUCCUUUAUGCUCUCCAAAAUAUCCACGUUGUUUCCAAUCAGCAAUAUGUCAUCCACAUAUAAUAUUAGAAACGCCACAGAGCUCCCACUCACUUUCUUGUAAAUACAAGAUUCUCCAACCACUUGUAUAAACCCAAAUGCUUUGAUCACCUCAUCAAAGCGUUUAUUCCAACUCCGAGAUGCUUGCACCAGUCCAUAAAUGGAUCGCUGGAGCUUGCACACUUUGUUAGCAUUUUUAGGAUCGUCAAAACCUUCGGGUUGCAUCAUAUACAACUCUUCCUUAAGGAAACCGUUAAGGAACGCCGUUUGACAUCCAUCCGCCAGAUUUCAUAAUCAAAAAAUGCAGCUAUUGCUAACAUGAUUCUGACGGACUUAAGCAUCGCUACGGGUGAGAACGUCUCAUCGUAGUCAACUCCUUGAACUUGUGAAAAACCCUUUGCCACAAGUCGAGCUUUAUAAACGGUCACAUUACCGUCAGCGUCCGUCUUCUUCUUAAAGAUCCAUUUGUUCUGAAUAGCCUUGCGGCCUUCAGGUAGUACUUCCAAAGUCCAUACUUUGUUUUCAUACAUAGAUCCUAUCUCGGACUUCAUGGCCUCCAGCCAUUUGUUGGAAUCCGGGCCCACCAUUGCUUCUUCAUAAUUCGCAGGCUCAUUGUUGUCUAACAACAUAAUUGAUAAGACGGGAUUACCGUACCACUCUGGAAUAGUACGAUGUCUCGUCAACCUGCGAGGUUCGACAGGAACUUGAUCCAGGGUUUCAUGAUCAUCAUCAUUAACUUCCUCCUCAACCAGCGCCGCAACGACAGGGGUUUCCCCUUGCCCUGCGCCACCAACCAGAAGGAUGAGAGGUUCGACAACCUCAUCAAGUUAUAUCUUCCUCCCACUCAAUUCUCUCGAGAGAAACUCCUUCUCGAGAAAAUCUCCGUUCUUAGCAACAAACACUUUGCCCUCGGAUUUGAGAUAGAAGGUGUACCCAUCUGUGUCUUUUGGGUAACCUAUGAAGAUGCACUUUUCCGCUUUGGGUUCCAGCUUUUCAGGCUGAAGCUUUUUGGCAUAAGCAUCACAUCCCCAAACUUUAAGAAACGACAACUUUGGUCUUUUGCCAUACCACAGUUCGUAUGGUGUUGUCUCAACGGAUUUUGAUGGUGCCCUAUUUAAAGUGAAUGCAGCUGUUUCUAAUGCAUAACCCCAAAACGAUAACGGCAAAUCGGUAAGAGACAUCAUAGAUCGCACCAUCUCUAAUAAAGUACGAUUACGACGUUCGGACACACCAUUACGUUGUGGUGUUCCAGGUGGUGUCAACUGUGAAACAAUUCCACAUUGUCGUAAGUGAGCACCAAACUCGAAACUCACAUAUUCACCCCCACGAUCAGACCAUAGGAAUUUGAUCUUCUUGUUACACUGAUUUUCAACUUCACUCUGAAAUUGCUUGAACUUUUCAAAUGUUUCAGACUUGUGCUUCAUUAAGUAGACAUAACCAUAUCUACUCAAAUCGUCAGUGAAGGUGAGAAAAUAACGAUAUCCGCCGCGUGCCUCCACGCUCAUCGAACCACACACAUCGGUAUGUAUGAUUUCCAACAAGUCACUUGCACGCUCCAUUGUUCCGGAGAACGGAGUUUUAGUCAUCUUGCCCAUGAGGCAUGGUUCGCACGUGUCAAGUGAAUCAAAGUCAAGUGACUCCAAAAGUCCAUCGGUAUGGAGUUUCUUCAUGCGCUUUACACCAAUAUAACCUAAGCGGCAGUGCCACAAAAACAUGGCGCUAUCAUUGUUAACUCUAACUCUUUUGGUCUCAAUGUUAUGUAUAUGUGUAUUAUCACUAUCAAGAUUCAAUAUGAACAAUCCUCUCACAUUGGGUGCAUGACCAUAAAAGAUAUUACUCGUAGAAAUAGAACAACCAUUAUUCUAUGAUUUAAACGAGUAACCGUCUCGCAAUAAACAAGAUCCAGAUAUAAUGUUCAUGCUUAACGCAGGCACUAAAUAAGAAUUAUUCAAGUUCAUAACUAAUCCUGAUGGUAACUGAAGUGAAACUGUGCCGACGGCGGUUGCAUCAACCUUGGAACCAUUUCCCACGCGCAUUGUCACUUCAUCUUUCGCCAACCUUCUCCUAUUCCGCAGUUCUUGUUUCGAGUUGCAAAUAUGAGCAACAGAACCGGUAUCGAAUACCCAGGCACUACUACGAGAGCUGGUUAAGUACACAUCAAUAACAUGUAUAUCAAAUAUACCUGAUUUUUAUUUGGCCGCCUUCUUAUCAGCCAGAUACUUGGGGCAGUUGCGCUUCCAGUGACACAUACCCUUGCAAUAAUAGCGAGAGAGGUUUUAGUCAACGGUUCUAAAAAAAUUCUAGAUCCGUGUGUUUGUUACAAAUUUUUAUGUCAUCUUAUAGAUGUUGCUACUAUGUGCUAUUCGGAAAUUCUUGUUAUGAGAUAGACAUAGUUGCAACACCAAGAUCAAACAGAGUUUGUCAAAGUUUUUCUUUCUCUCUCAGUUUGUCAACUGAGUUGCUUGAGGACAAGCAAGGUUUUAAGCUUGGGGGAGUUGAUACGUCUCCAUCGUAUCUACUUUUCCAAACUCUUUUGCCCUUGUUUUGGACUCUAAUUUGCAUGAUUUGAAUGGAACUAACAUGGAGUGACGUUGUUUUCAGCAGAAUUGCCUUGGUGUUAUUUUUGUGCAGAAAUCAAAGUUCUCCAAACGUCCUGAUAAUUUACGGGGAGUAGUUUUGGAAAAUAUAAAAAAUAUCUGCGCCAAGUUCCACCUAAGGGGGUGGGCUAGUGGGCCACAAGCCCUGGCUCCGCCACCACCCCCCUGGUGGCGGUGGGCAGGCUUGUGGGGCCCACACGGCUCUGCCGCCCCCAAUCUCAGUUCUAUUAGAUCCCUUUCGUCCCAGAAAAAAUAAAAAGAGAAGUUUUCGCCCUGUUUACGAUACGGAGGCGCCGCCACCACCUGUUCUUCAUCUGGAGGGCAGAUCUGGAGUCCGUCUUGGGCUCCGGAGAGGGGAAAUCGUCGCCAUCGUCAUCAUGAACCAUCUUCCUUCUCCAAUUCCAUGAAGCUAUUCGUCGUUCGUCACUAAUCUAUUCGUAGGCUCGCUGGGCGGUGAUGAGUAGGGUGAGAUCUAUCAUGUAAUGGAGUUAGUUUUGAUGGGGAUUGAUCCCUAGUAUCCACUAUUCUGAGAUUGAUGUUGCUACUACUUUGCCAUGCUUAAUGCUUGUCACUAGGGCCCGAGUGCCAUGAUUUCAGAUCUGAAAUUAUUAUGUUGUCACCAAUAUAUGUGUGUUUUAGAUCUGAUCUUGCAAGUUGUAGUUACCUACUAUGUGUUAUGAUCCAACAACCUCGGAGUGACAAUAACCGGAACCACUACCGGUGAUGACCAUAGUUUGAGGAGUUCAUGUGUUCACCAAGUGCUAAUGCGUUGGUCCGGUUCUUUAUUAAAAGGAGAACCUUAAUAUCCCGUAGUUUCCUUUUGGACCCCGCUGCCACGGGAGGGAUGGAUAAUAGAUGUCAUGCAAGUUCUUUUCCCUAAGCACGUAUGACGACACACGGAAUGCAUGCCUACAUCACAUUGACGAACGGGAGCUAGCCACAUAUCUCUCCGUGUUAUAGCUGUUGCAUGAUGAAUAUCAUCCAAACAAAUCACCAACCCAUUGCCUAUGAGUUUGUCCUACUGCUGCUGCUACUACUGUUGCUACUGUUGUUACUUAUCUUGCUCUGUUGCUGCAACUACUGUUGCUGGAACUACUGUUGCUACUGCUGUUACUUGUCUUGCUCUGCUGCUGCUACUACUGUUGCUACUGCUGUUACUUGUCUUGCUUUGCUGCUGCUACUACUGUUGCUACUGUUGUUACUUGUCUUGCUCCGCUGCUACUGUUGCUAGUACUGUUGCUUGCUACUGUUGCUACUUUCUACUACUGUCACUACUGCUUUCCUUGCCGCUGGUAUUGCUCGUUACACUGCCGUUACUUGCUACUUUGCUGUUACUACUUUGCUUGCAGAUAGAAAUCUUUCAGGUGUGGUUGAAUCUGACAAUUCAAUUGCUAAUACUUGAGAGUAUUCUCUCACCUCCCGUGGUGCGAAUCAACAAAUUUGGGUCGAAUACUCUACACUCGAAAACUGUUGCGAUCCCAUGCGCUUGUGGGCCGUCAACAACAUUCUUCUAGUUUCGAUUGCCGGAGAGUGCUAGCAGCAUUCUUCUAGUGCCAUUUCAAAGGGGAAGAACAGUUGGCAUCACUCCUCCACUGGAUUGAUACCUUGGUUCUCAAACUGAGGGAAAUACUUACCACCGCUGUGCUACAUCGCCCUUCCCGCUUCGAGGGAACACCAACGCAAGGCUCCAAGGCCACGAGGGAAAUCCUUUGCAUAUUUGCCUAGGAAGUCCCUUAAGGCAUAGCCGUAGCAGAAGGAUUCCUGGUGCCGUCGCCACGACUAUUCCUGGCGCCGUUACCAGGGAAGCACAGCGGACAUCAGAAGUAUUUCUGGCGCCGUUGUCGGGGAAGAGAGAUCAAGAUCUAUCCAAGUAGGUCUCACAAACUCAUCUCUUGCAUUUACUUUUGUUGCCAGUUGCCUCUCGUUUUCCACUCCCCCACUUCACAUUUGCCGUUUUCAUUUGCCUUUCUCCUUCCCCGUUUUCUUUUGCCUUUGCCAUUUCCCUUUGCCGGUUUUCUUGCUUGCUUGUGUGCUUGUUUGUAUGUUGAAGUCAUCAUGGCUGAAAACACCAAACUUUGCGACUUCUCGAGCAAUAAUAAUAAUGAUUUUAUUAGUACUCCGAUUGCUCCUGCCACUAGUGCGGAAUCGUAUGAAAUCAACGCAGCUUUGCUGAAUCUUAUUACGAAAGAGCAAUUCUCUGGCCUUCCUAGUGAGGAUGCCGCAUCCCAUCUCAAUACCUUCAUUGAGCUUUGUGAUAUGCACAAGAAAAGAGAUGUGGAUAAUGAUGUGAUUAAGUUGAAACUUUUUCCUUUCUCGUUGCGAGAUCACGCAAAAACUUGGUUUUCUUCUUUGCCUAAAAAUAGUAUCGAUUCUUGGGAUAAGUGCAAAGAUGCUUACAUAUCCAAGUAUUUUCCGCCGGCUAAGAUCAUCUCCUUACGUAACGAUAUCAUGAAUUUCAAGCAACUUGAUCAUGAACACAUUGCACAAUCUUGGGAGAGGAUGAAGCUUAUGAUUAGAAAUUGUCCCGCUCAUGGCUUGAGUUUGUGGAUGAUUAUACAAAUCUUUUACGCUGGCUUGAAUUUCGCUUCUAGCAAUAUUUUGGACUCCGCCUCAGGUGGAACGUUCAUGGAAAUCACAUUAGGAGACGCUACAAAACUCCUAGACAAUAUCAUGACCAACUACUCUCAGUGGCAUACUGAAAGGUCACCUGCUAGCAAAAAGGUGCACGCUAUAGAAGAAAUUAACUCCCUUAGUGCUAAGAUGGACGAGUUGAUGAAUUUGGUUGCUAGUAGAAACGCUACCGUAGAUCCUAAUGACAUGCCACUAUCUUCUUUUAUUGAGAGUAGCAACACUAGUUUGGACGUGAAUUUUGUUGGUAGGAACAAUUUUGGCAACAACAAUGCUUUUAGAGGAAACUAUGUUCCUAGGCCUUUUCCUAGUAACUCCUCUAACAAUUAUGGCAAUUCCUACAACAACACUUAUGGAAAUCACAACAAAUUACCCUCUCAUUUAGAGAGUAAUAUCAAAGAGUUCAUCAACUCUCAAAAUAUUUUCAAUGCGUCCAUAGAGGAAAAACUACUCAAAAUUGACGAUUUGGCUAAGAGCGUUGAUAGGAUGUCUUGUGAUAUUGAUGCUUUGAAAGUUAGAUGCGCUCCUCCCAAGGUCAACUUGGAUGAAACUUAGAAAGCUAUGCGUAUCUCCAUGAAUGAGAGCAAAGAAAGAACCGCCCAAAUUCGUGCUAGGCAUGAAUGGUUUAAAAGGGUGCGUUCUAGUGAUGCAAAUCACGAAGAUAUUAAAGUGCUUGGUGUGUCUCCUCUUGAAUCUUUGUUUUCGCGUGUCAAACCUAUUUAUGGAGGGGCUGGAUAUGAAUCCACUUUGGUUGAAAAACUCCCCAAUGAUUCGGAGUCCACCUAUCUUGAUGAUAAAGGUGUGGAGAGUGGAGUAGAAGAAAUCAAAAUUAUGGGUAGUAAUGAAACUCCCACUUUGGAUUUCAAGGAAUUCAAUUAUGAUAAUUUCUCCUUGUUUGAAUGCAUUUCUUUGAUGCAAUCCGUUGCAAACUCUCCACACGCUUAUAGCCAAAGCAAAACCUUUACCGCGCAUAUCAUAGAUGCUAUGAUGAAAUCUCUUGAAGAGAAGCUCGAACUAGAAGUCUCUAUAACUAGAAAACUUCAUGAUGAGUGGGAACCUACUAUCAAAAUCAAGAUCAAAAACUAUGAGUGCAAUGCUUUGUGUCAUUCGGGUGCUAGUGUUUCGGUGAUUCCAAAGUCUUUAUGUGAUAUUCUUGGUUUUCAUGAGAUUGAAGAGUGUUCUCUUAAUUUGCAUCUUGCGGAUUCUACUGUCAAGAAACGCAUGGGAAGGAUCGAUGAUGUUCUUAUUGUUGCAAAUAAGAACUAUGUACCCAUGGAUUUCAAUGUACUUGACAUAGAUUGCAAUCCUUCAUGUCCCAUUAUUCUUGGUAGACCUUUCCAAAGGACUAUUGGUGCUAUCAUCGAUAUGAAGGAAGGGAAUAUUAGAUUUCAAUUUCCUUUAAAGAAGGGCAUGGAGCACUUUCCUAGAAAUAAAAUAAGAUUGCCUUAUGAAUCUAUGAUGAGGGCUACUUAUGGUUUGAGAACCAAAGAUGACUAUACGUGAUUCCAUCACCUUUCACCUAGCUAAGGGCGUUAAACAAAAGCGCUUUUUGGGAGGCAACCCAACGAAUCUAUCCUUUUUCUUUAUGUUUUGUGUUUUCCACACUUUCAUAAUUCUGUUAUGAUUGUGUUUUUUGAGUUUCUUUUUGCGUUUGUGCCAAGCAAAACCAUUAUGAUUAUUCUCGGGGAUGAUCGUUUGGUCAUGCUGGAAAAGACAGAAACCGUUCCGCUCACGAAAAUCAUUUUCAUUUUUUUUCUGUAAGAGCUUUUUAGUUGAUUCAUUUCUCUUCUGAUUGCUACGCAAAUUCUUCGGACUGUCGUAAUGUUUCAGAAUUUUUGAAGUACCAGAGGUAUACAAAAUAUACAGAUUGCUACAGACUAGUCUGCUGUUAACAGACUCUGUUUUUGUUGUGUUGGUUGCUUAUUUUGAUGAAACUAUGGAUAGUAUAGGGGGGUAUUAGCCAUGGAAGAUUGAAAAUACAGUAACUCAACAUCAGCACAAGUAUAAUUUAAGUUUGCUACAGUACCUAAGGAAGUGGUGGUUUGCUUUCUCAUACUAAUGUUAUCACGAGUUUCUGUUUAAGUUUCGUGUUGUGAAGUUUUCAAGUUUUCGGUGAAGUUCUUAUGGACAAAGAGAUAAAGAGUGGCAAGAGCUCAAGCUUGGUAAUGCCCAAGGCACCCCAAGAUAUUCAAGGAUGUCGUAAAAGCCUAAGCUGGGGGAUGCCCCGGGAAGGCAUCCCCUCUCUCGUCUUCAAUCCAUCGGUAACGUUACUUGGGGCUAUAUUUUUAUUCACGACAUGUUAUGUGUUUUUGCUUGGAGCGUCUUGUAUCGUAGGAGUCUUUUAUUUUUGUUGUGUCACAAUCAUCCUUUCUACACACCUAGAGAGAGAGACAUGCAUGCACCGUGAUUUUGUCGAGCUUCACUUAUAUCUUUUGGUAGACAAUUCAGCUCACAUGUGCUUCACUUAUAUCUUUUGAGCUAGAUACUUUAGCUCUAUGUGCUUCACUUAUAUCUUUUAGAGCGCAGCGGUGCGUGGCUUGGUAGUUGAUCUAUGCUUUGAAAGUAGUCUCAAAAGGGGUAGUUAUCCAAAGGGAUACGAAAACUUCCACCUUCAUGUGCAUUGAAUAGUUAGAGAACUUUGAUUCAUCUCAAUUAGUUUUGAGUUGUGGUUAUGGAAAUAUUGAAGUCAUGCUAGUAAGGUGUUGUGGAUCUAGAAAUACUUGUCGUGAAGUUAGUGAUUCCCGUAGCAUGCACGUAUGGUGAACCGCUAUGUGAUGAAAUCUGAGCAUGAUUAGUCUAUUGAUUGUCAUCCAUUGCGUGGCGGUCGGGAUCGCGCGAUGAUUUAUACCUACCAACCCUUCCCCUAGGAGUAGGCGUUGAAUGCUUUGUUUCGAUUACUAAUAAAACUUUUGCAACAAGUAUAUGAGUUCUUCAUGACUAAUGUUGAGUCCAUGGUAUAGAUGCACUUUCACCUUCCACCAUCACUAUCUUCUUAGUGCCGUGCAACUUUCGCCGGUGCACAAAACCCACCAUCAGCCUCCCUCAAAACAGCCACCAUACCUACCUACUAUGGCUUUUUCAAAGACAUUCCGAGAUAUAUUGCCAUGCAACUACCACCAUCACAUGUGCCACCACGUCUACAUUGCCUUUGCAUGAUCGUAAGAUAGCUAGCAUGAUGUUUCCAUUGAUGUCUAUGCCAUGCUAGAUCAUUGCUACGGUACACUACCGAAGGCAUUCCAUAUAGAGUCAUUGUUGCUCUAAGUUUUGAGUUGAAAGUGUGAUGAUCAUAAUUAAUGGAUCAUUGUCCCAUGUGAGGAAAUAAAAGAGGCCAAAGAAGCCCACCAAAAUAAAUAAAAAAUAAAAAAAGAGGCCAAAGAGCCCACCAAAAAAAUGAGAGAAAAAGAGAGAGGGACAAUGCUACCACUUUUUCCACACUUGUGCAUAUUAAGCACCAAGAUCUUCAUGAUUGAGAGUCUCUCGUCUUGUCACCACCAUAUAGCUAGUGGGAAAUUUUCAUUAUAUAACUUGGCUUGUAUAUUCCAAUGAUAGGCUUCCUCAAAAUUGCCUUAGGUGUUCGUGAGCAAGCAAGUUGGAUGCACACCCACUAGUUUUCUUGAAGAGCUUUCACAUACUCGUAGCUCUAGUGCAUCAUUUGCAUGGCAAUCCCUACUCAUUCACAUUGAUAUCUAUUGAUGAGCAUAUCCACGGCUCAUUGAUAUGCCUAGUUAAUGUGACUAUCUUCUCCUUUUUUGUCUUGCAACCUCCACCACACUCCACACCAUCUAUAGUGCUAUAACCAUGGCUCACGCUCAUGUAUUGCGUGAGAGUUGAAAAGGUUUGAGAAAGUAAAGGUGUGAAACAAUUACUUGGCCAAUACCGGGGUUGUGCAUGAUUUAAAUUCGUUGUGAAAUGAUGAUAGAGCAUAGCCAGACUAUAUGCUUUUGUAGAGAUAACUUUCUUUUGGCCUUGUUAUUUUGAAAGUUCAUGAUUACCUUGCUAGUUUGCUUGAAUUAUUAUUGUUUCCAUGUCAAUAGAAAACUAUUGUUUUGAAUCUAAUGGAUCUGAACAUUCACGUCACAUAAGAGGAGUUACAAAGGACAUCUAUGCUAGGUAGCAUGAAAGCAUCAAAAAAUAAUUCUUUAUCACUUCCCUACUCGAGGACGAGGAGCAGUUAAGCUUGGGGAUGCUUGAUAUUGUUGGAAUUAUGCCCUAGAGGGAAUGAUAAAUAAGUUAUUAUUAUAAUUCCUGUGUCAAGAUAAUCGAUUAUUAUCCGUGCUAUAAUUGUAUUGAAUGAAGACUUAGAUACAUGUGUGGAUACAUAGACAAAACACUGUCCCUAACAAGCCUCUAGUUGGCUAGCCAGUUGAUCAAGGAUAGUCACGGUCUUCUGACUAUGUACAAGGUGUUGUUGCUUGAUAACCAAAUCACAUCAUUGGGAGAAUCAUGUGAUGGACUAGACCCGAACUAAUAGACGUAGCAUGUUGAUUGUGUCAUUUUGUUGCUACUGUUUUCUACGUGUCAAGUAUUUAUUCCUAUGACCAUGAGAUCAUAUAACUCACUGACACCGAAGGAAUACUUUGUGUGUAUCAAACGUCACAACGUAACUGGGUGGCUAUAAAGAUUCUCUACACGUAUCUCCAAAGGUGUCCGUUGAGUUAGUAUGGAUCAAGACUGGGAUUUGUCACUCGUGUGACGGAGAGGUAUCUCGCGGCCCACUCGGUAAUACAACAUCGCACACAAGCCUUGCAAGCAAUGUGACUUAGUGUAAGUUGCGGGAUCUUGUAUUACGGAACGAGUAAAGAGGCUAGUAGGUAAACGAAAUUGAAAUAGGUGUGCGGAUACUGACGAUCGAAUCUCGGGCAAGUAACAUACCGAAGGACAAAGGGAAUGACAUACGGGAUUAUAUGAAUCCUUGGCACUGAGGUUCAAACGAUAAGAUCUUCGUAGAAUAUGUAGGAUCCAAUAUGGGCAUCCAGGUCCCACUAUUGGAUAUUGACCGAGGAGUCCCUCGGGUCAUGUCUACAUAGUUCUCGAACCCAUAGGGUCUGCACACUUAAGGUUCGACGUUGUUUUAUGCGUAUUUGAGUUAUAUGGUUGGUUAACGAAUGUUGUUCGGAGUCCCGGAUGAGAUCACGGACGUCACGAGGGUUUCCGGAAUGGUCCGAAGACGAAGAUUGAUAUAUAGGAUGACCUCAUUUGAUUACCGGAAGGUUUUCAGAAUUACCGGGAAUGUACCGGGAAUGACGAAUGGGUUCCGGAUGUUCACCGGGGGGGGGGGGGCAGCCCACCCCGGGGAAGCCCAUAGGCCUUAGGGGUGCCGCACCAGCCCUUAGUGGGCUGGUGGGCAAGCCCAGAGAGGCCCCUGCGCAGGGAGAUAGAAAAUCAAAGGAGAAAAAAAAGGGGAAGUGUGAAGGAAGGGAAGGACUCCACCAUCCAAUCCUAGUUGGACUAGGAUUGGAGGAGGACUCCUCCUCCCCCCCAUCGGCCGUACCCCUUGGGGCUCCUUGAUCCCCAAGGCAAGGCCCCUCCUCUCCCCCCUAUAUAUACGGAGGUUUUAGGGGCUGAUUUGAGACAACUUUUCCACGGCAGCCCGACCACAUACCUCCACGGUWYKUCCUCUAGAUCGCGUUUCUGCGGAGCUCGGGCGAAGCCCUGCUGAGAUUAGAUCACCCCCACCUCUGGAGCGCCGUCAAUCUAUCGGAGAACUCAUCUACCUCUCCGUCUUUCUUGCUGGAUCAAGAAGGCCGAGAUCAUCGUCGAGUUGUACGUGUGCUGAACGCGGAGGUGCCGUCCGUUCGGCACUAGAUCAGAGCGGAUCGCGGGACGGUUCGUGGGACGGUUCGCGGGGCGGAUCGAGGGACGUGAGGACUUUCCACUACAUCAACCGCGUUUAUUAACGCUUCUGCUGUGCGAUCCACAAGGGUACGUAGAUAUGAAAUCCCCCUCGUAGAUGAACAUCACCAUGAUAGGUUUUCAUGCGCGUAGGAAAAUUUUUGUUUCCCAUGCGACGUUCCGCAACAGUGGCAUCAUGAGCUAGGUUCAUGCAUAGAUGUCUUCUCGAAUAGAACACAAAAGUUUUUGUGGGCGGUGAUGUGCGAUUUUCUGCCCUGCUUAGUCUUUUCUUGAUUCCGCGAUAUUGUUGGAUCAAAGCGGCUCGGACCGACAUUACUCGUACGCUUACGAGAGACUGGUUUCAUCGCUACGAGUAACUCCGUUGCUGAUAGAUGACUGGUGAGUGUCAGUUUCUCCAACUUUAGUUGAAUCGGAUUUGACCGAGGAGGUCCUUGGAUGAGGUUAAAUAGCAAUUCAUAUAUCUCCGUUGUGGUGUUUGCGAAGUAAGAUGCGAUCCUACUAGAUACCCAUGGUCACCACGUAAAACAUGCAACAACAAUUAGAGGACGUCUAACUUGUUUUUGCAGGGUAUGUUGUGAUGUGAUAUGGCCAAUGAUGUGAUGUGAUAUAUUGGAUGUAUGAGAUGAUCAUGUUGUAAUAGUUAAUAUCGACUUGCACGUCGAUGGUACGGCAACCGGCAGGAGGCAUAGGGUUGUCUUUAAACUAACGUUUGUGCUUGCAGAUGCGUUUACUAUAUUCCUAGGAUAUAGCUUUAGUAGUAAUAGCAUGAGUAGCACGACAACCCCGAUGGCGACACGUUGAUGGAGAUCAUGGUGUGGCGCCGGUGACAGAAGAUCGUGCCGGUGCUUUGCUGAUGAAGAUCAAGAAGCACGUGAUGAUGCCCAUAUCAUGUCACUUAUGAAUUGCAUGUGAUGUUAAUCCUUUUAUGCACCUUAUUUUUCUUACAACGACGGUAGCAUUACGAGGCGAUCUCUCACUAAAAUUUCAAGACAAAAUUGUGUUCUCCCCGACUGUGCACCGUUGCUACAGUUUGUCGUUUCGAGACACCACGUGAUGAUCACAUGUGAUAGACUCAACGUUCACAUACAACGGGUGCAAAACAGUUGCACAUGAAGAACACUCGGGUUAAGCUUGGCGAGCCUAGCAUGUGCAGACAUGGCCUCGGAACACAUGAGACCGAAAGGUCGAUCAUGAAUCUUAUAGUUGAUAUGAUUAGCAUAGGGAUGCUUACCAUUGAACUAUCCUCAACUCACGUGAUGAUCGGACUUGAGCUAGUGGAAUUGGAUCAUGAACCACUCAAAUGACUAGAGAGAUGUACUUUUUGAGUGGGAGUUUAGCAAGUAAUUUGAUUAAGUUCAACUCUAAUUAUCUUGAAUAUAUUUCUGUUGUAGAUCAUGGCUCACGCAACAGUCACCCUGAAUUUUAAUAUGUUCCUAGAGAAAGCUAAGUUGAAAGAUGAUGGAAGCAACUUUGUAGACUGGGCUCGUAAUCUUAAGUUGAUCCUACAAGCUGGGAAGAAGGAUUAUGUCCUUGAUGCUGCGCUAGGAGAUGAACCACCCGCUACGGCUGACCAAGAUGUUAAGAACGCUUGGUUAACACGUAAGGAGGACUACUCAGUAGUUCGAUGUGCAGUCUUGUAUGGCUUAGAACCGGGACUUCAACGUCGCUUUCAGCGUCAUGGAGCAUAUGAGAUGUUCCAGGAGUUGAAGUUUAUCUUUCAGAAGAAUGCCCGGAUCGAGAGGUAUGAGACCUCCGAUAAAUUCUAUGCUUGCAAGAUGGAGGAGAAUUCGUCUGUCAGUGAACACGUGCUCAAAAUGUCUGGGUACUCAAACCGUCUAGCUGAGCUGGCGAUUGAACUCCCGCAAGAGGCUAUCACUGAUAGAAUUCUUCAAUCAAUGCCACCAAGCUAUAAGGGCUUUGUGUUGAACUACAACAUGCAAGGGAUGAACAAGUCACCCGGCGAGUUGUUCGCGAUGCUGAAAGUUGCAGAGUCAGAACUCCGUAAAGAACAUCAAGUGUUUAUGGUGAAUAAGACCACUAGUUUCAAGAGAAACGACAAAGGAAAGAAGGGUACUUCAAAGAAGAGUGGCAAACCUGUUGCCAAUCCGACGAAGAAACCCAAAGCUGGACCUAAGCCUGAAACGGAGUGCUAUUAUUGCAAGGGUAUGUGUCACUGGAAGCGCAACUGCCCCAAGUAUCUGGCUGAUAAGAAGGCGGCCAAAUAAAAAUCAGGUAUAUUUGAUAUACAUGUUAUUGAUGUGUACUUAACCAGCUCUCGUAGUAGUGCCUGGGUAUUCGAUACCGGUUCUGUUGCUCAUAUUUGCAACUCGNNNNNNNNNNNNNNNNNNNNNNNNNNNNNNNNNNNNNNNNNNNNNNNNNNNNNNNNNNNNNNNNNNNNNNNNNNNNNNNNNNNNNNNNNNNNNNNNNNNNCACGACGAGGAGCCUGGUAAGCCUCGUGGUCGCCCUUUGUGUUCCUUAUUUCCAAGGGCGCGUGUGAGCUCGUCGUUCUCUCUAUCGGAUAAGAACCGUCCCUCUUCAACAUCCUGUACGGCACGUCUAAUCUCCUCGAUGGGUAGGGGAUUAUCUUUGUGUCUUUGGUUAUAUAUUGCCUUCCCUUCUGCGUCCAACAAGCCCCCAUGCCCGUAAAACCAGUUUCUUGCCCGUUCGAGCCAUUUUAAGGGCUCUGAAGUGAUAUUUUUGUCCAGAAAUGAUGCCUCAAGUUGUUCCCACUUAGCCAUCUUAGCGUUGUAGCCACCAGGCCCCAUAAUAUGGUGGUACUUCUUCUUACGUGCAUUCAUCUUAUUUGUUGCAGACUUUUUCAAGGCGUCCUCCGAUUUCCUGUACGCCACAAAUUCGGCCGAGUAGUCUUUAAUCUUCUCAUAGCCGUGAUCGAAAUCUGGAGUCUUAUCUUUCAAGAUAAAAUCCUGCUGCAAUCUUUUUUUCCAGCCCCUAAAUAGAUCGGCCAUCUUCUUAAGAGCCCACUCCUUGACUUUUUUCUCUAGGGCCUUGAUACGUCUCUUUUGCCCUUGUUUUGGACUCUGAUUUGCAUGAUUUGAAUGGAACUAACCCGGACUAACGUUGUUUUCAGCAGAAUUGCCAUGGUGUUGUUUUUGCGCAGAAAUAAAAGUUCUCGGAAUGACCUAAAAAUUUACGGAGAAUUUUUCUGGAAUUAAUGAAAAAUACUGGCGCAAGAAUCAACCGGAAGGGUGGAGCUGUGAGCCCACAAGCCCACCAGGCGCGGGCCCCCUUGGCCGCGCCUGGCAGGCUUGUGGGGCCCACGUUGCUCCACCGCCUCCAAUCUCAGCUCUAUUUAGUCUGUCUCGCCCGAAAAAAAAUCAAGGAGAAGAGUCCAUCGCGUUUUAUGAUGCGCCUCACCUCCUGUUCUUCAUCUGGUGGGCAGAUCUGGAGUCCGUUUUGGGCUCCGGAGAGGGGAAAUCNNNNNNNNNNNNNNNNNNNNNNNNNNNNNNNNNNNNNNNNNNNNNNNNNNNNNNNNNNNNNNNNNNNNNNNNNNNNNNNNNNNNNNNNNNNNNNNNNNNNUCAAGUCCCUCCGCCGAUGCCCGUCUUCUCUUCGAUUGGCACGGUGAGUUUCAUUAUAAACUAGUAUUAAUAAUUGAGUGUCAUCAUGCUAACUGAGACACUGCAAAAUAUCUAUUCUGCAGAAUAACUCCCGAGCGGCAUCGCACGACCCUUCUCUAGGUGUUUCUCCUCCUUGAUGACCACUACAGUAAGUUUCUCUUCUCCUCUUUCAUAUUCUCCUUGCCUUAAUUUCCCCAACAAUGACAUAGUUAGCCCAUUUAGCUCCAAAAAGACAUAAUUAGCCCAUUUAGCUCCAAAAUGCCAUAAUAAGCUCAAAAUGGCAUAAGAACCUUGGUUAGCUCAUUAAUAUUAUAUACUUAGCUUGUUUUCCUCUAAAAUGAGAUAAUUAGCCCAUUUAGCUCCAAAAAGACAUAGUUAGCUAAUUUAGCUCCAAGAAGAGGAGAAGCGGAGAAGAAAUAGGAAAAAAUGAAAAUAAAGAAGAAGAAGAAGAAGAGAAGAAGGAGAAGGAGGAGGAGGAGCAAGAGAAGGAGGAGAAGGCCAAGGACCUUCUAGUCCUUCUCCUCCUCCUCCUCCUUCUCCUUCUUCUCUUCUUCUUCUUCUUCUUCUUUCUUUUCAUUUUUCCUAUUUCUUCUCAUCUUCUCCUCUUGUUGGAUCUAAAUUACCUAAUUAUGUCUUUUCGGAGCUAAAUGGGCUAAUUAUCCAAUUUUAGAGGAAAACAAGCUAAGUAUAUAAUAUUAAUGAGCUAACCAAGGUUCUUAUGCCAUUUUGAGGUUAUCAUGGCAUUUUGGAGCUAAAUGGGAUAAUCAUGUCAUUCUUGGGGAAAUUAAAGCAAGGAUAAUAUGAAAGAGGAGAAGAAAGAGGAGCAGGAGAAGAAGAAGAAAUCAAGAAGAAGGAGGAGAAGGAGGAGAAGGAGGAGGAGGAAAAGGACUAGAAGGUCCUUGGCCUUCUCCUCCUCCUCCUCCUCCUUCUCCUUCUUCUCUUCUUCUUCUUCUUCUUCUUUCUUUUCAUUUUUCCUAUUUCUUCUCCUCUUCUCCUCUUGUUGGAGCUAAAUUACCUAAUUAUGUCUUUUUGGAGCUAUAUGGGCUAAUUAUACCAUUUUAGAGGAAAACAAGCUAAGAAUAUAAUAUUCAUGAGCUAACCAAGGUUCUUAUGCCWWUUUGAGCUUAUUAUGGCAUUUUGGAGCUAAAUGGGCUAAUUAUGUCAUUGUUGGGGAAAUUAAAGCAAGGAUAAUAUGAAAGAGGAGAAGAAAUAGGAGGAGUAGGAGAAGAAGAAGAAAUCAAGAAGAAGGACGAGAAGGAGGAGCAGGAGGAGGAGGAGAAGGACUAGAAGGUCCUUGGCCUUCUCCUCCUUCUCCACCUCCUCCUCCUCCUUCUCCUUAUUCUCUUCUUCUUCUUCUUUCUUUUCAUUUUUCCUAUUUCUUCUCAUCUUCUCCUCUUGUUGGAGCUAAAUUACCUAAUUAUGUCUUUUUGGAGCUAAAUGGGCUAAUUACCCCAUUUUAGAGGAAAACAAGCUAAGUAUAUAAUAUUAAUGAGCUAACCAAGGUUCUUAUGCCAUUUUUGAGGUUAUCAUGGCAUUUUGGAGCUAAAUGGGAUAAUCAUGUCAUUCUUGGGGAAAUUAAAGCAAGGAUAAUAUGAAAGAGGAGAAGAAAGAGGAGCAGGAGAAGAAGAAGAAAUCAAGAAGAAGGAGGAGAAGGAGGAGAAGGAGGAGGAGGAAAAGGACUAGAAGGUCCUUGGCCUUCUCCUCCUCCUCCUCCUCCUUCUCCUUCUUCUCUUCUUCUUCUUCUUCUUCUUUCUUUUCWWUUUUCCUAUUUCUUCUCCUCUUCUCCUCUUGUUGGAGCUAAAUUACCUAAUUAUGUCUUUUGGAGCUAUAUGGGCUAAUUAUACCAUUUUAGAGGAAAACAGCUAAGAAUAUAAUAUUCAUGAGCUAACCAAGGUUCUUAUGCCUAUUUGAGGUUAUUAUGGCAUUUUGGAUCUAAAUGGGCUAAUUAUGUCCUUGUUGGGGAAUUAAGGCAAGGAGAAUAUGAAUGAGGAGAAGNNNNNNNNNNNNNNNNNNNNNNNNNNNNNNNNNNNNNNNNNNNNNNNNNNNNNNNNNNNNNNNNNNNNNNNNNNNNNNNNNNNNNNNNNNNNNNNNNNNNAAACUUCCAACCCAAAUCGCCGCAGUUCGAUCGCCUUCCUCGUCUCGCUCGCCUCUGCAAUCGGACGAACUCGUGACGCCGCCAGGCUGCGCGCCGUCGCCAUCGCCCUUGCCGACCUCCUCGCCGUUGUCGUCGCCCCUGCCAUCCUCCUCGUCGUCGCUGUCGCCCCUGCCGUCCUCCUCGUCGUCGCUGUCGCCCUGCCUUCCUCCUCGCCGUCACCGUACACGCGUCGUUGCCCCUGCGUCGUACCUCCUCACCGUCGUCACCGUUGUGCGCCCUGCCGCCGUCCUCCUCGCCGGCACCAGACCUCCCCGCCGGUGAGCCUCUCUCCUCUCCUCUCCUCUCGAUCGAUCGUCGAUCGACAUGCAUGUGUACGUAUAUGUGUAUAAUUGUUUAAUUAGUGUUUUGUAGAUUAUAUGUAUGUGCUUAAUUGUUUAGGGUUAGUUCUUUGUAGAUUACUUAGGGUUAGUGUUUUGUAGAUUAUUGCUUAAUUAGUGUUUUGUAGAAUAUUUGGUGAAUUUAGGGUUAGGUAGGUUAGUAGUGUUAAAUAUGUUAAUUAGUGUUAACUAGUUAGUUUAGGGCCUUUUAGUUUAAUUAGUAGAUUAAUUAGGUUAUUUAUAGAUUAGGUAGAUGCUUAAUUAGUAGAUUAGGUUAUUUAUGUUAUUUUUUUGUUACAUAAAUUUGUGAUGAAAUCUUUAAAAGUUCUAAUAUUUUGGAACGGAGGUAGUACAAGUUUAGAAAAAAUUAUUAAAUAGUAGGACAUACGAUGUCCGGCCCACAUCCUCGUCGUCGACUCGGCGACGGCCACCUGCUUGAUAGGCGCCAGCAUGUGCGGGACUCGGCUCCACCGGGCUGGCACUCGGAGGAGUUAUCUUCCGAGGCGCGCAUCUUGGUGAGGAAUGAGGCUCCCGUCGUCGACCCGGAGCUCUUUGGUGGCGGUCGCGGGGGCCACUUUCGGUGCCUACCUUGCCGGCCCCCGAGGAGGACGUACGUCGCUGUGUCAGGGAGGAGGACGAGCACGUCCGUCGGUACAUGGAGGCAUUGGAUGCCAGGUUCUCCAGUACCUGGAAGGUUCUUCAGGGAUCUCACCCGAGCUAUGAUCCGAUGAUGGUCCCUGCUCUUUGGUUGUCCACUGCCCGCGCCUCAGUACAACGAUGACUCUUUGUUGGUUGAUCAGUUAUAUAUUACUCGAUGUAUCACUGUAUUAGAGAGAUGUAUUAUUUAUGUAUUCCAGAUUAUAUAUUCAAUAAUAUUAAGUGGAUUAUUCGAUGAUGCAUUAAUUAAGUGGAUUAUUCGAUGAUGUUUAAUUAAUUUGUAGAUACUAUGGAUCCAAUACACGACAGAGACGAAUAUCACGAAGACGUGAUGCAUGGUGUCAUCCGCGGGGAUGAUAUUUUAGUUCACGAUGUUGAUGUCACCAAUCAGUUUCUGAACGAGUCCGGUGAGGGGGAUUAGUCUCUCAACACAUGAGGUAGACGCCCACACCCACGCCUCGGGUGAGGGAGGAAUCGGCGGCUCCAAUGAGGAAGAAGCCGACAAGGGAGAAACCGACCGCUCCGGCGAGGUGCAUAUAUGUAUAAAUAAAUUAAUCCUCUGUUGUCUAUAUACAUAUAUUAACGCUCUUUCUUUUAGCCCUCCGGAUCGAGCAAAUUUUCGGUACGGACGAAACGAGGCCCAACCAAGAAGCCGGAUGACGAUGAGAGAUACAAGAUUGAAAUAAUCACAAAUGCCGGGCAACCAAUUGCUCCCAUAGAUGUAAAGCAUAAGUUUGUGAAGGCAUGCGGAGUUGUUGUUAGGGACCACAUUCCUAUCACCACUCGAGAAUGGAUUAAGCCAAGGGAGGAACGAGUCUCAUAUGUUGGCACAGAAGCCAAAGAAAACCUUUGGAUAAAGCUCAUGCUUCAUUUCACCCUGCCGGUGCCAGAGGUGGAUCCACAUGAGGACGAAAUGAAUAGGCGAAAAGAGGCCUGAUAACCACAAGUAUAGGGGAUCGCAACAGUUUUCGAGGGUAGAGUAUUCAACCCAAAUUUAUUGAUUUGACUCAAGGGGAAGCGAAAGAAUAUUCUCAAGUAUUAGCAGUUGAGUUGUCAAUUCAACCACACCUGAAAGAUUUAGUAUCUGCAGCAAAGUAUCAGUAGCAAAGUAGGGUGAUAGCAGCAGUAGCAACAGUAACCAGUAACAGCAAAGUAACAACAGUAGCAACAGAGUAACAGUAGCAGCAGUGACAGUAGUAGCAGCAAAGUAACGUAGCAAGGACAAGUAGUAAAAGACUCGUAGGCAUUGGAUCGGUGAUGGAUGAUUAUGCCGGAUGCUAUUCAUCAUGCAACUGUUAUAACACGGAGAGAUAAGUAACUAGCUCCAGUUCGUCAAUCUAAUGUAGGCAUGUAUUCCAUACGUAGUCAUACGUGCUUAGGGAAAAGAACUUGCAUGACAUCUAUUGUCCAUCCCUCCUGCGGCAGCAGGGUCCUAAUGGAAACUACGGGAUAUUAAGGUUCUCCUUUUAAUAAAGAACCGGACCAACGCAUUAACACUUGGUGAAUACAUGAACUCCUCAUACUAUGGUCAUCUCCGGGAGUGGUUCCGGCUAUUGUCACUCCAGGGUUGCCGGGUCAUAACACAUAGUAGGUGACUACAACUUGCAAGAUAGGAUCAAGAACACACAUAUAUUGGCGACAACAUAAUAGGUUCAGAUCUGAAAUCAUGGCAAUCGGGCCCUAGUGACAAGCAUUAAGCAUGGCAAAGUAGUAGCAACAUCAAUCUCAGAACAUAGUGGAUACUAGGGAUCAAUCCCCAUCAAAAGUAACUCGAUUACAUGAUAGAUCUCAUCCAACCCAUCACCGUCCAGGAAGCCUACGAUGAGAUUACUCACGGGCGGUGAACAACAUCAUGGAAUUGGCGAUGAAGGAAGGUUGAUGAUGACGAUGGCGACGAUCUCCCCUCUCCGGAGCCCAGAACGGACUUCAGAUCUGCCCUCCAGAUGAAGAACAGGAGGUGGCGGCGCCUCCGUAUCGUAAAACGUGAUGAUCCCUUCUCCUUGAUUUGUUUUUCGAGCGAGAUAGACUAAAUAUAGCUAAGAUUGGAGGCGGUGGAGCGUCGUGGGCUUGCCAGGCGCGGCCAGGGGGGCCCGCGCCUAGUGGGCUUGUGGGAUCCACGCUCCACAUCCUCCGCUGAUUCUUGCGCCAGUAUUUUUCAUUAAUUCCAGAAAAAUUCUCCGUAAAUUUUUAUGUCAUUCCGAGAACUUCUAUUUCUGCGCAAAAACAACACCAUGUCAAUUCUGCUGAAAACAACGUUAGUCCGGGUUAGUUCCAUUCAAAUCAUGCAAAUUAUUGUCCAAAACAAGGGCAAAAGAGUUCGAAAAAGUAGAUACGACGAAGACGUAUCAAAUCCCCCAAGCUUAAAGUCUUGCUUGUCCUCAAGCAAUUCAGUUGACAAUCUGAAAGAGACAAAAGAAAAACUUUGACGAACUGUGUUUGAUCUGGUUGUUGCAACUAUGUCUAACUCAUAACGAGAGUUUCAGCAAGAUCACAAGCUAACCACAUAAGAAAAUGACACCUAGGUCUCACGGUAAACUCAUAUCAAUGGCAUAAUCAACUAGCGAGCAAAUAAUAAUAAGUCUCAAACGUCAACACUUCAAUCAAAACAAUCAUGAAGCAGUACGAACAGAUGGUAUCUCACUAGCUCUUUCUGAGACUGCAAAACAUAAAUGCAGAGCACCUUCAAAGACCAAGGGCUGACUAAACAUUGUAAUUCAUGGCAAAGAAGAUCCAGUCACAGUCAUACUCAACACAGUUAAAAGCAAAGCAUAAAAAUGAGGGAGGUGCGCUCUAAUUGGUGCUUUUAUAAGAGGAGGAUGACUCAACAGGAACAUAAAUAGACAGGCCCUUCGCAGAUGCAAGCAUUGAUUUGCAGAGGUGCGAGAGCUCAAGCUUUGAAAACAGAGAUAAUAAUUCUGGGUGGCAUGCUUUCUUUGUCAACGCAAUGACUAAGAGUUCUCACCAUCUUCCACGCUACACAUGCUAUAGGCGGUUCCCAAACAGAAAAGUAAAGUUUUGACUCCCCCACCACCAAUCAAUCACACUCCACGGCUAGCCGAAUCCUCGGGUACCAUCCAUACCAACAUCAAUCCUGGGGGAGUUUUGUUUGCAAUUAUCUUUUCGAUUUGAGCAUGGAACUGGGAAUUCCAAUUACCGUCCCCUUUCUCGUGAAUGAUAGUGAAUAAAUACAUAUCGAGGAUAACACGCCUAGCAUGGAAGAUACUGAUAGCCCCCUGUCACCACAUGAGCGGUUCGGGCAUGGAAAACAGAUUAUUUCUUGAAGAUUUGGAGAGUGGCACAUGCAAAUUUACUUGGAACGGCAGGUAGAUACCGCAUAUAGGUAGGUAUCGUGGACUCAUAUGGAACAACUUUGGGUUUAUGGAAGUGGAUGCACAAGGAGUAUUCCCGUUUGGUACAAGUGAAGGCUAGCACAAGACUGGGAAGCGACCAACUAGAGAGCAACAACAGUCAUCAAAAUGCAUUGAGAUUAACUAACAUUGAGUGCAAGCAUGAGUAGGACAUAAAUCACCAUGAACAUGAACAUCAUAGAGGCUAUGUUGAUUUUGUUUCAACUACACGCGUAAACAUGCGCCAAGUCAAGCCACUUGAAUCAUUCAAAGGAGGAUACCAUCCUAUCAUACUACAUCAUAGUCAUCUCAAAAUUCAUGUCGGCAUCCAAGACAAACCAUUAUAAGCUCCUAGAUAAUUAAGUAUGGCAUGAGCAACUAUGAUCUCUAAGUUGUCAUUGCAAACAUGUUUCUCUCACAACAUAGCUGAAUCACGCACGAUGAGCUAGUCAUAUUUACAAAACAAAAUAGAUCGAGUUCAUACCAGCUUUUCCAGGCUCAGUCACUUCAUCAUAUAUCGUCAUUAUUGCCUUUCACUUGCACGACCGAAUGAUGUGAACAAUAAUAAGUGUGCUCGUGCAUCGGACUAAAGCUGGAAUCUGCAGGCAAACACAAAGGAGAAGACAAAGUAAUAUGGCUCUUUGACAGCUAAACAGGUAUGCAUGCGAGAGCCACUAAACAUUGUAACCAUUAUCUUCUACCUUGACCCAAAGAAAAAGAAAACUAUUUACAUGGGAAAGCUCCCAACAAGCAAAAGAUGAAAAAUAAAAUAUUUUUGUGUUUUCUAAAACUAGACAGACACACGAAAAGAAAACGUGAAAAAGGAAAUAAACUAGCAUGGAUGAUAAAGUGGCAAAGUGUGAACACCGACGAACAAAAUGAAAGCAUAAGCAAGAAUGUAAAGUCCGUGAGAAACACGUACUCCCCCAAGCUUAUGCUUUUGGCCUAAGUUGGUCUACUUCCAAGGAUGGUCUGGGCGAUACCCAAAAUCAUAAUGAGGGUUGUACGGGAGCGCUGCAGCCACUGCCUGAAUAGCUGCCUCACGGAGACGAGCAACCUUUGCCUCCCUCUCAUACUCCUCUGCCUCUCCUCUUGUUAUAUAAUAUCUCUGUUUUACCUGAAAGUCAAAGAAGGAACGAGGAGGAAGGGUAAUAUGGAAAACACGCUGCCGGUUAAAUAUCAAACGGUAUAGGAGGGAUUCAUCAUCCCUCUCAAGGAACUGAUAGCGUGUCAAAGCAGUGCGAUCAAGGAAAGUUGUAUGGAGCGGGGGAUCUCCUUCGUGGAUGGGUACUCCAAGAAAAUUUGCUAUGCGAGUGGCAUAGAUCCCACCAAAGAAAUCCCCUCCAUUAGCAUUAUUAUUCAGCCUCCUUGCUAUGAUAGCUCCCAUGUUGAAACUUUUAUCACCCGUUACUGCGCUCUUAAGGAUACUAAGGUCGGGUGCGCAGAGGUGACAAUGCUCAAUCUUGCCAUUAAUGCAUAUGCCUAUGAAGAGGGCAAAAUAAUGCAAGGCAGGAAAAUGAAUGCUCCGCAUGGUAGCCUGUGUAAUAUCUCUAGUUUCUCUGACAGUUAUACCAGAGAAGAAAUCUCUAACCAAAGAUUUAGGAGGAUCAUUGAGACUACCGCAAAUAGGUAUCUUGCAAAUUCUAUUGAAAUCCUCUAAAUCCAUGGUAUACGAUUUGUCAUAGAGAUCGAACAGUAUAGAUGUAUCACGGCCAACUGAAAAUUAGAAUCUACGAACAAAAGAGGUAGUGAGAGCAACAUACUGUUCACAUUUAUCGGAGAUAAAUUCUUCGAGUCCGACGUUGUGAACAAGUGUAUCAAACUCGUCUUUGGAACCUGCCUCAAUCAUAAAUUCAUCAGAAGGCCAUUCACAUGGUUGUACCUGUGUGUUCCUCGGUUGGUAAGGAUCGGGCUCCCGAAUCGCAAGACGGGGGCCUCUCUUGCUUGAGGAGCCACCAUGAUAGUUUCUCCUGAACAUCUUCCUUUUCUGAAAUUUGAAGUGACCCAAAGGAAAAGUGAAAAAGGCUCAACUAAUCUCGUGGCAACUACUCCCACAAGUGCCUAGAGGCCAUAUUACGCAUCAAAACUACUUGGGACCAGCUCAAAUUAGCAUGCAAAGCUCAAGAACAAGGUCACCAAGGUAGCAAAAAUACACGAUGUAUAAGGCACUAGAGCAAAAACUAAUUGGACCAAUGGAGGAGUCACUUACCAAGGAGUAAUUUCCCCAAAACAGUUCGGAGAAUGGUGCUUUGAGCUAGGAGAUCAAAAAUCCCAGGAAGAAGAGCAAGAACACUGGUUUGAGCUGCGAAACGAUUUUUUCUGGAGGUAGGAGAAGCAUAUGGGAGCUAGAAUUAGUGGAGGGGGUGCACUUGGGCCCCACAAGCCAGGUAGGCGCGGCCAGGGGGUGCCCGCGCCUCUAGGGCUUGUGGCCCACUGGUGCAGCCCCCAGGCUAGCUCUUCGUCUUAGUAUUUUUCAAAAAAUUCCAAAAAAAAUCAUACUUGAUUUUCAGGACGUUCGGAGAACUUUUAUUUUCGGGGUACUUUUCCACGGGACACUAAAACAGAAAACAAGGAAAACUAAACUAAAACCUAUCAUUUUUCUUCUAAGAAACCAAAGGUGAAAGCUUGGAAGAGAGGUUUGUGACUCCUCGAUUCAUCCGUCUCAUGGUCAUCGAAAGAAAUAUGUCAAUGACGUUGAUCACGUCUCUUUGACAAACUUUCUCGAAUCACAAAAGAGAACGGAGAAUUUUCGAAUAGUCACUAGGUUACCUCAAUGGGGAUGUGUAUCUCCCCAACAAGCAAAUCAUACUUCAUCUUAACAGGACGAAUAGAGCAUUCAAAGCUCCCAAUAAGAAUCGAUGAAGUUUUUUCAAUAGCAUUGAUGCAAUGUACUCGAUAUUGUUUCUUCGGAAAGUGCACCGUAUGCUCAUUUACUGUUGACAUGGAAAGUGACAUUGCCUUUGUUGCAAUCUAUAACAUCCCCUGUAGUGUUUAAAAAGGGUCUUCUGAGGAUGACCGCAAUGGCAUCGUCCUCGGGAAUAUCCAGAAUAACAAAGUCUGUUAAGGUAGUAAUGUUAGAAACUACACACGCACAUCCUCGCAAAUGCCGAUAGGGAAAGCAGUUGAUUUGUCGGCCAUUUGCAGACAGAUUUUAGUGGGUGUCAACUUAUCCAGUUCAAGUCUAUGAUAAAGAGAAAGAGGCAUAACACUGGCUCCAAGGUCGCAUAAAGCAGUUCUAACGUAGUUGCCUUAAAUGGAGCAAGGUAUAGUGGGCACACCGGGAUCACCUAGUUUCUUAGGAGUUCCACCCUUGAAGGUAUAGUUAGCAAGCAUGGUGGAAAUCUCAACCUCAGGUAUCCUCCUCUUAUUAGUCACAAUAUCCUUCGUGUACUUAGCAUACGGAGACAUUUCGAGCAUAUCUGUCAAAUGCAUUUGCAGAAAGCGCUCAAAAUCCUCAUCAUCCUUUUUCUCGGAUGGUUUGGGAGGAAACGGCAUGGGUUUCCGAACCCAUGGUUCCCUUUCUUUACCAUGCUUCCAAGCAGCGAAGUCAUUCUUAUCGUAUCUAUUAUUCUUAGGCUGUGGGUUAUCAAGAUAAAUAGGUUCAAUCUCCACAUCCUUAUCAUUGCUAGGUUGAGCAUCAUCAUGAACAUCACUAUUGAUAUUAUCAUUAGGCUCAUGUUCAUCACCAGAUUGUGUUUCAGCAUCAGAGACAGAGACAUCAUCUGGACUCUCAGGUGUAGCGGCAACAGGGUUGCUAGCGUGCAGGUUCCUAUCAUCUUUUUCUUCUCUCUAGGAUGACUAGGUGCACUAGUGCUAACUCCUUGAGAAUCCUGUUCAAUUCUCUUAGGAUGACCCUCAGGAUACAAAGGUUCCUGGGUCAUUCUACCGCCCCUAGUGACGACUCUGACAGAAUUGUCAUUCAACUCAUUGAGCAAUUCCUUCUGAGCCUUAAGUACGUGUUCUACUUGAGUAGAACCAUAGAGGCAUGUUUACUCAAGAGCUUAAGAUCAUUGACAUUUCUGUCCACACAAGCACUUAAAUGACUAAGCAUACGAGCAUUCUGUUCCAAUUGUCUGCUAACAUAAUCGUUGAAACUUUGUUGUUUGGCAACGAAGUUAUCAAACUCAUCAAGGCAUAAGCUAGCAGGUUUAUCAAAAGGAAUAUCACUCUCAUCGAAUCUACGCAGAGAAUUUACUUCUACUACCUGUAUCGGGUUAUCAAGACCAUGGAUCUCUUUGAUAGGUGGUAGAUUUUUGACAUCUUCAAAUUUAGUGCCUUUCUCUUUCAUAGAUUUCUUAGCUUCUUGCAUAUCUUCGGGACUGAGGAAUAGAAUACCUCUUUUCUUCAGAGUUGGCUUAGGAGGUGGUUCGGGAAUAGUCCAAGCAUUCUCAUUGCACAAGAUAUUAUUCAAUAGGAUCUCAGCUUGUUCUACACUUCGUUCCCUAAAAACACAACCAACACAACUAUCUAGGUGGUCUUUGGAAGCAUCGGUAAGUCCAUUAUAGAAGAUAUCAAGUAUUUCAUUCUUCUCAAGAGGGUGAUCACGCAAAGCAUUCAGCAGCUGGACGAGCCUCCCCCAAGCUUGUGGGAGACUCUCUCCUUCAGCUGGAGCAAAGUUGUAUAUUUCCUGCAAGGAAACUUGCUUCUUAUGGGCAGGGAAAUAUUUUUCAGAGAAAUAGUAGACCAUAUCCUGGGGGCUACACACACAACCAGGAGCAAGAGAAGUGAACCAGGUCUUAGCAUCAUCCUUUAGAGAGAAAGGAAAUAGCUUGAGGAUAUAGUACUGGCGGAUUUUUUCUUCACUCGUGAAUAGGGUGGCUAUAUCGUGCAGUUUGGUCGACACAGUGAUUAACUCAGGGUCGACAGAGAAUUCAUAAUCCUUAUCGGUCACAAAGAUAGGCGAAGUAGCAAACUUCGGGUCGUAUUUCAUCCUAGCGUUUGUAUGAGGAAUAGAAUCCACUUGAACACUGACGUCAGCUGUGCUUCCCUGGCAAUGGCGCCAGAAAAGUGCCGAUCCUGCAAUCUCUGGCGUUAGCUAGACGAAUGCUUAUGACAACGAACCUUCUCCUAGUGGAACAUCAGGCAAAGGAGUAUCUCUAGCAGUAUCAAGCAUAGCAUCUCUAGCAGUAUCAAGCAUAUCAUCAUUAGGCAAAAUAGCAUCUCUAGCAUCAUCAGGCAAAGCAGUAUCAAGCAUAGCAUCUCUAGCAGUAUCAGGCAUAGUAUCAAGCAUAGCAUCUCUAGCAGUAUCAGGCAUAGUAUCAAGCAUAGCAUCAUCAGGCAUAGUAUCAAGCAUAGCAUCUCUAGCAGUAUCAAGCAUAGUAUCAUCAGGCAUAGUAUCAAGCAUAGCAUCUCUAGCAGUAGCAUCAUCAAGCACAUGCGACAUAUCAAGAUUUCUAGCAGGAGGUGAAGUCACAAACUUACUCAUAACUGAAGGUGAAUCAAGUGCAGAGCUAGAUGGCAAUUCCUUACCUCCCUCGUAGUUGAGGGCAAGACUUUGGACUUCGGAUCCUUCAGAUUAUUCAUAGUGAUCAGCAGAUAUAAAUCCCAAGUGACUCAGAGAAUAUAGCAAUACCUCCCGGGCAACGGCGCCAGAAAAAUGCUGACGUCAGCUGUGAUUCCCUCGCAAUGGCGCCAGAAAAGUGCUGAUCCUACAAUCUCUGGCGUUAGCUACACGAAUGCUUAUGACAACGAACCUUCUCCUGCAACGGCACCAGAAGAAUGCUGCUAGCACUCCCCGCAAUGAAACUGGAAGAAUGUUGUUGAUGGUCCACCAGCGCGUGGGUUCACAGCAGUUUUCAAGGGUAGAGUAUUCGACCCAGUUUGUUGAUCGCCUAAAGGAGGUGAGAGAAUACUCUCGAGUAUUAGCAGCUGAAUUUGUCAGAUUCCACCACACCUAAAAGAUUAGUAUCUGCAAGCACAGUAGUAACAGCGAAGUAAUAUGAUAACAACGGUGUCAGAAACGAUCUGUUGACGGCAGACUAUUCCUAACAAUUGUAUCAAUGGCGCCUUCAUUGCCGCGUUGACGGAAGUUGUCAAUUCCCUUCAACGGUAGGUGAACCAAUAGUGUAGCAAGUAGUAGCAGUGUAACAAGCAAUAGCAGUGGCAAGGAACAGCAGGUAGUGACAACAGUAGCAAGUAGCAAUAGUAGCAAGCGAGAGUAGUAGCAACAGUAGCAGCAGAGCAAGACAACUAACAACAAUAGCAAUAGUAGUAGUAGCAGCAGAGCAAGACAAGUAACAUCAGUAGCGACAGUAGUAGCAGCAGCAGAGCAAGACAAGUAACAGCAGUAGCAACAGUAGGACAAACUCGUAGGCAAUGGGUCGGUGAUUUGUUUGGAUGAUAUUCAUCAUGCAAGAGUUAUAACACGGAGAGAUAUGUGGCUAGCUCCCGUUCGUCAAUGUGAUGUAGGCAUGCAUUCCGUGUGUCGUCAUACGUGCUUAGGGAAAAGAACUUGCAUGACAUCUAUUGUCCAUCCCUCCCGUGGCAGCGGGGUCCAAAAGGAAACUACGGGAUAUUAAGGUUCUCCUUUUAAUAAAGAACCGGACAAACGCAUUAGCACUUGGUGAACACAUGAACUCCUCAAACUAUGAUCAUCACCGGGAGUGGUUCCGGUUAUUGUCACUCCGGGGUUGUCGGAUCAUAACACAUAGUAGGUAACUACAACUUGCAAGAUCGGAUCUAAAGCACACAUAUAUUGGUGACAACAUAAUAAUUUCAGAUCUGAAAUCAUGGCACUCGGGCCCUAGUGACAAGCAUUAAGCAUGGCAAAGUAGUAGCAACAUCAAAUCUCAGAACAUAGUGGAUACUAGGGAUCAAUCCCCAUCAAAACUAACUCGAUUACAUGAUAGAUCUCAUCCUACUCAUCACCGCCCAACGAGCCUACGAAUAGAUUACUCACGAACGACGAAGAGCUUCAUGGAAUUGGAGAGGGAAGAAGGUUGAUGAUGACGAUGGCGACGAUUUCCCCUCUCCGGAGCCCAAGACGGACUCAAGAUCUGCCCUCCAGAUGAAGAACAGGAGGUGGCGGCGCCUCCGUAUCGAAAACGCGACGAAAACUUCUCUUUUUAUUUUUUCUCGGACGAAAGGAAACUUAUAGAGCUGGAGUUGGGGGUGGCAGGUGCCUGUGGGCCCCACAAGCCUGCCCACCGCCACCAGGGGGUGGUGGCGGAGCAGGGGCCUAUGGCCCACUGGCCCACCCCCUGAGGUGGAACUUGGCGCAAAUAUUUUUGAUAUUUUCCAAAACUGCUCCCCGUUAAUUUUCAGGACGUUUGGAGAACUUUGAUUUCUGCACAAAAAUAACACCAAGGCAAAUCUGCUAAAAACAGCGUCAGUCCAGGUUAGUUCCAUUCAAAUCAUGCAAAUUAUAGUCCAAAACAAGGGCAAAAGAGUUUGGAAAAGUAGAUACGUUGGAGACGUAUCAAGCAGUAAUUUCUCAACAUCAUAGCUAUCCUUACAAGCAAGGAAGUCCUCAGCUAUCUCUCCCUCCAUAACAUAACACUCAGGCAUAUCAGGCAAUUCAUGUCUAGGAGAGCUAGUUCUAGCAGGCAAAAUAGCAGGUUCUACUUCAAUAGUAUCAGCAGUUUCAGAAGUAUCAUCACAUCUAGCAGCAACUCUAGCAAUUUGUGCAUCAAGGAAUGCACCUAGUGGCAAAGCAGUAUCAAGCAUAGCAUCAUCAGGCAAUGCAGUAUCAAGCAUAGCAUCAUCAUAAGUAUCAUGGGCAACAGAAUUAGCACCAUCAAGCACAAGCUACAUAUCAAGAUUUCUAGCAGGAGGUCGUGUCGCAAACUUACUCAUAACUGAAGGUGAAUCAAGUGCAGAGCUAGAUGGCAGUUCCUUACCUAUCCUCGUAGUUGAGGGCAAGACUUUGGUUUUUGGAUCCCUCAGAUUCUUCAUAGUGACCAGGACACGUAAUUCCCAAGUCACUUAGAGAAUAUAGUUGUGCUUCCCCAGCAACGGCGCCAGAAAAUGGUCUUGAUAACCCACAAGUAUAGGGGAUCGCAACAGUUUUCGAGGGUAGAGUAUUCAACCCAAAUUUAUUGAUUCGACUCAAGGGGAAGCGAAAUAAUAUUCUCAAGUAUUAGCAGUUGAGUUGUCAAUUCAACCACACCUGAAAGAUUUAGUAUCUGCAGCAAAGUAUCAGUAGCAAAGUAGGGUGAUAGCAGCAGUAGCAACAGUAACGAGUAACAACAAAGUAACAGCUGUAGCAACAGAGUAACAGUAGCAGUAGUGACAGCAGUAGCAGCAAAGUAACGUAGCAAGGAACAUUAGUAAAAGACUCGUAGGCAUUGGAUCGGUGAUGGAUGAUUAUGCCGGAUGCUAUUCAUCAUGCAACAGUAUAACACGGAGAGAUAAGUAACUAGCUCCAGUUCGUCAAUCUAAUGUAGGCAUGUAUUCCGUAUGUAGUCAUACGUGCUUAGGGAAAAGAACUUGCAUGACAUCUAUUGUCCAUCCCCCCCGUGGCAGCGGGGUCCUAAUGGAAAUUAUGGGAUAUUAAGGUUCUCCUUUUAAUAAAGAACCGGACCAACGCAUUAACACUUGAUGAAUACAUGAACUCCUCAUACUAUGGUCAUCUCCGGGAGUGGUUCCGGCUAUUGUCACUCCGGGGUUGCCGGGUCAUAACACAUAGUAGGUGACUACAACUUGCAAGAUAGGAUCAAGAACACACAUAUAUUGGUGACAACAUAAUAGGUUCAGAUCUGAAAUCAUGGCACUCGGGCCCUAGUGACAAGCAUUAAGCAUGGCAAAGUAGUAGCAACAUCAAUCUCAGAACAUAGUGGAUACUAGGGAUCAAUCCCUGUCAAAACUAACUCGAUUACAUGAUAGAUCUCAUCCAACCCAUCACCGUCCAGCAAGCCUACGAUGAGAUUACUCAUGAACGGUGAAGAGCAUCAUGGAAUUGGCGAUGAAGGAAGGUUGAUGAUGACGAUGACGAUGAUCUCCCCUCUCCGGAGCCCAGAACGGACUCCAGAUCUUCCCUCCAGAUGAAGAACAGGAGGUGGCGGCGCCUCCGUAUCGUAAAACGCGAUGAUCCCUUCUCCUUGAUUUUUUUCUGGGCGAGACGGACUAAAUAUAACUGAGAUUNNNNNNNNNNNNNNNNNNNNNNNNNNNNNNNNNNNNNNNNNNNNNNNNNNNNNNNNNNNNNNNNNNNNNNNNNNNNNNNNNNNNNNNNNNNNNNNNNNNNGUCUUUGCCAUCAGCUGGCAGACGGCAAAGAGCCCAUAUAGUACCUAUUUUUUAAUAUUAUUUCACAACACACACACACACACACACACACACACAUAUAUAUAUAUAUAUAUAUAUAUUUGACAGCACAUUUAUAUAAUUCACCACACAUAUAUGAUAUAUAGUUCACCACACAUAUACUUGCCAACACAUAUAUAUAAYUCACCACACAUAUAUGAUAUACAUAUAAAUCAAUGUACAUCCCCAUAUAUCGAAAGAACCAACAUACAAAGUAUUGCACUGUUUAUCCAUAUAUACAUAUACAUAUAGUUCGACAUUGUUCAUCAACUCAAAUGAAAACUAGAUGAUAUACAUAUAAAGUUCAUCCAUCGACAUUGUUCAACUCCAUGAAUUCCAGCUUCCAUGCAUGUAGUAUAUACAAUCUGCAAAAAUGUGAAUAAGAAAGUCAGAAUAAGAACAAAAUAUGAUGUUUUUGAGCUUCCUUCUCCUCUUCCUCCUCUUCCUUCUUCUUCUCUUCUUCUUCUUCUUCUUUCUUUCHAUUUUCCCUAUUUCUUCUCCUCUUCUCCUCUUGUUGGAGCUAAAUUACCUAAUUAUGUCUUUUUGGAGCGAUAUGGGCUAAUUAUGCCAUUUUAGAGGAAAACAAGCUAAGAAUAUAAUAUUCAUCAGCUAACCAGGUUCUUAUUCCAUUUUGAGCUUAUUAUGUCAUUUUGGAGCUAAAUGGGUAAUUAUGUCAUUGUUGGGGAAAUUAAAGCAAGCAUAAUAUGAAAGAGGAGAAGAAAGAGGAGGAGUAGGAGAAGAAGAAGAAAUCAAGAAGAAUUAGGAGAAGGAGGAGGAGGAGGAGGAGGAGAAGGACUAGAAGGUCCUUGGCCUUCUCCUCCUCCUCCUCCUCCUUCUCCUUCUUCUCUUCUUCUUCUUCUUUCUUUCUUUCWAUUUUCCUAUUUCUUCUCCUCUUCUCCUCUUGUUKKAGCUAAAUUACCUAAUUAUGUCUUUUGGAGCUAUAUGGGCUAAUUAUACCAUUUUAGAUGAAAACAAGCUAAGAAUAUAAUAUUCAUGAGCUAACCAAGGUUCUUAUGCCAUUUUGAGCUUAUUAUGGCNNNNNNNNNNNNNNNNNNNNNNNNNNNNNNNNNNNNNNNNNNNNNNNNNNNNNNNNNNNNNNNNNNNNNNNNNNNNNNNNNNNNNNNNNNNNNNNNNNNNUGCUCCACCGCCUCCAAUCUCAGCUCUAUUUAGUCUGUCUCGCCCGAAAAAAAUCAAGGAGAAGAGUCCAUCGCGUUUUAUGAUGCGCCUCACCUCCUGUUCUUCAUCUGGUGGGCAGAUCUGGAGUCCGUUUUGGGCUCCGGAGAGGGGAAAUCGUCGCCAUCGUCAUCAUCAACCUUCCUUCAUCGCCAAUUCCAUGAUGCGCUUCACCGUUCGUGAGUAAUCUCAUCGUAGGCUUGCUGGACGGUGAUGAGUUGGAUGAGAUUGCUACUGCAACAAAAGACCUUCCAACAGCGCCAGUAAUACGUGCUGACGGGAGACGUCUUGAUUCUCCUCAACAACGGCACCCGGAAUCCUUCUGCUACGGCUACGCCUUAAGGGACUUCCUAGGCAAAUAUGCAAAGGAUUUCCCCCGUGUCCUUGGAGCCUUGCGUUGGUGUUCCCUCGAAGCGGAAAAGGUGAUGUAGCGCAGCGGUGGUAAGUAUUUCCCUCAUUUUGAGAACCAAGGUAUCGAUCCAGUGAAGGAGUAUCACAAGAGCCUGCACAAACACAAAAAGCUUGCUCCCAACGCUAUGAAGNNNNNNNNNNNNNNNNNNNNNNNNNNNNNNNNNNNNNNNNNNNNNNNNNNNNNNNNNNNNNNNNNNNNNNNNNNNNNNNNNNNNNNNNNNNNNNNNNNNNGGGGAGAUCCAGGGGGCCACAAGCUUGGUAGCCGCAGGCCCCCCUGGCCGCGGCUACAGGGCUUGUGGGCCCCCUGUGGGCCUCCUACCUUGGCCCUCAAGUCCCCCGAUCUUCUUCUGUUCUGGAAAAAAUUAUUUUGUGAAUUUUAUUCCGUUUGGACUCCGUUCCAAAAUCAGGUCUGAAAAGAGUCAAAAACACAGAAAAACAGGAACUGGCACUUGGCACUGAAUUAAUAAGUUAGUCCCCAAAAAGAUAUAAAAGGUAUAUAAAACAUCCAAAGUUGACAAGAUAACAUCACGAAACCAUCAAAAAUUAUAGAUACGUUUGAGACAUAUCAAGCAUCCCCAAGCUUAACUCCUGCUCGUCCUCGAGUAGGGAAAUGAUAAAGAAUGAAUUUUUGAUGCUUUCAUGCUACCUAGCAUAGAUGUCCUUUGUAACUCCUCUUAUGUGACAUGAAUGUUCAGAUCCGUUAGAUUCAAAACAAUAGUUUGCUAUUGACAUGGAGACAAUAAUACUUCAAGCAAACGAGCAAGGUAAUCAUGAACUUUCAAAAUAACAAGGCCAAAAGAAAGUUAUCCCUACAAAAUCAUAUAGUCUGGCUAUGCUCUAUCAUCCUUGCACAACGAAUUUAAAUCAUGCACAACCUUGGUAUUGGCCAAGUAAUUGUUUUCACACCUUUACUUUCUCAAACUUUUUCAACUCUCACGCAAUACAUGAGCGUGAGCCAUGGUUUUAGCACUAUAGGUGGAAUGGAGUGUGGUGGAGGUUGCAAGGUAAACAAGGAGAAGAUGGUCACAUUGACUAGGCAUAUCAAUGAGCUAUGGAGAUGCUCAUCAGUAGAUAUCAAUGUGAAUGAGUAGGGAUUGCCAUACAAAUGAUGCACUAGAGCUAAGAGUAUGUGAAAUAUCUUAAAGAAAACUAGUGGGUGUGCAUCCAACUUGCUUGUUCACGAAGACCUAAGGCAAUUUUGAGGAAGCCCAUCAUUGGAAUACACAAGCCAAGUUAUAUAAUGAAAAUUUCCCACUAGCUAUAUGGUGGUGACAAAACGAGAGAUUCUCAGUCAUGAAGAUCAUGGUGCUUAAUAAGAACAAGUGUGGAAAGAUAGUAGCAUUGUCCCUUCUCUCUUUUUCUCUCAUUUUUUGGUGGGCUCUUUGGCCUCUUUUUUUAUUUUUAUUUUUUGUGGGCAUCUUUGUCCUCUUUUUGUAAAUGGGCUUCACUGGCCUAUUUUAUUUAAUCACAAUGGACAAUGCUCCAUCAAUGAUGAUCAUCACACUUACAACUCAAAACUUAGAGCAAUGAUGACUCUAUAUGGAAUGCCUUCGGUAGUGUACCGUGACAAUGAUCUAGCAUGGCAUAGACAUCAAUGGAAACAUCAUGCUAGCUANNNNNNNNNNUGAUCAGGCAAUGGCAAUGUAGAAGUGGUGGCACAUGUCUUGGUGGUAGUUGCAUGGAAAUAUAUCUCUGAAUAGCUUUGAAAAAGCCAUAGUAGGUAGGUAUGGUGGCUGUUUUGAGGGAGGCUAAUGGUGGUUUUAUGCACCGGUGAAAAUUGCACGACACUAAACAAGAUAGUGAUGGUGGAAGGUGAAAGUGCAUCUAAACCAUGGACUCAACAUUAGUCAUCAAGAACUCAUAUACUUGUUGCACAAGUUUUAGUAGUAAUCGAAACAAAGCAUUCAACGCAUACUCCUAGGGGAAGGGUUGGUAGGUAUAAACCAUCGCGCGAUCCCGACCGCAACACAAAGGAUGACAAUCAAUAAACUAAUCAUGCUCAGACUUCAUCACAUAGCGGUUCACCAUACGUGCAUGCUACGGGAAUCACUAAGUUCAACACAAGUAUUUCUAGAUCCACAACCCCUUACUAGUAUAACUUCAAUAUUACCACAACCACAACUCAAAACUAAUUGAGAUGAAUCAAACUUCUCUAACUACUCAAUGCACAUGAAGGUGGAAGUUUUCAUAUCCCUUUGGAUAACUAACCCUUUUGAGACUACUUUCAUAGCAUAGAUCAACUACCACGCCACGCACUGCCGUGCUCCAAAAGAUAGAAGUGAAGCACAUAGAGCAAAAUCAACUAGCUCAAAAGAUAUAAGUGAAACACAUGUGAGCUGAAUUGCCUAACCAAAGGAUAUAAGUGAAGCUCGACAAAAUCACGGUGAGUGCAUGUCUCUCUCUAUAGGUGUGCAGCAAGGAAGAUUGUGACACAACAAAAAUAAAAGACUCCUACGAUACAAGACGCUCCAAGCAAAACACAUAACAUGUGGUGAAUAAAAAUAUAGCCCCAAUUAACGUUACCGAUGGAUUGAAGACGAAAGAGGGGAUGUCUUCCGAGGGCAUCCCCAAGCUUAGGCUUUUUCGGCAUCCUCGAAUCAACUUGGGGUGCCUUGGGCAUCCCCAAGAUUGAGCUGUUGCAACUCUUUAUCUCUUUGUCCAUAAGAACUUCACCCAAAACUUGAAAACUUCGCAACACGAAACUUAAACAGAAACUCGUGAUAUCAUUAGUAUAAGAAAGCAAAUCACCACUUCCUUAGGUACUGUAGCAAACUUAAAUUAUACUUAUGUUGAUGUUGGGUUACUGUAUUUUCAAUCUUCCAUGGCUAAUACCCCCCGAUACUAUCCAUAGUUUCAUCAAAAUAAGCAACCAACUCAACAAAAACAGAAUCUUUUAACAGCAGACCAGUAUGUAGCAAUCUGUAUACUUCGUAUACUUCCGUUGCUUCAAAAAUUCUGAAAACUUUUGAAAGUCUGAAGAAUUUGCGUAGCAAUCAUCCGCAAAAAGAAUCAACUCAAAAGCUCUUACAGAAAAAAAUGAAAAUUCUUUUCGUGAGAAGAAAAUUUCUGUCUUUUCUAGCAUGAUCAAACGAUCAUCCCCAAGACUAAUCAUAACGGUUUCACUUGGCACAAACACAAAAGAAACACAAAAUACACAAUCAUAACAGAAUUAUGAAAGUGUGGAAAACACAAAACAGAAAGAAAAAGGAUAGAUUCGUUGGAAUGCCUCCCAACAAGCGCUAUUGUUUAACGCCCUUAGCUAGGCAUAAGGUGAUGGAAUCACGUAUAGUCAUCUUUGAUGCUCAAACCAUAAGUAGCCCUCAUCAUAGAUUCAUAAGGCAAUCUUAUUUUCUUUCUAGGAAAAUGCUCCAUGCCCUUCUUUAGAGGAAAUUGAAAUCUAAUAUUCCCUUCCUUCAUAUCAAUGAUAGCACCAAUAGUCCUUAGGAAAGGUCUACCAAGAAUAAUGGGACAUGAAGGAUUGCAAUCUAUGUNNNNNNNNNNAUGAAAUCCAUGGGUACAUAGUUCUUAUUUGCAACAAUAAGAACAUCAUUGAUCCUUCCCAUGGGUGUGUUGACAGUAGAAUCCGCAAGAUGCAAAUUAAGAGAACACUCUUCAAUCUCAUGAAAACCAAGAAUAUCACAUAAAGACUUUGGAAUCGCGGAAACACUAGCACCCAAAUCACACAAAGCAUUGCACUCAUAGUUUUUGAUCUUGAUUUUGAUAGUAGGNNNNNNNNNNUUAGGUAUAGAGACUUCUAAUUCGAGUUUCUCUUCAAGAGAUUUCAUCAUAGAAUCUACGAUAUGUGCGGUAAAUGCUUUGCUUUGGCUAUAAGCAUGUGGAGAGUUUGCAAUGGAUUGCAUCAAGGAAAUGCAUUCAAACAAGGAGCAACUAUCACAAUUGAAUCCCUUGAAAUCCAAAGUGGGAGUUUCAUUACUACCCAAUAUUUUGAUUUCUUCUACUCCACUCUCCACACCUUUAUCAUCAAGAUAGGUGGACUCGAAUCAUUGGGGCAUUUUUCAACCAAAGUGGAUUCAUAUCCAGCACCUUCAUCAAUAGGUUUGACACGCGAAAAUAAAGAUUCAAGAGGAGUCACACCAAGCACUUUAAGAUCUUCUUGAUUUGCAUCACUAGAACGCACCCUUUUAAACCAUGCAUGCCUAGCGCGAAUUUGGGCGGUUCUUUCUUUGCUCUCAUUCAUGGAGACACGCAUAGCUUUUAAAGUUUCAUCCAAGUUAACCUUGGGACGAGCAUAUCUAACUUUCAAAGCAUCAAUAUCACAAGCCAUCCUAUUAACGCUCUUAGAGAAAUCGUCUAUUUUUAGUAGUUUUUCCUCUAUGGACGCAUUGAAAAUCUUUUCAGAGUUGAUGAACUCUUUGAUAUUACUCUCUAAAUCACAGGGUAAUUUGUUAUGAUUUCCAUAAGUGUUGUUGUACGAAUUGCCAUAAUUGUUAGAGGAGUUACUAGGAAAAGGCCUAGGAACAUAGUUUCCUCUAAAAGCAUUGUUGUUGCCAAAAUUGUUCCUACCAACAAAAUUAACGUCCAAACUAGCGUUUCUACUCUCAAUCAAGGAAGAUAGUGGCAUGUCAUUAGGAUCUAAAGGAGCAUUUCUACUAGCAACCAAAUUCAUCAACUCGUCCAUCUUAGCACUAAGCGAGUUAAUUUCUUCUAUAGCAUGUACCUUUUUGCUAGCAGACGACCUUUCAGUGUGCCACUGAGAGUAGUUGGUCAAGAUAUUGUCUAGGAGUUUUGUAGCUUCUCCUAACGUGAUUUCCAUGAACGUUCCACCUGAGGCGGAGUCCAAGAUAUUUCGAGAGGCAAAAUUCAAACCAGUGUAAAAGAUUUGUAUAAUCAUCCACAAAAUCAAGCCAUGAGCGGGACAAUUUUUAAUCAUUAACUUCAUCCUCUCCCAAGAUUGUGCAACGUGUUCAUGAUCAAGUUGCUUGAAAUUCAUGAUAUCGUUACGGAGAGAGAUAAUCUUAGCCGGCGGAAAAUACUUGGAUAUGUAAGCAUCUUUGCACUUAUUCCAAGAAUCGAUACUAUUUUUAGGCAAAGAAGAAAACCAAGUUUUUGCACGAUCUCGCAAAGAGAACGAAAAAAGCUUCAAUUUAACAACAUCAUUAUCCACAUCUUUCUUCUUUUGCAUAUCGCAAAGUUUAAUGAAAGUAUUGAGAUGGGAUGCGGCAUCUUCACUAGGAAGGCCAGAAAAUUGCUCUUUCAUAACAAGAUUCAGCAAGGCAGCGUUGAUUUCAUAUGAUUCCGCACUAGUGGCGGGAGCAAUCGGAGUACUAAUAAAAUCAUUAUUAUUAGUAUUCGAGAAGACGCAAAGUUUGGUGUUUUCAGCCGUGAUGACUUCAACAAACAAACAAGAACACAAGCAAGCAAGAAAACUGGCAAAGGAAAACGGCAAAAGGCAAAUGAAAACGGCAAAGGAGAAAGGCAAAUGAAAACGGCAAAUGUGAAGUAGGGGAGAGGAAAACGAGAGGCAACUGGCAAAAAAGGUAAAUGCAAGAGAUGAGUUUGUGACACUUACUUGGAUAGAUCUUGACUUGAUCUCCCCGGCAACGGCGCCAGAAAUCCUUCUGCUACUGGCUACGCCUAUAGGGAUUUCCUUGGCAAAUAUGCAAAGGAUUCCCNNNNNNNNNNNNNNNNNNNNNNNNNNNNNNNNNNNNNNNNNNNNNNNNNNNNNNNNNNNNNNNNNNNNNNNNNNNNNNNNNNNNNNNNNNNNNNNNNNNNNNNNNNNNNNNNNNNNNNNNNNNNNNNNNNNNNNNNNNNNNNNNNNNNNNNNNNNNNNNNGCGGUAAGUAUUUCCUUUAGUUUGAGAACCAAGGUAUCAAUCCAGUAGGAGGAUCGCGUCAAGUCACAAGUACGUGCACAAACACAAAGAGCUUGCACCCAACGCUAUGAAGGGGUUGUCAAUCCCUUAUAGAUUNNNNNNNNNNNNNNNNNNNNNNNNNNNNNNNNNNNNNNNNNNNNNNNNNNNNNNNNNNNNNNNNNNNNNNNNNNNNNNNNNNNNNNNNNNNNNNNNNNNNGUGGUAAUUUGUGAUGGACUAGUUGGAGAACCCCUGCAGGGUUAAAUCUUUCGGAAAGCCGUGCCCGCGGUUAUGUGGCAACGUGGAUACUUUGUUUAACACUGGUUCUAGAUAACUUGAAGUUAACUUAAUUAAAACAUGCCAACUGUGUGCGUAACCGUGACUGUUUCUUUCGUGAGUUCUUUCUCCGAUCGAGGACACGGUGGGGUUAUGUCUGACGUAGGUAGGUGUUCAGGAUCAUUCAUUUGAUCAUCAGUAGUUCCACGUCCGUUAUGCGUAGAUCUUCCCCCUCUUAUUUCUUGUACUCGUAAGCUAGCCACCAUACAUAUAUUGUUAGCCGCUGCUCAACCUCACCACUUAACCAUACCUCACCCAUUAAGCUUUGCUAGUCUCGAUACCUUUGGAAAUGANNNNNNNNNNNNNNNNNNNNNNNNNNNNNNNNNNNNNNNNNNNNNNNNNNNNNNNNNNNNNNNNNNNNNNNNNNNNNNNNNNNNNNNNNNNNNNNNNNNNNNNNNNNNNNNNNNNNNNNNNNNNNNNNNNNNNNNNNNNNNGCGUUGAUUGUUCAUUUGGAGUUGCUUCUUCUUCUUCUUCUUCUUCAUCGAUCUAGGAUGGGUUCCAGGCCGGCAGCCUNNNNNNNNNNACGUUGAUUGUUCAUUUGGAGUUGCUUCUUCUUCUUCUUCUUCAUUGAUCUAGGAUGGGUUCCAGGCCGGCAGCCUGGGAUAGCAAGGAUGGACNNNNNNNNNNGCUUAACCGCUGCUGCAACCUCACCACUUAAACAUACCUCACCCAUUAAGCUUUGCUAGUCUCGAUACCUUUGGAAAUGAGAUUGCUGAGUCCCAUGUGGCUCACAGAUUACUACAACACCAGUUGCAGGUACAGGUAAAGGUUACGUGACGCGAGCNNNNNNNNNNNNNNNNNNNNNNNNNNNNNNNNNNNNNNNNNNNNNNNNNNNNNNNNNNNNNNNNNNNNNNNNNNNNNNNNNNNNNNNNNNNNNNNNNNNNGCCGCCAUGUCCUGUCCUCGUGCCCUCGGGCACGGGAGGGGACGAGCACGUCGCUCGCCCCGUGGGCCUCCUCCGCCCCAGCCCAGCAGGCCAGCCUCCCUGGCCCGAGUCGGCCGACUCCUGCGCCUGGCCUCGGGGCCCAACCAGCCUAGCCAGGCUACUCCUCCGAGCAGGCCGAAAGUCCCGACAGUGAGACGCCAAGCCCUUCUGUUUUUCGCCCCGUGCGCCGUGUUGCUAUGUUACGCCCACCAGAUUCGGCCGUUAGAAUUUAGGAGUUUUCGAUUUAGUUUUAUUUCAGGAAUUAGACGAAUAUAGUUUCGCCCGUAACUUUUAAUCCGUAUGUCGGAUCGCGAAGACUUUUAUAUGCUUUUCUUGUAGUUUCUCGAGUAGAACCCGUUUAUAAGACUUGCAUGUUUUUUUGACGUAGUUUAACGUGUCAUAUAUAUAGAUUAGCGUGCUGUCCCAAUAGAAUAGCGUCCGUUAUAAUUUUUUGCGCAAGUCUGGAUUGCUCGGAUGCCAUGAUAGAAAUGCUCGUGUUUUAGGGAUCAUUUUUGCAUGUAUUUUAGAGGGGUCAAUUGUAUUUUUACGUGUAGGGAUUUGCCUCUAGUUUAUUUUCCCGUAUAUAGGUUAUUCUCCCGCUUUAUUGUGUGGCAUCAUAUUGUGUUGCAAACCCCACAUAUUUUAUAAGUUUCCGGGGUAGAAAAAUCCCAUGGAAUUUUCUGUGCAAUUAGUUUUAGUUUUUGAGGAAGUUAGUUCGCGAGAUAUUUUGCUANNNNNNNNNNGAUUGUGUGGCAUCAUAUUGUGUUGCAAACCCCAUAUAUUUUAUAUGUUUCCGGGGUAGAAAAAUCCCAUGGAUUUUUCUGUUCAAUUAGUUUUAGUUUUUGAGGAAGUUAGUUCGCGAGAUAUUUUGCUAAGUUGCCCUUUUGUUUAAUUCGUAGGAUUUAUUACGUGCCUCGUUUGAGUUAGUUGUCAACUAGGAAGUUGUUCUUGGGUGUUUUGUCUAGCCUCUGGUAUUUUUGGUUACAAUAGAAAUGCAUGUUUAGGUGUGAUUUGCUUGCUCUCAAGUUGCUAGAAAUAGUGUUGUUUUAGAGGAGCUGAAAUAUUUCUAAGUCUGGAAUCUGUUAUUAUUUUGUUGCCGUCUUGUCUUGCUUGUAGCUUGUGCUCUAUAGCUCUUUUGAGGUUGGUNNNNNNNNNNUUGUGAUUUGCUUGCUCUCAAGUUGCUAGAAAUAGUGCUGUUUUAGAGGAGCUGAAAUAUUUCUAAGUCUGUAAUCCGUUAUUAUUUUGUUGCUGUCUUGUCUUGCUUGUAGCUUGUGCUCUAUAGCUCUUUUGAGGUUGGUCCAAUGGAGUUAGUUGUUUCCCUUGUGUUUCUCUAGCAUGCUGUUAAUUUUCAUGCUAGUUGGAGACCUGUAGCUUAGGAUUUUGCUGCUGUCAAUAUGCCUUCAGGCUGAAAAUUGCACUUUCAUGAGGUGUAAUUUUCACUAAGUCUGAAAUAGUGUGUGAGAUGCCAUUUUGUGUCUUCUUUUACUAGUGAUCCAUGAUGCAAUGAUAGUUGUUGUUAGUUGUUUGUAGUAGUGCGUCUUGCCCUCUUUCAUGACAUGCCUUGAUUGAGUUUAUCGGAGUUGUGUAGCCGAAGUUGUGAGGCGUAGAAAAUGUUAUGUGGCUGAUUUUGGCAGAUUGUAGCGUUUUCUUGUUUUGCUCGUAGUUUUCGAACCGUAGCUCCGUUUUGAUCGUGUCCUACAUGAAACUUGCUUAGAAUCUCGUGUAGUUUCAUUUUCUCUUGCUGUUAGAAUGUUUUGAAGUGUUCGUAACCGCCGUUGCACACAUUUUGCAUUCAUGCCAUCAUAUCUGGCGGUGCUUGUAUCUUUUGAACCGUUGCUCCGUUGGAGAUGUUCUUUACGUGUAGGUUGCUUGCCUUGACGCGUAGAAUCACGUGAACCUAUUGGUUUUUCUGUUUAACAACUAAUUAAAGGUGUUAACUCAGAUCUGGACAGAAUUAUAAAUUAACAUGUGAGGUCGUUUUGGAGGUGCUAUAUGUCACUUCCGACCUCAUUUAAAAUGCCUAGAUAGGUAGUUUAAUUUCCGCUUCACCUCUUGCAUGUUUGACAACAUUAUUAUUGCCGUGUAGAUAANNNNNNNNNNNNNNNNNNNNNNNNNNNNNNNNNNNNNNNNNNNNNNNNNNNNNNNNNNNNNNNNNNNNNNNNNNNNNNNNNNNNNNNNNNNNNNNNNNNNUUGCCAUGAUUUCAGAUCUGAACCUAUUAUGUUGUCGCCAAUAUAUGUGUGUUCUUGAUCCUAUCUUGCAAGUUGUAGUCACCUACUAUGUGUUAUGACCCGGCAACCCCGGAGUGACAAUAGCCGGAACCACUCCCGGAGAUGACCAUAGUAUGAGGAGUUCAUGUAUUCACCAAGUGUUAAUGCGUUGGUCCGGUUCUUUAUUAAAAGGAGAACCUUAAUAUCCCGUAGUUUCCAUUAGGACCCUGCUGCCGCAGGAGGGAUGGACAAUAGAUGUCAUGCAAGUUCUUUUCCCUAAGCACGUNNNNNNNNNNAUAAUUUCCAUUAGGACCCCGCUGCCACGGGGGGGAUGGACAAUAGAUGUCAUGCAAGUUCUUUUCCCUAAGCACGUAUGACUACGUAUGGAAUACAUGCCUACAUUAGAUUGACGAACUGGAGCUAGUUACUUAUCUCUCCGUGUUAUACUGUUGCAUGAUGAAUAGCAUCCGGCAUAAUCAUCCAUCACCGAUCCAAUGCCUACGAGUCUUUUACUACUUGUCCUUGCUACGUUACUUUGCUGCUACUACUGUCACUGCUGCUACUGUUACUCUGUUGCUACUGUUGUUACUUUGCUGUUACUGGUUACUGUUGCUACUGCUGCUAUCACCCUACUUUGCUACUGAUACUUUNNNNNNNNNNNNNNNNNNNNNNNNNNNNNNNNNNNNNNNNNNNNNNNNNNNNNNNNNNNNNNNNNNNNNNNNNNNNNNNNNNNNNNNNNNNNNNNNNNNNGGAGUAUCACAAGAUCCUGCACAAACACAAAAUCUUGCUCCCAACGCUAUGAAGAGGUUGUCAAUCCCUUAUAGAUUGUUCGCCAAGUGAGAACUGAAAGCAACAAAGUAACAAAGAAAAGUAAAAGAGAAAGUGGAAACGAUAGAUGUGAAUAGACCCGGGGGCCGUAGUGUUUACUAGUGGCUUCUCUCAUGAAAGCAAGUAGACGGUGGGUGAACAAAUUACUGUCGAGCAAUUGAUAGAACCGCGCAAAGUUGUGACGUCAUCUAUGGCAAUGAUUAUAUCUAUAGGAAUCACGUCCAAAACAAGUAGACGGAUACUGUCUGCAUCUACUACUAUUACUCCACACGUCGACCGCUAUCCAGCAUGCAUCUAGUGUAUUAAGUCCAAAAGAACAGAGUAACGCCUUAAGCAAGAUGACAUGAUGUAGAUGGACAAUCUCAUCUCAACGACAGAGCCCAUCUUGUUACCCUUGAUGGCAACUACUUAAUGUGUGCCUUGCUACCCCUACUGUCACUGGGAAAGGUCACCACAUGGUAAGAACCCAAAACCAAGCACUUCUCCCAUUGCAAGAAUCAUAGAUCUAGUUGGCCAAACAAAACCCAAGACAUGGAGAGACUUACAAGGAUAUCAAAUCAUGCAUAUAAGAAAUCAGCAAAGACUCAAAUAUAUAUCAUAGAUAAUCUGAUCACAAAUCCACAAUUCAUCGGAUCUCGAUAAACACACCGCCAAAGAAGAUUACAUCGGAUAGAUCUCCAUGAAUAUCAUGGCGAACUUUUUAUUGAAGAUCCAAAAGAGAGAAUAAGCCAUCUAGUUACUAACUAGGAACCCGUAGGUCUGAAGCGAACUACUCACGAGUAAUUGGAGGGGCGAUGAUGAUGAUGAAGAAGCCCUCCAACUCCAAAGUCCCCUCCGACAGGGCACCGGGAAGGGUCUCCAGAUGAGAUCUCACGGAAACGGAAGCUUGCGGCCGCGGAAAGUAUUUUCUUGCAUCCUCAGAUUUUUUGCCGUAUUUUAAGGAAUAUAUAGGCCAAAGAUCUAGGUCAGGGGGCACUCAGGGAGGCCACAAGCCCUGCCACCGCCGCCUCCCCUGGUGGCGGAGUGGGGGCUUGUGGGCUCCCUGGAGCCCUCCUGGCUUGGCCCACAGGCCCCCUUAUCUUCUUCCGUGCGGUAAAAAAUCAUUUCGGGGAUUUUAUUCCGUUUGGACUCCUUUCCAAAAUCAGAUAUGAAAAGUGCCAAAAACACAGAAAAAACAGGAACUGGCACUUGGCACUGAAUUAAUAAGUUAGUCCCANNNNNNNNNNUACAUAAAACUUCCAAAUAUGACAAGAAAACAACAUGAAACCAUCAAAAAUUAUAGAUACGUUUGAGACGUAUCAGCUCGCCGACGGCAGCCGAGGCAGCUCCACGCAGGGGGGUCACCUCUCUCGCAGGAGCUCGGGCACGGAGGCCGGAGACGCGAUGAUCUCCAAAUAGACGCCAUCAAUCGCGGGGACGCCUGGAAGAAAGACAGCUUAUCAUCCUCGGAGGCUCGAUGCCGGCUCGCAACACCAAGUGGGGACGCCCGCCCGUCGACCUCCGUCCUACUCGAGCGCGGGGACACGACAUCGGCCUUGAGCGCGGAGCCAUGGAGGCUUCCUCGAGUGCAGGGCCAUGGCAUCAUCCUCGAGUGCGGGCAGAAGCAUCAUCAUUGCCGCCUCGUGCUACCAAGUGAGGAUGCCCGCGUGAUGACCUUCGGCAUCUUGGGGCGAGGGGACACAACGGCGUCCUCGAGCCUGGGGCUCAUGGUGGAUUCCUUGAGUGUGGGUCAUGGCGGCUUUCUCGGACAUGUCCAUUCUCCGGCAACGUACGUCCUCGCCAUGGAUCUCGUCGCCGGCGUCUCGUCUGGCCACCCCACGGAGGGGGAGGAGGUGUCCAUGCCCGUUCUCGCUGGUGAGUCCCUCCUCCCUUGGCUCUUGUUGGAAAUAGCAGAAUUCAUGCAUAUGACGGGCCAUUAGCUCCCAUGCGACGUCGUUGAGUUGAAUUAUCUCUCAUCCAACAUCGUUGGUUGUAAUGGCUCUCAUGCGACAUCUCCCAACACAGAAAUAGCUCAAGCAACACAACCGUUUACGGGGCUGGCUGGCUGUUAGUUAGUCUGAGAUUUGGUUAGGAAUGUGCUUUGACUGGUGGGGUCCACUGCUGCUGGCUACGCCUAUAGGGAUUUCCUUGGCAAAUAUGCAAAGGAUUCCCCCGCGGGCUUGGAGCCUUGUGUUGGUGUUCCCUUGAAGAGGAAAGGGUGAUGUAGCACAGCGACGGUAAGUAUUUCCCUCAGUUUGGGAACCAAGGUAUCAAUCUAGUAUAGGAGGAUCGCGUCAAGUCACAACUACCUGCACAAACACAAAGAGCUUGCACCCAACGCUAUGAAGGGGUUGUCAAUCCCUUAUAGAUUGUUUGCAAAGUGAGAACUGAAAGCAAAAAGUAAACAAAGCAAAGUAAAAGUAAAAGCGGAGAUGAUAGUUGUGAAUAGACCCGGGGGCCGUAGUGUUCACUAGUGGCUUCUCUCAUGAAAGCACGUAGAUGGUGGGUGACGAAUUACUGUGGAGCAAUUGAUAGAACCGCGCAAAGUCAUGACGUUAUCUAUGGCAAUGAUCAUAUCUAUAGGCAUCACGUCCAAAACAAGUAGACCGAUACUUUCUGCANNNNNNNNNNNNNNNNNNNNNNNNNNNNNNNNNNNNNNNNNNNNNNNNNNNNNNNNNNNNNNNNNNNNNNNNNNNNNNNNNNNNNNNNNNNNNNNNNNNNGUUUCCUUGUGAUCUUGCUUAAACUCUAGUUAUGAGUUAGACAUAGUUGCAACAACAAGAUCAAACACAGUUCGUCAAAGUUUUUCUUUUGUCUCUUUCAGUUUGUCAACUGAAUUGCUUGAGGACAAGCAAGGAUUUAAGCUUGGGGGAGUUGAUACGUCUCCGUCGUAUCUACUUUUCCGAACUCUUUUGCCCUUGUUUUGGACUCUAAUUUGCAUGAUUUGAAUGGAACUAACCUGGACUGACGCUGUUUUUAGCAGAUUUGCCUUGGUGUUAUUUUUGUGCAGAAAUCAAAGUUCUCCAAACGUCCUGAAAAUUAACGGGGAGCAGUUUUGGAAAAUAUCAAAAAUAUUUGCGCCAAGUUCCACCUCAGGGGGUGGGCCAGUGGGCCAUAGGCCCCUGCUCCGCCACCACCCCCUGGUGGCGGUGGGCAGGCUUGUGGGGCCCACAGGCACCUGCCACCCCCAACUCCAGCUCUAUAAGUUUCCUUUCGUCCGAGAAAAAAUAAAAAGAGAAGUUUUCGUCGCGUUUUCGAUACGGAGGCGCCGCCACCUCCUGUUCUUCAUCUGGAGGGCAGAUCNNNNNNNNNNNNNNNNNNNNNNNNNNNNNNNNNNNNNNNNNNNNNNNNNNNNNNNNNNNNNNNNNNNNNNNNNNNNNNNNNNNNNNNNNNNNNNNNNNNNGAACCAUCUUCCUUCUCCAAUUCCAUGAAGCUAUUCGUCGUUCGUCACUAAUCUAUUCGUAGGCUCGCUGGGCGGUGAUGAGUAGGGUGAGAUCUAUCAUGUAAUGGAGUUAGUUUUGAUGGGGAUUGAUCCCUAGUAUCCACUAUUCUGAGAUUGAUGUUGCUACUACUUUGCCAUGCUUAAUGCUUGUCACUAGGGCCCGAGUGCCAUGAUUUCAGAUCUGAAAUUAUUAUGUUGUCACCAAUAUAUGUGUGUUUUAGAUCUGAUCUUGCAAGUUGUAGUUACCUACUAUGUGUUAUGAUCCAACAACCUCGGAGUGACAAUAACCGGAACCACUACCGGUGAUGACCAUAGUUUGAGGAGUUCAUGUGUUCACCAAGUGCUAAUGCGUUGGUCCGGUUCUUUAUUGAUAGGAGAACCUUAAUAUCCCGUAGUUUCCUUUUGGACCCCGCGGCCACGGGAGGGAUGGAUAAUAGAUGUCAUGCAAGUUCUUUUCCCUAAGCACGUAUGACGACACACGGAAUGCAUGCCUACAUCACAUUGACGAACGGGAGCUAGCCACAUAUCUCUCCGUGUUAUAGCUGUUGCAUGAUGAAUAUCAUCCAAACAAAUCACCAACCCAUUGCCUAUGAGUUUGUCCUACUGCUGCUGCUACUACUGUUGCUACUGUUGUUACUUAUCUUGCUCUGUUGCUGCAACUACUGUUGCUGGAACUACUGUUGCUACUGCUGUUACUUGUCUUGCUCUGCUGCUGCUACUANNNNNNNNNNUUGCUGCUGCUACUACUGUUGCUACUGUUGUUACUUGUCUUGCUCCGCUGCUACUGUUGCUAGUACUGUUGCUUGCUACUGUUGCUACUUUCUACUACUGUCACUACUGCUUUCCUUGCCGCUGGUAUUGCUCGUUACACUGCCGUUACUUGCUACUUUGCUGUUACUACUUUGCUUGCAGAUAGAAAUCUUUCAGGUGUGGUUGAAUCUGACAAUUCAAUUGCUAAUACUUGAGAGUAUUCUCUCACCUCCCGUGGUGCGAAUCAACAAAUUUGGGUCGAAUACUCUACACUCGAAAACUGUUGCGAUCCCAUGCGCUUGUGGGCCGUCAACAACAUUCUUCUAGUUUCGAUUGCCGGAGAGUGCUAGCAGCAUUCUUCUAGUGCCAUUUCAAAGGGGAAGAACAGUUGGCAUCACUCCUCCACUGGAUUGAUACCUUGGUUCUCAAACUGAGGGAAAUACUUACCACCGCUGUGCUACAUCGCCCUUCCCGCUUCGAGGGAACACCAACGCAAGGCUCCAAGGCCACGAGGGAAAUCCUUUGCAUAUUUGCCUAGGAAGUCCCUUAAGGCAUAGCCGUAGCAGAAGGAUUCCUGGUGCCGUCGCCACGACUAUUCCUGGCGCCGUUACCAGGGAAGCACAGCGGACAUCAGAAGUAUUUCUGGCGCCGUUGUCGGGGAAGAGAGAUCAAGAUCUAUCCAAGUAGGUCUCACAAACUCAUCUCUUGCAUUUACUUUUGUUGCCAGUUGCCUCUCGUUUUCCACUCCCCCACUUCACAUUUGCCGUUUUCAUUUGCCUUUCUCCUUCCCCGUUUUCUUUUGCCUUUGCCAUUUCCCUUUGCCGGUUUUCUUGCUUGCUUGUGUGCUUGUUUGUAUGUUGAAGUCAUCAUGGCUGAAAACACCAAACUUUGCGACUUCUCGAGCAAUAAUAAUAAUGAUUUUAUUAGUACUCCGAUUGCUCCUGCCACUAGUGCGGAAUCGUAUGAAAUCAACGCAGCUUUGCUGAAUCUUAUUACGAAAGAGCAAUUCUCUGGCCUUCCUAGUGAGGAUGCCGCAUCCCAUCUCAAUACCUUCAUUGAGCUUUGUGAUAUGCACAAGAAAAGAGAUGUGGAUAAUGAUGUGAUUAAGUUGAAACUUUUUCCUUUCUCGUUGCGAGAUCACGCAAAAACUUGGUUUUCUUCUUUGCCUAAAAAUAGUAUCGAUUCUUGGGAUAAGUGCAAAGAUGCUUACAUAUCCAAGUAUUUUCCGCCGGCUAAGAUCAUCUCCUUACGUAACGAUAUCAUGAAUUUCAAGCAACUUGAUCAUGAACACAUUGCACAAUCUUGGGAGAGGAUGAAGCUUAUGAUUAGAAAUUGUCCCGCUCAUGGCUUGAGUUUGUGGAUGAUUAUACAAAUCUUUUACGCUGGCUUGAAUUUCGCUUCUAGCAAUAUUUUGGACUCCGCCUCAGGUGGAACGUUCAUGGAAAUCACAUUAGGAGACGCUACAAAACUCCUAGACAAUAUCAUGACCAACUACUCUCAGUGGCAUACUGAAAGGUCACCUGCUAGCAAAAAGGUGCACGCUAUAGAAGAAAUUAACUCCCUUAGUGCUAAGAUGGACGAGUUGAUGAAUUUGGUUGCUAGUAGAAACGCUACCGUAGAUCCUAAUGACAUGCCACUAUCUUCUUUUAUUGAGAGUAGCAACACUAGUUUGGACGUGAAUUUUGUUGGUAGGAACAAUUUUGGCAACAACAAUGCUUUUAGAGGANNNNNNNNNNNNNNNNNNNNNNNNNNNNNNNNNNNNNNNNNNNNNNNNNNNNNNNNNNNNNNNNNNNNNNNNNNNNNNNNNNNNNNNNNNNNNNNNNNNNUUUUCAAAAAUGUUGAAAACUUUGGAAAUGGUUGGGAAUAUUACAACAAAUAUCCAGGUGUGUUUAAAAUAGUUUUUACAACCAUUUUGGAGCUGAAAUAAAUAGCAAAACAAUAGUUAGCAAAACAGAAACAAAAUAGAAAAGAAAUAAGAGAAAGAAAAUGCUUACCUCUAUUUGUCGCCGGCCCAGCCCACCAGGGGCUCCCCGGUCAUCUUCCUCCUCCUGCCAGAAGGCAGGGGAGAAGAUGAGCACGGCGGCCGCGCCGGCCACCUCCUGCCUGCCUGCUCGCUGCUGGAGGCCUCCAGGAGCGCCAGCGCGACGCCCGCGUGUUCUUAUCCUUCUCCCCGCGGCUCUAUCCUCUCCCCUAGGCAUCUCGAUCCCCUUCGCCUCUCGGAUCUCUCUCUCCCCGAAGCUCCGGUCGCCGUCGAUCCGUCGUCUCCCGGUCCUCCCCGACCCUGCCGGCAGCCUCACAAGAUCCGCCGUGAGCUCCUCUUCCUGUUCCCCCUCUUCCCGAGGCCUUCCCCCUCCUCUAACCACGUUAGCCGCCGGAGCCCGAAGGACCUCGUCGCCGGCCAUGUCAUUGCCGUCGAUGUGGUACUCGGCUCGCGAGGCCGAGCUCAGGAAUGAGCUCCUCGAGCUCUGUAGAUGGCGUAGGGCCUCUCUCCCAGCUCACUAGCCCCCUGCAUCGGCACUCNNNNNNNNNNNNNNNNNNNNNNNNNNNNNNNNNNNNNNNNNNNNNNNNNNNNNNNNNNCCGGAGCCGCAGCCGCCGCUGGCCUCGUCGCCGGCAAGGAUUCCGGUGACCACCGGGUCCAGCUCCACCCCAGAUAGCUUUNNNNNNNNNNNNNNNNNNNNNNNNNNNNNNNNNNNNNNNNNNNNNNNNNNNNNNNNNNNNNNNNNNNNNNNNNNNNNNNNNNNNNNNNNNNNNNNNNNNNUUUAUUUUUCUUAUUACUAUGCACGUUGAUCUAAUUAUCUGUGCACUGCAGGUUUUCCUACCUACAAACACUUCAAACAUCCACUCGUUCCUUGUGGUCAUAAACCCCAUAAGGAGGGAGAUUCAGGUUCUUGAUUCGGUUUUCCACUUUAUGAUACAUAGAGAAGUACAUCAUGUGGUGAGAAUUUUAGCAACAUACAAUACUACAUGGAAUUUAAUGGCAUACCUAAGUAUUAAUCAUAAGCAACUUCUCAACACAUGGACUUGCAAAUACGUGGGGUGAAAAAGUCCGGACGAAGAUCGNNNNNNNNNNNNNNNNNNNNGCAAAUACGUGGGGUGAAAGCACAUCUGAGAGCAUCGAGUAAAUCAAUGGACCAGAAAGCAAUGCAUGGAAAGACAAUAGCAUGACCCAAUAGCGAGUAAAGAUUGUUCCGAUGCCAAAACAAUAUGACACGUCAGUCAAAAAUAUUAGUUUUUUUUCAUUGUUAAUAUUAAUACGUGAAAUGCUGCUAACAGAAUAAAAUGUUGCACUUCUUCUUGUUCACUAUAGAUGCUAAAGAACAUCGAAUUAUUUAUGGGAGAAGAAUUGGCACUACAAUAUGACCAAGUACGUCACCUAUGUUUCUAUCAAGUUUUAAAAACUAUAAACGGUACUAACAUACCCCCCCCCCCCCAUGUAUUUCCUCACCACAAAUUUAGGAAAAAAGCAUCNNNNNNNNNNNNNCCCCCCCCAUGCAGUCCUACAUCGACAAAUUCAGGAAAAAGCUACCUAUUGUGCUUGUCGAUUCACCCUAUAACAAAUUGAAAUACGAGAGAAGGUUCAAGAUGUACCAUUCUAGCCUAUCAAAUGCAGUUGCAGAUGAAGAUGAUGAAGAUGCAAGCAGUUAGUCUAGCAGUAGUUGAUUCUUACAAAUGAAGAGCACACUUGGCUAUAAAGCGAUAGAGAAGGUUGUGGUUGGGUUUUAGUCCCAACGAAGGUUUCCUAGUCAUAUUCUUAGUCCAUUGCGGACUACUCAAGUUGUAAAACUUCAAUAAUAUUGAUUCCAAUAAUUUGCUUCAAAUAAAUUGUCUAUAAGUAGCACCUAGAAAUCUAUAUUUGCUUUUUACAACGGGUUGUUUCAAGAUUAGGAAAGUGAAACUCUAAUUUGAAUUGUAGUAAUAGUUCAGUUUCGUCGGUGUGUGGACAAGAUUCAGACUAAUUACACAGUGCACGAGGAAACCUAAAAGAAGUCCUUAAUGGAUUAUGAUUGUUUUAUUGUCACAAUUUUCUGUCGCUAACUGCAAGUGGCGUGCCAUAUUGAGCAGNNNNNNNNNNNNNNNNNNNNNNNNNNNNNNNNNNNNNNNNNNNNNNNNNNNNNNNNNNNNNNNNNNNNNNNNNNNNNNNNNNNNNNNNNNNNNNNNNNNNAUAUAUAUAUAGAGAGAGACAUAGAGAGAGAUCAAACACAUAGCUACUGGUGCAUACCCUUAGCCCCAAGGGCGAACUACACCCUCCUCAUCAUGGAGACCGCCGAGAUGAUGAAGAUGGCUUCAUGUGAUGAUUUCCCUCUCUGGAGGGUGCCACAACAUGGCUCUGGAUGAUAUCGCUUUGGAACAAAGUCUUGCGGCGGUGGAGCGGAAGUUCUAGGUUAACUUUCGUGGGUUUCUCAAUAUAUAGGAUUUUUCAGCUUUGGAAUCGAGCAAGGUGUCCUUGUCAAAACUCACAGAUCUCGGGUAGGGGGUUCCAAACUGUAGAUCUUGGAUCGACGAAUUGCAGGAGAAAAGGGGAGACAUAAUUUACCCAAGGUCGGGCCUUCUUGAGGAGGUAAAACCCUACAUCCUGUUUGAUGAUAUUGAUGUGGAUGAUGAUUGCAGAGUUGAUCUACCUCGAGAUCGUAUGAGAUAAACCCUAGAUGAGUGAAUCCUCCUAUACGCAUGGGAACCCCUAGUUUAUAUAGACACCAGGGUUCCUAGGAUUACAUAUUACCGACCUCAGCAAGGGACAGAUGGCCCGACCUAGUCUACCUUACUUGGACGUCAUGCCGGUCUUCGGUGCUUUCCUCCUUGAAUAGGAGUUGACCACAUAGUUGCUACUUCUUGAGCUUGCAUUGGUUUUUCCCUUGAAGAGGAAAGGGUGAUGCAGCAAAGUAGAGAUAAGUAUUUCCCUCAGUUUGAGAACCAAGGUAUUAAUCCAGUAGGAGUAUCAAGAUGAGGCACAAAUGAACCUGCGCAAAAACAAACAAACUUGCACCCAACGCGAUAAAGGGGUUGUCAAUCCCUUCACGAUUACUUGCAAGGUGAGAUCUGAUAGUGAUGAAAGGUAAAUAUAAAUAAAAUUGCAGCAAGGUAUUUUUGGUAUUUUUGUAUGUAGAUCUGAAUAUAUGAUGUGUAAAAUAGACCCCGGGGCCAUAGUGUUCACUAGAGGCUUCUUUCAUGAUAGCAAGUAUUACGGUGGGUGAACAAAUUAGUCUCGAGCAAUUGAUAGAAUCGCGCAAAGUCAUGACAAUAUCUAAGGCAAUGAUCAUACAUAUAGGCAUCACGUCUGAGACAAGUAGACCGAUACUUUCUACAUCUACUACUCUUACUCCACAUAUCGACCGCUAUCUAGUAUGCAUCUAGUGUAUUAAGUUCUUAACAAACAUAGUAACGCCUUAAGCAAGAUGACAUGAUGUCGAGGGAUAAAUUCAUGCAAUAUGAUAUAAACCCCAUCUUUUUACCCUUGAUGGCAACAACAUGAUGCGUGCCUCACUACCCCUUCUGUCACUAGGUGAGGACACCGCACGGUAUGAACCCAAAACCAAGCACUUCUCCCAUUGCAAGAAUCAUAGAUCAAGUUGGCCAAACAAAACCCAAGACUCGGAGAUACAUACAAGGAUAUCAAAUCAUGCAUAUAAGAAAUCAGCAAAGACUCAAAUAUAAUUCAUAGAUAAUCUAAUCACAAAUCCACAAUUCAUAGGAUCUCGACAAAAUCAGGGGAGACUCAAAUAAUAUUCAUAGAUAAUCUGACCAUAAAUCCACAAUUCAUCGGAUCUCGACAAACACACCGCAAAAGAAAGUUACAUCGGAUAGAUCUCCAUGAAGAUCAUGGAGAACUUUGUAUUGAAGAUCCAAGAGAGAAAAGAAGCCAUCUAGCUACUAGCUAUGGACCCGAAGGUGUGUGGUGAACUACUCACGCAUCAUUAGAGAGGCAAUGGUGUUGAUGAAGAAGCCCUCCGUGUCCGAAUCCCCCUCCGGCAGGGCACCAGAACGGUCCCCAGAUGGGUCUUGCGGAGACAGAAGCUUGCGGCGGCGGAAAAGUAUUUUCGUGGCUCUCUCCAUAGGUUUCAGGAUUUUUGGGAAUUUAUAGGCGAAAGAGGUAGGGCAGAGGAGGAAAGGGGGGCCCACGAGCCUAUUAGGCGCGCCCCCUAGGGCGUGCCUAGGUGGCUCGUGACCUCCCACGAGACCUCCUGCCUUGGUUCUCAAGUCUUCUCGGUAUCUUCUGUUAUGGAAAAAAAUCAUCCCACCGGUUUUAUUCCGCUUGGACUCCGUUUAAUAUUCUUUUUUGAAAAAGGUCGAAAACACGGAAAAAACAGAAACUGGCACUAGGCACUGAGUUAAUAGGUUAGUCCCAAAAUUGUUAUAAAAUGGCAUAUAAAUGCACAUAAGACAUCCCAAGUUGGUAAUAUAAUAGCAUGGAACAAUAAAAAAUUAUAGAUACGUUGGAGACGCAUCAAUAGUCUGGCCUCUAGUUAACACAAACCAUUAGAUCGGCCUCUUACGAAGUGAGCCGACUACCUGAGGACCUCUUAAUCCUGGACUCCCUGAGUAGCCCUCGAACUGGCCUUCAACACCGAUGUACAUGGUCUUCAGAUGCUUGUGCCCAGAAUGUUCGGCUUGUAAGGAAAGUUCCCCUAUUUCCUCCGAUUUAUGGAAUUACGAUUUAGGCCCCACCAGAUUCAUGAUUACCUAAGCAUCACGGUGCCCAUAGCCUUUAACUUUGCAUGAAGGUUAAUAACAAUUCUCGAUUUUCAUGUGCUUUGAUAAAGGCAAGGACUUUUAGCUAUUCGUGACGGAACCAAUCCUUAUAACCAAAGGAGGUAACACGCUUUAUAAAAAUAUUAAAAUCCGUUCCGGGACUCCAUCAUCCUCCUAGUGCCACCAAGAAACGAUAGGGUUCCAGCACUCCGGAGCGAUGGCAGGUUCCUCCUCACGCCCCCUUGGCCCCCUUCUGGAGGCGUGUGCGAGUUGCUCCGUUUCCCUUCUCCGCUUGCGUGAACUCAAAACUCAAGGAUAUCUUCCCCUUUCGGACCUCGCGCCCACUCGCGUCGGACCGUCCUUUGCUAAUGGCGAAGCCUUCAUAGAAAAUUUCCCUUCGGGAAAGGGUUUAUUUCGUUUCUUUCCUGCUGCAAGGGGUGGGCUUUCCCAUUCACCCCUUACUGAGGGGUUUGUUGGAGUUCUACGGGCUGCAUCACCACAAUCUCACCACCGGCUACAUCCUUCAGGCAUUGUGGCCUUAUGCAAGAUGUUCCUAGGUUGCGAGCCCCACUUCAGUCUAUGGAGAAAGUAUUUCUAUAUUAUGACAAUUCGGGAAGAGGGCGGAGCCGAAGUAUGGCGUAUAGCCGCCACAGGAUACCCGGUCGGGACACUGAAGAAGGAGAUCGAUGAGUUGUCCUUGGAGUGGUUUUAAUUGAAGAUGUUCCCUUAUUCGAACCAGUUCAGGGAGGUCUUCCCGAAUAAUCUACCACCCCUUUGAAGAAGCGAUUCAGCUCACCACCGAAGAGCUCUUCCCAAGAGGAGAGCUCCAAAGUGAAGCGCCUAUCCUCCAAGCUUAGGAUACUUGCUCACAGUGGGCUAGUCAUCAUUGACGUGAUGGCCGCGACGAUUACCUCGUGCGUCCACCCACUUCAACAGCGUACGCACCCCUUAUGGCGCUACAACGGGACGAGUGACUCUACCAGAUCCAGACGGCAGGGACCAGACAAUCAGGAGGCCUUGGCAGCCGUUCUAGCCAAUCUUUUAAAGGGGGAAAAAAAGAUUUCGCCCGCCUCACCCUCAAGGAUGAAUUUUUGGCAUACAACCCUAUUGAAUGGGUAAGUGUGAUUAUAUUCACAGCAAGAAUAUUUAUGUUCAUUAUUGCUGACCAAUAACCCCUACUCCCCCUCUUGAGACUUGGAGGCACUGGACCGAGACGGUAAACUGUCCCACACCCGAGCCUGAGAACUUCGGCCAUGACGAUAACCCCCGAUUUCACGAGGACCCAGAGAUUUUGAUUAUCUUUGAGGAAGAGGUGUUUUAUCAAGAGAGCGAUGACGAGCAGAAGGUGGCUCUUCUAGCCAACAACCCAAGGUCUCUUCCAUCUUCUGGGAGCGAGAGGAAGACAACUACCCGGCGAGCGGCCAUUCCCAGGGGUCGUCGGAACACGCGCCAAACUUCUUCUUGGGCUGUAUCCUCUGGGAUCCCGCCAAACGAGAACAGAAUCCCCGAACAAGAGGAAGUGGGAGAAAAUACGUGAGUUGUCCCUUUGCUCAAGAGGUACACAGGUCAAUCCUUAUCCCUUACGAUAGUGACUAUAUUCUUAAAUGUUCAUGACCCCUAAUCGAAAAGUUUAGGAGAUGCGCACAACCCUCCCCAUUCGAGGACGACAUCGAGGUAUUGGGUAGUGAACAAAACCCUAGUUCUUCGGCUGAUGCUGGAGUCCCAAACACGGGCCUGCUCCCUCAUGGUUCUGAAGGGUUGUCAGCGACUAACUCCGAAAUUGAAAGCGCAAUCAAUCAUCGGCAGCGGAAGGAGUCACUACGCCACCCUACGUUUUCCGAGCAAGAGUUUAACGCUCUUAACUCGGCUGAUGCAUACCUUGGAGCUGCACGAGUCGGUCUUGAAGAAGUGGCAAGGCAGAUGUCUGCCAAUCUGCAGGCGAGUCAUCAAUGUCUUUAUAACCGAACAAAACUUCAGACCCAGUAGCCCCUGAGCCUUAAUUUGGACGGAACAACUGAAUUAAGGGUGGACAUGACAUUCUGCCAACCUACAGGCUUUAAAGAAGGAAAAUGAAAAGGUAUCCAAGGAUUUUUAGCUAAGCCAAGACGAUCUACAAGCGAGCAGGGCCAAACUGGAGGAUGUGAAAAAAUUCACCAGAGAAGCACAUGGUAAGGGAAAUUAUUUGUGAUAUCCUAAAUUUCAGUUGGAUUUCCUUAAUAACCAUUUUUUUAUUGAAGGGGAAUCAAUAGGCUAAAUGCAAAAGAAUUUAGAUGCAUCUCGAGAUUCUGAGAUGUACACCGAAUCUCAGCUUGAAGCUGGUCAUCGCGUAUGGAAGUGAUGCCGCGAGGAAAAUAACCAUCUUAAAGAAGAGAAUAAAAAAUAAGCUGAGGAAAUUGAGACAGAACCGCGAAGAGAAUCAGAAAUUAAAGGCGGCAUAUUCUAUAAGUAAAAUUUUGACCUGUAAAUGAUCACUGUUUCAUUCCGUUGAUCGUGAAAAUGUGUGCCUCUUUUUGAUUAGGUCUCUUGACUGGGCGUCCUGAAGAAGAAGCUAGUUCUUUUGGGAGGACAUGCUAAAGGAACUAUCUGUUGUGCAUGAGCGGGCUCGAAAGGCUAUGCGGAGUAUGGUCCGAGCUUUAUGACCAAACCAAAACCCCCCGCAAGGGAUGGCCGAGCUUGCCGAGCUUUUUAGUGGAGCCUGAUGCCGCUUUGAGCUGUGGAAUACUUCGGCCUGCCGAGAAGGAGCUCGGGAUGCAUGGGCUAUGGUGAAGACCUGCUUUGCCCGUCUAGAUCCCGAUCAUAUGGCAUGUGUUUGUCCGGCGGGGCUAGAUGGGAAAAAAAUUCCUCUUCACCGGGCGUAUGAUCAAGUGAUGCCUGAUACGUCUCAAACGUAUCUAUAAUUUUUGAUGGGUUCAUGCUGUUAUCUUGUCUUCUUUGGUUGUUUUAUGUACCUUUUAUAUCUUUUUUGGGACUAACUUAUUAAUUUAGUGCCAAGUGCCAGUUCCUGUUUUUUCCGUGUUUUUGACUCUUUUCAGAUCUGAUUUUGGAACGGAGUCCAAAUGGAAGAAAAACCCCGAAAUGAUUUUUUCCUGAACAGAAGAAGAUCGGGGGGCCUUUGGGCCAAGCCAGGUGGNNNNNNNNNNNNNNNNNNNNNNNNNNNNNNNNNNNNNNNNNNNNNNNNNNNNNNNNNNNNNNNNNNNNNNNNNNNNNNNNNNNNNNNNNNNNNNNNNNNNGAGAAGAAGGAGAAGGAGGAGGAGGAGGAGGAGGAGGAGAAGGCCAAUGACCUUCUAUCCUUCUCCUCCUCCCCCUUCUCCUCCUCCUUCUUCUUGAUUUCUUCUUCUUCUCCUCCUCCUCCUCUUUAUUCUCCUAUUUCAUAUUAUCCUUGCUUUAAUUAACCCAACAAUGACAUAAUUAGCCCAUUUAGCUCCAAAAUACCAUAAUAAGCUCAAAAUGGCAUAAGAACCUUGGUUAGCUCAUGAAUAUUAUAUUCUUAGCUUGUUUUCCUCUAAAAUGGUAUAAUUAGCCCAUAUAGCUCCAAAAAGACAUAAUUAGGUAAUUUAGCUCCAAUAAGAGGAGAAGAGGAGAAGAAAUAGGCAAAAUGAAAAGUAAAAGAAAGAAGAAGAAGAAGAAGAAGAAGAGAAGAAGGAGAAGGAGGAGGAGGAGGAGGAGGAGGAGGAGGCCAAGGACCUUCUAUCCUUCUCCUCCUCCUCUUCCUUCUUCUUGAUUUCUUCUUCUUAUCCUCCUCCUCCUCUUUCUUCUCCUAUUUCAUAUUAUCCUUGCUUUAAUUAACCCAACAUUGACAUAAUUAGCCCAUUUAGCUCCAAAAUACCAUAAUAAGCUCAAAAUGGCAUAAGAACCUUGGUUAGCUCAUUAAUAUUAUAUACUUAGCUUGUUUUCCUCUAAAAUUGGAUAAUUAGCCCAUUUAGCUCCGAAAAGACAUAAUUAGGUAAUUUAGAUCCAACAAGAGGAGAAGAUGAGAAGAAAUAGGAAAAAUGAAAAGAAAGAAGAAGAAGAAGAAGAAGAGAAGAAGGAGAAGGAGGAGGAGGAGGAGGAGGAGGAGGAGGCCAAGGACCUUCUAUCCUUCUCCUCCUCCUCUUCCUUCUUCUUGAUUUCUUCUUCUUAUCCUCCUCCUCCUCUUUCUUCUCCUAUUUCAUAUUAUCCUUGCUUUAAUUAACCCAACAUUGACAUAAUUAGCCCAUUUAGCUCCAAAAUACCAUAAUAAGCUCAAAAUGGCAUAAGAACCUUGGUUAGCUCAUUAAUAUUAUAUACUUAGCUAGUUUUCCUCUAAAAUGGGAUAAUUAGCCCAUUUAGCUCAAAAAGACAUAAUUAGGUAAUUUAGCUCCAAUAAGAGGAGAAGAGGAGAAGAAAUAGGCAAAAUGAAAAGAAAGAAGAAGAAGAAGAAGAAGAAAAAGAAGAGAAGAAGGAGAAGGAGGAGGAGGAGGAGGAGAAGGCCAAGGACCUUCUAUCCUUCUCCUCCUCCUACUUCUCCUCCUCCUCCUCCUUCUUCUUGAUUUCUUCUUCUUCUCAUCCUCCUCCUCUUCCUUCUCCUCUUUCAUAUUAUCCUUGCUUUAAUUUCCGCAACAAUGAUAUAAUUAGCCCAUUUAGCUCCAAAAUGCCAUAAUAAGCUCAAAAUGGCAUAAGAACCUUGGUUAGCUCAUGAAUAUUAUAUUCUUAGCUUGUUUUCCUCUAAAAUGGUAUAAUUAGCCCAUAUAGCUCCAAAAGACAUAAUUAGGUAAUUUAGCUCAAACAAGAGGAGAAGAGGAGAAGAAAUAGGAAAAAUGAAAAGAAAGAAAGAAGAAGAAGAAGAGAAGAAGGAGAAGGAGGAGGAGGAUAAGAGGAGAAGAAAUAGGCAAAAUGAAAAUAAAGAAGAAGAAGAAGAAGAAGAGAAGAAAGAGAAGGAGGAGGAGGAGGAGGAGAAGGCCAAGGACCUUCUAUCCUUCUCCUCCUCCUCNNNNNNNNNNNNNNNNNNNNNNNNNNNNNNNNNNNNNNNNNNNNNNNNNNNNNNNNNNNNNNNNNNNNNNNNNNNNNNNNNNNNNNNNNNNNNNNNNNNNNNNNNNNNNNNNNNNNNNNNNNNNNNNNNNNNNNNNNNNNNNNNNNNNNNNNNNNNNNNNNNNNNNNNNNNNNNNNNNNNNNNNNNNNNNNNNNNNNNNNNNNNNNNNNNNNNNNNNNNNNNNNNNNNNNNNNNNNNNNNNNNNNNNNNNNNNNNNNNNNNNNNNNNNNNNNNNNNNNNNNNNNNNNNNNNNNNNNNNNNNNNNNNNNNNNNNNNNNNNNNNNNNNNNNNNNNNNNNNNNNNNNNNNNNNNNNNNNNNNNNNNNNNNNNNNNNNNNNNNNNNGAAGGAGGAGGAGGAGGAGAAGGAGGAGAAGGAUAGUAUCCUUCUCCUCCUCCUCCUCCUUCUUCUUGAUUUCUUCUUCUUCUCCUCCUCNNNNNNNNNNNNNNNNNNNNNNNNNNNNNNNNNNNNNNNNNNNNNNNNNNNNNNNNNNNNNNNNNNNNNNNNNNNNNNNNNNNNNNNNNNNNNNNNNNNNCACCACAAGAUGCAACAAGCACAUGAUGCAUGAGAUGUAAAAUGAGCAUGCAUCACUAUUUCUAUCACUAGCACAAGCAAAAGGAACUACUAUAAGUUUCUGGACAGAACUGUACACUAGGCUAUUUUGACAUGCAUGAUAAUGUAAGGAACAGAUGCGUCUCGUCAAAACGAUGCAAAAACGUAUAAAGAACAAUACAAUCGGAGCUAUGGAUCAGCGGGAAUCAACGAAACAAGAUAUGAAGCUCUACGUGUAAGAAUCAACACCACACCCACAAUUGGCACAAAUCUGGUAUUCCCAGGUUGCCAAGACAUAUAACAACCCAAUAUGAAUGGAUUGGAGCAAGGAAGAACACCACAACAUCAACUAAGCACACACAAUCAUCAAAAUGACUAUACUACACAAUCUGCCAUAAUCUGCAUCUUAGCUCUUUGUGAGCUACAUGCAACAUAGCUACAGCCCUCAAAAUAUGACAAAUAAUAUAUGUGGCUGUAGCCAACCAAGAACACUACAAGCACCAGCAAGAAUCACACUAAAAGGAAUUAAACUCUAGAAGAUACAAGGCCACAAACUUUCACAAAACCAUCAGAUCUCAGGGACUUAGUGAAAAUUCCUGCACCUGACUUUCUAUCUUUGUUCUGAAGCUUUUUGACAGCAAUAAAAACACAACCUACAGGACUCCAAAUGAGAUUAAAUUUGACAGGGAGCUUCACAAACAUAUCAGGUCCAAAAUCCUAGCACUGAUCUAAAGCUAGUUCACAACACAAUGACCAGCACAACCUCAUCUAUAGGAGAAGAAAAUGUUUCCAGAUUCUCAGACUUAAUGAAAUUUCAGAUUUCACUAAGCUGGACUUUUUCAGCCACAUGCCCACUUUGUCUAGGCAUAGCUUGCACACAGAUAACACCAAGUGAUAAAUGACACCACUAUGGUGUAGAGCAAAACCCCUACUACUAUCACACAAAAGCUCAUGCCCUUGGGAUCCACCUAUUCCAUGGAAACAAAGAGCAAACUUGCAACAAUUCUGAUNNNNNNNNNNNNNNNNNNNNNNNNNNNNNNNNNNNNNNNNNNNNNNNNNNNNNNNNNNNNNNNNNNNNNNNNNNNNNNNNNNNNNNNNNNNNNNNNNNNNCACCAAGGUCUUAGAUUGCUGAGUCCCCGUGGCUCACGGAUUCCUCCGAAACUCCCAGUAGGUACAGGUACCCCAGAGACAGAUGAUCCCGACGUCAGCCAGCUGACGUGGGAGUACGACGAGGAGAGACAGACCACCUCUACGUGAACUAUCCACAGGACUGAGGUGUGGUCGUGAUCGUGGUCCUGCAGCAAGGUAGCAUAGCAUUUUCCAUGUUUUGUAGUCCGUAGCGGAACUAACUUGAUUGUAUCUGUGUUGUACUCUGAGUUUUAAUAAGAAGACGGUUGAAUCCCGAAUUGUCUACUUUUAUUAUUAACUGUGCUAUGUUACUUGCUUGUGAAAUGCUUAGAUGUGCUUCUUUCCAAUUCGGGGGCCUCGACCCCCAGAUCGGAAAGGACCGCAUCUUGGUCGUUACAUACCCAUGGUGACAAUGGGGUGUUCUAUUGAUUCCCUUGAUAUAUGUAUUGGUAAUCAACUUCGAAAUAAUGGUGGUGACAAUGGGGUGAUCUAUGCAUAUGGGUUGAUACACGUUCUUGUCCUACUUUAUUCGAUGGAAAUCUUGGGGUACUCUUUUACGUUCUUUAUGUUGGAUUCAAUAUGAUGAAUCUGGAAUUGUUUGAGGCAUGUCGAAUAAUCAACUCACACAUACUUGUGCUAACAUUGGAGUAUCUAUGUGACAUUAGAGUCAUAGGUGUUAUUCUAGUACAAACUCUACAGCUGUUUGUGACACUUUUAGGGAUGACUCAAUAGAUUUCUCGGAAGUAUAACUUUGGGGGGGUUUUUCUACCUACAGAACUUUCAUAUUAUGUUCUCCGAUAGAUAGGAACUUUGGAGUGAUUCUUUAUCGCACGUUGAAGGGUGGUUAUAUGAUUCAAUUAUGCUAGCAUAGUUAGAGAUUGCACUAGUGAAAGUAUGAAACAUAGGCCUUAAUUCCAAGCAUUGAUAUAUCAUUUUGCUCAUUGUCUACUACUUUUUACCUUGUUGUUUUUAUAUUUUCAGGUUGCAAAAACCUAUACCUACUAUCCAUACUACACUUGUAUCACCAUAUCUUCUCCGAACUAGUGCACCUAUACAAUUUACCAUUGUACUAGGUGUGUUGGGGCCACAAGAGAUUUCUUGUAUUUGAUUGCAGGAUUGUUUGAGAGAGACCAUCUUCAUCCUACACUUCCCACGGAUUGAUAAACCUUAAGUCAGACACUUGAGGGAAAUUUGAUGAUGUCCUAAAAAACUCUGCACUUGGAGGCCCAACAACGUCUACAAGAAUAAAUUUUUGUAGUAGACAUCAUGCACCGCCGAUGCAGGAGUCUAAGAGGAAGAGGCCAAGUUCUUUAGCAAAUAAAAAAUCUACUCGGAAAAACACAGAUCUCAAGCAAAACACCGGUUCUUUAGCAAAUAAAAAAUCUACUCGGAAAAACACAGCUCUCAAGCAAAACACCGAUGUGCUUUUGGCGUGCCUCCAUGAGGGGUCGCGCCUAACGAAAUAAGUAUCUUGUGUUGGAACUGUCGUGAUGAAGGCAAACCCGCGGCAGUUUGAAAUCUUCAUGAUCUAACGAAGUAGUUUGUCCCCUCUAUAUUAUGCAUUCUCGAAACUCAAAUAGGAGGGAAAUAGAGUAGAGAACAUGGAGGGAUCUUUAGGUUAUAAUAAAAGCUUUGUUGUUAGUAGCUCGGGCAGAAGUGGGGGACUACGCAUUUUUUGGAAUGAAGAAAUAAAGCUUGUGGUUGUCGGUUAUUCUCGGUAUCAUAUUGACGAACUGAUUAGUGAUCUCGUGGAUGUAGAAAAAAGGGAAACUUUUAUCUAUGGAGAAGACCAAGAGAAUGAACAUUGUAAAACUUGGGACACUCUACGAGGAAUCGUAAGGACUAACAAUAUACCCUGGCUAGUCUUACGGGAUUUCAAUGAGGUCCUGCAUGCACACGAGCAUGAGGGAGUGGGGAACAAGAAUCGGGCCAAAAUGGGCGCGUUUAGAGACACCAUUGAUACACGUGGGAUAUCUAAUAUCGGUUUCGAAGGCACUAAUUGGACUUUCGAGAAAACAAUUGUAGGUGAGACAUAUACAAGGGUGAGGCUGGACAAGGGAGUGGCAAACCCAUCUUGGAUUGUCGCCUUCGCUACGGCUAAAUUGGAGCAUAAAACUGUUGGGGAAUGUCUCAUGGGAAACAAAACUUNNNNNNNNNNNNNNNNNNNNNNNNNNNNNNNNNNNNNNNNNNNNNNNNNNNNNNNNNNNNNUCCCUACGUGCACACAAGAUCUAUCCAUGGUGAUGGCCAUCUACGAGAGGGGAGUGUGCAUCUACAUACCCUUGUAGAUCGCUAAGUGGAAGCGUAUAUAAUGCGGUUGAUGUAGUCGUACGUCUUCGUGAUCCAAUCAUGAUCCGUCCCGCAAUAUCAUCAUGAUCCGUCCCAUGAUCCCAUCACGAUUCGUCCUGUGAUCCCAUCGCGAUCUUUCAUGUGAUCUCAUCAUGAUCCGUCCUGCAAUCCCUUCAUGAUUCGUCCCGCGAUCCCAUCACGGUCCAUCCCGAUCUAGUACCGAACAGACGGCACAUCCGCGUUCAGCACACGUACAGCUCGAUGACGAUCUCUGCCUUCUUGAUCCAUCAAGAUGGGCGGAGAGGUAGAUGAGUUCUCGAGCACGGCGGUGUGGUGGUGGUGGUGGUGAACUAAUUCAGCAAGGCUUCGCCAAGCUCUACUCAACUAAUCUAGAGGAGAAAUCGACCUAGAGAGAGAGGGCAGCACGUGACUUAUUAGGGUUGGGGCUGCCCUCAAAUUCUUUAGUAUAUAUAUAGGAGGGAGGGAGGGGAGGAGGCAGCCUCAAAACCCUCAAAGGGUUCGGCUGAAGUGGAGGAGGUGGAAGAGUCCACCUCCAAUCCUACUCCUAGUAGGACUCCUCCCUUCUCCACUUGGGUUUCUUUCCUUCCCACUUCCUAGCCGCAUUGGGCCUUAGUGGGGGUUCGGACAGCCCACUAGGGGUUGGUCCAUGUCCUCCCACAGCACAUGAGACCCGUUGGGGUGGGUUGGCCCACCUGGUGGACCCUUGGAACCCAUUCGUCACUCCCGGUAUACAACCGGAAAUGCCCGAAACCUUUCCGGAAUCCAAAUAGCACUUUCCUAUAUAUCAAUAUCUACCUUCGGACCAUUCCGGAGCUCCUCGUGACAUGCGGAAUCUCAUCUGAGACUCCUAACAACCUUCGAUCACCAACAUACUUUACUCAAUAAUACCGAAAUGUCACCGAACCUUAAGUGUGCAGACCCUGUGGGUUCGAGAACUAUGCAGACCUGACCUGAGACACUCUCCAGUCAAUAACCAAUAGCGGGACUGGAUGUCCAUACUGGCUCCAACAUAUUCUACGAAGAUAUUUAUCGGUCGAACCUCUAUGUCAAGGAUUUAGUUAAUCUCGUAUGGUAUUCCCUUUGUACAUCAGUAUGUUACCUGCCCAAGAUUCGAUCGUGGUAUCUCCAUACCUAGUUCAAUCCCGUUACCGGUAAGUCUAUUUACUUGUUCCGUAAUACAAGAUCACGUGACUAACUCCUUAGUCAUAUUACUUGCAAGGCUUAUUGUGAUGUUUGUAUUAUUGAGUGGGCCCCGAGAUACCUCUCCGUCACACGGAGUUACAAAUCCCAGUCUUGAUCCAUGCCAACCCAACAGACACCUUGAGAGAUACAUGUAGAGCACCUUUAUAGUCACCCAGUUACAUUGUGACGUUUGAUACACACAAGGUAUUCCUCUGGUGUCCGGGAGUUGCAAGCUAUCAUGGUCAUAGGAAGGGAUACAUUGAUAUGCAGAAAACAGUAGCAAUAAACUGACAGAUCAUAUGCUACGUUCAUAGUUUGGGUCUUGUCCAUCACAUCAUUCUUCUAAUAAUGUGAUCUCGUUAUCAGACCACAUCUCAUGUCUACGGCCAGGAAACCUUGACCAUCUUUGAUCAACGAGCUAGUCCUUCAGAGGCACACUAGGGAAAGUGUGGCGUCUAUGCAUCCACACAUGUAUUUGAGUUUCCAAUCAAUACAAUUCUAGCAUGGAUAAUAAACGAUUAUCAUGGACAAGGAAAUAUAAUAAUAACCAAUUUAUUAUUGCCUCUAGGGCAUAUUUCCAACAGUCUCCCACUUGCACUAGAGUCAAUAAUCUAGUUCACAUCACUAUGUGAUUGUAAUGAAUCUAACCCAUAUAGUCUGGGGUUUGAUCAUGUCUUGCUUGUGAGAGAGGUUUUAAGUCAACGGGUCCGAAACAUUCAGAUCUGUGUGUACUUCACAAAUCUCUGUGGCAUACUAUAGAUCCUUCUACCACGCUUCCCUUGGAACAAUUCCAAACGACUGCUCCACUAUACAAAUCUGGUUUACUACUCAGAGUUAUCCGGAUUAUUGUCAAAGCUUGCAUCAACGUAACCCUUUACAAUGAACUCUUUUAUCACCUCCGUAAUCAAGAAAAUUCCUUAGUCCACUAGAUACUAAGGAUAACUUUGACCGUUGUCCAGUAAUCCAUUUCUGGAUCACUCUUGUACCCCUUGACUAACUCAUGGNNNNNNNNNNNNNNNNNNNNNNNNNNNNNNNNNNNNNNNNNNNNNNNNNNNNNNNNNNNNNNNNNNNNNNNNNNNNNNNNNNNNNNNNNNNNNNNNNNNNGAAAUCUAUAUGAUUUCGAUGUGACGGAAUCAUGUCCUGGUGCCUCCUAUCAGCUCUAAGUAUCAGGGGAGUUGAGCUCCAGGGAUUAUCGCGCACAUCGCCAUCAUUCAGAUUUCUGAGUAUCUAAGAACGGAGGGUGUUCGUUAUUGCUUCAAUACUGGUAGUGGUGAGAUCACCCCGAUGUCCCCCAAUAUGGGUAGUGGUGAGAUAACCCCGAUGUCCCCAGUACUGGUGUAGAUUGUUCGGGGGUAUUACCACACUUUGUAUCAUUGUGAUCACGAGGAUCUGUUGUAGAUGAAGGUCUGAGAUGUUGGUCGUGUGUUGAAGGAGGUGAUACAAGUAACGGGUUAGUUUAGGAGUUGUGUGAAGUACUCCUUGCAUCCGUGUACCUGAUUGCAUGACCAGUUAUUUCGGGCAUUCAUAGGUGGGAUAUCUGGUAGUAUCUUAUAGGACUAUCUUCCUACAGACGCUUGAUUGAGGUUUGGGGAAAUUUCGAUCAUAUGUUUGUUCCGAGCGGUUCUAGCUCACACUUGUUUGCAGUGGUCCUUAUCGGAAUUUUGUCGUCUGUUACUUUGAGUAUGCACUCUUGCUAUGUUGAUCGAGUGCAAUGCUAAAUUCUAUUUAGAUAUUCUGUCUUUUGAUUCAGCAAUAUCUUCAAUUAUUCUGCGGACUAAUAUGUUGUCCGUCUUUAGGAUGGCUCCACCGACUCGUCAGACCCCAGCGCGUGAGGAUAUGCCGCCUCCACCUCCUCCUCCUCCGCCGCCGCCGCCUCCUCCUGCAGAGGCCUGGCAGGCGAUGAUGGCAGCUACUAAUGCAAACACGCAGAUGUUGUUGCAGUUGAUCCAGGAGAGAGCCAAUCAUCAGCAGGGCAAUUUCCAGCAGGGUGGCAAUCACUUCGCCAGUCUGAGUCAGUUCCUGUCAAACCAGCCUAAGACGUUCACUUCUUGCGACCAGCCGUUUGAUGCGGAAGAUUGGAUCCGUGAUAUGAACAAGCAUUUCGAGUGUAGCAAUGUGCGUCCAGAGGACUAUGUCAAGUUUGCAACGUUUUAGUUGAAGGGGCAGGCUUCUAUUUGGUGGCAGCAGCUUAAGGACUCCAGAGGUGGCAGGGUGUUGUCUUGGGACGAGUUUUGUCAUGACUUCAGGUCCCACUACAUUCCUUCCAGUUUUGUUGAGGAGAUGCGUGAGAAGUUCAGGCACUUGAAGCAGGGCAGCAAUUCUGUGUACAAGUACAACGUCGAGUUCCACGAGCUGGCCCGUUACGCGUUGCAGGAUGUCCCGGAUCAGAAGAGCAAGAUCUAUCAGUUCAGGGGUGGCUUAAAGGAGGAAUUGCAGUUAGCACUUGCCUUGCACGAUCGUGAGGAGUUUGACAAAUUCUACAACUUAGCUCUCCGAGCAGAGGCAGCCUUGCUCAGGGUGGAGAACUCCAAGAAGCGCUUCAAAGAUUCCAGCUCUUCCUCGACUCAGGUGGUUCAGAAGCAACAGAGGUUUUGGGUUUCUCCUCCUCCUCCUCCUCGGCACUCGCAGCAGCCGAAGCACUCAGGUGGACGUGGUUCUUCCCACCCAUCCAACCUUGGCUUACAGCAGAGAUACCAGCAUCAGAAGCAAGGGCCUCCUCAGAUUCCGUUCCGGCAGCCAGCAGAUGUCGUUUGUCACAAAUGUGGGCAGAAGGGUCACUAUGCCAACAAAUGCACUUCUUAGCUCCGUCUGCCGCCUCCUCCUCCAGGCAAACCUCCAAGCAACGCUCUUGUUAAGUUCAACCCCAGACCAGCUCGAGUCAACAUGGUGAAUUCACCUGAGGCAGAAAAUUCAUCAGAUGUGAUCAUGGGUAAUCUCCUAGUCAAUGAUUUUCCUGCUAAAGUCUUGUUUGAUACUGGUGCAUCGCAUUCGUUUAUCUCAAGGCCAUUCUCAUUUAAGCAUGGGUUCCCUACUCGUGAUUUGCUUAAGCCUCUUUCAAUUGUGUCUCCGGGUAAGAUCAUGAAUUCUCACAUGAUGGUUUCGGACGUUUCUGUCAAGAUGGGCAGUUAUUCUUUUUUGGCGUCUCCUAUUGUCUUGGGCAAGUCCGACAUUGAUUUGAUCCUUGGUAUGAACUGGUUGGCCAUGAAUAAGGCAUCAAUUGAUUGUGAAGCUAAAGAAGUGAAACUUACCCAUUCUUCGGAGGAUGUGAUUAUAUUCGCGAUGCGAUAUGACACAAUCCGCUUGUUCUCCUUGAAUGAAAAGGGUGAGAUCAAUCCCAUUGAGCAAGUUCCAGUAGUCUACGAAUAUCAAGAUGUGUUUCCUGAAGAGCUGCCAGGCAUGCCUCCGCACCGUGAAGUUGAGUUCGUCAUUGAGCUUGAGCCAGGCACAGAGCCAGUGUGCAAACGGCCGUACAAGCUGGGUCCAGAAGAGUUGAAGGAACUCAAGAGGCAACUCGAUGAGCAGGAGCGUUUGGGUUUGAUCAGACCAAGCUCGUCUCUGCGGGGAUGUGGUGUUCUAUUUGUCAAGAAGAAGGAUGGUUCGGACCGGUUGUGUGUCGAUUACCGCCCAUUGAACAAGAAGACAAUCAAGAACAAAUAUCCACUUCCGAACAUAAAUGAGUUGUUCGAACAGUUGAAAGGUGCUAAAGUAUUCUCCAAGCUUGAUCUCAGAAUGGGCUAUCAUCAUAUUUGCAUUCGCGAGGAAGACAUUCCGAAGACGGCAUUCAGGACUAGUUUUGGCUCAUAUGAGUAUACGGUCAUGUAUUUUGGUCUGGCUAAUGCUCCUCCGACUUUUUGCCGAUUGAUGAACUAUAUUUUCUCACCAUUUAAGAAUGAAUUUGUCUUGCUCUAUCUCGAUGACAUUCUGGUCUUUUCUGAGGAUGAGGAAGAACAUGAGAAACAUCUCACGUUGGUGCUUGAUAAACUGACAGAAUACAAGUUGUAUGCCAAGUUUUCCAAGUGCGAGUUCUGGCUGAAAGAAGUGGUUNNNNNNNNNNNNNNNNNNNNNNNNNNNNNNNNNNNNNNNNNNNNNNNNNNNNNNNNNNNNNNNNNNNNNNNNNNNNNNNNNNNNNNNNNNNNNNNNNNNNAGAUCUCGACCUCGAGAUCUAAGACUAAAAGAAAUCGGGAAAUUCGGAACGAAGGUGAUCCUCGCGUUCCCACGUAGCCUCUUUAUCGGAAUGGUGUGACCACUGCACUUUGAGAAACUUGACAGUCUUGUUACGGGUCUUGCGCUCAGUCGCCUCAAGAACCGCAACUGGAUGCUCACGAUAAGAAAGGUUAGGCUGAAGAUUGAUAUCUUGAAGAUGCACAGUGCGCUCGGGGUUCUUGAAACACCUCCGAAGCUGAGAAACAUGGAACACAUGAUGGACAUUUGCAAAGGUUGACGGAAGCUCGAGCUGGUACGCAAGGUCGCCCCUUUUGCCAACCACUCUAAACGGACCAACGAAACGAGGCGCAAGCUUGCCUUUGAUGCCAAAACGCUGCAUACCCUUCCAACCACUCUGAACGGACCGACGAAACAAGGCGCAAGCUUGCCUUUGAUGCCAAAACGCUGCAUACCCUUCAUAGGCAACACCUUGAGAUAGACAAAAUCAUCAAGCUCAUACGACAUGUCACAGUGCUUGCUAUCGUAAUAGCUUUUCCGAUGGGACUGUGCUGCUCUGAGGUUGUCGCGGAUGAUCCGACACAUCUCCUCAGCUUCUUCUAUCAUAUCAUUGCCAAGGAUCUGAUGCUCGCCUGUCUGGGACCAGUUGAGCGGAGUAUGACACUUCCUGCCAUAGAGAAUUUCAAACGGAGCCUUGCUAGAACUAGCUUGAUAACUUUUGUUAUACGAGAACUCCGCGAAAGGCAGACAAUCCUCCCACUUCAUGCCAAAAGAGAUAACACAGGCUCUCAACAUGUCCUCAAGAACUUGAUUCACUCUCUCCACUUGACCACUAGUCUGAGGAUGGAACGCUGUGCUGAAGCGGAUCUUCAUGCCCAUAGCAGACUGAAAGGAGUCCCAGAACUUGGAAGUGAAGAUACUUCCGUGAUCUGAUGAGAUCAUCAUAGGUACGCCGUGCAAAGAGACAAUCCUGGAGGUGUACAACUCUGCCAGCUGAGCUGCUGAAAUGGACUCCUUGACUGGAAGGAAAUGCGCUACUUUACUCAAUUUGUCGAUAACGACGAAGAUAACAUCAUUGCCCUUCUUGGACUUCGGAAACCCGGUGACGAAGUCCAUCUCAAUGUGAUUGAACUUCCACUCGGGAAUCGGCAAAGGCUGCAAGAGUCCCGCUGGUCUUUGAUGUUCUGCUUUCACCCUUCGACAUACAUCACACUCGUUUACGAAUUGUGCAAUUUCACGUUUCAUACAAGUCCACCAGAAAGUCUGCUUCAAGUCAUGGUACAUUUUGGAACUUCUAGGAUGAAUAGAGAGCAGAGAGUUAUGAGCUUCUUCCAUGAUCACCUUCCUGAGAUCACCUUUCGGGACGACAAGGCGAUCCUCGAAAAACAACGUGUCCCUGGCAUCAACAGUGAAACACUUAUACUUGGGGAGACUCUUUCCCACGCCAAUCUUGACCUUCUUCACCAUAGCGUCAAGAAGCUAAGCUGCUCUGACCUGAUCUUCCAAGGUAGGGGAGAUCUGAAGGUUCGCAAGAAAACCCUGAGGAACCAGCUGAAGAUUGAGCUUCCUAAAAGAGUCAGAAAGACCCGGCUGGAGAGGUUGUAGAAUCAGACUGUUGCAAUAUGCCUUCCUACUCAAUGCAUCUGCCACAACAUUUGCCUUGCCCGGCAUGUACUCAACACUCGGAUUAAAAUCCUGGAGCAUUUCCACCCAACGUGUUUGACGAAGAUUCAAGUUAGGCUGAGUGAAGAUAUACUUGAGACUCUUGUGAUUGGUGAAAACUUAAACCUUACGUUCCAACAAGAGAUGUCUCCAAGUCAUCAAGGCGUGCACAGCAGCUGCAAGCUCGAGAUCGUGCACAAGAUAGUUCUUCUCCGCAGGCUUCAGCUGCCUGGAGGUAUAAGCAACCACCUUCCUAUCUUGCAUCAAGACUGCACCAAGACCCUGGAUAGAAGCGUCGCAAAAGACCUGCUACGGCUUGGAAUCAUCGACCGAAACCCUGGAGAGAAGCAUCGCAAAAGACCUGGUACGGCUUGGAAUCAUCCGGAGGGGCCAAUACCGGAGUGGAGAUAAGCUUCUCUUUGAGUGUAUCGAAAGCCAGUUGACACUCUGGAGACCAAACAUACUUGACACCCUUCUGAAGAAGACUACAGAGCAGCUUGUUGAUUUUGGAGAAGUUCUCAACGAAUCUUCUGCAAUAUCCGGCAAGACCGAGAAAGCUUCGAAGCUGCUUCNNNNNNNNNNNNNNNNNNNNNNNNNNNNNNNNNNNNNNNNNNNNNNNNNNNNNNNNNNNNNNNNNNNNNNNNNNNNNNNNNNNNNNNNNNNNNNNNNNNNAUCAGAAUUGUUGCAAGUUUGCUCUUUGUUUCCAUGGAAUAGGUGGAGCCCAAGGGCAUGAGCUUUUGUGUGAUAGUAGUAGGGGUUUUCCUCUACACCAUAGUGGUGUCAUUUAUCACUUGGUGUUAUCUGUGUGCAAGCUAUGCCUAGACAAAGUGGGCAUGUGGCUGAAAAAGUCCAGCUUAGUGAAAUCUGAAAUUUCAUUAAGUCUGAGAAUCUGGAAACAUUUUCUUCUCCUAUAGAUGAGGUUGUGCUGGUCAUUGUGUUGUGAACUAGCUUUAGAUCAGUGCUAGGAUUUUGGACCUGAUAUGUUUGGGAAGCUCCCUGUCAAAUUUAAUCUCAUUUGGAGUCCUGUAGGUUGUGUUUUGAUUGCUGUCAAAAAGCUUCAGAACAAAGACAGAAAGUCAGGUGCAGGAAUUUUCACUAAGUCCGUGAGAUCUGAUGGUUUUGUGAAAGUUUGUGGCCUUGUAUCUUCUAGAGUUUAAUUCCUUUUGUUGUGAUUCUUGCUGGUUCUUGUAGUGUUCUUGGUUGGCUACAGCCACAUAUAUUAUUUGUCAUAUUUUGAGGGCUGUAGCUAUGUUGCAUGUACCUCUCAAAGAGCUAAGAUGCAGAUUAUGGCAGAUUGUGUAGUAUAGUCAUUUUGAUGAUUGUGUGUGCUUAGUUGAUGUUGUGGUGUUCUUCCUUGCUCCAAUCCAUUCAUAUUGGGUUGUUAUAUGUCUUGGAAACCUGGGAAUACCAGAUUUGUGCCAAUUGUGGGUGUGGUGUUGAUUCUUACACGUAGAGCUUCAUAUCUUGUUUCGUUGAUUCCCGCUGAUCCAUAGCUCCGAUUGUAUUGUUCUUUAUACGUUUUUGCAUCGUUUUGACGAGACGCNNNNNNNNNNNNNNNNNNNNNNNNNNNNNNNNNNNNNNNNNNNNNNNNNNNNNNNNNNNNNNNNNNNNNNNNNNNNNNNNNNNNNNNNNNNNNNNNNNNNUGCUUGAUACUGCUUUGCCUGAUGAUGCUAGAGAUGCUAUUUUGCCUGAUGAUGCUAUGCUUGAUACUGCUAGAGAUACUACUUUGCCUGAUAUUCCACUAGGGGUGUUCCUUGAUGCUCAUAUUGCUAGAGUUACUCCCAAUGCUCGUGAUGCUUCUGAAACUGCCGAUACUAUUGAGAUGGAACCUGCUUUUGCUCCUGCUAGAUCUAGCUCUCCUAGAUAUGAAUUGCCGGAUAUACCUGAGGGUUACGUUAUGGAGGGAGAGAUAGCUGAGUAUUUUCUUGCAUGUAAGGAUGCCUAUGACGCUGAGAAAUUACUUCUCAAGUGGAAGGAAAAAUCUCGGGAAGCUAGGAUGAAAUAUGACCCGAAGUUUGGCACUUCGCCUAUCUUUAUCACCGAUAAGGAUUAUGAAUUCUCUGUCUAUCCUAAGAUAAUCUCUCUAGUUGAAUCAGAUCCUUUUCACGGUUAUGAGUCUGAGACGGUCAUAGCCCAUCUUGCCAAACUACACGAUAUAGCCAACCUUUUCACUAAUGAGGAUAAGAUCCGCCACUACUAUAUCCUUAAGUUGUUUCCUUUCUCUCUAAAGGAUGAUGCUAAAGUAUGGUUCACCUCUCUUUCUCCUGGAUGUGUGCGUAGUCCACAAGAGAUGGUCUAUUACUUCUGUGAGAAAAGAGGUAUUCUAUUCCUCAGUCCAGAAGAUAUGCAAGAAGCCAAGAAAUCUAUGCAAGAGAAAGGCAUUAGAUCCGAAGAUGUCAAAAAUCUACCACCUAUCGAAGAGAUUCAUGGUCUCGAUAACCCGAUACAAGUAGUAGAAGUGAAUUCUCUGCGUAGGUUUGAUGAGAGUGAUAUUCCUUUUGAUAAACUUGCUAGCCUAUGCUUUGAUAAAUUUGACAACUUUGUUGCCAAACAACAGAGUUUCAAUGAUUAUGUUAGCAGACAUUUGGAACAAAGCACUCGUAUGCUUAGCCAUUUAAGUGCUUGUGUAGACAGAAAUGUCAACGAUCUGAAGCUUCUGAGUAAACAUGCCUCUAUGAUUACUACUCAGGUAGAACAAGUACUUAAAGCUCAGAAUGACUUGCUCAAUGAAUUAAAUGACAACUCUGUCAGAGCCAUUUCUAGAGGAGGCAAAAUGACUCAGGAACCUUUGUAUCCUGAAGGUCAUCCUAAGAGAAUUGAUCAAGAUUCUCAAGGAAUCAAUGCUGAUACACCUAGUCAUCCUAAGGAGAAGAAGAAGGAUGAUAGAAGCCUACACGCCAGUUCACCAAAUACUUUCACACCUGAAGAACCUAAUGAUAUUUCUGCGUCUGAUGCAGAAACACAAUCUGGUGAUGAACAUGAACCUGGCGACAAUAUGGACAGUGAAGUUCAUAAUAAUGCUCAACCUAGCAAUGAUGAGGAUGUGGAGAUUGAACCUACGGUUAAUCCUGAUAAUCCACAACCUAAGAAAUAUGACAAGAAUGACUUCACUGCUAGGAAGCAUGGUAAAGAAAGGGAGCCAUGGGUUCAGAGACCUAUGCCCUUUCCUCCUAAGCCAUCCAAGAAAAAGGAUGAUGAGGAUUUUGAGCGCUUCGUUGAGGUGAUAUGACCCGUCUUUCUACAGAUGUGGUUAACUGAUAUGCUCAAGAUGUCUCCGUAUGCCAAGUACAUGAAAGAUAUCGUGACUAAUAAACGGAAGAUACCAGAUCUUGAGAUCUCCACCAUGCUUGCCAAUUACACUUUUAAAGGUGGAACUCCUAAGAAACUUGGUGAUCCCGGAGUGCCACUAUACCUUGCUCUAUUAAAGGAAACUAAGUAAGAACUGCCUUAUGUGACCUUGGAGUCGGUGUUAGUGUUAUGCCUCUCUCUCUUUAUCGUAGACUUGAAUUGGAUAAGUUGACACCCACUGAAAUUUCUCUGCAAAUGGCCGACAAAUCAACUGCUUUCCCUAUCGGCAUUUGCGAGGAUGUGCCUGUUGUGGUUGCUAACACCACUAUCUUAACAGACUUUGUUAUCUUGGAUAUUCCUGAGGACGAUGCCAUGGCUGUCAUCCUCGGAAGACCCUUUUUAAACAUUCCAGGGGCUGUUAUAGAUUGCAACAAAGGCAAUGUCACUUUCCAUGUCAACGGUAAUGAGCACACCGUGCACUUUCUGAAGAAACGAUAUCAAGUACAUUGCAUCAAUGCUAUCGAAAAGACUUCAUCGAUUCUUAUUGGGAGCUUUGAAUGCCCUAUUCCUCGUGUCAAGGUGAAGUAUGAUUUGCUUGUUGGGGAGAUACAUAUCCCCAUUGAGGUGACUUAGUGGCUAUUUGAAAAUUCUCCGUUCUCUCUUGCGAUUCAAGAAAGUUUUGUCAUAAGGAUUUGAUCAAUCCCAUUGACGGAUUUCUUUCGAUGACCAUGAAACGGAUGAAUCAAAGAGUUACAUACCUGUGUUUUGAGAUUUCAUUUUCUGUUGCUUAGAAUAAAAAUGAUAGAGUUAGUUUAGUUUUUCUUGUUUUCUGUUUUAGCGUCCUGGAGAAAAAUACCUCGAAAAUAAAAGUUCUACGAUGGUCCUGAAAAUUUAGUAUGAUUUUUUCUGGAAUUUUUGAAAAUUUCUGGGCCUGAGAACUGGCCUGGGGGCCAGACCAGUGGGCCACAAGCCGUGCCACCACCACCUACCCCCUAGUUGCGGAGUGCAACCUUGUGGGGCCCACAGGCACCCUCUCCACUCAUUCCAGCUCUCAGCCUCUUCUUCCACCUUCAGAAAAAAUUGUUUCGCAGCUCAAACCCGUGUUCUUGCUCAUUUGGUUGUGAUUCUCGAUCUCCUUGCUCAAAGCACCAUUCCCCGAACCGUUUUGGGGAAAUUACUCCUUGGUAAGUGACUCCUCCAUUGGUCCAAUUAGUUUUUGCUCUAGUGCUUUAUCCUUCGCGUAUUCUUGCUACCUUGGUGACCCUCUUCUUAAGCUAGAAAUGUUGAUUUUAACUGGUCCCAAGCAGUUUUAGCGCGUGAUAUGGUCUCUAGGCACUUGUAGGAGUAGUUGCUACAAGUUGGGUUAAUCUUUAUUCACUUUUCUUUCGAAGUCUCUAAGAAUUUCAGAAUUUCUCAGAGCUAGAAAAAGGAAAAGAUAAGGAGGUUCUUGAGAGGCUCUUCAAGCCGUAACCCCAAGGAGGAUGAGAAGAACCACCCCAAGUACGUAGUCCCUAGAGUCAUAGAAGUUCGAGCAUGCGAGUGGCCAAGUGAUAAAUUUUUGUGCGCCGCUAGGCUUUAUGAAGACUUUUAUUACUUGGUGGAGAACGAAGGUCUUACUGCGUUCGUUGCAGAUAAGUGUUCACAAUACCUCCUCCUCACCAAUAUUUUUGUUCAAAGCUUCAACUUUUAUCCGAGGAAGAAUCCUCCCAUGGUUGAGUUCAUGAUAUACGAUAUGCCCAAGUGCAUGACGCUGCAGGAUUUUUGCAAUGUAUGCAAAUUACCUUAUGUUGGGGAUAUCCGUGACCCUCGUCCAUGGGACUUGGAGGAUUUUAUUGGUUCUAUUGCUGUUGGAGAGGAGAGAGGAGUGUCUCGCGCUAGAAUUGCUAGCAUACAUUUUCCUGUGCUUCGGUAGUUCUCAUUAUUUGUGGGAAAAUGUUUAAUUGGCCGUGGGGAGGCUGGAUCACUUAGUUCUCCAGACCUUGCGGUUUUGCGCGAAGGCCUUUAUAACGAUAAGACUUAUAGCUUGGGUGCUAUAGUAGCUGAACGGUUGAACCUAAACCGUUCUAAAGGUGUCGUCUAUGGAGGUAUCUAUGCUUCCCGUCUUGCCAGACACUUUGAGAUACCCAUUAGACUGGGAGAGGAUGGAGAGAUGCUUCUCCCUGAGAAAUAUCUGGAUUAUGACAACAUGGUUCGCCAUGAUUUUCUGGAUAGAGAUGCUAGUAGACGGAUGAUUUAUAACCUGGUAUUUAGUUAGGGUACUCGAGAGACUAUUACUUUGCCUGCUCCUUCUUUGUUUGAUCUUCAUGUAGGUAGGUACACUAUUAUGCCCUCGGACAUCUACGCAUAUUGGGGCUUGGCCCAACCACAGGCGCCUGUGCCCGAGCCGCCAGUCGAGUACCAGACGCCAGUUUAUCAGUGGGAGCCAGAGGAGCUCACACAGCAGUGGCAUCCACAGUCUGCUCCGGAGUAUCCUAGAGCUGGUGAUUUCCCACCUUGGGAGUAGACCAAGCUAGGCCAAAAGCCUAAGCUUCGGGAGUACGUGUUCUCACCGACUUUACAUUCAUGCUUAUGCUUUCACUUUGUUAGCCGGUGUUUACACUUUGCCACUGUAUUAUCCAUGCUAGUUUAUUUUUGUUUUCUUGUUUUGUGUCCUUUUGAGAAAACCCAAAAAGAUUUUUCUUUCUUCUUUUGCUUGUUGGGAGCUUUCCCGUGUAAAUAGUUUUCUUUUUCUUUGGGUCAAGGUAGAAGAUAUUGGUUACAAUGUUUAUUGGUUCUUACAUGCUUACCUGUUUAGCUUUCAAAGAGCCAUAUUACUUUGUCUUCUCCUUUGUGUUUGCCUGCAGAUUUAGCUUAGUCCAAUGCGCUUAUUAUUGUUCACAUCGUCCGAUCGUGCAAAUGAAAGGCAACAAUGAUGAUAUAUGAUGAAGUGACUAAGACUGAAAAGCUGGUAUGAACUCUAUCUAUUUUGUUUUUGUAAAUAUGACUAGCUUGUCAACCCAGAUUUAGCUUUGUUGUGAGAGAACCAUGUUUGCAAUGACGACUUAGAGAUCAUAGUUUCUGAUGCCAUGCUUAUUUAGCUGAGAGCUUAUAAUGGUUUGUCUUGAAUGACAACAUAGAUUUUGAGAUGACUAUGAUGUAGUAUGAUAGGAUGGUAUUCUCCUUUGAAUGUUUCAAGUGGCUUGACUUGGCACAUGUUCAUGCAUGUAGUUGAAACAAAAUCAACAUAGCCUCUAUGAUGUUCAUGUUCAUGGUGAUUUAUAUCCUGUUCAUGCUUGCAUUCAAUGUUAGUCAAACUCAUUGCAUCUUGAUGACUAUUGUUGCUCUCUAGUUGGUCGCUUCCCAGUCUUUUGCUAGCCUUCACUUGUACUAAGCGGAAUACUGCUUGUGCAUCCACUUCCAUAAAUAGGGAUGGCAAUGGGUACCCAUUACGCACGUAUCCUGCGGGUAAAAACCCUAUUAGAGUAAGGCUACGGGACAAAAAUUUACCCAUGGGUAUAUAAAUAGGAAAAUAUGAAACCCAUCGGGUAGAGCAGGUACGGGUAUGGGAUCAUAUAACCCAUACCCGCAUGCCCAUGUACCCAUAUAAAAGCUAUGUAAACUGAAAAUUAUCUCUAGAAUCUACAUUAUGUCAAGAAUUUGUGAACUAAAAGUGUAUGCUUAUUUGUUGUUGUUUAUGACUAUAUGAUAUUGUUUAUAAGUAUAUGUUGGUGUUAUAAUCUAUUUUUGUAAACUCUAUUAUAUGACGUUGUUUAUUACUAUAUGUUUUUCAAAUUGAUACUUUGCAAACAUGGGUAAUUUUACCCACGGGUACCGUCUACCCUGUCGGGUCACGGGUAUGGGAAAAAAUUAUACCCGUUGACGGAUAUGGGUAAGGAUGAUGGGUAAGCUUAGGUGGGAUGGGUAAGGGUAUGGGGAGGCUUCACCCGUACCCAUACCCUGUGGGUGCCAUCCCUAUCCAUAAACCCAAAAGUUUUUCCAUGAGAGUACACCAUACCUACCUAUUUGCGGUAUCUACCUGCCGUUCCAAGUAAAUUUGCAUGUGCCACUCUCGAAACCUUCAAGAAAUAAUCUGUUUUGCAUGCCCGAACCGCUCAUGUGGUGACAGGGGGUUAUUGGUAUCUUCCAUGCUAGGAGUGUUAUCCUCGACAUGUGUUUAUUCACAGUCAUUCACGAGCAAGGGGCCGGUAAUUGGAAUGCCCAGUUCCACGCUUAAAUCGAAAACAUAACUAUAAAACAAGACUCCCCCCGGAGUGAUGUUAGUAUGGACGCUAGCCGUGUAGUGUGAUUGAUUGGUGGUGGGGGAGUUAAAACUUCACUUUUCUAUUUGGGAACUGCCUAUAGCAUGAGUAGCAUGGAAGAUAUUGAGAACUCUUGGUCAUUGCGUUGACAAUGAAAGCAUGCCACCCAAAAUUAUUAUCUCUGUUUUCAAAGCUUGAGCUCUGGCAUCUCUACAAAUCAAUGCUUCCCUCUGCGAAGGGCCUGUCUAUUUACUUUCAUGUUGAGUCAUCCUCCUCUUGUAUAAGCACCAAUUAGCGAGCACCUCUGUCAUUUUAUGCUUUCCUUUUGAUUGAUAUUGAGUAUGACUAUGACUGGAUCUUCGUUUCUAUGAAUUACAAUGUUUAGUCAGCCCUUGAUCUUUGAAAGUGCUCUGCAUUUAUGUUUUGCGGUCUCAAAAAGAGCUAGCGAGAUACCGCCGAUUCAUAUUGCUUCAUGCUUGUUUUGACUGAAGUGUUGGUAUGUGAAACUCAUUAUUAUUUGCUCGUUAGCUGAUUAUUCCAUUGAUAUUAGUUUACCGUCAGACCUUUGUGUCAUUUGCUUAUGUGGUUAACUUGUGAUCUUGCGGAAAUUCUUGUUAUGAGAUAGACAUAGUUGCAACACCAAGAUCAAACAGAGUUUGUCAAAGUUUUUCUUUCUCUCUCAGUUUGUCAACUGAGUUGCUUGAGGACAAGCAAGGUUUUAAGCUUGGGGGAGUUGAUACGUCUCCAUCGUAUCUACUUUUCCAAACUCUUUUGCCCUUGUUUUGGACUCUAAUUUGCAUGAUUUGAAUGGAACUAACAUGGAGUGACGUUGUUUUCAGCAGAAUUGCCUUGGUGUUAUUUUUGUGCAGAAAUCAAAGUUCUCCAAACGUCCUGAUAAUUUACGGGGAGUAGUUUUGGAAAAUAUAAAAAAUAUCUGCGCCAAGUUCCACCUAAGGGGGUGGGCUAGUGGGCCACAAGCCCUGGCUCCGCCACCACCCCCCUGGUGGCGGUGGGCAGGCUUGUGGGGCCCACACGGCUCUGCCGCCCCCAAUCUCAGUUCUAUUAGAUCCCUUUCGUCCCAGAAAAAAUAAAAAGAGAAGUUUUCGCCCUGUUUACGAUACGGAGGCGCCGCCACCACCUGUUCUUCAUCUGGAGGGCAGAUCUGGAGUCCGUCUUGGGCUCCGGAGAGGGGAAAUCGUCGCCAUCGUCAUCAUGAACCAUCUUCCUUCUCCAAUUCCAUGAAGCUAUUCGUCGUUCGUCACUAAUCUAUUCGUAGGCUCGCUGGGCGGUGAUGAGUAGGGUGAGAUCUAUCAUGUAAUGGAGUUAGUUUUGAUGGGGAUUGAUCCCUAGUAUCCACUAUUCUGAGAUUGAUGUUGCUACUACUUUGCCAUGCUUAAUGCUUGUCACUAGGGCCCGAGUGCCAUGAUUUCAGAUCUGAAAUUAUUAUGUUGUCACCAAUAUAUGUGUGUUUUAGAUCUGAUCUUGCAAGUUGUAGUUACCUACUAUGUGUUAUGUUCCGGCAACCCCGGAGUGACAAUAACCGGAACCACUCCCGGUGAUGACCAUAGUUUGAGGAGUUCAUGUGUUCACCAAGUGCUAAUGCGUUGGUCCGGUUCUUUAUUGAUAGGAGAACCUUAAUAUCCCGUAGUUUCCUUUUGGACCCCGCUGCCACGGGAGGGAUGGAUAAUAGAUGUCAUGCAAGUUCUUUUCCCUAAGCACGUAUGACGACACACGGAAUGCAUGCCUACAUCACAUUGACGAACGGGAGCUAGCCACAUAUCUCUCCGUGUUAUAGCUGUUGCAUGAUGAAUAUCAUCCAAACAAAUCACCAACCCAUUGCCUAUGAGUUUGUCCUACUGCUGCUGCUACUACUGUUGCUACUGCUGUUACUUGUCUUGCUAUGCUGCUGCUACUACUGUUGCUACUGCUGUUACUUGUCUUGNNNNNNNNNNNNNNNNNNNNNNNNNNNNNNNNNNNNNNNNNNNNNNNNNNNNNNNNNNNNNNNNNNNNNNNNNNNNNNNNNNNNNNNNNNNNNNNNNNNNACAUAUACUUGCCAACACAUAUAUAUAAUUCACCACACAUAUAUGAUAUACAUAUAAAUCAAUGUACAUCCCCAUAUAUCGAAAGAACCAACAUACAAAGUAUUGCACUGUUUAUCCAUAUAUACAUAUACAUAUAGUUCGACAUUGUUCAUCAACUCAAAUGAAAACUAGAUGAUAUACAUAUAAAUCAAUGUACAUCCCCAUAUAUCGAAAGAACCAACAUACAAAGUAUUGCACUGUUUAUCCAUAUAUACAUAUACAUAUAGUUCGACAUUGUUCAUCAACUCAAAUGAAAACUAGAUGAUAUACAUAUAAAGUUCAUCCAUCGACAUUGUUCAACUCCAUGAAUUCCAGCUUCCAUGCAUGUAGUAUAUACAAUCUGCAAAAAUGUGAAUAAGAAAGUCAGAAUAAGAACAAAAUAUGAUGUUUUUGAGCUUCCUUCUCCUCUUCCUCCUCUUCCUUCUUCUUCUCUUCUUCUUCUUCUUCUUUCUUUUCAUUUUUCCUAUUUCUUCUCCUCUUCUCCUCUUGUUGGAGCUAAAUUACCUAAUUAUGUCUUUUUGGAGCGAUAUGGGCUAAUUAUGCCAUUUUAGAGGAAAACAAGCUAAGAAUAUAAUAUUCAUCAGCUAACCAGGUUCUUAUUCCAUUUUGAGCUUAUUAUGUCAUUUUGGAGCUAAAUGGGUAAUUAUGUCAUUGUUGGGGAAAUUAAAGCAAGCAUAAUAUGAAAGAGGAGAAGAAAGAGGAGGAGUAGGAGAAGAAGAAGAAAUCAAGAAGAAUUAGGAGAAGGAGGAGGAGGAGGAGGAGGAGAAGGACUAGAAGGUCCUUGGCCUUCUCCUCCUCCUCCUCCUCCUUCUCCUUCUUCUCUUCUUCUUCUUCUUUCUUUCUUUUCAUUUUUCCUAUUUCUUCUCCUCUUCUCCUCUUGUUUGAGCUAAAUUACCUAAUUAUGUCUUUUGGAGCUAUAUGGGCUAAUUAUACCAUUUUAGAUGAAAACAAGCUAAGAAUAUAAUAUUCAUGAGCUAACCAAGGUUCUUAUGCCAUUUUGAGCUUAUUAUGGCAUUUUGGAGCUAAAUGGGCUAAUUAUGUCAUUGUUGGGGAAAUUAAAGCAAGGAUAAUAUGAAAGAGGAGAAGAAAUAGGAGGAGUAGGAGAAGAAGAAGAAAUCAAGAAGAAGGACGAGAAGGAGGAGCAGGAGGAGGAGGAGAAGGACUAGAAGGUCCUUGGCCUUCUCCUCCUUCUCCACCUCCUCCUCCUCCUUCUCCUUAUUCUCUUCUUCUUCUUCUUUCUUUUCAUUUUUCCUAUUUCUUCUCAUCUUCUCCUCUUGUUGGAGCUAAAUUACCUAAUUAUGUCUUUUUGGAGCUAAAUGGGCUAAUUACCCCAUUUUAGAGGAAAACAAGCUAAGUAUAUAAUAUUAAUGAGCUAACCAAGGUUCUUAUGCCAUUUUGAGGUUAUCAUGGCAUUUUGGAGCUAAAUGGGAUAAUCAUGUCAUUCUUGGGGAAAUUAAAGCAAGGAUAAUAUGAAAGAGGAGAAGAAAGAGGAGCAGGAGAAGAAGAAGAAAUCAAGAAGAAGGAGGAGAAGGAGGAGAAGGAGGAGGAGGAAAAGGACUAGAAGGUCCUUGGCCUUCUCCUCCUCCUCCUCCUCCUUCUCCUUCUUCUCUUCUUCUUCUUCUUCUUCUUUCUUUUCAUUUUUCCUAUUUCUUCUCCUCUUCUCCUCUUGUUUGAGCUAAAUUACCUAAUUAUGUCUUUUGGAGCUAUAUGGGCUAAUUAUACCAUUUUAGAUGAAAACAAGCUAAGAAUAUAAUAUUCAUGAGCUAACCAAGGUUCUUAUGCCAUUUUGAGCUUAUUAUGGCAUUUUGGAGCUAAAUGGGCUAAUUAUGUCAUUGUUGGGGAAAUUAAAGCAAGGAUAAUAUGAAAGAGGAUAAGAAAGAGUAGUAGGAGGAGAAGAAGAAGAAAUCAAGAAGAAGGAGGAGAAGGAGGAAAAGGAGGAGGAGGAGAAGGACUAGAAGGUCCUUGGCCUUCUCCUCCUUCUCCACCUCCUCCUCCUCCUUCUCCUUAUUCUCUUCUUCUUCUUCUUUCUUUUCAUUUUUCCUAUUUCUUCUCAUCUUCUCCUCUUGUUGGAGCUAAAUUACCUAAUUAUGUCUUUUUGGAGCUAAAUGGGCUAAUUACCCCAUUUUAGAGGAAAACAAGCUAAGUAUAUAAUAUUAAUGAGCUAACCAAGGUUCUUAUGCCAUUUUGAGGUUAUCAUGGCAUUUUGGAGCUAAAUGGGAUAAUCAUGUCAUUCUUGGGGAAAUUUCUAAAUUACCUAAUUAUGUCUUUUCGGAGCUAAAUGGGCUAAUUAUCCAAUUUUAGAGGAAAACAAGCUAAGUAUAUAAUAUUAAUGAGCUAACCAAGGUUCUUAUGCCAUUUUGAGGUUAUUAUGGCAUUUUGGAUCUAAAUGGGCUAAUUAUGUCCUUGUUGGGGAAAUUAAGGCAAGGAGAAUAUGAAAUAGGAGAAGAAAGAGGACGAGGAGGAGAAGAAGAAGAAAUAAAGAAGAAGGAGGAGAAGGAGGAGGAGGAGGAGAAGGACUAGAAGGUCCUUGGCCUUCUCCUCCUUCUCUUGCUCCUCCUCCUCCUUCUCCUUCUUCUCUUCUUCUUCUUCUUCUUUAUUUUCAUUUUUCCUAUUUCUUCUCCGCUUCUCCUCUUCUUGGAGCUAAAUUAGCUAACUAUGUCUUUUUGGAGCUAAAUGGGCUAAUUAUCUCAUUUUAGAGGAAAACAAGCUAAGUAUAUAAUAUUAAUCAGCUAACCAAGGUUCUUAUGCCAUUUUGAGCUUAUUAUGGCAUUUUGGAGCUAAAUGGGCUAAUUAUGUCUUUUUGGAGCUAAAUGGGCUAACUAUGUCAUUGUUGGGGAAAUUAAGGCAAGGAGAAUAUGAAAGAGGAGAAGAGAAACUUACUGUAGUGGUCAUCAAGGAGGAGAAACACCUAGAGAAGGGUCGUGCGAUGCCGCUCGGGAGUUAUUCUGCAGAAUAGAUAUUUUGCAGUGUCUCAGUUAGCAUGAUGACACUCAAUUAUUAAUACUAGUUUAUAAUGAAACUCACCGUGCCAAUCGAAGAGAAGACGGGCAUCGGCGGAGGGACUUGACCGCUCUUUUCGCACAGACCAUGAAGAGUGGGUCGUAUUAGUUAGUAAUGAAACGGACAUUACGCACAUGAUUUUGCUAAUGUGAAAAAAAAACAUACCAAAAAAAUCUCGUACAUGGCUCGUUGACCCACCUCAUUCCGGGACCUCUCCUCCUCAAUCAAUCGUGUCGUGGUCUGGUCCCUCUCAACAAAGAGCAUCCUGACUUGCCAAUCUCUCUUUCUCAAGAGAAGCCUCCAGAGCAGCCUGGCUUGCCAAUCUCUUUUCUCAAGAACAGCCUGGUUUGCUAAUAUCUCUUUCUGAAGAGCAGCCUGAAACACCAUUCCUUGUUACCACAGUAAUCAUCUAUGGUGACACACAUAAUGAAAUGGAUGAAAGUGUUCUUAGUCCNNNNNNNNNNNNNNNNNNNNNNNNNNNNNNNNNNNNNNNNNNNNNNNNNNNNNNNNNNNNNNNNNNNNNNNNNNNNNNNNNNNNNNNNNNNNNNNNNNNNAAUGGAUGAAAGUGUUCUUAGUCCGUACAACUAACCUCGAUGGCAAGUUCGAGUGGCCGUGGACAAGACGUUAUCUCAGGACAUCUGCUCGACUAGCGCGCCUUGUUCUCCGGAAGAGUGAGUGGACAACGCAUUAUCCCAUCUCCAAUGGCUAUCGAGCCAUGGGGCCUCCCGCCACCAGAUAUCAUCACCAGCUCUUGAGGCACUGACGAAAUUCCGCAUCGGAUCCAGAGCACAGCAUACAGGAAGACGAACCCAAUCUACACAUACUCGGGCUGUCCAUGGAUAAUGUUGGACAAUUCGAAAGGAUGGCGGUUAUAAAUAUGCAAAGACAUGCAUAUUUAUAGAUGUCGCCCUUUCGAACGGGAGACGCAUACUGGUCAUGCAUACUGAUAAAUUAAUUGAAUUACCUAAAUCUAGAAAUUUUCAUCCGGAAACCGAGCCACAGUAAAUGAAGGGGCGAGGAGGAGAUGAAAUUUGUACUAACCAAUGAAUGCAGGGGCGGAGCUCGUACAACGCACGGGCAGGUCUUCGCACAGCAGACCUCACAGCGACGAGACAACUAUCACAUGUAAAUCCACCCGAUCAACACAAAUAUUCCAAUUAUGUCAUUUUAGAGGAAAACAAGCUAAGUAUAUAAUAUUCAUGAGCUAACCAAGGUUCUUAUGCCAUUUUAGAGCUAAAUGGGCUAAUUAUGUCAUUGUUGCGGCAAUUAAGGCAAGGAUAAUAUGAAAGAGGAGAAGAAAGAGGAGGAGGAGAAGAAGAAGAAAUCAAGAAGAAGGAGGAGAAGGAGGAGAAGGACUAGAAGGUCCUUGGCCUUCUCCUCCUCCUCCUCCUCCUCCUCCUUCUCCUUCUUCUCUUCUUCUUCUUCUUCUUUCUUUUCAUUUUGCCUAUUUCUUCUCCUCUUCUCCUCUUGUUGGAGCUAAGUUACCUAAUUAUGUCUUUUUUGAGCUAAAUGGGCUAAUUAUCCCAUUUUAGAGGAAAACAAGAUAAGUAUAUAAUAUUCAUGAGCUAACCAAGGUUCUUAUGCCAUUUUGAGCUUAUUAGGGUAUUUUGGAGCUAAAUGGGCUAAUUAUGUCAUUGUUGGCUUAAUUAAAGCAAGGAUAAUAUGAAAGAGGAGACGAAAGAGGAGGAGGAGAAGAAGAAUAAGAAAUCAAGAAGGAGGAGGAGGAGGAGAAGGAUAGAAGGUCCUUGGCCUUCUCCUCCUCCUCCUCCUCCUUCUCCUUCUUCUCUUCUUCUUCUUCUUCUUUCUUUUCAUUUUGCCUAUUUAUUCUCCUCUUCUCCUCUUGUUGGAGCUAAAUUACCUAAUUAUGUCUUUUUUGAGCUAAAUGGGCUAAUUAUCCCAUUUUAGAGGAAAACUAGCUAAGUAUAUAAUAUUACUGAGCUAACCAAGGUUCUUAUGCUAUUUUGAGCUUCUUAUGGCAUUUUGGAGCUAAAUGGGCUAAUUAUAUCAUUGUUGCGGAAAUUAAAUCAAGGGUAAUAUGAAAUAGGAGAAGAAAGAGGAGGAGGAGGAGAAGAAGAAGAAAUCAAGAAGAAGGAGGAGNNNNNNNNNNNNNNNNNNNNNNNNNNNNNNNNNNNNNNNNNNNNNNNNNNNNNNNNNNNNNNNNNNNNNNNNNNNNNNNNNNNNNNNNNNNNNNNNNNNNNNNNNNNNNNNNNNNNNNNNNNNNNNNNNNNNNNNNNNNNNNNNNNNNNNNNNNNNNNNNNNNNNNNNNNNNNNNNNNNNNNNNNNNNNNNNNNNNNNNNNNNNNNNNNNNNNAUAGCAGAAGAAAGAGGAUGAGGACGAGAAGAAGAAGAAAUCAAGAAGAAGGAGGAGGAGGAGGAGAAGGAGGAGGAGGAGAAGGAUAGAAGGUCCUUGGCCUUCUCCUCCNNNNNNNNNNNNNNNNNNNNNNNNNNNNNNNNNNNNNNNNNNNNNNNNNNNNNNNNNNNNNNNNNNNNNNNNNNNNNNNNNNNNNNNNNNNNNNNNNNNNUUUGUGAUGGACUAGUUGGAGCACCCCUGCAGGGUUUAAUCUUUCGGAAAGUCGUGCGCGCGGUGAUGUGGCAACUUGGAAUAUUUUGUUAACAUCCGGUAUUAGAGAACUUAACAUAAAUAAAUAAAAUUGCCAACUCUGUGCGUAACCGUGACUGUUCCUUCGAAGACCUCUCUUCGAUCGGGAACACGGUGGGGUUAUGAUUGUCGUAGGUAGGGGUUCAGCUCUUCGAUCGGGAACACGGUGGGGUUAUGAUUGUCGUAGGUAGGUGUUCAGGAUCAUUUAGUGAUCAAGUAAAUCCGGCCGUUAGUGUAGACCACCUUUACUUCUACUUUGCGUAAGUUAGCCACUUAAUCAAGCAUAGGUUGCUGCAGCCUGAUACACUUCAUCCUUACCCUACCUAAUAACAUGACUAGUUCUGGCACCAAGGUCUUAGAUUGCUGAGUCCCCGUGGCUCACGGAUUCCUCCAAAACUCCCAGCAGGUACACGUACCCAGAGACAGAUGAUCCCGACGUCACCCAGCUGGCGUGGCAGUACGACGAGGAGACAGACCGCCUCUACGUGAACUAUCCAGAGGACUGAGGCGUGGUCGUGAUCGUGGGCCUGCAACAGGGUAGCAUAGCAUUUUCCAUGUUUUGUAGUCCGUAGCGGAACUACCUUGAUUGUAUCUGUUUUGUACUCUGAGUUUUAAUAAGAAGACAGUUGAAUCCCGAAUUGUCUACUUUUAUUAUUAAUUGUGCUAUGUUACUUGCUUGCAAACACUUAGAUGCGCUUCUUUCCAAUUCGGGGGCCUCGACCCCCAGAUCGGAAAGGACCGCAUCUUGGUCGUUACAAGUUGGUAAUCAGAGCCAAACGACCAUAGGAGCCCUUGUGUGAUCGUAUUUGGCCGAGUCGAGUCUAGAAAAUGUUUUGAGUCGUAGUUAUAUCGGAGAGUAGGUUUCUUUUUUCUCCUCUUCUUUGCUCUGGUGAGGUUCCCGUAUUAGGAAAUCUUUAACUCUACUCCUUUUCUCGCUCAAAAUUUUUUUAGGUUCACGCGGGUAUUUGUGAAAUCUAUAUGAUUUCGAUGUGACGGAAUCNNNNNNNNNNNNNNNNNNNNNNNNNNNNNNNNNNNNNNNNNNNNNNNNNNNNNNNNNNNNNNNNNNNNNNNNNNNNNNNNNNNNNNNNNNNNNNNNNNNNAAAAUUGGUCUUUAGUCCCGGGUCGUGGCUCAACCCGGGACUAAAGGGUGUCUUUAGUCACAGUUUUUGCCACGACCCGGGUAAAAAGCUUCACCUAUAUAUGCGGGAGUUGGAAACUUCCAACCCAAAUCGCCGCAGUUCGAUCGCCUUCCUCGUCUCGCUCGCCUCUGCAAUCGGACGAACUCGUGACGCCGCCAGGCUGCGCGCCGUCGCCAUCGCCCUUGCCGACCUCCUCGCCGUUGUCGUCGCCCCUGCCAUCCUCCUCGUCGUCGCUGUCGCCCCUGCCGUCCUCCUCGUCGUCGCUGUCGCCCUGCCUUCCUCCUCGCCGUCACCGUACACGCGUCGUUGCCCCUGCGUCGUACCUCCUCACCGUCGUCACCGUUGUGCGCCCUGCCGCCGUCCUCCUCGCCGGCACCAGACCUCCCCGCCGGUGAGCCUCUCUCCUCUCCUCUCCUCUCGAUCGAUCGUCGAUCGACAUGCAUGUGUACGUAUAUGUGUAUAAUUGUUUAAUUAGUGUUUUGUAGAUUAUAUGUAUGUGCUUAAUUGUUUAGGGUUAGUUCUUUGUAGAUUACUUAGGGUUAGUGUUUUGUAGAUUAUUGCUUAAUUAGUGUUUUGUAGAAUAUUUGGUGAAUUUAGGGUUAGGUAGGUUAGUAGUGUUAAAUAUGUUAAUUAGUGUUAACUAGUUAGUUUAGGGCCUUUUAGUUUAAUUAGUAGAUUAAUUAGGUUAUUUAUAGAUUAGGUAGAUGCUUAAUUAGUAGAUUAGGUUAUUUAUGUUAUUUUUUUGUUACAUAAAUUUGUGAUGAAAUCUUUAAAAGUUCUAAUAUUUUGGAACGGAGGUAGUACAAGUUUAGAAAAAAUUAUUAAAUAGUAGGACAUACGAUGUCCGGCCCACAUCCUCGUCGUCGACUCGGCGACGGCCACCUGCUUGAUAGGCGCCAGCAUGUGCGGGACUCGGCUCCACCGGGCUGGCACUCGGAGGAGUUAUCUUCCGAGGCGCGCAUCUUGGUGAGGAAUGAGGCUCCCGUCGUCGACCCGGAGCUCUUUGGUGGCGGUCGCGGGGGCCACUUUCGGUGCCUACCUUGCCGGCCCCCGAGGAGGACGUACGUCGCUGUGUCAGGGAGGAGGACGAGCACGUCCGUCGGUACAUGGAGGCAUUGGAUGCCAGGUUCUCCAGUACCUGGAAGGUUCUUCAGGGAUCUCACCCGAGCUAUGAUCCGAUGAUGGUCCCUGCUCUUUGGUUGUCCACUGCCCGCGCCUCAGUACAACGAUGACUCUUUGUUGGUUGAUCAGUUAUAUAUUACUCGAUGUAUCACUGUAUUAGAGAGAUGUAUUAUUUAUGUAUUCCAGAUUAUAUAUUCAAUAAUAUUAAGUGGAUUAUUCGAUGAUGCAUUAAUUAAGUGGAUUAUUCGAUGAUGUUUAAUUAAUUUGUAGAUACUAUGGAUCCAAUACACGACAGAGACGAAUAUCACGAAGACGUGAUGCAUGGUGUCAUCCGCGGGGAUGAUAUUUUAGUUCACGAUGUUGAUGUCACCAAUCAGUUUCUGAACGAGUCCGGUGAGGGGGAUUAGUCUCUCAACACAUGAGGUAGACGCCCACACCCACGCCUCGGGUGAGGGAGGAAUCGGCGGCUCCAAUGAGGAAGAAGCCGACAAGGGAGAAACCGACCGCUCCGGCGAGGUGCAUAUAUGUAUAAAUAAAUUAAUCCUCUGUUGUCUAUAUACAUAUAUUAACGCUCUUUCUUUUAGCCCUCCGGAUCGAGCAAAUUUUCGGUACGGACGAAACGAGGCCCAACCAAGAAGCCGGAUGACGAUGAGAGAUACAAGAUUGAAAUAAUCACAAAUGCCGGGCAACCAAUUGCUCCCAUAGAUGUAAAGCAUAAGUUUGUGAAGGCAUGCGGAGUUGUUGUUAGGGACCACAUUCCUAUCACCACUCGAGAAUGGAUUAAGCCAAGGGAGGAACGAGUCUCAUAUGUUGGCACAGAAGCCAAAGAAAACCUUUGGAUAAAGCUCAUGCUUCAUUUCACCCUGCCGGUGCCAGAGGUGGAUCCACAUGAGGACGAAAUGAAUAGGCGAAAAGAGGCCUGAUAACCACAAGUAUAGGGGAUCGCAACAGUUUUCGAGGGUAGAGUAUUCAACCCAAAUUUAUUGAUUUGACUCAAGGGGAAGCGAAAGAAUAUUCUCAAGUAUUAGCAGUUGAGUUGUCAAUUCAACCACACCUGAAAGAUUUAGUAUCUGCAGCAAAGUAUCAGUAGCAAAGUAGGGUGAUAGCAGCAGUAGCAACAGUAACCAGUAACAGCAAAGUAACAACAGUAGCAACAGAGUAACAGUAGCAGCAGUGACAGUAGUAGCAGCAAAGUAACGUAGCAAGGACAAGUAGUAAAAGACUCGUAGGCAUUGGAUCGGUGAUGGAUGAUUAUGCCGGAUGCUAUUCAUCAUGCAACUGUUAUAACACGGAGAGAUAAGUAACUAGCUCCAGUUCGUCAAUCUAAUGUAGGCAUGUAUUCCGUAUGUAGUCAUACGUGCUUAGGGAAAAGAACUUGCAUGACAUCUAUUGUCCAUCCCUCCUGCGGCAGCAGGGUCCUAAUGGAAACUACGGGAUAUUAAGGUUCUCCUUUUAAUAAAGAACCGGACCAACGCAUUAACACUUGGUGAAUACAUGAACUCCUCAUACUAUGGUCAUCUCCGGGAGUGGUUCCGGCUAUUGUCACUCCAGGGUUGCCGGGUCAUAACACAUAGUAGGUGACUACAACUUGCAAGAUAGGAUCAAGAACACACAUAUAUUGGCGACAACAUAAUAGGUUCAGAUCUGAAAUCAUGGCAAUCGGGCCCUAGUGACAAGCAUUAAGCAUGGCAAAGUAGUAGCAACAUCAAUCUCAGAACAUAGUGGAUACUAGGGAUCAAUCCCCGUCAAAACUAACUCGAUUACAUGAUAGAGCUCAUCCAAGUCAUCACCAUCCAGCAAGCCUAUGAUGAGAUUACUCACGAACGGUGAAGAGCAUCAUGGAGUUGGCGAUGAAGGAAGGUUGAUGAUGACGAUGGCGAUGAUUUCCCUCUCCGGAGCCCAAAACGGACUCCAGAUCUGCCCUCCAGAUGAAGAAGAGANNNNNNNNNNNNNNNNNNNNNNNNNNNNNNNNNNNNNNNNNNNNNNNNNNNNNNNNNNNNNNNNNNNNNNNNNNNNNNNNNNNNNNNNNNNNNNNNNNNNUUGAGUUGUCAAUUCAACCACACCUGAAAGAUUUAGUAUCUGCAGCAAAGUAUCAGUAGCAAAGUAGGGUGAUAGCAGCAGUAGCAACAGUAACGAGUAACAACAAAGUAACAGCUGUAGCAACAGAGUAACAGUAGCAGUAGUGACAGCAGUAGCAGCAAAGUAACGUAGCAAGGAACAUUAGUAAAAGACUCGUAGGCAUUGGAUCGGUGAUGGAUGAUUAUGCCGGAUGCUAUUCAUCAUGCAACAGUAUAACACGGAGAGAUAAGUAACUAGCUCCAGUUCGUCAAUCUAAUGUAGGCAUGUAUUCCGUAUGUAGUCAUACGUGCUUAGGGAAAAGAACUUGCAUGACAUCUAUUGUCCAUCCCUCCCGUGGCAGCGGGGUCCUAAUGGAAAUUAUGGGAUAUUAAGGUUCUCCUUUUAAUAAAGAACCGGACCAACGCAUUAACACUUGAUGAAUACAUGAACUCCUCAUACUAUGGUCAUCUCCGGGAGUGGUUCCGGCUAUUGUCACUCCGGGGUUGCCGGGUCAUAACACAUAGUAGGUGACUACAACUUGCAAGAUAGGAUCAAGAACACACAUAUAUUGGCGACAACAUAAUAGGUUCAGAUCUGAAAUCAUGGCAAUCGGGCCCUAGUGACAAGCAUUAAGCAUGGCAAAGUAGUAGCAACAUCAAUCUCAGAACAUAGUGGAUACUAGGGAUCAAUCCCCGUCAAAACUAACUCGAUUACAUGAUAGAUCUCAUCCAACCCAUCACCGUCCAGCAAGCCUACGAUGAGAUUACUCAUGAACGGUGAAGAGCAUCAUGGAAUUGGCGAUGAAGGAAGGUUGAUGAUGACGAUGACGAUGAUCUCCCCUCUCCGGAGCCCAGAACGGACUCCAGAUCUUCCCUCCAGAUGAAGAACAGGAGGUGGCGGCGCCUCCGUAUCGUAAAACGUGAUGAUCCCUUCUCCUUGAUUUGUUUUUCGAGCGAGAUAGACUAAAUAUAGCUAAGAUUGGAGGCGGUGGAGCAGAUGAAGAACAGGAGGUGAGGCGCAUCAUAAAACGCGAUGGACUCUUCUCCUUGAUUUUUUUUCGGGCGAGACAGACUAAAUAGAGCUGAGAUUNNNNNNNNNNNNNNNNNNNNNNNNNNNNNNNNNNNNNNNNNNNNNNNNNNNNNNNNNNNNNNNNNNNNNNNNNNNNNNNNNNNNNNNNNNNNNNNNNNNNCACGAAUCUCGUGAUCUCGUCGGAUUCCUUAGAGGAAAACCUCAACUCUGGGGGAAACCAAAGCUUCACUGGGAUUCCUAUACGCAAGAUAUACCGCUAAGGUAAGGCCAGGCUAGCAGGACCUCCCGAUGUGUCGACGACCUCGAUAAGAGCCGCGUAUCUCAGUCUCAGGACACGCCGGAUGAGCACAGCGUACAGUGGCCUGAUAGACAUCUCCCGAGUUGCCCCGGGUUGGCCCCGCACACGACUCUAGUUUGGACCAACACUCAUGAGGAGCACUGGCCCGGGUUGUUGAUUAAAAUCCUCGGGGUAGCUAUUCCCUAUGAAGUUUAUUAUAAGUGAUUAGCAAAUUAACACCAAUGUUGGGUCCUCCGGAAAAGCCUUAGCACUACGCGAUUUAUCGAGGGGGUCCCCAUAACAACCCUGAACGUGUUAGGAGCGAUCAUUAUGGAAUCAAACACCGGUAACUGGUAACUAGGGCGGCAAUAACGGAACAAAGCACCCGGCAAAAGGCUAGGCCUUCCAUCAUUUACCAAGUAUAUAGGUGCAUUAAUUAAAUAACAGCAUAUAAGAUAAUGAUAUCAAGCUCAUGUUAUCACAUGAGUCAAAGCACCUGCAUCUAGCAACGCUAACAUUAGUAGCUGAGCAAAGCCUACUUAGCCAUUCAAGUUUUGCUAGGAUGGAUCCGUGUUUGGGUUCAUGGCAUAACAAGAGGCAAUUCAAUUCAGUGGUAGGCAGCGAGCAAUAAGACAUGGAAACGAAACUAGCAUAACAAGUCUAGAGAUGGAAUCAAGGUCAUAUCAUCUUGCAUGUGAUAUCCUCAGCUUGGAAUGGUUCUAGUUCGUCCUGCACGUACUCUCCUGACUCCACAUAUUCGUUCUCUGAUCCCGGUGCUACCCAACAUAAUAAUAACAACCAAUGAACAGCAGCACCACAAGAUGCAACAAGCACAUGAUGCAUGAGAUGUAAAAUGAGCAUGCAUCACUAUUUCUAUCACUAGCACAAGCAAAAGGAACUACUAUAAGUUUCUGGACAGAACUGUACACUAGGCUAUUUUGACAUGCAUGAUAAUGUAAGGAACAGAUGCGUCUCGUCAAAACGAUGCAAAAACGUAUAAAGAACAAUACAAUCGGAGCUAUGGAUCAGCGGGAAUCAACGAAACAAGAUAUGAAGCUCUACGUGUAAGAAUCAACACCACACCCACAAUUGGCACAAAUCUGGUAUUCCCAGGUUGCCAAGACAUAUAACAACCCAAUAUGAAUGGAUUGGAGCAAGGAAGAACACCACAACAUCAACUAAGCACACACAAUCAUCAAAAUGACUAUACUACACAAUCUGCCAUAAUCUGCAUCUUAGCUCUUUGUGAGCUACAUGCAACAUAGCUACAGCCCUCAAAAUAUGACAAAUAAUAUAUGUGGCUGUAGCCAACCAAGAACACUACAAGCACCAGCAAGAAUCACACUAAAAGGAAUUAAACUCUAGAAGAUACAAGGCCACAAACUUUCACAAAACCAUCAGAUCUCACGGACUUAGUGAAAAUUCCUGCACCUGACUUUCUGUCUUUGUUCUGAAGCUUUUUGACAGCAAUCAAAACACAACCUACAGGACUCCAAAUGAGAUUAAAUUUGACAGGGAGCUUCACAAACAUAUCAGGUCCAAAAUCCUAGCACUGAUCUAAAGCUAGUUCACAACACAAUGACCAGCACAACCUCAUCUAUAGGAGAAGAAAAUGUUUCCAGAUUCUCAGACUUAGUGAAAUUUCAGAUUUCACUAAGCUGGACUUUUUCAGCCACAUGCCCACUUUGUCUAGGCAUAGCUUGCACGCAGAUAACACCAAGUGAUAAAUGACACCACUAUGGUGUAGAGCAAAACCCCUACUACUAUCACACAAAAGCUCAUGCCCUUGGGCUCCACCUAUUCCAUGGAAACAAAGAGCAAACUUGCAACAAUUCUGAUUAUGUCAACUCCAUAAAGUAUCCCAAUGGCAAAACUAACUUCACCACUGGAUUCCUUGGGAGAUUCUACCCCAAAAUCAUAUAUAAUAUGUGGGCACUUACUUGGAACAAGUGACCACAAAUUAAGGAAGAGGAAACUACUUCAAAUCAUGCCUAGUGAAUGGGGCAUCAUCUCAUGUAGUUCCAUUAUAUCAAGUACCACAUGGUUGAGCUCAUGUGCACAAUGACAAAGUGACAUGGGGGUUUGAACCCCAUGUUUGUGUCAUGCACAUCAACUUCACAACCACUACUACUAAGCUUCCCACACAAACAACAUACCAUGCCCUCUCACAUAUGGUCAUGUGGAGGUGCAAGGCUUGCUUGCCAAGGUGGGAUGCUACCCACACACACACCUAGUCCACAUCACUCUCAAGCACAUCAUGCUCAAGAUCAACUCCACACACUUUCACAUGUUAUCAUAGCAACCAACUAGAAGAAGGUCAACUCUAUUUAUACACACACAACCUAGUGCAACAUCAAGUGCUAGUACCUACAACAAUGAAGAACCUACACAUGCUACAACUACACUUGCUACCAUAAUCUUGGAUCAACUACUAGGAAGCACCACCAUACACACACAACCAUGUAUAGCUAAUCCCAUAUGUAUGUCCUCACACACACAUGCACCUCUCACAAGCACAUCCACACACACUACAUCACCUAGCACAAUUAUAACAGCAAAGAAAAAAAAUAGAAACAAAAUGCCAUGGCCACCUAUGGUUGGCACAGGAUCAGCAACAACAAAGAGGAAGUAAAAUUGCAGAAAAAACAGAAAAACAAAAGGAGGGCACCCUGGGAUUCGAACCCAGAACCCUCUAGUACUGUCAUGUGGUGCAUACCACCCUGCUAGAGCAUUGUGUUCGACAGAAACAGACCCGCUGCGAGGAUAAGAUGAUCUGCUGCGCUAGAAUACUACUGCAUCGCAAUAAACCAAAAAAAAGGGGGGAGCACCCCUGGGAUUCGAACCCACGACCUGAUGCAACAACACACAGACGCGCUCCACUACGCUACGACUGGGAACCUGAUAGAGGAGGGGAGUUUGGCAAGGUGAACUUCCCCUACCGCGAGCUCUGCCCUGCACGUAUAGAGACGCGCCUCGACAGGAAGGAACGCCGGCCCCUCGUCGAGCUGCUACUGCUGCUGCGCCAUGACAGAGAGGCGGCCCUACAACUGAUCGCUACCAGGGGAGGGAGCAGCCCCUGCUAUGCUGCUCCCUACCGCACACAAGCCUGACAGAGAAGAUACACACACACANNNNNNNNNNNNNNNNNNNNNNNNNNNNNNNNNNNNNNNNNNNNNNNNNNNNNNNNNNNNNNNNNNNNNNNNNNNNNNNNNNNNNNNNNNNNNNNNNNNNNNNNNNNNNNNNNNNNNNNNNNNNNNNNNNNNNNNNNNNNNNNNNNNNNNNNNNNNNNNNNNNNNNNNNNNNNNNNNNNNNNNNNNNNNNNNNNNNNNNNNNNNNNNNNNNNNNNNNNNNNNNNNNNNNNNNNNNNNNNNNNNNNNNNNNNNNNNNNNNNNNNNNNNNNAAACAAAAUGCCAUGGCCACCUAUGGUUGGCACAGGAUCAGCAACAACAAAGAGGAAGUAAAAUUGCAGAAAAAACAGAAAAACAAAAGGAGGGCACCCUGGGAUUCGAACCCAGAACCCUCUAGUACUGUCAUGUGGUGCAUACCACCCUGCUAGAGCAUUGUGUUCGACAGAAACAGACCCGCUGCGAGGAUAAGAUGAUCUGCUGCGCUAGAAUACUACUGCAUCGCAAUAAACCAAAAAAAAGGGGGGAGCACCCCUGGGAUUCGAACCCACGACCUGAUGCAACAACACACAGACGCGCUCCACUACGCUACGACUGGGAACCUGAUAGAGGAGGGUAGUUUGGCAAGGUGAACUUCCCCUACCGCGAGCUCUGCCCUGCACGUAUAGAGACGCGCCUCGACAGGAAGGAACGCCGGCCCCUCGUCGAGCUGCUACUGCUGCUGCGCCAUGACAGAGAGGCGGCCCUACAACUGAUCGCUACCAGGGGAGGGAGCAGCCCGUGCUAUGCUGCUCCCUACCGCACACAAGCCUGACAGAGAAGAUACACACACACACGCAUCGCUACGGCUCUGGUCUACCCUGCAUCAGAGAAGAACACAGCAAACUCUACCUCGUAUCCGACCGAUCUACGGGGGGAAGAAGGAAGAGGGAAGGUACCUCACCUUGGGGAAGGAAGGAGAGGACCAAACGGAGGAAGAGGCGGCGGAGAGGAAGCAGACCGGUGUGGAAGAAGCUCCCUGCUGCAGGUCGAUGGGGAGGAAGAAGUUCACCGCGGACGAUGCGGUGACGAGCUCCUUGCCAUCGAGGAGGGCACUCCCCGGCCUCAGCGAGGUUGGGAAUGGGACGCGGGGAGUCUUCCCGAGCUCCUGGACAUGGUGGUGGCGCUGCUCGACGGUGUAGACGGGGAUACGGCAGCGGUCCUUCUCCUCUCUCUCUGCUUAACUCCUACAACAGCUUACCUGCGGGAAGGAAGAGAGAUGGGGAUGGUGGCGGCGAACUGGAGGGGGAGAGGGAACCCUACGGAGGAGGAGGAAGACCUGGGGCUUUAUUCACCUCGGGGAACGAGCUUGAGCCGCUGGAUCGGGGGGGAAGGCGAUCGGGAGGUGGAGCGAGGUUCGUACAGGCGUGACGUCACCAGGAGGAAGACGAGUGAUGGUGAGGUGGGAUAAUGCUGCGCUACUGGAAGAGAUGGGCCUCUCUGGUGGGAGGAAGCCCACCAGAGCAUCACUUAAAAGAAAAAGGCCCUCCCUGCAAAUUCCUAUUAGAUAAAACCAAAGUGAAAAGGGAAAAGGCCACAGAGAAAAAGAAAGAAGAUAAAUUAAAAAAAAUGUUCAUGGGCCUGAAAAAUAGCAAGCUAAUUAAAUAAAAUAACAAAAUGAUUUUUUUGGGCAUAUGAAAUAAAUACAAAACAACAUUAUAUAUACUAUUUUGUGUUUAUUUUCACCUUCGAAACACCAAAUUUAGCACCCCAAAUAUACCCACAAUAUUUCCUAAAUAAAAGACAUUUAAAAAAACAGCUUAGGACCAAGUAGAAUUUGAACUUGAGAACAAAAGAGAGAAAAGGUUCUUUUGAUUUAGAGAAGGGCUUGAAGUAAACAACCACCACAACAAUUCUACUCACUCCAACAUCUCAUGAGCAUCCCACAUGAAUUCACAAGAUCACAAGCAUCACAAGGUACCUAACCACAAGAUCACCACCACCACAUGAAAUGCUAAGAUCAUAUGGCAACAACAUAAGACAAGGGCAUGCAAUGAUAUGCUAUGCAUGCAUGCAUGGGAAGGAAGGAAAAAAUAAACAAGGAACACCACAUGAGGUCAUGGCACAAUUGGAUACAUCAACUCACUGACAAGGUGGACCCACAUGCAAUAGGUUCCAAAUAUGGCAAGGUUUACAUCUGGGGCACUACAAACUCUCCCACACUACAAAGAAGAUCUCGCCCUCGAGAUCUAAGACUGAAAGAAAUCGGGAAAUUCGGAACGGAGGUGGUCCUCGCGUUCCCACGUAGCCUCUUUAUCGGAAUGGUGAGGCCACUGCACUUUGAGAAAUUUGGCAGUCUUGUUACGGGUCUUGCGCUCAGUCGCCUCGAGAACCGCAACUGGAUGCUCACGAUAAGAAAGGUCAGGCUGAAGGUCGAUAUCUUGAAGGUGCACAGUGCGCUCGGGGGUCUUGAAACACCUCCGAAGCUGAGAAACAUGGAACACAUCAUGGACAUUUGCAAAGGUUGACGGAAGCUCGAGCUGGUACGCAAGGUCGCCCCUUUUGCCAACCACUCUAAACGGACCAACGAAACGAGGCGCAAGCUUGCCUUUGAUGCCAAAGCGCUGCAUACCCUUCAUAGGCGACACCUUGAGAUAGACAAAGUCAUCAAGCUCAUAAGACAUGUCACGGUGCUUGCUAUCGUAAUAGCUCUUCUGACGGGACUGAGCUGCUCUGAGGUUGUCACGAAUGAUCCGACACAUCUCCUCAGCUUCUUCUAUCAUAUCAUUGCCAAGGAUCUGACGCUCGCCGGUCUCGGACCAGUUGAGCGGAGUACGGCACUUCCUUCCAUAGAGAAUUUCAAACGGAGCCUUGCCAGAACUAGCUUGAUAACUGUUGUUAUACGAGAACUCCGCGAAAGGCAGACAAUCUUCCCACUUCAUGCCAAAAGAGAUAACACAGGCUCUCAGCAUAUCCUCAAGAACUUGAUUCACUCUCUCCACUUGACCACUAGUCUGAGGAUGGAACGAUGUGCUGAAGCGGAUCUUCGUGCCCAUAGCAGACUGAAAGGAGUCCCAGAACUUGGAAGUGAAUAUACUUCCGCGAUCUGAAGAGAUCAUCAUAGGCACGCCAUGCAAAGAGACAAUCCUGGAGGUGUACAACUCUGCCAGCUGAGCUGCUGAAAUGGACUCCUUGACUGGAAGGAAAUGAGCCACUUUACUCAGUUUGUCGAUGACGACGAAGAUAGCAUCAUUGCCCUUCUUGGACUUCGAAAACCCGGUGACGAAAUCCAUCUCAAUGUGAUCAAACUUCCACUCGGGAAUCGGCAAAGGCUGCAAGAGGCAUGCUGGGCGUUGAUGUUCUGGUUUCACCCUUCGACAUACAUCACACUCGUUUACGAACUGAGCAAUUUCACGUUUCAUACGAGUCCACCAGAACGUCUGCUUCAAGUCAUGGUACAUUUUGGAGCUUCCAGGAUGAAUAGAGAGCAGAGAGUUAUGAGCUUCUUCCAUGAUCACCUUCCUGAGAUCACCUUUCGGGACGACAAGGCGAUCCUCGAAAAACAACGUGUCCCUGGCAUCAACAGUGAAACACUUAUACUUGGGGAGUCUCUUUCCCACGCCAAUCUUGACCUUCUUCACCAUAGCGUCAAGAAACUGAGCUGCUCUGACCUGAUCUUCCAAGGUAGGGGAGAUCUGAAGGUUCGCAAGAAAACCCUGAGGUACUAGCUGAAGAUUAAGCUUCCUGAAAGACUCAGAAAGACCCGGCUGGAGAGGUUGCAGAAUCAGACUGUUGCAAUAUGCCUUCCUGCUCAAUGCAUCUGCCACAACAUUUGCCUUGCCUGGCGUAUACUCAACACUCGGAUUAAAAUCCUGGAGCAUUUCCACCCAACGUGUUUGACGAAGAUUCAAGUUAGGCUGAGUGAAGAUAUACUUGAGACUCUUGUGAUUGGUGAAAACUUAAACCUUACGUUCCAACAAGAGAUGUCUCCAAGUCAUCAAGGCGUGCACAGCAGCUGCAAGCUCGAGAUCGUGCACAAGAUAGUUCUUCUCCGCAGGCUUCAGCUGCCUGGAGGUAUAAGCAACCACCUUCCUAUCUUGCAUCAAGACUGCACCAAGACCCUGGAUAGAAGCGUCGCAAAAGACCUGCUACGGCUUGGAAUCAUCCGGAGGGCCAACACUGGAGUGGAGAUAAGCUUCUCUCUGAGUGUAUCGAAAGCCAGUUGACACUCUGGAGACCAAACAUACUUAACACCCUUCUGAAUAAGACUAGAGAGCGGCUUGGCGAUUUUGGAGAAGUUCUCAACGAACCUUCUGCAAUAUCCGGCAAGCCCAAGAAAGCUUCGAAGCUGCUUCACAUUCUGCGGAGGUUCCCAUUCAACAAUGGCUUGAACCUUGGACGGGUCAACCGUAAUGCCCUCGGCAGAGAUAAUAUGCCCAAGAUAAACCACUUCUUUCAGCCAGAACUCGCACUUGGAAAACUUGGCAUACAGCUUGUACUCUCUCAGUUUAUCAAGCACCAACCUGAGAUGUCCUUCAUGUUCUUCCUCAUUCUCAGAAAAGACCAGAAUGUCGUCGAGAUAGAGCAAGACAAAUUCAUUCUUGUAUGGGGAGAAAAUAUAGUUCAUCAAUCGACAAAAUGUCGGAGGAGCAUUAGCCAGACCAAAAGACAUGACCGUAUACUCAUACGAGCCAAAACUAGUCCUGAAUGCCGUCUUCGGAAUGUCUUCCUCACGAAUGCGGAUCUGAUGAUAGCCCAUGCUGAGAUCAAGCUUGGAGAAUACUUUAGCACCUUUCAACUGCUCGAACAACUCAGUUAUGUUCGGAAGUGGAUAUUUGUUCUUGAUUGUCUUCUUGUUCAAUGGACGGUAAUCGACACACAGCCGGUCCGAUCCAUCCUUCUUCUUGACAAAUAGAACACCACAUCCCCACAGAGACGAGCUUGGUCUGAUCAAACCCAAACGCUCCUGCUCAUCGAGUUGCCUCUUGAGUUCCUUCAAUUCUUCUGGACCCAGCUUGUACGGCCGUUUGCACACUGGCUCUGUGCCUGGCUCAAGCUCAAUGACAAACUCAACUUCACGGUGCGGAUGCAUGCCUGGCAGCUCUUCAGGAAACACAUCUUGAUAUUCGCAGACCACUGGAACUUGCUCAAUAGGAUUGAUCUCACCCUUUUCAUUCAAGGAGAACAGACGGAUUGUAUCAUAGCGCGCCGCGAAUAUAAUCACAUCCUCCGAAGAGUGGGUAAGCUUCACUUCUUUGGCUUCACAAUCAAUUGACGCCUUGUUCAUGGCCAACCAGUCCAUACCAAGAAUAAAGUCGAUGGCGGAAUUGCCCAAGACAAUAGGAGAUGCCAGAAAAGCAUAAGCGCCCAUCUUGACAGAAACUUCUGGAACCAGACAAUUGGAAUUCAUCAAUCUACCAGGAGACACUAUUGACAUAGGCUUAACCAAAUCUUGACAAACAAACUCAUGCUUUGCAAACAAAGGAUGGUACAUGAAGCAGUGUGAUGCACCAGAAUCAAAUAACACUUUAGCAGGAAUAUCAUUGACGAGGAGGUUACCCAUGAUCACAUCAGAGGAGUUGUCUGCUUCAGCUGCGUUCACCAUGUUGACUCGAGCUGAUGUGGGGUUCAAUUUGACAAGAGCGUUGCUUGGAGGUUUGCCUGGAGGAGGAGGCGGCAUACGAAGCUGAGAAGUACAUUUGUUGGCAUAGUGACCCUUCUGCCCACAUUUGUGACAAGUGACAUCUGCUGGCUGCCGGAACUGAGUCUGAGGAGGCCCUUUCUUCUGAUGCUAGUAUCUGUGCUGGAAGCUAGGGUUGGGUGGGUGGGAAGAACCACGUCCACCUGAGUGCUUCAGCUGCUGUGAGUGCCGAGGAGGAGGAGGAGAAACCCAAAACCUUUGUUGCUUCUAAACCACCUAAGUCAAGGAAGAGCUGGAAUCUCUGAAGCGCUUCUUGGAGUUUUCCACCCUGAGAAAGGCCGCCUCUGCUCUGAGAGCUAGGUUGUAGAACUUGUCAAACUCCUCAGGAUCGUGCAAAGCAAGAGCUAACUGCAAGUCUUCCUUCAAGCCACCCCUGAACUGGUAGAACUUGCUCUUCUGAUCUGGGACAUCCUGCAGCGCGUAACGGGCCAGCUCGUGGAACUCGACAUUGUACUUGUACACAGAAUUGUUGCCCUGGUUCAAACGCCUGAACUUCUCAUGCAUCUCCUCCACAAAACUGGAAGGGAUGUAGUGGGACCUGAAGUCACGACAAAACUCGUUCCAAGACAUCACCCUGACACCUCUAGAGUCCUUGAGUUGCUGCCACCAUAUAGAAGCUUGUCCCUUCAACUGAAACAAUGCAAACUUGACAUAGUCCUCCGGACGCACAUUGCUACACUUGAAAUGCUUGUUCAUAUCACGGAUCCAAUCUUCCGCAUCAAACGGCUGGUCGCAAGAAGUGAACGUCUUAGGCUGGUUUGACAGGAACUGACUCAGAUUGGCGAAGUGAUUGCCACCCUGCUGGAAAUUGCACUGCUGAUGAUUGGCUCUCUCUUGGAUCAACUACAACAACAUCUGAGUGUUUGCAUUAGUAGCUGCCAUCAUCGCUUGCCAAGCCUCUGCAGGAGGAGGCGGCGGCGGCGGAGGAGGAGGAGUUGGUGGAGGCGGCAUAUCCUCACGUCCUGGGGUCUGAUGAGUCGGUGGAGUCAUCCUGAAGACGGAGAGCAUAUUAGUCCACAGAAUAAUUGAAGAUAUUGCUGAAUCAAAAGACAGAGUAUCUGAAUAGAAUUUAGCAUUGCACUCGAACAACAUAGCAAGAGUGCAUCCUCAAAGUAACAGACGACAAAAUUCCGAUAAGGACCACUACAAACAAGUGUGAGCUAGAACUGUUCGGAACAAACAUAAGACCGAGAUUUCCCAAACCUCAAUCAAGCGUCUGUAGGAAGAUAGUCCUAUAAGAUACUACUAGAUAUCCCACCUAUGAAUUCCCGAAAUAAAUGGUCAUGCAAUCAGGUACACGGAUACAAGGAGUAUUUCACACAACUCCUAAACUAACCCGUCACCUGUAUCACAACCUUCAACACACAACCAGCAUCUCGGACCUUCAUCUACAACAGAUCCUCGUGAUCACAACGAUACCGAGUGUGGUAGUACCCCCGAACAAUCUACACCAGUACUGGGGACAUCGGGGUUAUCUCACCACUACCAGUAUUGAAGCAAUAACGAACACCCACCGUUCUUAGAUACUCAGAAAUCUGAAUGAUGGCGAUGUGCGCAAGAAUCCCCCGGAGCUCAACUCCCCUGAUACUUAGAGCAGAUAGGAGGCACCAGGACAGGAUUCCGUCACAUCGAAAUCAUAUAGAUUUCACAAAUACCCGCGUGAUCCUAAAAAAAAUUGAGCGACAAAAGGAGUAGAGUUAAAGAUUUCCUAAGACGGGAACCUCACCACAGCAUAGAAGAGGAGAAAAAAGAAUCCUACUCUCCAAUAUAACUAAGACUCAAAACAUAUUCUAGACUCGACUCGGCCAAGUACGAUCACACAAAGGCUCCUAUGGUCGUAAGGCUCUGAUUACCAACUUGUAACGACCAAGAUGCGGUCCUUUCUGAUCUGGGGGUCGAGGCCCCGAAUAGGAAAGAAGCGCAUCUAAGCGUUUCGCAAGCAAGUAACGUAGCACAAAUAAUAAUAAAAGUAGACAAUUCGGGAUUCAACUGUCUUCUCAUUAAUAACUCAGAGUACAUCACAGAUACAAUCAAGGUAGUUCCGCUACGGACUACAAAACAUAGAAAUGCUAUGCUACCCUGCCUGCAGGCCCACGAUCACGACGACGUCUCAGUCCUCUGGAUAGUUUACGCAGAGGCGGUCUGUCUCCUUGUCGUACUGCCACACAAGCUGAGUGCCGUCGGGAUCAUCUGUCUCUGGGGUACCUGUACCUGUUGGGAGUUUCGGAGGAAUCCCUGAGCCACGGGGACUCAGCAAUCUAAGACCUUGGUGCCAGAACUAGUCAUGUUAUUAGGUAGGAUAAGGGUGAAGUGUAUAAGGCUGCAACAUCCUAAGCUUGAUUUAGUGGCUAACUUACGUAAAGCAAUUAUGAAGGUGGUCUACACUAGCGGUCGUGAGUACUUGAUCACUAAGUGAUCCUGAACACCUACCUACGGCAUUCAUAACCCCACCGUGUUCCCGAUCGAAGAGAGAUCUUCGAGGGGACAGUCACGGUUACACACACAGUUGGCAAUUUUAUUAGCUUAUGUUUAAGUUCUCUAAUACCGGAUGUUAACAAAAUAUUCCAAGUUGCCACAUAACCGCGGGCACGGCUUUCCGAAAGAUUAAACCCUGCAGAGGUGCUCCAACUAGUCCAUCACAAACGUACACAGGCCGCAGAGGCAUUCUCUAUCAUGAAUCUCGUGAUCUCGUCGGAUUCCUUAGAGGAAAACCUCAACUCUGGGGGAAACCAAAGCUUCACUAGGAUUCCUAUACGCAAGAUAUACCGCUAAGGUAAGGCAAGGCUAGCAAGACCUCCCGACGUGUCGACGACCCCGAUAAGAGCCGUGUAUCUUAGUCUCAGGACAUGCCGGAUGAGCACAACGUACAGUGGCCUGAUAGACAUCUCCCGAGUUGCCCUGGGUUGGCCCCGCACACGACUCUAGUUUGGACCAACACUCAUGAGGAGCACUGGCCCGGGUUGUUGAUUAAAAUCUCGGGGUAGCUAUUCCCUAUGAAGUUUAUUAUAAGUGAUUAGCAAAUUAACACCAAUGUUGGGUCCUGCCGGACAAGCCUUAGCACUACGCGAUUUAUCGAGGGGGUCCCCAUAACAACCCUGAACGUGUUAGGAGCGAUCAUUAUGGAAUCAAACACCGGUAACCGGUAACUAGGGCGGCAAUAACGGAACAAAGCACCCAUCAAAAGUCUCGGCCUUCCGUCAUUUACCAAGUAUAUAGGUGCAUUAAUUAAAUAACAGCCUAUAAGAUAAUGAUAUCAAGCUCAUGUUAUCACAUGAGUCAAAGCACCUGCAUCUAGCAACGCUAACAUUAGUAGCUGAGCAAAGCCUACUUAGCCAUUCAAGUUUUGCUAGGAUGGAUCCGUGUUUGGGUUCAUGGCAUAACAAGAGGCAAUUCAAUUCAGUGGUAGGCAGCGAGCAAUAAGACAUGGAAACGAAACUAGCAUAACAAGUCUAGAGAUGGAAUCAAGGUCAUAUCAUCUUGCAUGUGAUAUCCUCAGCUUGGAAUGGUUCUAGUUCGUCCUGCACGUACUCUCCUGACUCCACAUAUUCGUUCUCUGAUCCCGGUGCUACCCAACAUAAUAAUAACAACCAAUGAACAGCAGCACCACAAGAUGCAACAAGCACAUGAUGCAUGAGAUGUAAAAUGAGCAUGCAUCACUAUUUCUAUCACUAGCACAAGCAAAAGGAACUACUAUAAGUUUCUGGACAGAACUGUACACUAGGCUAUUUUGACAUGCAUGAUAAUGUAAGGAACAGAUGCGUCUCGUCAAAACGAUGCAAAAACGUAUAAAGAACAAUACAAUCGGAGCUAUGGAUCAGCGGGAAUCAACGAAACAAGAUAUGAAGCUCUACGUGUAAGAAUCAACACCACACCCACAAUUGGCACAAAUCUGGUAUUCCCAGGUUGCCAAGACAUAUAACAACCCAAUAUGAAUGGAUUGGAGCAAGGAAGAACACCACAACAUCAACUAAGCACACACAAUCAUCAAAAUGACUAUACUACACAAUCUGCCAUAAUCUGCAUCUUAGCUCUUUGUGAGCUACAUGCAACAUAGCUACAGCCCUCAAAAUAUGACAAAUAAUAUAUGUGGCUGUAGCCAACCAAGAACACUACAAGCACCAGCAAGAAUCACACUAAAAGGAAUUAAACUCUAGAAGAUACAAGGCCACAAACUUUCACAAAACCAUCAGAUCUCACGGACUUAGUGAAAAUUCCUGCACCUGACUUUCUGUCUUUGUUCUGAAGCUUUUUGACAGCAAUCAAAACACAACCUACAGGACUCCAAAUGAGAUUAAAUUUGACAGGGAGCUUCACAAACAUAUCAGGUCCAAAAUCCUAGCACUGAUCUAAAGCUAGUUCACAACACAAUGACCAGCACAACCUCAUCUAUAGGAGAAGAAAAUGUUUCCAGAUUCUCAGACUUAGUGAAAUUUCAGAUUUCACUAAGCUGGACUUUUUCAGCCACAUGCCCACUUUGUCUAGGCAUAGCUUGCACGCAGAUAACACCAAGUGAUAAAUGACACCACUAUGGUGUAGAGCAAAACCCCUACUACUAUCACACAAAAGCUCAUGCCCUUGGGCUCCACCUAUUCCAUGGAAACAAAGAGCAAACUUGCAACAAUUCUGAUUAUGUCAACUCCAUAAAGUAUCCCAAUGGCAAAACUAACUUCACCACUGGAUUCCUUGGGAGAUUCUACCCCAAAAUCAUAUAUAAUAUGUGGGCACUUACUUGGAACAAGUGACCACAAAUUAAGGAAGAGGAAACUACUUCAAAUCAUGCCUAGUGAAUGGGGCAUCAUCUCAUGUAGUUCCAUUAUAUCAAGUACCACAUGGUUGAGCUCAUGUGCACAAUGACAAAGUGACAUGGGGGUUUGAACCCCAUGUUUGUGUCAUGCACAUCAACUUCACAACCACUACUACUAAGCUUCCCACACAAACAACAUACCAUGCCCUCUCACAUAUGGUCAUGUGGAGGUGCAAGGCUUGCUUGCCAAGGUGGGAUGCUACCCACACACACACCUAGUCCACAUCACUCUCAAGCACAUCAUGCUCAAGAUCAACUCCACACACUUUCACAUGUUAUCAUAGCAACCAACUAGAACAAGGUCAACUCUAUUUAUACACACACAACCUAGUGCAACAUCAAGUGCUAGUACCUACAACAAUGAAGAACCUACACAUGCUUCAACUACACUUGCUACCAUAAUCUUGGAUCAACUACUAGGAAGCACCACCAUACACACACAACCAUGUAUAGCUAAUCCCAUAUGUAUGUCCUCACACACACAUGCACCUCUCACAAGCACAUCCACACACACUACAUCACCUAGCACAAUUAUAACAGCAAAGAAAAAAAAUAGAAACAAAAUGCCAUGGCCACCUAUGGUUGGCACAGGAUCAGCAACAACAAAGAGGAAGUAAAAUUGCAGAAAAAACAGAAAAACAAAAGGAGGGCACCCUGGGAUUCGAACCCAGAACCCUCUAGUACUGUCAUGUGGUGCAUACCACCCUGCUAGAGCCUUGUGUUCGACAGAAACAGACCCGCUGCGAGGAUAAGCUGAUCUGCUGCGCUAGAAUACUACUGCAUCGCUAUAAACCAAAAAAAAGGGGGGAGCACCCCUGGGAUUCGAACCCACGACCUGAUGCAACAACACACAGACGCGCUCCACUACGCUACGACUGGGAACCUGAUAGAGGAGGGGAGUUUGGCAAGGUGAACUUCCCCUACCGCGAGCUCUGCCCUGCACGUAUAGAGACGCGCCUCGACAGGAAGGAACGCCGGCCCCUCGUCGAGCUGCUACUGCUGCUGCGCCAUGACAGAGAGGCGGCCCUACAACUGAUCGCUACCAGGGGAGGGAGCAGCCCCUGCUAUGCUGCUCCCUACCGCACACAAGCCUGACAGAGAAGAUACACUGCUAUGCUGCCCCCUACCGCACACAAGCCUGACAGAGAAGAUACACACACACAUGCAUCGCUACGGCUCUGGUCUACCCUGCAUCAGAGAAGAACACAGCGAACUCUACCUCGUAUCCGACCGAUCUACGGGGGGGAGAAGGAAGAGGGAAGGUACCUCACCUUGGGGAAGGAAGGAGAGGACCAAACGGAGGAAGAGGCGGCGGAGAGGAAGCAGACCGGUGUGGAAGAAGCUCCCUGCUGCAGGUCGAUGGGGAGGAAGAAGUUCACCGCGGAACGGAGAGGAAGCAGACCGGCGUGGAAGAAGCUCCCUGUUGCAGGUCGAUGGGGAGGAAGAAGUUCACCGCGGACGACGCGGUGACGAGCUCCUGGCCGUCGAGGAGGGCGCUCCCCGGCCUCAGCGAGGUCAGGAAUGGGACGCGGGGAGUCUUUCCGAGCUCCUGGACAUGGUGGUGGCGCUGCUCGACGGUGUAGACGGGNNNNNNNNNNNNNNNNNNNNNNNNNNNNNNNNNNNNNNNNNNNNNNNNNNNNNNNNNNNNNNNNNNNNNNNNNNNNNNNNNNNNNNNNNNNNNNNNNNNNACUAGUGUUGUCAACCUCAUGAGAUGAGAGCUGUCACAUGAUUUAGUGUAUAUUAUAUUGAUAGAGAUACUAUUGCUAAAUGGAGCUGUAUGACAUGAUGCUCUACAUGUGCAAUGGUCUAUUGUCGGCAAAGUUACUUUGGUGCAGUGGCGAAUCUACAAAGAAAUUUUAUGGUGGGCUGGGCUGCCUGUGUCAUGUACUUACAAGUGGCUAGGUUGGGCCUUUACACUAGUAGUAAAAAAUAAUUUUGCAAAGCCUGUUGAAGCCCCCCUGGUAGAUUCGCCACUGCUUUGGUGUAUGCAUAAAUAAAAGCCCUUUCCUUCAAAACGUUCCACAUUAUGUCUCAAUUGGAGUAGGUUCUUCCUGUUUCAAACAGAAAUAGAUGUACCUGCAUGUAAAUCACUAGUGGUGUCCAGUACGCUAGUUUGCAGAAUCUUGGGCUUUGUUGUCUUGCUUUCCUCCUAAUAAGGAUACCAGAGUAGUAAAAAUUAUGUUGGCAACCUCUAGGAAAGAUGUGUAACGAUAGGCUUUUGUGUUGUUAUCUUAGAGUCAAAUUAUGAUUUUUGUGAACUAAGAAAAUUUGCUUAAUUAGUCAUGCAGAUAUAUCGACCUUUUUCAAGUUUCUGUAAUACAUGGACAAAAUAUAGUGUCCAAAUGGCUCAGAUGCAAAGAAUAUAGCUUUGAGUACACGACGUCCCAAAAUAUACGAUAGAUAUGCUUCCAUGUUGCUCAAAGUAUGACUGAAUUUAAGAUAUUAUAAGAUCAACCAGCUUCGAUCUUCUUAGAUGACUUUUUGGAAAUAUAUUAACUCAGAUAUGUAAUGAUCUCAUAUUUUUCUCUCCUUUCUGCUAUGUAUUUAUAGUUGUAAUUUUGUGGCUGAAUAGCAUGUUCUUUCAAAAUCAAAGUACAAAAGGAAAAAAUACGCAUGAAUUUAGAGUAGUAAUUCCAGUGGAAUUGAUGUGGAAAAGGUUGCAGAUACCAUGACAGCAACAAAAGGCCUCACGCCCACAGAUGCACCCAAGGAAGGUGUGGGGGCAGAACUGAAAUCAUUUCUCCAUAUCAUGCACGCCACUAGAUAGAGAAGUCUUAUCAGUCUUCAUCAAUGUGGUCUCAUUCUGGCAAAUCUUAUGACAUUUGAAGUGACUUGAUGAAUGUACAUAUGAAUAGUUAUGUACCUUAGAUGUCCCGUAUGAUUGAAUUUAGACGUAUUGCAAACUGUUUUACUAUUAAAUGCUAAUUCUUGGUAUAAUUACAUAUCUGUCUAAUCUGCUGUUCAUUUCUGUAAAUGCACACAUCGACUAAACAAUUAUUGCAUCUCCACUCAUGCUGUAGUGGUGUGACUAUUUUUUUGUAGGCGACCUACUUGAUGAAAAGUAGAAUUUGUGUGUGCACUGUGCAUUAUCGUAAUCGUCCCACUCAUUCUCGUUAUCUUGUCCAUUGACAGGCACUGCGUCACUGCCUCAGGGAAGGCUUGUUCUGCCUGUGAUCCUCUUGAUGUUUCUCUCAUGCACUGAGAAGUCAAUGAUUGUGGUUGUGAUCCUACUCUUCUUGAAAUCUUUGUAGGUUGCAAAGAAAUCAUGGCUACUGUUGGGAGUACACAAUUGUAGCAUUUUGCUGCGUACAAUGAAGGCAGAUGAAUCUACAAGCAAUGCUAUGGCCAGGUGCCCUUUGACUUUAUCUUGUCGAUUGGCUAAGCCCACUUGAAGGUUGGCAAGCCCGCGUUGUCAGGCUAUGUCAACGUGAUACGAAAUUCCUGAGUGGGCUACGUACGGUAAGGAUUCAUUUUCGUUAGAACCUCUCUCUUUAUUGGAGAAAUGGAGUCGUGUGAUUGGUUGAGUACAUUCCAGUGACCUUACGAAACGAAUUGCCAACUGAAAACAGGGUCCUGGGUCCAUAGCAGCAAAUAUUGUGUCCAAUGGAUGCUUGAAACAACACAGAUUCUUGUGGGGCUCUAUCUAAUAGGCUGCAAUGUUCAAAGGUGGUAUCAUUCUUCCCAACCGAAAUCUUGGGAGAUGUCACUUUUGAAGGCAAUCAUAUAGUAGUGGGGCGCCGGACUUUGGAGGGACAAAGUCACAUCAGGUGCUGUCUUUGGGACUUGCAUUUUUAGCUUCUAAUCACCAUUCCUGGUAACUCCCUGCACAUCUUUGUUUCCCCCUUUUUUAAAAUUGGCAAAUUUUAACAUGCUCCCUCUUAGCCCCUGUUUUUACAUGUGAGGCAAGAAGGUAAGAGUUAAUCAAACCAUUAAUUAAUGAGAUAAAGAACUCAGAUUUAUUUUAUGCUCUUACCUCUCAUGUGAAAAGAGGGGGUAAGUGGCAGCAUGUUAAAACUGCUCUUUUAAAUUUAAAUAUGAUGAUUAGUUUCAUCUCUUUGCCUUUGUGUCCAUGCUCCCCAUUGUUGUAACCAAGAAAUGAUUAGCUUGGAGUCACCCAAAAAUACGUACUUACCAAUAAUCUUGACCCCAGUUCAUGGAACAAAGUGGUAGGACCUGUUGUUGCUCUGUAGUCAGUUGCAAGUUGAGCAUAGUGCCUGUAGAGGUGCUGAGAAAAGGCACAUCUCCUGGUGUACUGGGGCGUGGUUUUAAGGAUUCCGUUGGAAAAGUGGGAGAUUUCCCAACUUGCUCAUGUCUCCUUGAAUUGUCUUAACCCCCAUUGCUAUGCAGCUGUGAUUGCCAGCUUUUACUAUUAUCAUUACAUAUAUAGGAGUAUUUUCCAUUUGCACUGUGCACACAUAAUCGAUUGAGAUUCUUCUCCUCCUGCACUACACGAUCUUGUGCAUGACAUGGAGAAAUCUCGUUUGCAGAGAAAGAAAGCCACUGCCCUGUUCAUAACACGGAGAAAUCAUAUAUGCUUGCCAGCUUGCUUUUUCCGUUAUAGUUUCUGGCAAUGGAGGAUGACACUCGUUUACAACGUUUGGUCAUGCUGCACGCGUGACCGGUCUUGUCAGGGAUGAUGAUAGAGGUUUAACAGUGCGUCUGCAAGUAGCUAGGAAGAUGGCACCAGCUAGAUACUCCCUCUGUAAAAACGUCUUAUAUUUUUGUGCAGAGGGAGUAGAUUUGUGCUAUGGCUUCUCUUUAUGGUUGGAGUCAUGUAGAAUGGACUUUGGGCUGGCAUUCUGCAGUUUCUCUGCCUACUGUUUGAUUGAGCAUGUGGCUCAGAUGACUUGGUUAGUGCCAUCCAUCUGCAUUGUAAGAAUGCUUUUACCAUGGACGGCCUUCCUGUCAUCGGAAAUCUCGAGUUGAUGUCUCGAGUGAUAGAAUCCGAUUUGAGGCGAGAGUUGACUUGCUUGUCCGGCCGUAUAAAUACAUGGCCGCUGAUCGCUUGACCCCCAAAAUAACACACACGCCAAUCAUCACUCUCUCUUAAGCACACACGCGCGCACUACGCGAUGUAUCAUCAUCACUCCUCUUCUUCUUCUUUUUCUUCUUCCUGUACAUGUCAGGGAAGCAAUGGCUUCCUCCCCUCUCAACCGUCUGCGUCGAGCUACGGUGAUGUGUUGCAAGCAGGGCAGCACUGCUAUUACUACUCCCAGGAGCUUCAGCUGCAGCAGGGCCAGGCGCCGCCGUUCCGUCGUGUGCUGAGCACCGGAGACCUAGGGGCGCUGCCUCCAGUAGCAGCAGCAGCGGCUGGGAGGUACAGCACGGAGGAGCGGCGGGAACGCAUCGAAAAGUAUAGGAGCAAGCGCAACCAGCGCAACUUCCAAAAGAAAAUCACAGUAGGUCUCCUCGCUCGCACUCUACUUGUUCGGCUUUGCAUCUUCACGUAUUUUGACCAUGCAUCUUCUUCAGUACGCUUGCCGGAAGACGCUCGCGGACAGCCGGCCGAGGGUGAAGGGCCGCUUCGCACGAAACGUCGACGACGAGGCAGUCGCAGAUCAGCCGGAGUUCACAGCUGCGGAGGUGUCUUCGAUGAUGAGCGAAGCCAACGCCGUUGUGGGUGCCGCGGACGCCGCCAGCAGCAGCAGCAGCAUGCCCGAGUGGUGGGCGGCAAUGCAAGGCGCGCUGGCCAUGGAGGACGAUGAGCUUUACAUCGACGUCUCCUCCAUCAACCUCUACUAGCUAUAAGCUUGCUAGAGGCGGACAGGAUCACCUCCAACUGUGCUGGUGGCACUUGUUUUCUGUCCCAUAUGCUGUUCCAUCAACUAAAACUACGACGCCAUAUUUCGUAAUGUUUAGAGGCGGACCGGAUAACUUUCUUCUUCUUCUUCUUCUAAUUAGUUGGAGUGUCCCAUGCAUCCUCUGCAACUAAAUGUAGUAGUACGUACUAAUGUUUACCGAAUGUUUUUUUUUCGUACUGUCUACUCUAUCGGCAAAGAAUAUACGUCAUCAGCUUAUUUUUAUUCCGUGUUCAAAAAGCUUCUUUUUAUUCUGCGUAUGAAAUUUGUUUGAACUCUAAGUACAUAAAGUUAGAUCAAAUCUAUCUCAAAAAGCUUCUUUUUAUUCUGUGGAUAUAAUUUGUUUGAAGUCGAACUACAUAAAGUUUGACCAUAUUCGAGGAUUAAUAUUAAUUCUUAUUGUAACGUUUUAGCUUUGUGAAAGGCAGGAAUGAUCCUCGCAAACAAAGAGAGAGAGAGGAAUGAGCGUUGGAUUAUGAAAAUGUUACGUUUUGUUCUUGGAAUAUUAGUGAUGUGCAACUUUGUUAGCUGGAUACAUGUGACUAGGUGAGAAAAAUAGUAGUGUUUCUCCUGUUUUGCAGCGUUAAGACACACCAUACCANNNNNNNNNNNNNNNNNNNNNNNNNNNNNNNNNNNNNNNNNNNNNNNNNNNNNNNNNNNNNNNNNNNNNNNNNNNNNNNNNNNNNNNNNNNNNNNNNNNNGGAGGAGAAGGCCAAGGACCUUCUAUCCUUCUCCUCCUCCUCCUUCUUCUUGAUUUCUUCUUGUUCUCCUCCUCCUCCUCUUUCUUCUCCUCUUUAAUAUUAUCCUUGCUUUAAUUAACCCAACAAUGACAUAAUUAGCCCAUUUAGCUCCAAAAUGCCAUAAUAAGCUCAAAAUGGCAUAAGAACCUUGGUUAGCUCAUUAAUAUUAUAUACUUAGCUUGUUUUCCUCUAAAAUGGGAUAAUUAGCCCAUUUAGCUCCAAAAAGACAUAAUUAGGUAAUUUAGCUCCAACAAGAGGAGAAGAGGAGAAGAAAUAGGAAAAAUGAAAAGAAAGAAGAAGAAGAAGAAGAGAAGAAGAAGGAAGAGGAGGAAGAGGAGAAGGAAGCUCAAAAACAUCAUAUUUUGUUCUUAUUCUGACUUUCUUAUUCACAUUUUUGCAGAUUGUAUAUACUACAUGCAUGGAAGCUGGAAUUCAUGGAGUUGAUAGGACCUUAUAUCCUUCUCCUCCUCCUCCUCCUCCUUCUUCUUGAUUUCUUCUUCUUCUCCUCCUCCUCCUCUUUCUUCUCCUAUUUCAUAUUAUCCUUGAUUUAAUUAACCCAACACUGACAUAAUUAGCCCAUUUAGCUCCAAAAUACCAUAAUAAGCUCAAAAUGGCAUAAGAACCUUGGUUAGCUCAUGAAUAUUAUAUACUUAGCUUGUUUUCCUCUAAAAUGACAUAAUUAGCCCAUUUAGCUCAAAAAAGACAUAAUUAGGUAAUUUAGCUCCAACAAAUGAUAUAUAGUUCACCACACAUAUACUUAGCUUGUUUUCCGCUAAAAAUGACAUAAUUAGCUGAAAACAUCAUAUUUUGUUCUUCUUCUAACUUUCUUAUUCACAUUUUUGCAGAUUGGAUAUACUACAUGCAUGGAAGUUGGCAUUCAUGGAGUUGAACAAUGUUGAUGGAUGAACUUUAUAUGUAUAUCAUCUAGUUUUCAUUUGAGUUGAUGAACAAUGUCGAACUAUAUGUAUAUGUAUAUAUGGAUAAACAGUGCAAUACUUGGUAUGUUGGUUCUUUGGAUAUAUGGGGAUGUACAUUGGUGAAUCAUAUAUGUGUGGUGAAUUAUAUAUAUGUGUUGGCAAGUAUAUGUGUGGUGAACUAUAUAUCAUAUGUGUGGUGAAUUAUAUAAAUGUGCUGUCAAAUAUAUAUAUAUAUAUAUGUGUGUGUUUGUGUGUGUGUGUGUGCUGUGAAAUAAUAUAAAACAAAAAAAACAGGAACUAUAUGGUCUCUUUGUCGUCUGCCAGCUGAUGGCAAAGACCUGUGCCAUCAGAUGGCAGACGGCAAAGGUGCCACAUGGCACCCAACUGUGCAUUCUGGGGUGUCUAUGUAGUCUCUUUGUCGUCAGCCUCCAGGGUGGGCAGACGGCAAAGAAGAGGGAACAGGGGAGGGGGAGGAGGAGGCAGACGGCAAAGAGUGGAGAGAGGGGGGAGGGGAGGAGCUGGCAGACGGCAAAGAUGGACGGGGAGGUAGACGGCAAAGAUGGAGGGGGAGGGGAGGGUAAGAGAAGGCAGACGACAAAGAUGGACGGGGAGCCAGACGACAAAGAUGGACGGGGAGGCAGACGGCAAAGCCGCCGUUAAUCCCUAACGAAGGCAACGCCUGUCGGCUGCCGUCUCGAGCACUUUGCCAACUGCUCCUAAGGAAAGCUGACGGCAAAGCGCUUUGCCGUCCGCUUUGGGGGGCAGACGGCAAAGAAGGUCCUAUGCCGUCGUAGGCAGACGCAGAAAUUUUGACGGCCGUGAGAAUCUUUGCCGUCUGUGAUAUUGUCUUUGCCGUCCGGGAUAUUGUCUUUGCCGUCUGUGAUGGCAGACGGCAAAGAAGGUGAUUCCUGUAGUGUUUCCCUUUUCUUUGUGGUUUUAUCUAAUAGGAAUUUGCAGGGAGGGCCUUUUUCUUUUAAGNNNNNNNNNNNNNNNNNNNNNNNNNNNNNNNNNNNNNNNNNNNNNNNNNNNNNNNNNNNNNNNNNNNNNNNNNNNNNNNNNNNNNNNNNNNNNNNNNNNNGAGAUUUCCUUUAUUUGAAGAGGUGGCUAGGGUUUGAGUUUUUCCUUCACCUCUUUCUUUGUUCUUGUUGAAGAUUUCUUAGAUGCAAUGCAAAGAAGACAUGAGCACAAGACUAACUUGCUUAAGGGGUUAGGGAUGUGACACUAUGCUAGAAUUCACACUUCAUAAGUUACUUCUUUUAUAAUUUACCUCCUCAAGGACGAGUAGGAAUUAAGCUUGGGGAUACUCAUAUGUCUCCAACGUAUCGAUAAUUUAUUAAGUACUCAUGCUCUACUUACCCAUGUUUAUAAUAAUUUUGUAUGGUUUUGAAGAAAUUAUAUGAUUUAAAUGGAACAAACCAACACUAAUGCUUUUUUCAGCACAAUUACCGUGGUGGUCUUUUUGUGUAGAAAAUAAAAGUUCUCGGAAUCGCCCGAAACUUUUUUGAUCAUUUUUCUGGAAGGAAUGGGACCCAAGAAGCUUCAAGGGAGUACCAGAAGACCCACAGGGGGACCACAAGGUAACAGGGCACGCCCAGGCGGUAGUCUCGCCCUGAUACCUUGUGGGCACCCUGUGUCACCACCUGGUGAGGGAGUCCGGGAUUAAGGGGUCCUUAGGUAGUCGGCUCGCUUCNNNNNNNNNNNNNNNNNNNNNNNNNNNNNNNNNNNNNNNNNNNNNNNNNNNNNNNNNNNNNNNNNNNNNNNNNNNNNNNNNNNNNNNNNNGCUCGCUUCGUAAGAAGCCGAUCUAAUGGGACGUGUUAAUUGGAGGCCAGACUAUGUGGUCAUCUCGUAUUCAAGGACGAAAGCACCGAAGACUAGCGUGAUGUCCAAGUAAGGCAGACUAGGUCGGCCCAUCUAUCCUUGGCUGAGGUCGGUAAUAUGUAACCAUAGGAACCGUUGUGUCUAUAUAAACCGGGGGUUCUCAUGCGUAUAGGCGCAUUGACUCAUCUAGGGUUUAGCUCAUACGAUCUUGAGGUAGAUCAACUCUAUAAUAAUCAUCCACAUCAAUAUAAUCAAGCAGGACGUAGGGUUUUACCUCCUCAAGAGGGCCCCAACAUGGGUAAAUAUUGUCUCCCCUUUUCUCCUGCAAUCCGUCGAUCCAAGAUCAACAAUUUGGGACCCCCUACCUAAGAUAUACCAGUUUUGUCACCAACGUUGGAGCUUUCAUUGAGAAUUCCACUGAUUCGAUCGUCGGAAGGAUCGAUGGCACGCUUAGUCAUCAGCGAGGAGAUCCUCAACAAGGAUGUUUUCCCCCACACCGAUCUUCGCAUUUGGAAGCAUCGUUCUGCAUGCCAAUCCAGCCGACCACGUUGGCCAGGUCAGGAAUUUUACCCCCGGUCAAGAAGUCAAGUUCGGGAGCCUAGAGUUCACCACUAACCCUUAGGGAGACCUUGUGUUAAAAACACUUUUAGAUCCUUUCGACGAACCCGUGGGUCCUGAUGCUUUGGCUUCGGAAACCGUGGAUCUCGCCACUGGGACGACCUUGACCCCUAAUCGGGCCUUAGAGCCUAACGUGUUCAACAGCCCACUUGUCUCAGCCGAAUACACACCGGAGGCCACCUUGAGUGCCGCCGGCGCAUCAGUGACAUGGGCUAACCCCGAACACACAAGCGGUACGAACUCCGCUGAAACCCCGGAACUACAUGAACCAGUCGACCAUAUCCAAGCCAUGGGCAUGAUGAACAAUCAAGCUACGAUCUACAAUUAGAUCGGGCUCAGACCCGAAGACAGUAAAAUUCAAGUCCGACCCAUCACGCAUCUAGUCAACAUUGUCGAGUGCCCGGUUAAGGGCUCCCCGCACCAACUAUCGGAGUUAAGGACAGUAUAUCUCCUAAUCACUGAUCAUCUGGACUUACCUGAUAAACCGGAGUAUCUAUCUCACUCCGGCAAAAUUUCGGGUCCAGUGGCUGAGCCGGUACGCGACCCAGACGGAGACGCGGCAAUUGAGGUCUCAAACCCACCACUAAUGGGAACUCAAAAUCUUGUCCCACCCACCACCUAACUCGAGCAUAAAUCAAAAUAGUUCGGUUUAUUAGUCCCAUGUGAAGUCGCCCAGCGGCCAGGGGAAUUAGUACACAACUUCUCGGCUAGAUUCCUCCUCAACAAUAGGACUGAGGGCGCGACGAAUAGGGGAUUAUUAGCGCCUUCCGGCAUCAUUGUCGUGAUGAGGGCAUCCUCAAUAACCUCUCCCAUCGCUGAAUUCAAACCCUCGCCGAGUUAUCAACCCUCGUGCUCAAAUAUUGCACCAUGGAAAGCACUUGGCAAAUACAACAAAUGUGCAAUGAUCCCAGCCUUACUGAGGAAACCAGAAAAAUCCGUACAAGACGCACACCCCCACUCACGUGGUUGAUUACCUACGGGCACUCAAUGACGAGAUAACUGACAAGGGUCAGGUCAGUCCUCGACGUACUACUGGACAAUCCAUGCCCCAUACACCCUGCCCUGCCUGAAUCAAGUUCCACCCAUAGCCUUCCAGCAUGUUGGGUUGUCAGGCGGGUCGCCAAAAGCGGGGAAGGCAUCCUUAAGGCAACACCCAAGGAGGGCCGGUCAAUAGCGCCGCGGGUAACAGCACAGUGAUCUUAACGAUCUAUGAAGCAUUUACCUCAAAGAAUCAGAGAAAGAGAGCCUUUAGGGAGCUCCACAAAAUCCACCAUGUAGUGGUGGAAAACCCAUGGUCAAACACACCCAUUACUUUCGACCAGGGCGACAAGCCGAUGACUCACACAUGCCGGACACCUGCCACCCUAGUACUGAACCCCAUAGUGGACGGCUUCACACUCAACAAGGUGUUAAUGGACGGGGGCAACGGCCUCAACCUCAUCUAUGAGGACACACUUGAAAAAAUGCAGUUCGACCAAUCUCGAAUCAAGCUAAGCACAACCACCUUCCGAGGUAUUGUCCCCGGGACAGAGGACUGCUGCACCGGACGAGUAACGCUCGACGUAGUAUUCGGCACCCAAGACCUACCGAUCCGAACAGCUCCUCUUUCAUACCGUACCGUUCCACACUGGUUACCACGCCCUAUUGGGAUGCGAAGCCUUCACAAUAUUCCAGGCCAUACCGCACUACGGAUACAUGAAGCUCAAAAUGCCAGGGCCAAACGGCGUGAUCACAGUAAUCAGUGAACCUAACAGAGCCCUCCGAACUAAAAACAAAACCGCAUCCCUAGCCCUAGAGGUACUAGCUAAAACCCUCGCUACAGAGGAACUCACGACGCUAUGCGUUGUGGUGGACAAAGAUUACAUGACCAUCGGCAAGCAGCCCAAGUCCACAUCCUUCAAACAUGCGGACGAGAUCGUCAAGUUCCAGGUACACCCAAUGGACCCUCAUAAGACCGCGUCCAUCGGAGCCCAACUGGAGCCCGCAAUCGACGAAGCACUAUGCACCUUCUUGCAUGAAAAUUUGGACAUAUUUGUGUGGCACCCCUCACACAUGCCAAGAAUCACUCGGGGGCUGGCGGAACACAGCCUGAACAUAAUUUCAGGCUUCAAGCCUGUCAAAUAGGCCUUGUGUCAAUUUUUCGAACCAAAGUAUCAAGCUAUGGUUGAAGAACUUGCUAAGCUACUGGAAUCUGCGUUCAUCAGAGACAUUAAACAUCCCGACUAGUUGGCAAACCUGGUCAUGGUACCAAAGAAGGACAAAUCUUGGUGGCUAUGUGUCGAUUUCAAGGACCUAAACAAAGCCUGCCCUAAGGAUCCUUCCCCGUUACCUUGAAUAGACCAAAUUAUGUAUGCAACAGCUGGACACGACUCCCUGUGUUUCCUCGAUGCUUUCUCCAGAUACCAUCAGAUCAAAAUGAAGGAAUCCGACCAGACCGCAACCGCCUUUAUAACACCCUAUAGGCCAUUAUGCUUAAACACAAUGCCCUUCGGGUUAAAAAAUGCGGGCGUCACUUACCUGCGCAUGAACUGGACAUGCUUGGGGAAACAGAUCGCCAAAACUGUGGAGGCAUACGUGGACGAUGUGGUCGUUAAGAAGACACGUCAUCCACCUGGUAGUCAACCUCAGGGAAACCUUUACCACCCUACGGGCAUACGAUAUACAGCUUAAUCCGGAUAAGUGUGACUUCGGAGUCCCAACUAGCAAAUAUCUCGGAUUCAUCAUGUCGCAAAGGGAAAUCGAGGCCAAUCCGGCCAAAAUACGAUCAUUGUCACAACUCGCCAUCCCAAGAAAGCUACAUCAUGUCCAAAAGUUGGCAGGUUGCAUGGCGGACUUAAGCCGGUUUAUCUCUCGCCUCGGUGAGAAGACCCUCCUGCUCUAUAGGUUGGUGAAGAAAAGUAAGAACUUCAAAUGGACUGAUGAGGCCAUGACGGCUCUUGAGGAAAUCAAAGCGAUAAUGGCCAGCAACCCCAUCCUAGCAAUACCCUACAUAGGGGAGCCGAUGUUGCUAUACAUCUCACCCACCAAUCAAGUGGUCAGUGCAAUCCUCGUCGUGGAACGAUAAGCUGAGGGUCAACAACUGUGGAUACAAAGGCUUGUCUAUUACGUAUCUGAGGUGCUCACACCAUGCAAAACCAGAUAUCCGCACUACCAAAAGAUCGCUUACACAGUGUUCAUGGCAUCGCACAAACUCAGACAUUAUUUCCAGGAAUGUAUGGUCACUGUGACUUCAAAAGUACCAUUGAGCGACAUAAUUAACAACAAAGAUGCCACCGGCCAAAUUGCCAAGUGGGCCAUCGAGCUCCUGCUGUUUGAGAUUACCUACAAGCCACGACGAGCUAUCAAAUCUCAAGUAUUGGCCGACUUCAUCGCUGAAUAGACUGAUGCCGAACUCCCUAGAGAGUAUAGCACUUAUGCUCAUUGGACCAUGUAUUUAGACGGGUCCAAAACUCUCGCCGGUCUGGGGGCUGGAGUGAUCCUCACAUCCCCUACAGGGUAUAAUGUUUGGUGCGUGCUACAGAUCAUGUAUGCCGACCGGAAAAAGCAGCAGGGUAUGUGGCGCUACUACACGGUCUCAGAAUGGCAGUCUCAAUGGGCAUACAAUGGCUCGAGGUACGAGGAGAAUCUAACCUCGCCAUCUCACAAAUGAACGGCGAAUUUGAUGCGAAAAAAUCCGAACAUGGCAGCAUAUAGAAACGUCGUCCUCAAGAUAUCAGCACGAUUCGAGGGGUUGGAGUUCCACCACAUCUCAAGAGACAACAACCACACCGUGGACGUUCUUGCCCGCCUAGGCGCAAAGCGCGACCCCAUCCCAAGCAACACAUUCCUAGAAUGGAUGUUUAAGCCAUCCAUAGUAUGGCAGGACGAAGUGGGUGGCACAAGAGCUGAUGGUGUAGAGCAGAUUAUACCACCUACAGCCGAGCAGGAUGAUGAAAUCAUCGGCGGAGCUUAAAUUGAAGAAACGCCCUCGGCCCACGAGGUCAUGGUAGUUAUCGCGCCAUGGACCAAACCCUUCCUUGCUUACCUCCUCCGCAAGGAACUCCCGGUGACUAGACCGAGGUGCAAUGCAUCAUCCGCUGAUCAAAGGGUUACAAGGUCCACGAGGGUGAGCUAUAUAAAAAGAGCACCACGGGAGUCCUCCAACGAUGCAUAGCCGAGGAGGAGGGAAGGCAGCUUCUGACCGAAGUACAUGCCAGUAUGAGCGGUCACCAUGCAACAGCAUGGGCCCUGGUCAGCAAGACUUUCUGAGCAGGUUUCUUGUGGCCAAUAGCCCGAGAGGACGCCCAUGUGCUCGUUCAAUGUUGUGCGGGGUGUUAGCUCUUCGCGGAUCAAAACCACAUGCCCCCAAUAGCUCUUCGGACAAUCUUGAUCACUUGUCCCUUUGUGGUCUAGGUCUGCAUAUGGUCGGUCGACUUAAAGGGGGGACCAAGAAAAAGAAAUACCUCCUGGUCAUGGUCGACAAGUUCACCAAAUGGAUUGAAGCAAAGCUUGUUAGCUCCGCCAAGGUCGGGCUAGUAAUCGACUUCAUAUCCGCUGUCGUACACCGUUAUGGUGUCCCCCAUAGCAUAAUAACGGACAACAGAUCCAAUUUCACCGCCUAGGAGGUAAAAGAUUGGUACGCAAAUUUGGGCAUCAAGCUCGACUAUGCCUCCGUAUACCACCCGUAGACCAAUGGACAAGUUGAAAGAGCCAAUGGCUCAUUAUGAGCGGUAUUAAACCUAAGUUGGUUCGCUCGCUUCAAGGAUCCGACUUCCAAUGGGUAGAGGAGCUCGACACCGUACUAUGGGGCUUGCGAACCCGAAUCGUUCCACAAGAUACACACCAUUUUACAUGGUGUACGGGGCUAAAGCGGUCCUCCCCUGCGUCAUUAUCCACGACGCACCUUGGGUGCGCAUGUACGAGGAAAAAGAGGCCAAGUUGGAUCGGCUAGACAACUUAGAUGCAUUGGAAGGCGAGCGCAACAUAGCUCGGGCCCGAUCUGCUUUCUAUCAACAACAAGGUCGGUGCUAUCAGAGCAGGGAAGUUCGGGCAAACGCAUACAACAUGGGUGAACUCGUCCUACGCCUCCUAGAGAAGCAGAAGCAUAAACUUCACCCAAAUAUGAGGGCCCUUUUACAAUUGAUGAAGUCUUAAUAGGAGGAGCUUAUCGCCUACGCAACUCAGAGGACAUUCGCCUCGAGCCGAACCCGUGGAAUGCAGCUCGUCUUCGAUGUUUAUAUGGCUAGACUAACGUGGUUACCUUCUUUCCAUUAUAGUAUUUUUUUCUCUUUUUGCCAAAAGUUUUUUGUUUUCUUUUGUAUGGCUUAUUAGAUGGUCCCAGGAUGUGUCCGGCUUAACCGAAUUGCUUCAAGCAUGUACCAGAACAUCCGUGCUAAAUGGAAUGAUCAAAUAGCACCUCGGGCUUCAUCAAGACGCCUCAAUGUAUUCGCCACACCUACUUGUUUAUAUAUAUAUACACCUCGACUCAACAUCGAUUCCUCCUAUUAUAUGAAUCAAUUGGACUUAAGAUCCUUGCAAUGAUGGGUUGCCUAGCUCCUGUGCUUACCCUCUACGUUCCUGAUAUGUUCGGCUAGGGGGUAAAGGGAGCACCGAUGUGAUUGUUACAACCAGUUCACCCAGAUACGUACCUCAGACGAGUAAAGCCAAAAGCUUGUGUUUCUUAAGAGACAACUUGGUCGGCUACGAACGAGGUCCAUAUAAUCGGCACCUUUCGCCGUAUAUAACAGUUAUCCGUACUACAUGGAUAAAUGGCUACACCAACUACAGCUUAUGUAGCAGCCCGGAAAAAGGAAGCCAUCGAGGAACUAUUUUUUCGGAAGAUGUUUCUUACGUUGCAUUGUAAUAUAACAUAAUCCCCCAGUGUACUCUUUGUCUAUUAGCACCACAUAGCCAGAUUGCCUGGUUAUCAGAAAUUAAUUCUUGUAACACUACAGGAAUCAGCUUCUUUGCCGUCUGCCAUCAUAGACGGCAAAGACAAUAUCCCGGACGGCAAAGACAAUAUCACAGACGGAAAAGAUUCUCACGGCCGGCAAAAUUUCUGCGUCAGCCUAUGAUGGCAUAGGACCUUCUUUGCCGUCUGCCCCCCCCCCCAAAGCNNNNNNNNNNNNNNNNNNNNNNNNNNNNNNNNNNNNNNNNNNNGCCCCCCCCCCCAAAGCGGACGGCAAAGCUCUUUGCCAUCAGCUUUCCUUAGGAGCAGUCGGCAAAGUGCUCGAGACGGCAGCCGACAGGCGUUGCCUCCGUUAGGGGUUAACGGAGGCUUUGCCGUCUGCCUCCCGUCCAUCUUUGCCGCCUGACUCCCCGUCCAUCUUUGUCGUCUGCCUUCUCUUCCCCUCCCCUCCCCUCCAUCUUUGUCGUCUACCUCCCNNNNNNNNNNNNNNNNNNNNNNNNNNNNNNNNNNNNNNNNNNNNNNNNNNNNNNNNNNNNNNNNNNNNNNNNNNNNNNNNNNNNNNNNNNNNNNNNNNNNUUUCAAACAACCAUAUAUGCUUUUCUGAAAUUCUACAUCAUUUCCGAUCAAAAAUAUUUCAAUCAUAUAUACUCAUCAGAAAUUCUAUAGUGCUCCCACUCACUUUCUUGGAAAUACAGGUUUCUCAUAAACCUAGUAUAAACCCAAAAGCUUUGAUCAUGUCAUCAAAGCAUAUAUUCCAACUCCGACAUGCUUGCUCUGGUCCAUAGAAGGAUCGAUGGAGCUUGCAUACUUGUUAGCAUCCUUAGGAUUGACAAAACCUUCUGGUUGUAUCACAUACAACCUUUCCUCAAGGAAACCGUCGAGGAAACAAUGUUUUGACAUCGAUAUGCAAGAUUUCAUAAUUGAAAAAUGCAGCAACUCCUAACAUAAUUCCAACAGACUUUAGCAUGGCUACGAGCGAGAAAGUCUCAUCGUAGUCAACUCCUCGAACUUCUCGAAAACCUCUUUUUGACAAGUCGAGCUUUCUAAAAUGGUGACAUUUACCAUGGUUGCAUGUCUUCCUUUUAAAGAUCCAUCUCUACUAAAUAGCCUUAGGACCAUCAAGUAGUUCUUCCAAAGUCCACACUUUGUUUUCAUACAUGGAUCCUAUCUCAGAUUUCAUGGCCUCCAGCCAUUUGUCGGAAUCCGGGCCCACCAUCACUUCUCCGUAGCUCUUAGGUUCAUUGUUGUCCAACAACAUGACCUCCAAGACAGGAUUACCGUACCACUCUAGAGUAGUACGCGUCCUUGUCGACCUACAAGGUUUGGUAGUAACUUGAUCCGAAGCUUUAUGAUCAACAUCAUCAGCUUCCACUUCAACUGGUGUAGGAGCCACACGAACAAUUUCAUGCACCCUGCUACUCAUUGGUCGAAGUGACGGUUCAAUAAUGUCAUCAAGUUUUCACCAUCCUCCCACUCAAUUCUUUCGAGAGAAAUCUUUUCUCGAGAAAGGACCCGUUUCUACAAACAAACACUUUGCUUCCGGAUCUGAGAUAUGAGGUAUACCCAACUGUUUUGGGUGUCCUAUGAAGAUGCAUUUAUCCGCUUUGGGUUUGAGCUUAUCAGGCUGAAAUUUUUUCACAUAAGCGUCGCAGCCCCAAACUUUCAAGAAAUGACGGCUUAGGUUUCUCCAAGCCAUAGUACAUACGGUGUCAUCUCAACGUAAUUACGUGGUGCCCUAUUUAAAGUGAAUGUGGUUGUCUCUAAUGCCUAACCCACAAAACAAUAGUGGUAAUUCAAUAAGAGACAUCAUAGUAUGCACCAUAUCCAAUAAGGCGUGGCUACGACGUUCGGACACACCAUCCCACUAUGGUGUUCCACGUGGCAUGAGUUGUGAAACAAUUUUCACAUUGUCUUAAAUGUUUACCAAACUCACAACUCAGAUAUAUAUUUACCUCCACGAUCACAUCAUAGAUAUAUUAUCCUCUUGUCACGACGAUCUUCAACUUCACUAUGAAAUUGCUUGAACUUUUCAAUAUUUCAGACUUUGUGAUUCAUCAAGCAAAUACACCUGUAUCUACUCAAAUCAUUAGUGAUGUAAGAACAUAAUGAUAUCCAAUGCAUGCCUCAGCACUCAUUAGAUUGCAUACAUCAAAAUGUAUUAUUUCCAGCAAGUCACUUGCUCGUUCCAUCUCACUGAAAAUGAAGCCUUUAGUCAUCUUGCCCAUGUGGCAUGAUUUGCAUCUCUCAAGUGAUUCAAAAUCAAGUGAGUGUAAACAAUCCAUCUGCAUGGAGUUUCUUCAUGCUUUUAUACCAAUAUGCAUGGUUUGCAUGUCUCAAACGAUUCAAAAAUGAAUGAGUCCAAAGAUCCAUCAGCAUGGAGCUUCUUCAUGCGUUUUAUACCAAUAUGACUCAAGUGGAAGUGCCACAAGUAAGUGGUACUAUCAUUACUACUUUGUAUCUUUUGGCAUCAAUAUUAUGAAUAUGUGUAUCACUACGAUUGAUAUUCAAUAAACCAUUCAUUUUAGGUGCAAGACCAUUGAAGGUAUUAUUCAAGUAAACAGAGUAACCAUUAUUCUCUUUAAAUGAAUAAUCGUAUUGCAAUAAACACAAUCUAAUCAUGUCUAUGCUCAACGCAAACACCAAAUAACAAUUAUUUAGGUUCAACACUAAUCCCGAUGGUAGAGGGAGCGUGCGAUGUUUGAUCACAUCAACCUUGGAAUUACUUCCAACACACAUCGUCACCUCACCCUUGCUAGUAUCCGUUUAUUCCAUAGCUAUAAUUUCGAGUUAUUAACACUUAGCAACUGAACCGGUAUCUAAUACCACGGUGCUACUAGGAGUACUAGUAAGGUACACAUCAAUACCACAUAUAUCCAAUAUACUUUUGUCGACUUUGCCAACCUUCUUAUCUACCAAGUAUCUAGGGUAGUUCCGCUUCACUGAUCGUUCCCUCAUAAUAGAAGCACUUAGUCUCGGGUUUGGGUUCAACCUUGGGUUUCUUCACUAGAGCGGCAACUGCUUUGCCAUUCAUAAAGUAUCCCUUCUUGCCCUUGCCCUUCUCGAAACUAGUGGUUUCACUAACCAUGAACAAUUGAUGCUCCUCCUUGAUUUCUACUUUCGCGGUGUCCAACAUCGAGAAUAACUCAGGGAUCAUCUUGUGCAUCCCUGAUAUGGUAUAGUUCAUCACGAAGCUCCAGUUGCUUGGCGGUAGUGACUUUGGAGAACUAUGUCAAUCACUAUCUUAUCUGGAAGAUCAACUCCCACUCGAUUCAAGCAAUUGUAGUACCUAGACAAUCUGCACUUGCUCAAUGAUUGAGCUUUUCUCCCUUACUUUGCACGCAAAGAAUCUUGUCGGGGGUCUCAUACUUCUCAACACGGGCACGAGUCUGAAAUCCUAAUUUCAACUAUUGGAACAUCUCAUAUGUUCCAUGACAUUUAAAACAUCUUGGGUGCCUCAAUUCUAAGCUGUAAAGCAUGACAUGUGUAAUCAUCAAAAACGUGUAUGUCACAUGUUUGCAACAUCCACAGACGACGCUCGGGGGGUAGCACACCAAGCGGUGCAUUAAGGACAUAAGCCUUGUGUGAAUCAAUGAGGACAAUCCUCAGUUUACGGACCCUUUCCGCAUAACUCCUACUAUCAUCUUUCAACUAAGUUUUCUCUAGGAACAUAUCAAAAACAGUGGAGCUACAGCGCAAGCUACAACAUAAUUUGCAAAGACAUUUUAACUAUGUUCAUGAUAAUAAGUUCAAUUAAUCAUAUAACUUAAGAACUCCCACUCAAAUUGACAUCCCUCUAGUCAUUCGACUGACACAUGAUCCAAAUUCACCAACACACGUUCGAUCAUCAGGUGAGUUGAGUUGGCUUCAAUGGUCAACAUCUCUAUGUUGAUCAUAUCUACUAUAUGACUCAUGCUCGACCUUUUAAUCUCUUGUGUUCCGAGGCCAUGUAUAUACAUGCUAGGCUCGUCAAGUUUAACCCGAGUGUUCCGCGUGUGCAAAACUGUCUUGCACCCGUUGUAUGUCAACGUAGAGUCUAUCACACCCGAUCAUCAUGUGUUGUCUCGAAACGAUGAACUGUCGUAACGGUGCACACUCAGGGAGAACACAAUUUUAUUUUGAAAUUUUAGUGAGGGAUCACCUUAUAAUGUUAUGGUCGUCCUAAGCAAGAUAAGGUGCAUAAAAGUAUUAACAUCACAUGCAAAUCAUAAUUGACAUGAUAUGGCCAUGAACUUGUCCUUCUUGAUCUCCAUCACCAAAGCACCAGCAUGAUCUCCAUCAUCACCGGCGCCGCACCAUGAUCUCCAUCAUCAUGAUCUCCAUCAUUGUAUUUCCAUCGAGGUUGUCACGCUAACUAUGUUGUUACUACUGAAGCUACGGACUAGCGAUAAAGCAAAGCAUCUUCAAGCAUGAAAUAAUUGAAGACAACCCUAUGGCUCCUGCCGGUUGUCGUAUCAUCGAUGUGCAAGUCGAUAUUUAACUAUUACAACAUGAUCAUUUCAUACAUCAAAUAUAUCAUAUCAUGUCUUUGGCCAUAUCACAUCACAACAUACCCUACAAAAACAAGUUAGACGUCCUCUAAUUUGUUGUUGCAUGUUUUAUGUGGCUGUUAUGGGUAUCCAGCAUGAUCGCAUCUUACUUACGCAAAACCACAACGGUGAUACACAAGUUGAUAUUUAACCUUCUCCAAGGACCGCCUCUGUCAAAUCCGAUUCAACUAAAGUGGGAGAAAGACACACCCACCAACCAUCUUUAUGCAACAAGUUGCAUGUUUAUCGAUGGAACCUAUCUCUCGUAAGCGUACGAGUAAUGUUGGCCCGGGCCGCUUCAUCCAACAAUACCGCCGAAUCAAGAAAAGACUAAGGAGGGAAGCAAUCUGAAUAUCAACGCCCACAAACUCCUUUUUGUUCUACUCGAGAUGUCAUCUACGCAUAGGCCUAGCUCAUGAUGCCUCUCUUGGGGGACAUCGCAUGGGAAACAAAAAUUUCCUACACCCACAACAUCUAUCCAUGGUGAUGACCAUCUAUGAGAGGGGAGAGUGCAUCUACAUAGCCAUGUAGACCUCUAAGCGGAAGCGUAUAUAACGCGGUUGAUGUAGUCAUAUGUCUCCGCGAUCCAAUCGCGAUCUAUCCUGCGAUCUCAUCACGAUCCGUCCCACAAUACCAUCACGAUACGUCCCACGAUCUCAUCACGAUCCGUCCCGCGAUCCAUCACGAUCCAUCCCACGAUCGCAUCACGAUCCGUCCCGCGAUCCCAUCACGUUCUAUCACGCAAUCCCAUCACGAUCCCUCCCGAUCUAGUGCCGAACGGACGACACCUCCGCGUUCAGCACACGUAAAUCUCAAUGACGAUCUCCUCCUUCUUGAUCCAUCAAGAGGGGUGGAGAGGUAGAUGAGUUCUCCAGCAUGGCGGCGUUGUGGUGGUGUUUUGAACUAAUCCAGCACUGCUUCGCCAAACUCUACUCAACUAAUCUAGAGGAGAAAACGACCUAGAGAGAGAGGACAACACGUGGCUUAUUAGGGUUGGGGCUGCCCGCAAAUCCUCUAGUAUAUAUUGGAGGGAGGGAGGCGAGGAGGCAGCCUCAAAACCCUCAAAGGGUUCGGCCGAAGUGGAGGAGGUGGAAGAGUCCACCUCCUUUCCUACUCCUAGUAGGAUUCCUCCCUUCCCCACUUGAGUUUAUUUUCUUCCCACCUCCUUGCCGCAUUGGGCCUUAGUGGGGGAUUCAGCCGGCCCACUAGAGGAUGUUACACGUCCUCCCACAGCCCGUGAGACCCUUUGGGGUGGGUGGGCCCACCUGGUGGACCCCCGAAGCCCAUUCAUCACUCUCGGUACACUACCGGAAAUGCCCGAAACCUUUCCGAAAUCCAAAUACCACUUUCCUAUAUAUCAAUCUUUACCUCCGGACCAUUCCAGAGCUCCUCGUGAUGUCCGGGUUCUCAUCCGGGACUCCGAACAACCUUCGGUCACCUACAUACAUAACUUAAUAAUACUGAAGCAUCACCGAACCUUAAGUGUGCAGACCCUUCGGGUUCGAGAACUAUGAAGACAUGACCUGAGACACUCUCCGGUCAAUAACCAAUAGCGGGACCUAGAUGUCAAUAUUGGCUCCUACAUAUUCUACGAAGAUCUUAAUCAGUCGAACCUCUAUGUCAAGGAUUUAGUUAAUCCUGUAUGCUAUUCCAUUUGUCCAUCGGUAUGUUACCUGCCCGAGAUUCGAUCGUUGGUAUCUCCAUACCUAGUUCAAUCUCAUUACCGGCAAGUCUCCUUCCUCAUUAUGUAGUAUAAGAUCACGUGACUAACUCCUAAGUCAUAUUGCUUACAAGGCUUAUUGUGAUAUUGUAUUACCGAGUGGGCCGCGAGAUACCUCUCUGUCACACAGAGUGACAAAUCCCAGUCUUGAUCCAUGCCAACCCAACUAACACCUUCAGGGAUACCUGUAGAGCACCUUUAUAGUCACCCAGUUAUGUUGUGAUGUUUGAUACACACAAGUUAUUCCUACGGUGUCCGGGAGUUGCAUGAUCUCAUGGUCACAGGAAGAGAUACAUUGAUAUGCAAAAAACAGUAGCAAUAAACCGGCACGAUCAUAUGCUAAGUUCAUAGUUUGGGUCUUGUCCAUCACAUCAUUCUCCUAAUGAUGUGAUCUCAUUAUCAAACGACAUCUCAUGUCUAUGGCCAGAAAACAUUGACCAUCUUUGAUCCACGAGCUAGUCCUUCAGCGGCUCACUAGGGAUAGUGUGUUGUCUAUGUAUCCACACAUGUAUUUGAGUUUCCAAUCAAUACAAUUCUAGCAUGGAUAAUGAACGAUUAUCAUGAACAAGGAAAUAUAAUAAUAACCAAAUUAUUAUUGCCUCUAGGGCAUAUUUCCAACAAAAACAACAGCCACUAGCGAUCAUUAUGCAUUCUACGUGAAGUAUUGCAUGAAAAUGCAUGCAUGAGGGCCCCACACUCAUUUAUACUAUCAGAUAGCCUAGGAGAGGGAUCAUGGUCUAGCGCCGAUGGUGGAGAUUUCAUGGGCCAAUGAUAGAGUUGAUUCGGUCCUGGCGGUAAGCGACAAUCUUAGGCUGGCCAUAGUGUAAGUAACUUAGGUAGUAUCAUGUACUUGGGACUAGCAAACAUACUGAUGUGGCAGACAAUUAAAGAUGGGAGAGAGAGCUAGAGUAACAUAGGUAGAUACCAUAAUAUGUCAAAUGCUAUGCUACUAUGUAUCAUGCAUGUCAAUAAAUAAGGUCAUCUAUGAUACUAGUUUAUGAUACUAUGCAUUAUGGAGGUAGCAUCAUACAAUAGUAUCAUAUGUAUGAUACUACUAUAUGAUACUCCCCACUAUGGCUAGCCUAAGGUUGCCCGUAAUGGGAAGUAUCAUAUACUAGUAUCAUGCAUAUGAUACUGGUGUAUGAUACUACUUUCAUAAUGCAUAGUAACAUAAGUUAUUAUCUAGAUUGUCUUAUUAAUUGUCAUGCAUGACACGAAGUAGUACAACAUUUAAUAUGAUACGGUAUCAUAAUAUGAUACCACAUCCCUUCUUUCCUCAUUUAAUGGUGUGCCACAUCAUCAAAUAAGCCUAGUUGCCAUGCAUAAUAUUGUUUAUGAUAAUUCCAUUACGAUCAGCCUAAGGUCAUUGUCAAACGAUAUAUCAGUUUGGAAUAGAUACCCACUUUGGGAAUGUGAGGCAGGAAAUCCAAUGCCUUAAAUGAGAUCUACAUGAGCUUCGUGAGGUCCCAAACCUAUCGGUUCUAGCGCAUACAGAACUUCAAAUAAUUGAAAGAUUGAUAGAGAUUUAUCAUGGAGGAAAUAUUAUGCAUACAAGCACGUCUUGAGUGGCUGAUGCAUGGAGAUAAAAUUACGUAUUUUUUCACAUUAGAGUCCGUCGUCGAAGGAGAAAAAAGCAGAUAUUUUUUUGCACACAUCUAGCGACAUUCUUGGUGAUAAUGUGACANNNNNNNNNNNNNNNNNNNNNNNNNNNNNNNGACAUUCUUGGUGAUAAUGUGACACAUAUGGAGAAAAUGAUGAGCACAUUUUAUCAACAACUCUAUGAUGAGUGAUUUUUUUACAAUCAUCUCAACCAUGUUUAAACUAAGAUAUUUCAUUAAAAGAGAUAUAUUCGCUCUGAUAUUGCCACUAAUGACUAAUGAAUACAAAGGAUUCAACGAAUCCUUUCUUUGAUAUUUUUCACAUGAAAUGGGCUAAAAAGGGAAGAAAUCGCGUGCGAGAAAUGAAAGGAAGGAAAAUGGAGAAGAAAUAUUUCACCACAAGCCACCGAAACCAAAGACGAUGUUCCAUCCGAGUGCACGCGCUCUCAUGAGCGGUUGUUCGGCACAAAAACCGAGGCAGGUCAUCCACCUGAACAAAUUUUAUAAAGGGGGCCUAGUCGAAAUCCCAACAGAACAAGCAGCAAGAGCGUGACGAGCAUAGCCAGAACCUCUUCAUCAUCAUCUCCAUCCACAAACCCUAGCCACCGUCACUUUCCUCUCCAUAGCCAUCUCCACCACAGUAGUGCUCUAUCAUCUAGUUCAUACUUGUAAUCAUGCAUCGCACAAGGCAUCCAUUGUAAGACAUAUUGCAAUCAAUCGAUCUCAAGAUGUGUUCUUCAAUUAUUUCUUCUCGCCAUCCUUCCUCCAUGUGUGAGUAGUCCGGUAAGGUAUGGGGUGAGGCAUGAGCCUUGCAACCCCAUGAAUUUGGUGAAGGGGUCAAUGGAAGUCUUUGACAUAAUGUCUUGUAUGUGUUAAGUAAAAUUGUUUUGAGAAGUGUUGCUUGUCUUCUUGUCCGCGAUCUUCAUCCCUACAUGUACCCAGAAUCAUGGAGAUCAAGCACCGAAGUCUAGGAGCAAGGGGACCGUGAAGUGUUAUACAGAACACCGAUGACGAUAAGAUUUAGUAGGAUAACAUUGGUCAUAACCUUGUGGAUUCAAGAGAUGUAGUCAUUAAACACCUAUGCUUUUGUACGAUAUUAUUAUCUUAAUUAUUAGGGCAACCCCGUGAGAUGGAUAGGGCCCUCGGUAGGACAACUGAUUCUUAUGAAAAGUUCAUAAGCAGAUUAAAUAGGCAGCAACAGACGUACAUCAUGUUAAUAGGUCUGGGUGAACUUCUCAAGACAGCUAGCAUGAAAAUGAGAUGUAUAUUGUGCCAUGCUAUUUCUUAUUCGUUAUCCCCAUCAGGACACAUUUAUCAAUAAUGGGAGACCCUAUAGGAUCACACUACCGGAUGUAGAGCAUAUGACACGCAUGCCUUGCAUGGGGAAGAAGCACAUCCCUUCAAAUCUCAACGAUACUAUGGAGUUGUGGAAGGAACUGAAAGAGCCCAAUGAGACUAAAAUAACUUCGAAAGGAUUGCAAGUGAAGAUGAAGGAUGACGUGAGUCCUAAUUUUGUCACGCCAUUUGUUGUACACCAUAGGAAAAUAUCUAUGCCCGGCAACAUAGCAGUAUGUCGAGAACAAAUACCUUGGCAUUGUUAGAAACAAUGAGACAAUAAAGAUAACCAAUCUUGGAUAGCUAGCGCUUGACCAUCUUAUGGCUAGUGUCAAGAUAUUUGUAAAUGGUGGAGCAAAUCUGGAGGGGAGCCUACCACUGCUGCAGGUAAUUCGCACUAAUAUAAUCAUUAGUGACCUACCAUACAUUACGUAAUCUAUGGCAAAGUUUCUAAUCUGCUUUGUUUUCAUGCAGACAUGGUACUACUAGAAGUUCAUGAUGCACCAAUUGGACUCCAUCAUCUCAUAUGUAUCAAGGUUAAGGCCAUUGAUCCAGAACUAGAGUGAGGAGAAGACACACAAGGUUGACAACAUAAUCAACAAAAAAUAUUUAGGAGUAAGAGAGGUAAUGUUCCAAUAAUAUUCCUGGAUUAUUUAUUGUAUAUUUCAAAUCAUACUAACACACAUUAAACUACAGUAUGUUGAGGACCUGUUGCGUCCUUUCAUUCCGCCACCAAGUGGUACAUUGGCCAAACUGAAGACCAAUGAUUAUGUAGACGAGAUUUAUAAGACACAAAUAUAUGUUGUAACUUUGUAACUACUAUCGAAGUUAUAUGUUUCUAACUGCUAAGUUGUAGGUUAAAGUACUCAUAGGUCAUUUAUUGGUUGGUUUCAAAGAAGUUGGGUCCCUUGUGCGGGAAGAUGGUGGUGGUGCACAACAAUUUGAUAGGAUGUGCAUCCUUGAAAAUAAAAUGGAUAAGUGCCUUAGGCAUACCCUUGCGCACGGAAGACGCAUGGAGGGCCUCAUCAAAGAAUUCAAUGUAAGCAUACCAUUAUGAUGUAAAUCCUCCGAUUAUGAGAUUAUUUUAAUUGGAAAUAAACAUGUUGAAGUUUUUGUCUAAGUAAUUUUACUACCAAAACUCCCGAGACUAACAUGUUUUUUAAGAACCACCGCUACGGAAUAUUCCCGAAAGUGGAGGACAUACAUCUUUCUAACCUAGACUACCUUCAGACGCAAUGGAGGUCCUGCUAAGAAUGGUUCUCACCAGGGAAAACAUAAGUAUGACACAGAGGCCCCCAUGAAGAACCUUGAUGAAGAUUUUACCAUACGCAUAUUAAUUAACUAAGAAGCAAUAAUUUUUGUUUCACAAAUAACAUAUGAUCUUCCAUGUAUAGAUGANNNNNNNNNNNNNNNNNNNNNNNNNNNNNNNNNNNNNNNNNNNNNNNNNNNNNNNNNNNNNNNNNNNNNNNNNNNNNNNNNNNNNNNNNNNNNNNNNNNNAUUUAGCUCCAAAAUACCAUAAUAAGCUCAAAAUGGCAUAAGAACAUUGGUUAGCUCAAAAAAGACAUAAUUAGGUAAUGUAGCUCCAACAAGAGGAGAAGAGGAGAAUAAAUAGGCAAAAUGAAAAGAAAGAAGAAGAAGAAGAAGAAGAGAAGAAGGAGAAGGAGGAGGAGGAGGAGGAGGAGGAGAAGGCCAAUGACCUUCUAUCCUUCUCCUCCUCCCCCUUCUCCUCCUCCUUCUUCUUGAUUUCUUCUUCUUCUCCUCCUCCUCCUCUUUAUUCUCCUAUUUCAUAUUAUCCUUGCUUUAAUUAACCCAACAAUGACAUAAUUAGCCCAUUUAGCUCCAAAAUACCAUAAUAAGCUCAAAAUGGCAUAAGAACCUUGGUUAGCUCAGGAAUAUUAUAUACUUAGCUAGUUUUCCUCUAAAAUGGUAUAAUUAGCCCAUUUAGCUCAAAAAAGACAUAAUUAGGUAAUUUAGCUCCAACAAGAGGAGAAGAGGAGAAGAAAUAGGCAAAAUUAAAAGAAAGAAGAAGAAGAAGAAGAAGAAGAGAAGAAGGAGAAGGAGGAGGAGGAGGAGGAGGAGGAGGAGGCCAAGGACCUUCUAUCCUUCUCCUCCUCCUCUUCCUUCUUCUUGAUUUCUUCUUCUUAUCCUCCUCCUCCUCUUUCUUCUCCUAUUUCAUAUUAUCCUUGCUUUAAUUAACCCAACAUUGACAUAAUUAGCCCAUUUAGCUCCAAAAUACCAUAAUAAGCUCAAAAUGGCAUAAGAACCUUGGUUAGCUCAAAAACGACAUAAUUAGGUAAUUUAGCUCCAAUAAGAGGAGAAGAGGAGAAGAAAUAGGCAAAAUGAAAAGAAAGAAGAAGAAGAAGAAAAAGAAGAGAAGAAGGAGAAGGAGGAGGAGGAGGAGAAGGCCAAGGACCUUCUAUCCUUCUCCUCCUCCUACUUCUCCUCCUCCUCCUCCUUCUUCUUGAUUUCUUCUUCUUCUCAUCCUCCUCCUCUUCCUUCUCCUCUUUCAUAUUAUCCUUGCUUUAAUUUCCGCAACAAUGAUAUAAUUAGCCCAUUUAGCUCCAAAAUGCCAUAAUAAGCUCAAAAUGGCAUAAGAACCUUGGUUAGCUGAGUAAUAUUAUAUACUUAGAUAGUUUUCCUCUAAAAUGGGAUAAUUAGCCCAUUUAGCUCAAAAAAGACAUAAUUAGGUAAUUUAGCUCCAACAAGAGGAUAAGAGGAGAAGAAAUAGGCAAAAUGAAAAUAAAGAAGAAGAAGAAGAAGAAGAGAAGAAAGAGAAGGAGGAGGAGGAGGAGGAGAAGGCCAAGGACCUUCUAUCCUUCUCCUCCUCCUCCUCCUUCUUCUUGAUUUCUUCUUCUUAUUCUCCUCCUCCUCUUUUUUCUCCUCUUUCAUAUUAUCCUUGAUUUAAUUAACCCAACAAUGACAUAAUUAGCCCAUUUAGCUCCAAAAUACCCUAAUAAGCUCAAAAUGGCAUAAGAACCUUGGUUAGCUCAUGAAUAUUAUAUACUUAGCUUGUUUUCCUCUAAAGUGGGUAAUUAGCCCAUUUAGCUCAAAAAAGACAUAAUUAGGUAAUUUAGCUCCAACAAGAGGAGAAGAGGAGAAGAAAUAGGCAAAAUGAAAAGAAAGAAGAAGAAGAAGAAGAAGAAGAGAAGAAGGAGGAGGAGGAGGAGAAGGAGGAGAAGGAUAGUAUCCUUCUCCUCCUCCUCCUCCUUCUUCUUGAUUUCUUCUUCUUCUCCUCCUCCUCCUCUUUCUUCUCCUAUUUCAUAUUAUCCUUGAUUUAAUUAACCCAACACUGACAUAAUUAGCCCAUUUAGCUCCAAAAUACCAUAAUAAGCUCAAAAUGGCAUAAGAACCUUGGUUAGCUGAGUAAUAUUAUAUACUUAGAUAGUUUUCCUCUAAAAUGGGAUAAUUAGCCCAUUUAGCUCAAAAAAGACAUAAUUAGGUAACUUAGCUCCAACAAGAGGAGAAGAGGAGAAGAAAUAGGCAAAAUGAAAAGAAAGAAGAAGAAGAAGAAGAGAAGAAAGAGAAGGAGGAGGAGGAGGAGGAGAAGGCCAAGGACCUUCUAUCCUUCUCCUCCUCCUCCUCCUUCUUCUUGAUUUCUUCUUCUUAUUCUCCUCCUCCUCUUUUUUCUCCUCUUUCAUCUUGAUUUCUUCUUGUUCUCCUCCUCCUCCUCUUUCUUCUCCUCUUUAAUAUUAUCCUUGCUUUAAUUAACCCAACAAUGACAUAAUUAGCCCAUUUAGCUCCAAAAUGCCAUAAUAAGCUCAAAAUGGCAUAAGAACCUUGGUUAGCUCAUGAAUAUUAUAUACUUAGCUUGUUUUCCUCUAAAGUGGGUAAUUAGCCCAUUUAGCUCAAAAAAGAAAUAAUUAGGUAAUUUAGCUCCAACAAGAGGAGAAGAGGAGAAGAAAUAGGCAAAAUGAAAAGAAAGAAGAAGAAGAAGAAGAAGAAGAGAAGAAGGAGGAGGAGGAGGAGAAGGAUACUAUCCUUCUCCUCCUUCUCCUCCUCCUCCUCCUUCUUCUCUUCUUCUUCUUCUUCUUUAGGACCUUAUAUCCUUCUCCUCCUCCUCCUCCUCCUUCUUCUUGAUUUCUUCUUCUUCUCCUCCUCCUCCUCUUUCUUCUCCUCUUUCAUAUUAUCCUUGCUUUAGUUAACCCAACAAUGACAUAAUUAUCCCAUUUAGCUCCAAAAUGCCAUAAUAAGCUCAAAAUGGCAUAAGAACCUUGGUUAGCUCAUGAAUAUUAUAUACUUAGCUUGUUUUCCUCUAAAAUGACAUAAUUAGCCCAUUUAGCUCAAAAAAGACAUAAUUAGGUAAUUUAGCUCCAACAAAUGAUAUAUAGUUCACCACACAUAUACUUAGCUUGUUUUCCGCUAAAAAUGACAUAAUUAGCUGAAAACAUCAUAUUUUGUUCUUCUUCUAACUUUCUUAUUCACAUUUUUGCAGAUUGGAUAUACUACAUGCAUGGAAGUUGGCAUUCAUGGAGUUGAACAAUGUUGAUGGAUGAACUUUAUAUGUAUAUCAUCUAGUUUUCAUUUGAGUUGAUGAACAAUGUCGAACUAUAUGUAUAUGUAUAUAUGGAUAAACAGUGCAAUACUUGGUAUGUUGGUUCUUUGGAUAUAUGGGGAUGUACAUUGGUGAAUCAUAUAUGUGUGGUGAAUUAUAUAUAUGUGUUGGCAAGUAUAUGUGUGGUGAACUAUAUAUCAUAUAUGUGUGGUGAAUUAUAUAAAUGUGCUGUCAAAUAUAUAUAUAUAUAUAUGUGUGUGUGUGUGUGUGUGUGUGUGCUGUGAAAUAAUAUAAAACAAAAAAAACAGGAACUAUAUGGUCUCUUUGUCGUCUGCCAGCUGAUGGCAAAGACCUGUGCCAUCAGCUGGCAGACGGCAAAGGUGCCACAUGGCACCCAACUGUGCAUUCUGGGGUGUCUAUGUAGUCUCUUUGUCGUCAGCCUCCAGGGUGGGCAGACGGCAAAGAAGAGGGAACAGGGGAGGGGGAGGAGGAGGCAGACGGCAAAGAGUGGAGAGAGGGGGGAGGGGAGGAGCUGGCAGACGGCAAAGAUGGACGGGGAGGUAGACGGCAAAGAUGGAGGGGGAGGGGAGGGUAAGAGAAGGCAGACGACAAAGAUGGACGGGGAGCCAGACGACAAAGAUGGACGGGGAGGCAGACGGCAAAGCCGCCGUUAAUCCCUAACGAAGGCAACGCCUGUCGGCUGCCGUCUCGAGCACUUUGCCAACUGCUCCUAAGGAAAGCUGACGGCAAAGCGCUUUGCCGUCCGCUUUGGGGGGCAGACGGCAAAGAAGGUCCUAUGCCGUCGUAGGCAGACGCAGAAAUUUUGACGGCCGUGAGAAUCUUUGCCGUCUGUGAUAUUGUCUUUGCCGUCCGGGAUAUUGUCUUUGCCGUCUGUGAUGGCAGACGGCAAAGAAGGUGAUUCCUGUAGUGUUUCCCUUUUCUUUGUGGUUUUAUCUAAUAGGAAUUUGCAGGGAGGGCCUUUUUCUUUUAAGUGAUGCUCUGGUGGGCUUCCUCCCACCAGAGAGGCCCAUCUCUUCCAGUAGCGCAGCAUUAUCCCACCUCACCAUCACUCGUCUUCCUCCUGGUGACGUCACGCCUGUACGAACCUCGCUCCACCUCCCGAUCGCCUUCCCCCCGAUCCAGCGGCUCAAGCUCGUUCCCCGAGGUGAAUAAAGCCCCAGGUCUUCCUCCUCCUCCAUAGGGUUCCCUCUCCCCCUCCAAUUCGCCGCCACCAUCCCCAUCUCUCUUCCUUCCCGCAGGUAAGCUGUUGUAGGAGUUAAGCAGAGAGAGAGGAGAAGGACCGCUGCCAUCUAUCCCCGUCUACACCGUCGAGCAGCGCCACCACCAUGUCCAGGAGCUCGGAAAGACUCCCCGCGUCCCAUUCCUGACCUCGCUGAGGCCGGGGAGCGCCCUCCUCGACGGCCAGGAGCUCGUCACCGCGUCGUCCGCGGUGAACUUCUUCCUCCCCAUCGACCUGCAACAGGGAGCUUCUUCCACGCCGGUCUGCUUCCUCUCCGUCGCCUCUUCCUCCGUUUGGUCCUCUCCUUCCUUCCCCAAGGUGAGGUACCUUCCCUCUUCCUUCUUCCCCCCGUAGAUCGGUCGGAUACGAGGUAGAGUUUGCUGUGUUCUUCUCUGAUGCAGGGUAGACCAGAGCCGUAGCGAUGCGUGUGUGUGUGUAUCUUCUCUGUCAGGCUUGUGUGCGGUAGGGGGCAGCAUAGCAGGGGCUGCUCCCUCCCCUGGUAGCGAUCAGUUGUAGGGCCGCCUCUCUGUCAUGGCGCAGCAGCAGUAGCAGCUCGACGAGGGGCCGGCGUUCCUUCCUGUCGAGGCGCGUCUCUAUACGUGCAGGGCAGAGCUCGCGGUAGGGGAAGUUCACCUUGCCAAACUACCCUCCUCUAUCAGGUUCCCAGUCGUAGCGUAGUGGAGCGCGUCUGUGUGUUGUUGCAUCAGGUCGUGGGUUCGAAUCCCAGGGGUGCUCCCCCCUUUUUUUUGGUUUAUUGCGAUGCAGUAGUAUUCUAGCGCAGCAGAUCAGCUUAUCCUCGCAGCGGGUCUGUUUCUGUCGAACACAAGGCUCUAGCAGGGUGGUAUGCACCACAUGACAGUACUAGAGGGUUCUGGGUUCGAAUCCCAGGGUGCCCUCCUUUUGUUUUUCUGUUUUUUCUGCAAUUUUACUUCCUCUUUGUUGUUGCUGAUCCUGUGCCAACCAUAGGUGGCCAUGGCAUUUUGUUUAUUUUUUUUUUNNNNNNNNNNNNNNNNNNNNNNNNNNNNNNNNNNNNNNNNNNNNNNNNNNNNNNNNNNNNNNNNNNNNNNNNNNNNNNNNNNNNNNNNNNNNNNNNNNNNCACAAAGAUAGGCGAAGUAGCAAACUUCGGGUCGUAUUUCAUCCUAGCGUUUGUAUGAGGAAUAGAAUCCACUUGAACACUGACGUCAGCUGUGCUUCCCUGGCAAUGGCGCCAGAAAAGUGCCGAUCCUGCAAUCUCUGGCGUUAGCUAGACGAAUGCUUAUGACAACGAACCUUCUCCUAGUGGAACAUCAGGCAAAGGAGUAUCUCUAGCAGUAUCAAGCAUAGCAUCUCUAGCAGUAUCAAGCAUAUCAUCAUUAGGCAAAAUAGCAUCUCUAGCAUCAUCAGGCAAAGCAGUAUCAAGCAUAGCAUCUCUAGCAGUAUCAGGCAUAGUAUCAAGCAUAGCAUCUCUAGCAGUAUCAAGCAUAGUAUCAUCAGGCAUAGUAUCAAGCAUAGCAUCUCUAGCAGUAGCAUCAUCAAGCACAUGCGACAUAUCAAGAUUUCUAGCAGGAGGUGAAGUCACAAACUUACUCAUAACUGAAGGUGAAUCAAGUGCAGAGCUAGAUGGCAAUUCCUUACCUCCCUCGUAGUUGAGGGCAAGACUUUGGACUUCGGAUCCUUCAGAUUAUUCAUAGUGAUCAGCAGAUAUAAAUCCCAAGUGACUCAGAGAAUAUAGCAAUACCUCCCGGGCAACGGCGCCAGAAAAAUGCUGACGUCAGCUGUGAUUCCCUCGCAAUGGCGCCAGAAAAGUGCUGAUCCUACAAUCUCUGGCGUUAGCUACACGAAUGCUUAUGACAACGAACCUUCUCCUGCAACGGCACCAGAAGAAUGCUGCUAGCACUCCCCGCAAUGAAACUGGAAGAAUGUUGUUGAUGGUCCACCAGCGCGUGGGUUCACAGCAGUUUUCAAGGGUAGAGUAUUCGACCCAGUUUGUUGAUCGCCUAAAGGAGGUGAGAGAAUACUCUCGAGUAUUAGCAGCUGAAUUUGUCAGAUUCCACCACACCUAAAAGAUUAGUAUCUGCAAGCACAGUAGUAACAGCGAAGUAAUAUGAUAACAACGGUGUCAGAAACGAUCUGUUGACGGCAGACUAUUCCUAACAAUUGUAUCAAUGGCGCCUUCAUUGCCGCGUUGACGGAAGUUGUCAAUUCCCUUCAACGGUAGGUGAACCAAUAGUGUAGCAAGUAGUAGCAGUGUAACAAGCAAUAGCAGUGGCAAGGAACAGCAGUAGUGACAACAGUAGCAAGUAGCAAUAGUAGCAAGCGAGAGUAGUAGCAACAGUAGCAGCAGAGCAAGACAACUAACAACAAUAGCAAUAGUAGUAGUAGCAGCAGAGCAAGACAAGUAACAUCAGUAGCGACAGUAGUAGCAGCAGCAGAGCAAGACAAGUAACAGCAGUAGCAACAGUAGGACAAACUCGUAGGCAAUGGGUCGGUGAUUUGUUUGGAUGAUAUUCAUCAUGCAAGAGUUAUAACACGGAGAGAUAUGUGGCUAGCUCCCGUUCGUCAAUGUGAUGUAGGCAUGCAUUCCGUGUGUCGUCAUACGUGCUUAGGGAAAAGAACUUGCAUGACAUCUAUUGUCCAUCCCUCCCGUGGCAGCGGGGUCCAAAAGGAAACUACGGGAUAUUAAGGUUCUCCUUUUAAUAAAGAACCGGACAAACGCAUUAGCACUUGGUGAACACAUGAACUCCUCAAACUAUGAUCAUCACCGGGAGUGGUUCCGGUUAUUGUCACUCCGGGGUUGUCGGAUCAUAACACAUAGUAGGUAACUACAACUUGCAAGAUCGGAUCUAAAGCACACAUAUAUUGGUGACAACAUAAUAAUUUCAGAUCUGAAAUCAUGGCACUCGGGCCCUAGUGACAAGCAUUAAGCAUGGCAAAGUAGUAGCAACAUCAAAUCUCAGAACAUAGUGGAUACUAGGGAUCAAUCCCCAUCAAAACUAACUCGAUUACAUGAUAGAUCUCAUCCUACUCAUCACCGCCCAACGAGCCUACGAAUAGAUUACUCACGAACGACGAAGAGCUUCAUGGAAUUGGAGAGGGAAGAAGGUUGAUGAUGACGAUGGCGACGAUUUCCCCUCUCCGGAGCCCAAGACGGACUCAAGAUCUGCCCUCCAGAUGAAGAACAGGAGGUGGCGGCGCCUCCGUAUCGAAAACGCGACGAAAACUUCUCUUUUUAUUUUUUCUCGGACGAAAGGAAACUUAUAGAGCUGGAGUUGGGGGUGGCAGGUGCCUGUGGGCCCCACAAGCCUGCCCACCGCCACCAGGGGGUGGUGGCGGAGCAGGGGCCUAUGGCCCACUGGCCCACCCCCUGAGGUGGAACUUGGCGCAAAUAUUUUUGAUAUUUUCCAAAACUGCUCCCCGUUAAUUUUCAGGACGUUUGGAGAACUUUGAUUUCUGCACAAAAAUAACACCAAGGCAAAUCUGCUAAAAACAGCGUCAGUCCAGGUUAGUUCCAUUCAAAUCAUGCAAAUUAUAGUCCAAAACAAGGGCAAAAGAGUUUGGAAAAGUAGAUACGUUGGAGACGUAUCAAGCAGUAAUUUCUCAACAUCAUAGCUAUCCUUACAAGCAAGGAAGUCCUCAGCUAUCUCUCCCUCCAUAACAUAACACUCAGGCAUAUCAGGCAAUUCAUGUCUAGGAGAGCUAGUUCUAGCAGGCAAAAUAGCAGGUUCUACUUCAAUAGUAUCAGCAGUUUCAGAAGUAUCAUCACAUCUAGCAGCAACUCUAGCAAUUUGUGCAUCAAGGAAUGCACCUAGUGGCAAAGCAGUAUCAAGCAUAGCAUCAUCAGGCAAUGCAGUAUCAAGCAUAGCAUCAUCAUAAGUAUCAUGGGCAACAGAAUUAGCACCAUCAAGCACAAGCUACAUAUCAAGAUUUCUAGCAGGAGGUCGUGUCGCAAACUUACUCAUAACUGAAGGUGAAUCAAGUGCAGAGCUAGAUGGCAGUUCCUUACCUAUCCUCGUAGUUGAGGGCAAGACUUUGGUUUUUGGAUCCCUCAGAUUCUUCAUAGUGACCAGGACACGUAAUUCCCAAGUCACUUAGAGAAUAUAGUUGUGCUUCCCCAGCAACGGCGCCAGAAAAUGGUCUUGAUAACCCACAAGUAUAGGGGAUCGCAACAGUUUUCGAGGGUAGAGUAUUCAACCCAAAUUUAUUGAUUCGACUCAAGGGGAAGCGAAAUAAUAUUCUCAAGUAUUAGCAGUUGAGUUGUCAAUUCAACCACACCUGAAAGAUUUAGUAUCUGCAGCAAAGUAUCAGUAGCAAAGUAGGGUGAUAGCAGCAGUAGCAACAGUAACGAGUAACAACAAAGUAACAGCUGUAGCAACAGAGUAACAGUAGCAGUAGUGACAGCAGUAGCAGCAAAGUAACGUAGCAAGGAACAUUAGUAAAAGACUCGUAGGCAUUGGAUCGGUGAUGGAUGAUUAUGCCGGAUGCUAUUCAUCAUGCAACAGUAUAACACGGAGAGAUAAGUAACUAGCUCCAGUUCGUCAAUCUAAUGUAGGCAUGUAUUCCGUAUGUAGUCAUACGUGCUUAGGGAAAAGAACUUGCAUGACAUCUAUUGUCCAUCCCCCCCGUGGCAGCGGGGUCCUAAUGGAAAUUAUGGGAUAUUAAGGUUCUCCUUUUAAUAAAGAACCGGACCAACGCAUUAACACUUGAUGAAUACAUGAACUCCUCAUACUAUGGUCAUCUCCGGGAGUGGUUCCGGCUAUUGUCACUCCGGGGUUGCCGGGUCAUAACACAUAGUAGGUGACUACAACUUGCAAGAUAGGAUCAAGAACACACAUAUAUUGGUGACAACAUAAUAGGUUCAGAUCUGAAAUCAUGGCACUCGGGCCCUAGUGACAAGCAUUAAGCAUGGCAAAGUAGUAGCAACAUCAAUCUCAGAACAUAGUGGAUACUAGGGAUCAAUCCCUGUCAAAACUAACUCGAUUACAUGAUAGAUCUCAUCCAACCCAUCACCGUCCAGCAAGCCUACGAUGAGAUUACUCAUGAACGGUGAAGAGCAUCAUGGAAUUGGCGAUGAAGGAAGGUUGAUGAUGACGAUGACGAUGAUCUCCCCUCUCCGGAGCCCAGAACGGACUCCAGAUCUUCCCUCCAGAUGAAGAACAGGAGGUGGCGGCGCCUCCGUAUCGUAAAACGCGAUGAUCCCUUCUCCUUGAUUUUUUUCUGGGCGAGACGGACUAAAUAUAACUGAGAUUGGAGGCGGUGGAGCGUCGNNNNNNNNNGGAGGCGGUGGAGCGUCGUGGGCUCCACAAGCCUGCCAGGCGCGGCUAGGGGGGGCAGCGCCUGGUGGGCUUGUGGGCUCCACGGUCCACAUCCUCCGCUGAUUCUUGCGCCAGUAUUUUUGAUUAAUUCCAGAGAAAUUCUCCGUAAAUUUUCACGUCAUUCCGAGAACUUUUAUUUCUGCGCAAAAACAACACCAUGGCAAUUCUGCUGAAAACAACGUUAGUCCGGGUUAGUUCCAUUCAAAUCAUGCAAAUCAGAGUCCAAAACAAGGGCAAAAGAGACGUAUCAAGGCCCUAGAGAAAAAAGUCAAGGAGUGGGCUCUUAAGAAGAUGGCCGAUCUAUUUAGGGGCUGGAAAAAAAGAUUGCAGCAGGAUUUUAUCUUGAAAGAUAAGACUCCAGAUUUCGAUCACGGCUAUGAGAAGAUUAAAGACUACUCGGCCGAAUUUGUGGCGUACAGGAAAUCGGAGGACGCCUUGAAAAAGUCUGCAACAAAUAAGAUGAAUGCACGUAAGAAGAAGUACCACCAUAUUAUGGGGCCUGGUGGCUACAACGCUAAGAUGGCUAAGUGGGAACAACUUGAGGCAUCAUUUCUGGACAAAAAUAUCACUUCAGAGCCCUUAAAAUGGCUCGAACGGGCAAGAAACUGGUUUUACGGGCAUGGGGGCUUGUUGGACGCAGAAGGGAAGGCAAUAUAUAACCAAAGACACAAAGAUAAUCCCCUACCCAUCGAGGAGAUUAGACGUGCCGUACAGGAUGUUGAAGAGGGACGGUUCUUAUCCGAUAGAGAGAACGACGAGCUCACACGCGCCCUUGGAAAUAAGGAACACAAAGGGCGACCACGAGGCUUACCAGGCUCCUCGUCGUGGAUUCUUGCGUUCUCCGAGGAAAGGAAGAGAUUUCCUGAUAGAAGCCAUUAGAGGAGAAAGGAAAAGGAGGCAUGUGAUCAAGUAGCUGAGGCAGACCGGCUGCAAAAUCUAGAAGAAGCAGUAAAGCGGCUGCAGCAGGAUCAAAUCGACAGACAACAAGGUAGCGGCCAAUCUCAGCGGCUCAUGAUAGAAGUUGCAUCGAAUCGGAAAAGCAGUGUAGCUUCCACGCAGCUCCAGGAUGAGGGUGAUGAUGUACUGACGACGGAUCCUCCUCGUCGCUACCCACUGGAUGAUUUCACAGAGAGCACACCUUGUCAGCUAAAGGUGAAACUUGCUAACUUAAGGUUGACGGUGGCGGUCGGCAUGGCCAUACCAAUUGGACUUAAUCCAUCUUGGCAUUGCUCUCCGGUUCCACAAGGGUACGCUGUCAUCGCGGUGGAUGAAGUGAUGAAAGAUUAUGAGGAGCUGAAGCUCGACCACCCUGCAGGUGAAGAUAGAUUUGACUCAACUUGGAGAAGUCAAGAAAUAAACCGUUGUAUGGCCAAAGGAGGACAUCUUCCUUCCAAAUUGGAUGCCAAUGCCACAAACUCCUCAUAGCAGCAAUCCUUCUUCGCCUCCACCUCACCAGUCUCCAGCGCAACGUUGUCUUCGCCGCCUCACCGAUCUCCAGUGCAACCGUCGUCUUCGCCGCUUCACCAGUCUCCAGCGCAGCCGUCUCCACCGCCGCAUCAGCCGUCUCCACCGCCGCAUCAGCCGUCUCCACCGCCCCGUCAGCCGUCUCCAUCCAUUGAGGAUCAGAGCAAAAAGCGGAAACGUACCCCCGCUAGUAGUGGCGCCAAAAAGGGGAUCCGAUCACCAAAACAUAAGUUGUCGCCCCUCCCAAAAGUACCUCAUAAGAAUAUGGAGAAGAGACCUUGGGACUAUAUUAGAGAGGACAAUAUUAAGAGGGCAGGCGUCAAUCAUGAAGAGUGGAAGGCUCAAGUGGCCAACAAGAAGAAACCGAAAGAGCCAGAGUUCCCGGUCACCCCAUAAGAUCACGCCGCGUGCGUGAAAAUGCUGAAAAACCUUGCAGAUCCCCCACCACCGUUGCCAACAGACUAUGAACGCUCUAUUAUCAAGUCGGCUCACGCAAUAAAGCAGCGGUUGAAGAGUAGUACGUCUAGCGGGAAAUCAGUUGCCCAGCUCGGACAACACAAAAAUCAAUCGUGCCCCCCGCUCAAAGUGUAUUCCGAUACAAAUGUGUGCUCGAGCGGAGCUGCGGUCCAACAGAGGAAUGAUGAAACAGCUGACAUCGAUCCAGAUUUUCUUGCACAAUACGGAGAAGCGGCCAAGGCUCAAGGCAUGUAUAUUGACGAGUACUUAAACCAUUUAGAUGUAUUCACUGACAUAGAAUACACGUACAGGUACGGGCGUCCUCUGGUCAAACCUGAGUUAGUCAACGAUCUAGCAACAACAAUGCGAAGAUUGCAUGACUGGUACAUGCAAGCAUGUGCUAAACAGCAUGUGCUAAACAGAAAAACUGGAUCUAAGUUGCAUAUGAAAACGAGCAUUUCGGGACUGGACGAGGCGUGCACAUGAUUGAAUUUGACGAGUUAUUUCAGUUAUACAAACAAGACGCCCUCGACAAAUCUAUCAUCAGUGUCUAUUGUUUUUAAUUAUUAUUAAUUUAUGCCAUUAAGUCUUACUCAGCUCGUUCUUGCAUAUAUAAUCUUACUCAUCACUAUAUUAAUUUUGCAGAAUGAAAUUCUCGAAUGCAAAAGAGGACAAAUCUAUGACAUUGGGUUCAUUGACCCAUAUUACAAUCAUCACCAAAGUGUCAAAACGAAUCCCCGCGAGACAGAGAAUAACUUUGUACAAGAGUUAAGGUUUUGCAAUACCAAAAGGAAAAUACUAUUUCCUUACAACUUCAAGUGAGUGUUACAAUACACACAUUCUAUUUUCGCUUACUCGAUGUUAUUAUAAGUGUACGUAUAAUUGACUCGUUAUCCGCGUGCAGGUUCCACUUUAUUUUGUUAAUCAUUAUACCUGACGAGGGGCAAGUAAUAGUCAUGGACCCGAAACACACACCCCUUGCUCAAUGGACGAACAUGCACGAAUGCCUCCAGAGGUAAUUUCAAUCAUUAUGGCACUAUAUCGACAACUUCUCGUUCAUUUCCUCGUAGCUAGGAAUUAAUAUAGAACUCCUUUAUUCAUUUCCUUUUUUUGGCAGGGCUUGGAAACAGUUCACCGCCAAGGCUAGAGGUGAUUGGAAGCCAGAGCUUAUAUUUAAACAAAUAGAUGUAAGUAACUACUAGCUAGAUCCACGCAUCUCUUUAUUCUAAUUUCAAUACCAUUAUAAUUCUUGAUUAUGGUUUUGAUUGAACUAUGUUCCUGUAAAGUGCUUGAGGCAGGAACACGGGAACAAUUUAUGUGGAUACUAUGUUUGCGAGUUCAUUCGCGAGACGACCCAUCAGAAGGGCAAAACCCAGGACAUCAAAAAAACAAAGUACGAUAAACAAUACUCACAUCUUUAUUUUAUUACCGUGAAUUGUGUUUGGUUUCACUGAUAUAUAUAUAUAUAUAUAUAUUGACCCAUUCUUUAAACUAGAUCGAACGGUUGCGGGACGGUCUUCUACCACAGGAACGUGUACGAGCAAUUCAAGAGGAAAUUGUCGGAUUCUUAGAUGCAGAGGUCCUAGAUGUCAAGGGAGAAUACUAUUGUAAUUCGAUGGAAAUGAUAUGAAAUGAUAUAGUGUAAAAAAGAUGCAUAUAUGUGCAUGUAACUCGUGUCUACAUAAUGUAAAUAUGUUCGACAAAGCACGACGGAUGAGAUGUGUAAUAUAUUCGUAAUGAUGUGCAAUAUAGUUGUUCCUUUAUUGAUGUGUAUGUACCAUCCAAUUUAGUGCAAAACAAAAAUUAAAAAAUGCCCAAAACAAAUAAAUGGGAAAAUAGGGGACAACAAAAUAGCCCCAUUCAAUUUAGUGCAAAACCCUAAACCCAAAAAUUGCUUAAAAAACAGCGAAGAAAUAGCCCCAGUUCAUAAUACGAACCGGGACUAAUACCCCUCCCCCUCGCUCCAGCCCCGCCACGUGGAAGGUCAUUAGCCCUGAUUCGGAGCCGAACCGGGGCUAGCAUUAGUCCUACUUGAUUAGUCUCGGUUCGCGAACCGGGACUAAGGGCCCAACCGAACCAGGGUUAAAGGCCAUUUUUCUAUACCAGUGCAUGUUCCACGCGUGUCUUCAAAGUGCUUUUUGAUCAGGUCACGUGGGCAAGUCCCCGUCCAGAAAAAGAAAGAUGAUGUGAAAAGGUUUACAUGGGAAAAAUAAUGAGACAAGCUUCUGGCCCGUGCUGAAGUCCUCAAUGUUUUGGCCGGUUAUAUGAAGGACGCGCUCCGGCCUUCGCACGGUGGCCUCCACAUCCACGUCCGUGUGAUCGCUGCCUCGCUCCACGUAGAGGCUAAUUCACGGCCGAGAGCCGCCGGCGACGUGGGCACCGUCGCGGCCACCACGCCCAGCUCGUCACGGGGUGGCUCGCGCGGAGCACGGCUUAUAAAUUGCGCCCACUCGCUCCCAGCAAUAUAUCAACAAACAGCAACUAGCAAUCAUCUAGCCGGUUCAUCGCUUGUCGCAGCAUCUCCUCGCGUCUUUCGUGCACCUUCCGCGGCUGUCUAAUGGCGACUAUGAUGGCCAUGAGCUCCUUCGUCGGCGCCGCCGUCCUGCCUCGUGGCUCAGCUGGCCGCUUCGGCGCCCGUUCAGUGCCGGCGCUGGGCCGGCGCGCUCUUGUCGUCAGGGCACAGACCGAGGGCCCGAGUGCACAACCGCCAAACAAACCCAAGGCCAGCACCUCGAUCUGGGACGCGAUGGCGUUCAGCGGCCCGGCGCCGGAGCGCAUCAACGGGCGGCUAGCCAUGGUAGGCUUCGUAACGGCACUUGCGGUGGAGGCAGGUCGCGGCGACGGGCUCCUCUCGCAGCUCGGCAGCGGCACCGGGCAGGCGUGGUUCGCCUACACCGUGGCGGUGCUGUCCAUGGCGUCGCUGGUGCCGCUU
rnacentral:lncRNA from 1 species